CGUCCUCCAUACUUAGCAUCCUCUACGCCAUUGGUUUCCACUGUGGCCUCUGCAAUGAAGGCGAGAAGAAGGCCGAGGAAAACAAAGGCUUUUGAACUCAUGUUUGUGUUUAAUAAGAGAUUGCUUUUGGGAGAUAUGGAUGAGAAAGAUUUGAAUUCUUAUGGUAUUUAUUGGUACAUAAAAGAGAAAGGGAGAUGAGAAUAUUGAGACAAUUGCAAUUAAAGACUGGCCCGUAAUUUAGUUGGGCAUUAGAUGAACUGAUUGAGAAGUAUUCUGAAAUGAAGAAGGAAAUUAAAAUUUGAGUCAGCUCUCUUAAAUAAUCUUUAUCGUUUAAAUGAUUUGUAAUUAGUCAAACUCUUUAGUAGUGUGACUGUAUCAAACUCCAAGAGCUUCUUUUAGCCAAUUAUCAAUAAUAAUAAUAAAUAUAAUUCUGGAAAAACAAUUUCUAGCAUGCUUUCAUUUUCUAUUCCUAAACUUGGUAAACAAAAUUCUUUGUCUUAAAAAUUAAAACUAAUAUUUUCAUAAAUUAUUUAGCAAAGUUGUUGGAAUAUGGACUGGUUUAUGAUUGUACCAAACAGCAAAAACAAGUUACAAACUACGAACCCAACUAUAUCGUUUAGAAACUGAGAGACCCACGUGGCGGAUGUUGCCUCACCCAAAAGCCACCGGAAAUUGCCUUCACUGGAGACCCACAUGUCGAACAACCAACUGCAAACCCCAAGAACAACCACGGCUGAAACAACCUCUCUGAUGGCUCGAACCCACUGCUAAACCAGCCGCCACACCGCGCGAAAUCCGCCGGUAGAACAUGGAAACUCGCCGACGUUAAAGCUCAGUCAGACGCCGUACUGCCCGAAAAACGAGACCGAAACGCGGAUGCUAAAGCUCUCUCCUCACCGGAAAACGCCCGACCCGACGAAGAACCUCAGAAUCUCCGUCGCGUGGCCGUCCGGUAAACGCCAUCAACGUCAACCCGUUCACCGUCGGCCCCUGCUCUUCUCUCUACUGUGUUUGUAGAAGAAACUUCAACUUUCCUCUCUCUCUAUUCUUGUGUAUUGCGGCAACCCCUCACCUCUCUCCUUUUCUUUUCACUGUAUUAAAAAUGGCAAGUGAUGUGAAUAAUUGCAAAAAUGUGUUCUUGUUAUUCCGCCAUCAACAAAACUAAAAAAACUUUGUUUAUUAAGAAAAUAAAUAAUCCACGUUGUUUAUUUCUUACAUUCUUUCAUAUUUCUUUAAUAAAAUAAGAGAACUUUUCUUUAUGUAUCACGGUGAAGAUAGAUAUUGUAUUAAGAAAAAUAUAUUUCUUAAUGAUCAUUUAUCAUGACCAUCAAGAAAUUAAAAAAUUGUGUUCCAAACCCUACAUCUCUCUUAAUGCAUCCUCUUUCACAAAUACUUCCGUUCCAAAAUAAUUACAGUCUGAGAAAAGUUUAGAGAGUAAAAACAAUUUCUCUCUCAAACAUUAAACCAAUAUAUAUAAAUGAUCCAUACAUAUAUAUAUGUGGAAAGUUCAAUAUGAAAUAUGUUAACAGUAUUGGUAAAAAUACUAUAUAUGGAUGGUCGUAAAAGAAAUACGUACUUUUUAAAAGUUGAACUUCCUCUUCAUCUCUGAUUGGAGAUAUUUGUUGAAAACUCCAAUAACACCUCAAAAUAAUAAUAGUAAUAAUUAUUACUAUUAUUAUUAUUACUAUUAUUGCGUAGGAUAGAACACCAUGAAAUGUUGAUAAAUUUAUUUAAUUGUGUCCUUGUCACUUGUCAGUACCACCAUAAACUUUAGAUAAUGCAGGCUGAGCAAACAUUUUUUUACUUUCUUUUCUCAUUUGUAUGCAAAAUAUAUUGCCACCAUAUAUCGUUUUGACUAAAGACGAAAGAAAGCGUGUAUACCUUAACUAUUAAAAUUUAUGUUCAAGUUAUGGAAAUAAAACCCUUAAUUACACAAAAUGAAAAUAUGUUUGUUGAUAUUAUAAAAUUUUACAAAAACCAAAUCUUUGCAAUAACAUACUAAAACCCAAACAUGGGGAAAAAGAAAAACUACAGAACCCACUCCUUCCAUUCCCCAUCUAUUUAUUUCUCAAACUUCUACCGUUCACACAUUUAACCAAACACACAAACUUUAAACCUUUUUAUUAUUUCAUCCCAUUCUACACCUUCUCUUAGGGUUUUGCACCCUCUACCACUUCACCAGCGUAGCUGCAGCACUUGUGCCCACAUCGACCAUAUCGGCAACCUCUGCCGUAGCCACCACGGCCACCACCAUAGCCUCCACGGCCACCGUAAUGACCACGACCAUACCCACCACGACCACCGCCAUAGCCUCUGUCGUACCCACCGCCAUAGCCUCUGUCGUACCCUCCACCAUAGCCUCUGUCGUACCCUCCACCAUAGCCUCUGUCGUACCCACCUCUUCCAUACUUGGCAUCCUCUACGCCAUUGGUUUCCACUGUGACCUCUGCAAUGUUAUAUUUAAAAUUAAUCCUUAACUUUACGAAAAUGUUAUAUAAAAUCAAAAUCUGUAUAUAAAGAUGUUAAAUAAUGAGUAUAUAUAUUUUACAUGAGUUUUUUCUUAAUAUUCGUGUCUGUUCGGAGUUAGUUUAUGUGUACCUAAACUAAGUUUACCGAACAAAUUUGGAUGUGAAAGGAACAAGCACAAAGAAUAUUAAAUCAUCAAUAGAAGACUACUAUGCAUUCAACUUCUUAGAUGACUUAAAAUUUAUUAUAACAUAAAACUCACCGUUGUCAGUCUUGGAGGAGGUCUCCGCAAGGUCCCUUGCAGCCACUUCAGAGGAGAGGAGAAGAACGAAGGCGAGAAGAAGGCCAAGGAAAACAAAGGCUUUGGAACUCAUAUUUGUGUGUAUUGUAAGAGAUUGGUUUUGGGGGAGAGGGAUGAGAAAGAUUUGCAUUCUUAUGGAGGUAUUUAUAGGUCCAUAAAAGGGAAAGUGAGAUGAGAAUUGAGACAAUGGCAAUGGCAAUUAAAGACUGGCCCAUAAUUUGGUUGGGUGUUAGAUGAACUGAUUGAGAAGUAUUUUGAAAUGAAGAAGAAAAUUUGAGUCAGCUCUCUUCAAAAAUCUUUAUCUUUUAAAUGAUUUGUAAUCAGUCAAACUCUUUAGUAGUGUGACUGUAUCAAACUCCAAGAGCUUCUUCUAUCCAAUUAUCAAUAAUAAUAAUAUAAUUAUGGAAAAACAAUUUGUAGCAUGCUUUCAUUUUCUAUUUCCUAAACUUGGUAAACAAAGUUAUUUGUCUUAAAAAUUAAAACUAAUAUUUUUCAUAAAUUACUUACCAAAAUCUAUCAAGUAAAUACUGUAGGUUAGUUAUUUAGGGUUCAUUUUUUUCACCUUGUGUUUUUUCUUAAAAAAAUUGAUGUUUAAUUAGAUUUUUUUUUCUAUUAAUGAUUGAUUUGUUUUGGUAUAUCAUUUUCGAUCCAAUAUAACAAAAUGAACAAAAUAUGUGACAUUUUUUAAAAUAAAAAAUAAAUUAAAAUAUUUACAAAGUAUAACAAAAUUUUAAAUUCUAUCAAUGAUAGAAACUGAUAUGCUACUAUCACUGUCUAUCCAUCUCACUAAUAGAAACAUGUUAAUGUCUAUCAAUGUCUAUUAUUGAUAAAAUAUGAAAAUCGUACUAUUUGUUGUAAAUAUUUUGUCAAAUUUACUAUUUUUUACCAUUCUCUCUUAAAAAAAUAUUUAUAAAUACAGUAAAUUUCAAAAUCUAUCAAAGAAAUUGGUAGAAAUAUUUAUAUAGUAUAUGUGAUAUAAAUAAACACUAAUAUGAUUGAAGUUUUUUGUGUCUACUAAUAUCUAUAUUUUUUAUAUUUCUAAAUUUGGCUAUAUUUAUAAAUAUUUUCAAGAAUUUUAGUUUAUACAUUUUCAAAUGGUUUAUCUUAUAUAAAAUUUGAAUAGACAAACAUAAAAUAAAGCACAGCACAAUAAAGAAAACGUUAUUGAAUAGCUUCCACUGAACCCAAUUUGCAAAUAUCAUUGAUAUUUGUAAUAUUCUUUUAAUGCUAUGUUUUCUUACAAGAUAACGAGAGGAUAUUUUUAUAUUUAUGUGAAACUCAUCAACUUAUAUGAAAAUGUCAAAACAACAUUUAUUUAUUUCAUACUCUUCAACUUGGUGUCUGUCAUUCUUUAAAUAGAAUUUUCAAAGCUCAUAAAAAUCUCUCGAAAUUUGAGAAGAUAUCAACGCCCUUACGGAUCAUUGGACAAGCAUAUCUCCUCUCUUCAAAAAUUAUUUUGAUAGCUCUAUUGCUCUAAGUAUUUAUGCUUUUGUUUAAUUGUACUGACUUUGGGUCUUUCUUGGACUUUCCUCUAACCCUUGCUUUUGUUUUCCCUUCUUUCCAUAUUAUCUAUUAUAUAUUAAUGAAGCAUGAAUGAUGAUGAUGCUACGAAGGUACUGUUCACAUAGUGGAGAUGAUGAGAUGUCUUAGUGCAUCUAUUGACCUAUCUCGUAUCUUUUUUAAAAAAAAAAAAACAUUUAUAUAUUUCGUAUACUAUAAUUUUGCAAUAAAUUUAAGAGACCUUUAUAAAACUAACUCCCAAACUAUGCGGGGUAGUGAUAGUUGUGAAACCUAUUUCUAAUUUGAGUAUAGAAAGUAAAAUUUGGUUAAGUAUUUUGAAAAUUUGUAUUUUGGAUAAGAGGAGACAUUUUGAAAUAAGACUUUGCGAUAAGAAGUAUGUGUUUGAAUCAAUCCACAGAAAUGAUUAAGUGAUAAAAUCUUUUAUGGUUAAGUAUAAGUUUUGUUAUUAAGAAGUUAAUUCACGAGGGAGUUUUGAGAAAAGAAUGAUUUGCAAUAGGACCUAUAAACACUUUCAAUAGAAAGAGUCUUCACGAGAAAAUGUUGAAGUUAUUCGUAGAAUGGAAAUAGGCGAGAAGUAAGGUCUGGCAAAGAAAACGUCUAUCUGAUUUGACAGGGGUUAAUGUGUAAGAUUAAAGGUUUAAGCAUGACUGAGUUAAAUAUUAAAUUUACAUGUGUAAAGUUUUAAUCAGGAACCAGCGAACUUAAAAGAGUUUAAGCAUGACUAAGUUAGUUUAAGAGCUAUGUAAAUAAAGGACCUAGUCAUUAAGUAAGCACAUAGAUUUUAUUAAAAAAAAAUUACUAAAAUGUUGUUGUUUUGCUUGACGAGAAAAAGAAAAAAAAAAACAAAGUGUUAAGUGCUACGAUGUGUUUCACAAGAAGGCUCCACAAAAGAAAAGGAAGAGAAGGAUUUUUGAUAAAGUGUGGGAAUGUUUUCUCUUAAAUGAAUUAAUUAUGUUAAAAAAUUUAUUAUAAUUUCUCUUUACUUAUUUAAAAGAAGAAUUCCAAUGAUAAGUGUUUCAAAUGAAAUUUAUAUCAAAAGUCUAUAUGUUUUCAAGUAUGAUUUAUAAUGUUAAAGUUGUUUUCUUGAGAUGAUGCUAACUUUUAUGUGCACAUAAAGAGUCAAGGUUACUAUGGGGUGUACAAGGCUACAUGGUGAUAAGAAGCUGGUUUAUGCUUUGAAAUGAGCGUAUAAAGCUUAGUUGGCCUGAGCAACAAGGACAAUCUGUAUGUUUUCGGAUGUUGUUGAUACAACAGUCUAAAUGUAGGGUAAUGAGACCAAACGUAGAAAACGAUUCGAGAUCCUUGAUGAAAAGUAUAAUUGACUAAUGGGUGUUAUUGUGAAAUGAAUCUUGAUGUGAUUCACAAGUUGAACUAAUUUUAUUGUAAAAAUGAUUAUAUACGUUUUGAUAUGUUUUGCCAAAUGAAGUGUUUAUUGAUAAACUGAUUUGUGUUGAAAUUUAUGAUUUGACGAAAAACAUUUUCAAAGAGCAUUGCAAAAAGGAUUUCAUUAAAACCUCACUAAAUCUUUUAAACUUGCAUUUUAAAUUUUAUCUUCCAAGAUUUAGCAUUUAGGCCAAUUAAAGAAGAAGGUUGAAGGGCUUGCGGCAAGUUGAGAAAGCCACGAGGCGUUAAAGAGCUUUGAUCGAUAAAUGUUAAUUAUUUGAUCAAAAUGUUGUAAUUGUUUGUUCAUACCAAACGCCUGUUAUUAAUAUAUUAAAGUGUGUGUUUCAGGUUAUGUUACUUAUUGUACUUGGCAUUUAAAGUUGAUUUUCGCUACGUUUUGAGUUUCACUUCAUAGUUUGAAAGGAGUUGAGAAUAAGCUAGGCAGUAAGACUAAUUGUAAAGUUUAAUUAAAGUUAAAUCUUGUAAAGUUUAAAGUUAAAUCAUGUAAAGUUUAAAGUUAAAUCACGUCCUAUCCGCACAACUUCCUGCAAUUUUGUUGUCGGAACAGAGUGUGACAAUAGCGAUGCACCUAAACUAAAUUUACUAUUUUGGUUGUUACAGUGGUCGAUAUGAAUAUAGAUCAAUGGAAAGAAGAAUAUCAACAUCCUCUCUAAAACUUAAAUAUAUUAAUCUAAAAUUUUCAUUUUUAUGUUAAAUUGAGAAGAAGAAGAAAAAAAAAAGAAACGAAAGCAAAAGUAUUAGGUAAUAAAAAUAUUUUGAAGAUGAAAAAAAUUUGAAGUACUCUUGAAAGCAUGAAUAAAUAAAAUUUGGUUCCACUUGUAUUGUUGAAUAUCCUCUUGUUCCUUUCCAACCAAAUGUUCCAGAUAACCCCAUCAACAGACUGUAAUUGUUGAUUUCAUAACACACAAACUUGAAAUCAACAAUUAAGUAAUAGAAGACCGUAAAGAUCGACACACAGAUAAAACAUGGUUCACUAACAGUGUAUUAGCAACUACAUCCACAAACAAAGGAAGAAAAAAUAUGGUUAGGAGAGAGUGUUUUCUAAUACAAAUGUAGCUGGAUAGAGUGCAUCCAAUGAAAUUCUCAUUGUUUUGGUUGCAGACCGAGCACGCCAACUUGGAUUAAGGCAGUGAUUUGGGAGGCUAUUUAGCAGAAUAAUCUCCACAGUGUUUCCCGGGUAGAAUUUAGCAUAAGAAAAAAUUUCACUUCUUAAUUAGAAUGGGAGAUUUUUACAAAUUAUUAAAGAUUGUCAGGACUAAGAUUUUCUAUCUUUGGAAGAUCAUUUCCUCUUUCCUCGUUAGGCUUAGGGAAAGAUGCUUUGACAUUAUCCCAUAUGCUAAUGUCCCUAUCCCGGAGGGGUCCUCUAGGCUUAAUAUCCCAACCAAUCUUUAAUCGAGCUAUUUGCGCCAAGGGAUGAAGCAAAAAGCUUGGGGAAGCCAAAGGAGAGAGGACCGUGUUGGUUCAAUUUUUUAUGCCAAAAAAGAAAGAGAAAGAAGAGAGCAAGAUGAUUAUACUAAAAAAGAAUUGCCACAGUUUCUAUUUUAAUUAUUAUCCCUGCAUAACUCUUUCACAUAUAUAUUUAUAUCCAUAGGUUGUACACAAGUGAAACUAUCCUCAAAUUUAUAUGCUAUUUAUAUAAUAUAUAUAUAUAAAACUAUAAUAGUAUACUAUAGUCAUGUAGUUCAAACUUCGUUUAUUACCUUUUUAUUUUAAAAAUAUUUUAUUAAUAGUAAAGUUCCUGUGAACAUAAAUUUCUCCAUCAUCUGCUCCUACUUGUAUAUAUCAUCUUUAAUUAAUUAUCAUUUAGUGUCCACAUGUACAGUUUAAUUCCCAAAUAGUGUUCAACAAAACGAAGUAUUAGAAAUUUUCACUUUAUUUUUCUCAUUCAUAACUCCUAAUAAGUAGAUAGGUCCACAUGUUUCAUGUUACAUCUAUUUAUUUUAAUGCGUAUUAAUUUUUGGUGGUGAAAUUCAAACUUUUAAUUAAAUUAAUUAUCUCAGUCAUGUUUAUUUACUAUAAAUAUCACUAUAAAGAUCAAUUGAGCUAAGCAUGCUUAAUAAAGUUUAAAAAAUUACUCUUCUAUACACGUGUGGCAAUAAAGAUAACAAAAUAUCACUAAAUGUAAAUAAAUGUUUGGCAAGUUUUAUUAUUUUUAUAACUUCUUUAGAAAUAUUCAAUCGAUAUGGAUAUGAUAUUGAUUUUUGUUUUAUAAAUUCGUGAAAUUGAGAAAUAUAAGCAUUUUCAUCAACAUUCGCAUCCUAGACAUUACUCCUAUAUGACUAAUGAAUUUGAACUAGCGAAACUAAUUCAUAAAACUAAAUGAACAAAUUUUAAAAAAUUUUAUUUAAAAUAACAAAUAUGAUAGAACGUAUAAUAUUUACAAAUGUAACGACAAAAUUUUACUUUCAGAUCGUGAAGGUUGUGGUAAACCUGAUAGACAUCAUAUAUUAUUUUAGGCGUUAUAUUGUAUUGAUAAUAAAAGUAAAAUUUUAUUCUAUUUAUAAAUAUUUAUAAUAAUUUUUUAUAUUCAAAACAAUUCAAAAAAUUAAGUUGGCCUAAAAUUUCUAUUUUCAAUAUUUAUGGCCAUAACAGUUAUUUAAGUGAUCGGACUCCAUGAGUUCGUAAAAUUUAAAUGAGUUAGGCAAACAAGUAUUAAUUUGUAAUUUAUUUCUUUUUCUUAAUUGCAUUUUCUUGUUUUUGACAUGUUUAUUUAUUUUUAAUCUAAGUUGAAUGAUAUGGUAUUAAAUUUGUCUUUCAUCCGUUAAUUUUUCUUCUUUUCUUAACAUACCUUCCAGUUAUUGUCGCUCCAAUCAUCCUCAUCUUUGUCUCCGUCCCUAGGCCCAGGCAUCUCCCUCAAUGCAUCCUCUAUCACAAAUAGGUUCCAAAAUAAUUACAGUCUAAGAAAAGUUCAUAGAGUAACAACAAUUUCUCUCUCAAACAUUAAACCAAUAUAUAUAUAUAUAUAUAUAUACUAGAAAGAACACGUGUUUUGUACGUGAAAAGUGUAAUUUUAAAUCUUAAAUUUAAUUUUAGUGUCACAAGUUAAAAACUAAUUAUAAACAAUAUCUUUAGUUUAUAUAUAUAUAUAUGCUAUUAUUAAAUUCAAAUCUACCAAUAAUAAGGUGACCAGAUUGGACAAUUAGAUCUUAACCAGAGAAUAUAAAGGACCUAUAUAACAAUAUAAGUUUAUGAAAUAUACAACUAUAUAACUACAAAAUAUUAUAUAAACAAGGAGAGAAAAUUAGUGAGCAACCAUAAUAUAACAUGUACUUUUUUUUCAUUGAAAAUAAAUUAAAAAAUAAGAAAAUAAAAAGAGAUCAAAUGAUGGAUAAAGAAGUCUCUCCAAUCCAAAAUAUAAUGCUAAAAGACGACCAAAAUUUAAUUAAUAGAUUAUAGAUACAUAAAUGAAAUAAAAUUAUAGUGCAUAGUAAGUAUUGUAGAAAUAUUGCUUAUUCGAGACAUAGUUGACAUCGUUGGAGGCCUCCUUGGAUUCUCUAUACAUUUGUUGAAAAACACAGAAAUUCUCCUUGUUUUACACCAAAUAAUUAUUCUCCUAUACGUGGAUUUAUUUGAUUGCUCACAAUUUCAUUAGAUUUUAUUUUAUAUAAAAAUACACAGAAAGAAAAUGAUUGGGAACGUGAACAUGAGUCACAAAGAAGAUGAGAGAGAAUGUGUGAGUGAUAGAAGGGAAGAAGAAAAUUUUAUAUAGCUUUAAAAUUGAGCUAAUGAAUAAUAAUAAUAAUAAUAAUAAUAAUAACAACAACGACAAUUAUUAUUACUAUUAUUGCAUAGAAUAGGAGAGACCAUGAAAUAUAGAUAAAUUUAUUUAGUUGUGGUUGCCAUUUUGAGUACCACCGUAAACUUUGGAUAUUGCAGGCAAGGUGGUUAAUAGAAUUAAGAUUUUAUUAUAUGUAGGUAAAUAUUUUCACCGAUUUUAAUAUUUAGAUGUUUUCUUUUAUUAUUAUUAUUAUUUAGUAUGAGUGAUCAUGUGAGUUUUUUUCUUUCUUUCUUUUUUCUAACGAAAUAUAUUGAAGAUUUUAACUAAAGAUGAAAGAAUGUGUGUAUACUAAAAAUAAGUGAGACGAUCAAUAAUAUCUGAAAGUAAUUAACUGAGAGAAUAGCUAAAGAAACAGACAAAACAAAUAAUACAGAAGACUUUGUUAGCCUAAUUUGACGAAUACCACCUAUAUCUGGAAGCUUCUUAGCUCAUAUAAGAAAUAUUAUUAUAUAAGAUUUAAAUGAGCAAGGAAAACACUUUUAAGUUAUUACAAAAACUUAAUUAAAGACCGACUUUCAUUGAAUUUGUGUUUGAAUCUUUUUGAAGAUAAACUCAAACUCCCUUGAAUUCAUUCACCACAGUUCAACUAUUUCAGUCUUCUUUCAUAUUUCUUAUCAACAGGUGCAGCGUAAAAACCACUUGCAGAACUUCAAUAAUAUUCCAUCUUCAUAUAAAGAAUGCAAUUCGACAACCUUCACAAACAAUAAUUUGAUCUUCGAAAGAGAACUUCUUUGAAAUCAAUUUUCUAUCAAUUUGCACGUCGAACUAAGCCAAUAUAGUUUAAUUAUUUAAAGAUCGAUAUAAUAUAUUUCCGGUAACUUCUUUAUGGAGAGAUAUAGAUAAAAGAUUCAUGUUAGGAAAGAAAAAUAUUUUAUCUUUAAAUAAUAUCCUAAUCUUUAAAUAAGGAAGUUAAUAAUAAAAAGAAAUUUAUUGGUGUUGUUGACAAAAAUAUCAACAUAUACGUUAACUAUUAAAAUUUAUGUUCAAGUUAUGGAAAUAAAAGCGUUAAUUACAGGAAAUGAAAAUAUGUUUGGUGAUAUUAUAAAAUUAAAAUUUGCAAAAGCAAAUGUUUGAAAUAACAUACUAAAACAAACCCAAACAUGGGGAAAAGAAAAACUACAGAACCCACUCCUUCCAUUCCCCAUCUAUUUAUUUCUCAAACUUCUACCGUUCACACAUUUAACCAAACACACAAACUUUAAACCUUUUUAUUAUUUCAUCCCAUUCUACACCUUCUCUUAGGGUUUUGCACCCUCUACCACUUCACCAGCGUAGCUGCAGCACUUGUGCCCACAUCGACCAUAUCGGCAACCUCUGCCGUAGCCACCACGGCCACCACCAUAGCCUCCACGGCCACCGUAAUGACCACGACCAUACCCACCACGACCACCGCCAUAGCCUCUGUCGUGCCCUCCGCCAUAGCCUCUGUCAUACCCUCCUCUUCCAUACUUGGCAUCCUCUACGCCAUUGGUUUCCACCGUGGCCUCUGCAAUGUUAUCUUUAAAAUUAAUCCAUAACUUUAUGAAAAUGUUAUAUAAAUUCAAAAUCUGUAUGUAAAAAAGUUUAAUAAUGAGUAUGUAUAUUUUAUACAUUUUACAUGAGUAUUUUUUUAAUAUUUGUGAACAUUCAAUUCAGGUUAGCUUAUUUGCCUCUAAACUAAGUAAACUGAACAACUUGGUUAGCUCUGUAAUCAUUAUCAGGAACAAGGACAAAGAAUAUUAAACUCUAAAUAGGUGACUACCAUGAAUUAAAACUUUUUGAAUAACUUAAAAAAUUUAUUAUAACAUAGAACUCACCGUUGUCCGUCUUGGAGGAGGUCUCCGCAAGGUCUCUUGCGGCCACCUCAGACGAUAGGAGAAGAACAAAGGCGAGAAGAAGGCCGAGAAAAACAAAGGCUUUGGAACUCAUAUUUGUGUGUAUAGUAAGAGAUUGAUUUUGGGAGAGAGGGAUGAGAAAGAUUUGCAUUCUUAUAGAGGUAUUUAUAGGCGUACAAAAGAGAAAGAGAGAUGAGAAUUGAGACAAUUGCAAUUAAAGACUGGCCCAUAAUUUGGUUGGGUGUUAGAUGAACUGAUUGAGAAGUAUUUUGAAAUGAAGAAGAAAAUUUGAGUCAGCUCUCUUCAAAAAUCUUUAUCUUUUAAAUGAUUUGUAAUCAGUCAAACUCUUUAGUAGUGUGACUGUAUCAAACUCCAAGAGCUUCUUCUAUCCAAUUAUCAAUAAUAAUAAUAUAAUUAUGGAAAAACAAUUUGUAGCAUGCUUUCAAUUUCUAUUCCCAAACUUGACAAACAAAAUUGUUUGUCUUAAAAGUUAAAAUUAAUCUUUUACAUAAAUUAUUUAGCAGAAUCUAUUAAGUAGAUACUGUAGGUUAGUUAUUUAGGAUUCAUUUUUUCCCUCAGGUAUUGUAAAAGAAAUUGAUGUUUAGAUUUUUUUUUAUUAAUGAUUGAUAUUUUGAUAAAAGGAUGUUAAUAUCAUUUUUAAAGCUUGCUUUUAAAUAUAAUAAAAUUAAAUUUCAAAAUUAAUUUAUCAAUUAAAUUUAUAGAAAUAUUUAUAUAAUAUAAUCAGUAUGGACCAAUAUUUAUACUAUUCAUACUUUAAAAUUUUAUAAUAUUUAUAAAUAUUAAAAAAAUUUCAAAUGAUUUUUCUUAUAUAAAAUUUAAAUAGACAAGAAAAAAAAAAACACAGCACAUGCACAUGCACUAAGAAAUGUCAUUGAAUAGCUUCCCCUGAACCCAAGUUGUAAAUAUCAUUCAUAUUUAUAAUAUUUAUCAACUUAUAUGAAAACGUCAAAACAACACUUAUUUAUUUUAUACUAUAUUUGCAAUAAAUUUAAGAGACCUUUAUAAAACCUAACUCGCAGAGCAUGCACGAUACUGGGUAGUGAUAGUGAUAGUGAUGCACCCAAACUAAAUUGACUGUUUUGGUUGUUACCGUGUUCGAUGUAAAUAUAGUUGAAUUGAAAGAAGACAUCAACGACCUCUCUAAAAAUUAAAUAUUAAUGUAAUUUUUUUCAUUUUUAUGUUCAAUUGAGAAGGAAAAAAAGAAACAGAAACAAAAGUAUUAGAUAAUACAGAAAUAAAAGUAUUAGAUAAUACAUAAAUAAAAGUAUUAGAUAAUACGUAAUAUUUUGAAGAUGAUAAACAAUUGAGGUGUUUUGGAAAGUAAAAACCCUCUUUUUAGAAAAAUAUAGGACUGGAUGAGUAGAUGCACUUUAAAGUAUAAACUGUGUGGCAUGAAUAAAUAAAAUUUAUAUGAUUCUCAGAUAGUAUUAGAAUUUUAUUGUUUUGAAGGAUAGCCGACAUAAAUUUCAUGAAAAUUCUGGCAAUAUCUCCAAAUCCUAUCAUCCACACACACAGUCUCUCUUCCUUUCAAUUCAAUGAAUGGAGGAUUAAAUUUUACAAAUGGAUGGAAAAGAUUUCUUCUCUCUUUAAAGGAAAUGACAAAUUGAAAAAAGCACCAAAUUGUAGUGAUGGAAUACUAUUGGCCGUAAAAAUUAAACACCUUACAUUCAACCACCAAACUUAGGUGACGGUAGAAAUGGUAACAUUUAUUUGAGUGGGAGGAUUCAAUUUUUUAUCAUUUCAACGUUCCACUUUUACGGCUAUUGUAAGUUAAUUAGAACACCGUCGUAUAAGUUUGAAGGCUCAAUUUUUAUAAUUGAAAGUUUGAUAAUGUAAUUGCAACUACCAUUCUAUUUUAAAUGUGGUUUUUGUAAUCUUUACAUAACUUGUAAUGUAUGUCAAUUGUAUACAUAAGAUAUUCAAAAUUCUUUACAAAAUACUCAACACACGCAAACUUAUGACCUCAUGUGUUAUGAAUCAACAAAUUAAGUAAAAGAAAAUUGUAAAGAUCGACACAUAAAUAAACAUGAUUAACACUAACAUUGUAUUAGCAGCAACAUCCACGAACAAAGGGAGAAUAAAUAUUGUUAGAGAGAAUAUGGCACCACUAGAUUAGAUAGAACAAUGUUUAUAGUACAAUAUGACAUUACUUGAUUUGAAAGUUUAUAUAUGCACUUCUCUAAACCCUAAAAUCAAAAUCAUGAAUGACUACGUAUGCACAAUUAUGAAAAACUAAAGAAUCUAUGGAGUUUUCGUGUAGUGCUACUUAACGAAUAUAAGGUAUUCGAACAUCAUGUGUAUCCUAGUUGAUCUCCAAACCAGCUACAUAAUAUUAAUUAUAUAUUCGAAUUUUUGAAUUUUUUAUAACAAAUAUACCUCAAUAAAUUGAUCACCACCUAUGAUUAAAGAUAGAAAAUCAUUUAAGAUAUGCACGUAAAGGUAGCUGAGUAAAGUGAUAAGAUUAUCACACAAGAGAACUAAUAGUUAGGAUAACAUAAUGCGAAAGGGUAUUGGCUCAUGAGCAGAUUGAAGAGUUGGGUUUUUCCAUGUCAUUUUCAUCUCUGAUUUGUGUCUGCAAAUGAGCAAUGAUAAGUGUGAAUCAGUUAAAUUGGUUAUUAAAUGCUGAGACUUUAUUGAGUUGAUCCAUUUUCAAACUUUCAAACUUGCAAAUUUAUUGUGCAAUUCAGAAAGUGGAUCCUUUCAAAUUUAUUGAGUGGGGUCUAAUUAUUCAUCUCUUAUUUACGUCAGAGCAAAGCCUUUCUUAGGGGAUGUGUAUAUCUAUUAUUUCAUUGCCAAGGAAUGGGGGUAACCACUUGUGGGAUCACUUUUCAAAAUUUUAUGAUUUUCUAGAAAAUAUAUUAUUUAAUUGCAUCUUAGUCUCUCUACAAACGUUUCUACAACUCAUCCACACUUUAAUGGCAGUUAAAGAAAAAUAUUGUUUUUUAAAAAGACUCAUUCUAUGUUAAACUGAGAUUAAAUAAUAGAGUGUGGUCGAUUGUUAAAAGAUUUGUGUGUAAUCUAAAAUGAUCGGAUUAGUACUUUUCCAUUAAAAGUUUAUAUAUCUAUCCUUUAAAGUGAUGGACUCUGCAUAAGGAUUGAUAUUUGAUUACAAAUUUUUUUACUUAUGUUUGGUUGGAAUCCUUUAUCUACGUUUUUUUAAAGUGUCUAAUAGAUAUUUUAAUUUUAAAAGAAUUUAACAACGUUUAUCUUUGUUUGAAAGUUUAUAAACUAUGAAUUACAUUUUUAUAUCAUUACAGUUGUGUUUAUUUGGGACAUUGAUAAAAAUGAAUAGAAACAAAAUUCAAAUGUUAAUUAGCACCAGAUAUAUAAUACAUUGAUUGACUUAUUAACUAGCAAAAAAAAAAAUUAAAAGUUUAAACACAUAUUACUUAAUAUUUUAAAGCUUACAAGAGUUGUUAUACACAAUUCUAAACAUUUUGUGUGUUUUUAGUUUUUUUUAAAGGUAAGCUUAUAAACAUCUUAUUUCAUCUCUAAAUUUUAAUUAAUUUUGUUAUUAAACUUUAAUUUCUACCUAUAAAUAGAUAGAUAGUUAGAGCAUGAUUAAGUAAAGUUGAAGUUGAUCUCCUUCUUCCCUAAAAAACUUCUUAUCCCUACGUUGAAGACAAAUUAACUUAAGAAGCAUAGUAUUCGUAGCAAACAUCACACGUAUGUAUCUAGUAUUUAUUAUUCUACAACCCGAGCACAAUCUCACUAAACUUUAAUUUAGAGCUUUGUUAGAAUAAUGACUAUAAACUUUGGUUUUUAUUCUAGCCUUUUGAAUAUCAUGGCCAUGCAACCUUGCUUAUUAUUGAAUAUACGAGUGAGGAUUUGAUAGUGCUCAAGGAGUGUCCACAAAUUAAAGUGGAGACUCCUAGAUGCAGUAUAACACAAUUAUUUUUUUUUAAAAAAAAAGAAAUUACUUUGUAGGUGACUUCUAUGUCAAUAUAGAAUUUAUCAUUGACAUCACGUAAAGAUUAGAUCUAAAUAAUUAAGUUGUUAGACUAAAUUUUCACCAUAAAUAGUACCAAAACAAUGAAGCUAUAAACAGAUGAGUGAUUUGAAAAGAAAUUUAUUUAAUUAAUUGAAGCAAAAAUGAAUUGGUUAGAGUAUUAAUUAGUUAAUAAGUUCUAAUAAAUAGAUAGGCAAAAGUAAGUUAGCAUAGUCAAAUCUGGUUGGCGGGGUAGGAAAAAGGUGUCAAUGUUCUUCCCAUUUGUACAAAGCCACCAAGGAUCAUCUGUCUCCAGUCAAUAUGAAUGCAUUUAAUACAAUACUCGAAUGAGAAAAUAUGUGCAUUUAUAGAUUAUUUUUUUAGUUCAUUUCUAAAACUUUCCAACUUUUUUUUUUAUUUUGGUUUCUAAACAUUUUAAAACGUUUGUUUUAAUGUCUAAAUGUUUAAAAAUAACAUAUAUUGUAAUUAGAAUUUUAUUAACUCUUUAACGAAAUGAAAAGAUAAUUUCUACGUAUGAAUGAUUAUAUUGUCAAAUAAGAUAAUUAUAGUAAAAAGUGAGUGAACUACGAAAGAAAUGAGAGAGAUUUGAGUUUAUAAAAGAAAAACAAAGAGAACAAAAUUAGUACUUAGGUUUAUUUGAUAAAUGUGUUAGUUAUGUUUCUAUGUUGACAUAAAAGAUCUAUAAAAUAAAUUAGUAAGAUUUUUCAAUUAUUUAUCUAUUUAAGUAAUAUAAUAAAUCUAGAUUAUGAUCAUCUAGAAGUUACAUCAACAUUCUUUUAAAGAAUUAAUAGAAUUCUAAAUUAAAACAAGAAUUGUGGUAAGCUUUUUAUUAAAGUUUGAAAAACUAUAACAGAACACAUUUUAAAAGUUUAUCACAAAAAUAAAACAAGAUACUUUAUUAUUAUUUUGAUUCAUAUAUAUAGAGUAGAACAUUAUACACAUAUAUACACAAAUGAACAACAAAAAAAAAUUAGAAUGAAAAUUAGAUUGUGGAUGUUGAUUUUUUGAACGCAGUGAUAUUCUAAAUCGCUCCACUUAGCUUAUGUAUGUUUGGUACUUAUUUUUCUAUUAAUAUAAAUGUUGUUUUUGAAAAAGAAACGUUACAGAAAACAAAAUAGGAUGUAAUUACAGAAAUAAAAGUUAAGGUAUAGAUAGAUAAUUUGUUUAAUAAAGGGAAAAGUUAGAGAAGAUAAAUCUUACAGAGUUGGGGGAAAAGUUGAUAAUAUAUAGAGAGAGAAAACUUGAGAAUGGAGAAUCAAUGUUAGAGAGAGAGAAAAAAAAAAGGUUUGAGAGAUAUUUUAAAGAGAGAAUAUUCAGCUAGAUAAAAAUAUCAAAAUAUUAAUUAAAGAGAUAAAAACAAAAUAAUCAUACACAAAUUUGAUAAAUAACAUCACAUAUAAUAAAAAACUGAGAGAUUAUGGCUCGAUUCGAUAACGUUUUUUGUUUCAUGUUUUUUUGUUUUCGAAUGUGUUUAAUAACUUUUAUUGUUUCUUAGAAAAAGAAAAAGAUUUUUUUAAUAAUUAUUUAUUGUUUUUCGUUUCUUUUGUUAUUUUCUCAAACAUUUUUUCUUAUUUUUAUAGUUUAAAUUAAUUACAUAAAAUAUAAAAUAUAUAGAAUUCAUUAAAAUAUAAAAAUUAGUUAUAAAAUAUUGACAUGAUCAAAUAUUUACGUAAGCCGAUGCAAAUUUAAUAGCUAUAGUAUAAUAGUUUUUAUUAAUUAUAUGUUGUUAAAUUUUAAUUUAAAAUAUUAUCUCUCAUUUAAUUCAUUUGUCCUAAAUGAUGUUGAUGUAAUAUGAAAGGUAGUGAUUUGUCCUAAAACUUUUAGAACUUAAAGAAAAUAGAGUAAAACAAAAUUGGGAGAAACUACUCUUCAUGAUUUUUUAAUUUUGUCUAAUUUUUAGAAACGCCUUCAUAAUUUAAAAACGAAAAACAAAAAGAGUUAUCAAUCAUAUUUAUUUUUUAAAAUAUGAGGCAAAAAUAAAAAAAUGCCCUUAUAUUCACUUCCAAAAGAAAAUUAGUAUUGCUUACAGAGAAAGAAGUAUUCUUAGUCAAUAUAUUCUUUUAUGAAAAAAAAUAUUUUUUCCUUUUAUAAAUUUAUUUUCACCUUAAGUACCUUAAACCUGAUUUGUCAUGUCUUUAAAUCUUCCUUUUAUCUCUAAAAAAAUCUCACUCUAAUAUAUUUUUUUUCUCUACAAAAUUAAGCCACUAUCCUAAAAACUUAUUAUAUAUUUUUUUAUAUCAUUGAUGAAGCGAAAAUGAUAAAAGUGGUAUUCGGAUACACCUAUUGACUCACCGUAUCUUAUUAAAAAAGAAAUAUGUAUACUUUUUUAAAUAGACUACUUUUGAAUAUAACAAGAUAAAAUAAAAUGUUUACCAAUAUAGUAAAAUAUAUUGUGACAUUUUAUUAUAUUUGUAAAUAUUUUUAAAAAAUUUCGUUCUAAAUAAUUUUCCUUUAAAAAAUAUUUUAUUGAAAUUAAAAAUUGAUUAGUGGACUUGGCACAUAUUAUCAAAAAUUUAAAAAUUUAAAACUAAAAAAUAAAUUAAACAAGUCUAUGGUUGAAAAAUCAUGUUUUAAUAAUUGAAAAGGCAGACAAAUGACAGAUACUAUUCUAGUAGCAAAUGAUGUGAUAGACUAUUGAAGAAACAAAAAAAACAAAGGUCUGGUGAUCAAGCUCGAUAUUGAAAAAGUUUUCGACAAAAUUAGUUGGAGGUUGAUUGAUUCUAUGUUUAUAAAAAAAAAUUAUCCAUUCGAACAGAGCAAAUGGAUUAAUUAGGCUUGCAUCUCUUGUGUCCAAUACUCUAUUAGGAAGAACUCCGAGGUAUGAUUAAUCCCAGUAGGGACUCAGACGAGGUGACCAUAUACCCCCUUCAUAUUUGUUUAGGCUUUUAUUAACCUACUUGGAGCAAAAAGAUGAAAUCAGAGGGGUCAAGGUCGAGAAUGAUUUCAAUUUAACUCACUUGUUAUUUGCCAAGGACAUCUUACUCUUUGUGGAAGAUAAUGAUGAUCUCCAUGGGCAAAAAUUUACGGCAUCAAAAGAAAAAGGUGUGGCCUAAGUAUAAAUAAAAGUCUUGGACACACAAACUUUGCAUUGCUCAGUAGAUGGCUUUGACGCUUCAUAUACGAACAACGAACUCUAUGAAAAAGGUAAGUUCAGCAGCUUAAAAGCCCCGUGGAGAUCUACACCAAAGAGGAUUGAUUGGUUCCUUGAAAACGUACAUUGGCAACUCAACAAUGUAGGAAAAAUCUCUUUCUGGAAUGGGCCUUGGAAUGAAAAAUUCCUUCUAUUCUUUACAGGCCUAGACAUUUUGUCCUCUCAAAUCUUCAAUCGGGUAGUGUGAAAAAGAGAUAUGUCCAACCUCAAUAUUUUCGACUAGAAUUUACACCUAAGAUCAUUGAGAAGCUUUGAACUCCAACAAUGAGCUAAUAUGAAAUCUUUCCUUCCUGCUCCUAACAUCGUUGGUGGUACUGAUACACCAACAUGGAAGCUGAAUUCUAAUGGUCAGUUCUCUAUUGCCUCCUUAAAAAAAGCUAUACAUAUUGUGGACCAAAGAGAUGAAUCCAACAUCAAUCCUAAUAUCUUCAAAAACCUUUGGAAGUCAAGUAUCCAAAAGAAAUGUCAAUUCUUCAUUUGGACUCUUUUGCACAAAUGUAUCAACACUGGAAAGCUCCAAAGAAGAUUCGCAAAUUGUAACCUUAAUCCAAAUUGGUGCAUUCUCUGUAAGAACCACUUAGAGGAUAUAGAACAUACAUCUUCAUCAAUUGUGCUGUCACUAAAGAUAUAUAUGGGGGCAAGCUGAUUGAACAAACGAUCAAUUGGAGUAACCACAAUACAAACCUGAUUUCUUUAUGUGAGGAUUUCUUUAUGUAACUCAAAUUGAAAAGUUAGAGAUUUAUUAAACACAUUCUAAAGUGUUGUUGGUUUUAUUUCUUAGGUAUGAUUGGCUAAUUUUAUUAUUGGAAAAACUUGAUUGAACAGCUUGUUCCAUGUUAGUUUGUUGAUUUUAUCUUGAGAUUGGUUUGUUUAGAUGUUGGUAUAUGUAGUGCACAUUUGUUGGGUGACUUCCUACCAUCGUCAUGUCUUGCAAAAUGUUGGAAUAUUGGAAAUCACAUUGUAAGGUAAAAGGCAACAAAGGUUGCAAAAAAAAAUUAUUCUUAUCCGUCGGUGAGAUUCUACAAUAUUUGUGGCCUACUAUGAUUGAUAUAUUCGUUCUUUGAAGAUCUGGGUCUUGUUCAUCUUUUGGGUUGACCACUUUGAACAAUAUUUGAGUCGUUUUGUCUUCUGUGUUUUUGAAAAUCAUAAGUCGUGUCAAUCCUUAAAAUUGCGGAAGUUUGUUCUUGAAGCACAAUUAGUAACUUGAGAAAAAAUUCUCGAAUUUAGGAGAGCCUAAAAUUCAUCAAAUGGUUGGAGUACUCUUCAUUUAAAUGUGGAAAGAUGGAAAGUUAGCAAUUUACACUGGUAAUCAUCAAGUCUUUACAAAUAAGUAAAACAUUAUAUCAGUAAAAAUAGUAUAUAUAACAUUAUAUUAGUAAAAAUACCACUCUGCAUAUGUGCUAGUAUUGCUACCAAAACUCUAUGUUAUGUUCUGGUAUUGUAUGCAACAGUUUUGUUAGGUUGUGUGUACUAAAUCACCUUUAUUUCAUUAUAUUAUAAAGGGUAUAAGUACAAACUUGUUGAUGGGUUAACUAAAAAUUUGAGCUUUAAAAAAUCACAAAGAAUAGGAUGGUAAUUAACAAGACACUAAAUUUACCAAAUAAAUUAGUUAUCCUAAACUAGCAAGCUUGAAAUUAAUAGGAAAUUAGGAACAAGUAUAUGCCAGAAGAACAACCAUGAUCAUAUAUAAUAUCGUAGAUCAAAGCUAUGAAAAAAAAAACAGUACUAUAUAACACACCAAAUUCAAACGAUGAGAUACCCAAAUCCAACAAAAUAGAUUCCAACCUAAGCAAAUCAACCUCAUAAGAAACCUAACAAGUAAUUCAAAAUCUUUUUUUAAAGUUCAAAAUUACCACCUGAUUUUAAUUUGAAAGAAAUCAAAAUUGUCUAAGUUAAUAUAAAUUGAUUCAGAUGAAGACACAAACCAAGUUCGCUUUUAUGUGGCCUCAUGCAUAAUUCUAUGACAAAAAAGCAGACCCUUUUUCCUCAUAUUUGGUGAUAUAUUUCUCACAUACGUCCUUUCGGUGACUUUAUCGACACCCAAUGGCCAGCAGCAGGAAAGUGAGUCAAACAUGUAAAAGAGCCAGAGUGCAACAUUUUGUGCAUAAUUGCACACAUAAAUAUUGAUCACAGCAACAAAUGGAAAAACUUUGUGCACUAAACGCUAGAAUUUUCUUUCAAUCCUCGAAGCAUGAGCCCUCAAUCAAAUAGAGAGAAAAAAAAAAAAACUCCAUAUCCAAAUCCAAUAGGAACUACUAAUAUCUUCCUAUCUCCACACUCAUGAUCAAGCCCUUUUCAAUUCCAACCAGAAAAAACAAAGAAUUAAAAAAAAAAAAAAGGUUGAAUUCUUGAUUCAAGAAAAGGCUUUGGUGGCUUCUCUUUGAACAGCUUUCAUCAAGAACCCAUCUUUUUCCAAAGCCAUUUGAAUAGGCAAGAAUCCCAUUCCCUCAGCAAUAGCCAACAUCAUAUUCUUCAUCCCCAUCAUGAACUCAUCCACGUCAACUUUUCCAUCCGAAUCCCGAUCGAACUGCUUGAAGACGGCACUGUAGAGUUGAGAGAGCUCAUCGGCAUCAGGUUUCACAUCGGUUCCAAAGUCAGCUUCGGAGACUCUCAAAGCAUGCAACUCCUUCAGCAUCUCGGCGUAGGAGAGGAAGCCGUCGCGGUCAGUGUCAAGACGGGUGAAGUGCUCUCUAGUCCAACCAUUGAAAGCUUCUUCGUCUUCCACAAAGUUGACUAUGGUGGCGCCGUCAAGUAAUUCUACGCUCAUCUUCGAUUGUUGGUGAGAGAAGAGAUUGAGAUGAGAUUUCCUUGGUGGGUUUGGUAUAUAAAGGCCUCUCUCUAUAACUUAAUUGGCGGUGGUUUCCAAAACAAGGAUUUUCGUUGGUUCAUUAUUGAAUUAGGGUUUUCAAUUAUUUUCCUUUUUUAAUUGGGAAUUAGGAGUAAAUAGCCAUUUUCAAGGUUAAACUUGCAAAUAUGGAAAAAAGAAAAAACGUUUUUUGUUUCUUAGCAAAUUGAAUCUCCAUACAUGCAUGUGUCCAUCUUUCCUUUAUUCACAGAUUGCACUUAAUGAGUUAAAAAUUGCCCUUCAUCAUCAUGAUAAAUAGUAAGUAUAUCCUAGAUUUAAAUUCCUGAUUUUUCUUCGUAAUUAGAUUUAAAUUUCUAAUUUAAGUAGUAUAUCUGUCCUAGGGUAUCUUCUGUUGUUGGUUUGGGUUUUUAUACAUAAUUUGAAUGUGUGUGUGUAUAUAUAUACUCAUCUGUUAUAUAUAUAUUUUUAAGCUUGUUUUACAAAUUUGAUCUUCCAUAUAAUCUCUUUGUUGGUUAAAACAGAAACAUGUAUUAUAAUGGGGGAAAAGAUGGUACAAUAUCGUCGUGAUGGUUCCAAUUCAUGCUACUUGGUUCUUACCUCAAUUUUGCUUACGAGUUCUGGAUUCAACUUUGGGAAUGACUAUGAUGUAAAAGCUCUACGAAAUCGUUAGUUUUAUUAUAAUAAUUUGAUUACUUGUUUUUCUUCUUCUUCUUUUGGUAAUUGUUAAAUUCAGGGAGAAAGGUAAAUGGAAUCAAAUUUGUACUUUUUUUCCUUCUGCAUUGUUUACCUACGAUGUAUUUGUAUUUUAAUUUGGUCCUUUGUUAGAUUCAUGAAGAUGGUCAAGCAAAUCAAAUUUGUUCGGUAUUUAAUUAAAUUUAUUAGGUAUGAUGUAUUUUGUUGUGUUCUAUUUGAUUUAGUAAAUUUAUUUAGGUACAAUUUAUCUUCGGGUGAUGUGUUUGAUUUGAUUAAUUUUUUUUAUUAAAGGUAAAUUAAAUCUUUUUUUAUAUAAUUAUAGAAAAAAAAUGGCUUUUUAAAAAAAAAAUAUAUAAACUGGUGCACCAUAUAAAACAAUGUAUAAACCUAAAAUUAAUUACCUCAGUCAUUCCGCUGCACAUGCGAUACAUGAUAUUGGGCAUAUCGUGCCUCGAGAUGUACGAGAUGCUCCGAACCAUGUCUCGGACUAAAUAAUUCUACCUUUAGUUAUUGAAAUUGGAUAAUUAGAUCUCUGGUCUUAGCGUCACCAAGAUGGUUAGGAGUUAAAGAAAUUUGUUAGGCAUAAAAUUUAUCUUUAUUUUAUUCUAUCUCGAACAUACACCGCCUGAGAUUCCUAAAAAGAAAAACUUUUGACUUUAAUUAUAAAGAUUUAAAUUGCAAUAACAUAUAUGAAAUAUAUGAAACUUUUUAUUUUGUUAUACCAUCUAAAAACAGCUACAAACUCAGUCUUUCAAUCUAAGUCCAAAUUGGUGUUCUUUAUGUAAAAGACACUUUUCAUAGAUUGUUGUACUGCUAAAAUUCGAUGGAACAAGCUUGAAGGACUUCUUGGAUGGAAAAACCAACAACAAAAUGUUGUUUCCUUAUGCUCUUUCCUUUGCUCAAUAAAACUAUCAUCAUUUUUAAUACUAUUGCAUCAGUGUUGUGAAUCUUAUGGUUGGAGAGAAAUAAUCGCAUCAUCAAUUUAUCUUCUGGUGAGCUUAUGCUCUUUCCUUUUCUCAAUAAAAAAUCUACUUUUGAUCUUUGGGAAGACAUCAUUUCUCUUUCUCAUGGCUGUGGGCUAGCAAAUACCCUAUGUUUGCAAAUUAUAGUGCUUCCUCUAUCGCUAUCAAUUUAAAUGCUUUCUAACUUUUUGUUGUGGGCUUAGCUCUAGCUCUUUAGCUUUCGCGCUGUGUUUGGCUUUUGUCCCAUACUGUAAUUGUACUAAUUCUUCAUAUAUUAAUGAAAGCGGGGAUGAUGAGGGUGCAAAGUGGUGUCUCUUCUUCCUAUAUUAGUGAAAGCGGGGAUGUCCACCUAGUAGAGAUGUACUGACCCAAUGUAUCUUUUUCAAAAAAAAAAAAAAAAGCUACAAACAAACAAAAAUGUAACUCAAAAGGAAAAUCGUUAAAAACAAUAUAGGUCAAUCAACUCCCAAUUUUAUAUCGUUUUUCAAAAAAGAAUAAGAAAAGAAGAUUACAAUUUUAUAUCUAAUUAACACCUCCUCAUAAUCCACUCUGCCAAUGGUAAAAACUUAACAAGUAAAUGCUUUGCUUUGCAAAGAAAACACUUCUUCAAAACAUAUGUACCUCUCAGACAUGAAACAAAACUCAUGGACUGUAAUUCUAUUCACCACAACCUCACCAACUGAUUCCACAUAAAGCAAAAGAUUACUUUCUUUUUAGUAUAACCAUAUUAAUAUUUUAUCCUAAAUUUUCAAGACUAAUUUUCAUAUAUUUAAACCUGGUCAUAAUCAGUUCUUCCUUUACUUGGUUAAUAUAAAAAUCAUUCCAUACAAACUAUAUCUUAAACUAGUUGGUCAAAAUGCUAAAGAAAAAAAAACUACUAUUAAAAAAUAGAUGUCAAUACAAAAUUUAGAAAUAUAUAUCUAUAUCAAUAGUGGUAAUAAUAGUUACCAUGAUCUUAAACUUUUGAAAAAUUGCAUCACAUCACACAAAAAUUUUAAAAAAAUAAAAUAAGUAGCCUAUAACACCUCUUUUGCAUAUUACAAAUAUAACAAGUAAGUAGAUAUAUCAAAGAACUAGGACAAAACUAUUUGAUAACUAUCCGUUUUAAAAUUUACAAUCAUCUCGUUUCAUUCUUUUUAUUUAAUGCAUCUAGAAAACCCAUAUUAAAAUAAUCUACAUCCAGGCCAUCUAAUUCCAUAAACCUAUUUUAACUCACCGUUUAUAAUAAUCACACUAUAUAUUGUAACAAAUUUUGCAACCCAAAUAGCGCUAAUUAAAGUGUGGGAGACCAUGAGGUUUGAUCUUUGAAAAUGUUAAAUAAUGUGUAAUUAUAAUAAUCACCUCCACCUCCUGAAUGAAUAUUAUUUAAAAUUCCUCCAUUACUACCAUAAACACUAUUUCAAAAGUCUUUCUAUAGUCUUUACUAUUUUAUAUUAAUAAUUUUAUUAUUAUUUUCUACCAUCUUUAUUAUUUACUUACAAAACUAAAAUAGUUUAUGAACCAAACACACAUAUCAUUAUAACUCAAACUAAUUUGGUUUCAAAUUAUUCUAAUUCAACUAUGAUAACCUAAUAUUAUAAUAACUCACUUGGAGUUCCAACAUCCUUAGGUGUAAAAAUACAAAUUAUCUAUAAUUUUCUUUUUUUGGAAAAAAUAUCUAUAUGUAUAUAGAUUUAGAUUCUAAUUAAUAUACAACUUUUGUAAGAUGAAAAUAAGAAAUCCAAUAAAAAUAGGAUUACAUCUCAUGUUUUUCAUAUGUGUUUAAUUAAGAUUAAGUAUAAACAUUAUUAUUAAAUAAUUUAUAGAUAUAUUUUAUCAUAAAAGGAUUUGGAAGGGUAUAAUUUUUAAUUUGAUAAUUUAUUAUUUUACCAUGUAUGAUCAUGUGAGCCCAUAUGGAAAUGAAUAUAUUAAAUCAUUUUUUUAUAAAGAUAAAAAUUUACUUUCAACUUUUGUUUAAAUAAAGUUAUCGUUUCUUUUUAGAAAAGAUACUAAUGUUUAAUAAAAUUCUAGUUUGAUAAAUAUAAAAAUUAAAGAAAAAGAAGAAGAUAAGAUUAAUCGAAAAAUAUAGAAAGUAAAAAUAAAGAGAAAAAAUAGAUUUUUUUUUUAUAAAUGUAACAUUAAAAAAAGAAAGAUGCGUGGUUAGUUGCUCGAUAAUUAAAUAAUGUAAUUUUCGAUAUUGUUUGUUACUGGAAUUGAAUGUAUUAUAUUGUUUACAUCAACCUUUCCCCAAAAAAAAAACCAUAAGAUUCUGCAUAACAUUUAUAUCCUGUCAAAUCAAUUUGCAUUAUUAGUUUUGAAAAGUCUACAUAGAUAAUUUUGUAUCUUUGUCUUUUCGUUUUCUUGAAUAUCCAAACUAUUAUGUGUAGUAAAAUGGUAUGAUAAAUUAAUUUUUUAUAAAAAAAAUCUAAAUCAAAAUUAAGAAAUUUGCUUUAUAUUUAUUCGUUUUGAAAAAGGUGGUGCAUCCGGAUAUCUCCACUAAGUAGACAUUUAAUAGCACCCUCAUCACUCCCACUUCGUUAAAGAUAUCUCAAGGGAGCAAGAGAGGGCUAGAGUUAAGCCCUUGAAUGUCGUCCCCCAUUUCACCAAAGCUUUUUUCAGACCCUUUGAGCAUUCUAUUGUUUCUUUCCAGACAAAGUCAAUAAAGUUGCAGCAAUGGUAUUGAAGGUGGAAAUUUGCUUUGUUUACCAAUCUUACAAAAUCAUGAUGCAUAUUUAUGAAUAUAUAUUUUUUCCUUGUAAAAGAUAUAGAAUUGAUAAAUGAAACAUUUGUGGUAAUAAAAAAAGAGCAAUACCCGAGGACGAACUCAUGUACACAAGAAUCUAUCAUGCAUAAUUACCCUUCAACCAGUACAUAUAACAAAAAAUAUAUUAAAAACAUCUUUAAAAAUAAGCAGAAAAUAAAAUUUAUAAUUGAAUACUGGAAAGAGUAACACAAGAAUACAUAUAGCUUAAAAUGCAUCCAAAUGAUUUUUUGAAAUAACGACCCACAACGCCACAAACAGACAUGCUAAAUUAAAUUAUGAAGACCAUUGACUUCAAUUUUCCACAUAAGUUCCUUUCCUUGGGGUCUACUUGAUUAAGAAAUAACCUUGUAUUAAACCCAACCAAUAAAAUAGUAUUAAAAACAUAUUUAUUAAAAUGUUAAAAUACCAUUUUAGUCCAUUCAAUUAAAGUUUUUGGCUCCAAUUUUUUUUAGUCAUGCAUGCUACCUUUAAUCAUUCAACUGAUUAUAUACUAAAUAGUCUAUGUAGGGUGCAAUCAAAAAUCAAAAAACAAAAAAUCAAACCAAAAACGUAUCGGAUCCGACCGAAUUUUUAUUAAAAAAGAUCAAUCAAAAUUGAACUAAAUCAAUUAGUUUAUAUAAAAUCGAUUGGUUUGGUUUUAAUUCUUAAUCGACCAUGCAUGCACUUGCACACACAAUAUAAUAUGUGAUAAUUAGUUUAUAUAACCCAACAAUACAAUUUGUAAUGGACGAAGAUACACAUAAAUUAAGAUAAACUGAUCAUAGACAUAGUUAUAUAUAAACUGGGUUUAAAAAUUGAAAUAGAUAGUACUCUAUCGUGAUUCAUCGUAAAUAAAAUGUGAUGAUUUAUAAUUAUACAUAAUAUGUACAUAAUAUGUGUAUCUUUUAUUUCUUUAUUUAUUCACAAAAAUACAAAGAUUGUUUAUGGUAACAUGUUUCGAUUUGUUUGAGAAUUAACUUUAAAAAAUGGAACUAUAUUACAUUUGUUAUUUUUAGCUUUUUAUUAAAAAUACAAAAAUGAAAAACAAGAAAUAAACAAAGUAGUAGUCCAAAUGUUUGGUAAUAUAUAUAUAUGGAAAGUCCAAAUUGAUUCUGAGUACAUAGAGAUAAUCAUACAAUAAAACAUACUAAACUUCAAAGUGACAUAUCAUAUAAACUACUAUAUAUAUUGAUUACACUCUUUUUUUGAAAGGAUAAAUUAAUACACAAAAACUUUAAAAUAGGAUUUAAAUCCAUGUGAUUUCGGAAUCAUUUAUUCAUUUUUUGAAAAACAGGUGAUAGUCCUCAGUCUACGGCAAGCUGCAUCCUCUAACAUAAGGAUUGCACUUUUCCUUUGGUGGCUUACUUCUAGGGAUGCAACGGCUAUAAGGACCGCUACCAUCGCAGAUUGGUUUGUUGCGAAUUGCUGUUCUCGGAGUCAAGUAAACAAUUCCCUUUUCUGCGUUUGGAAACCAUUUAAAAUAAAUCAACAAAAAUAGUUUAUUUUUAAAAACAACCAUUUUCAAUUUAAUGCUUCCUUCCAUGUUCAAUUUUAUCAAAAUUUGUUUCAUAAUAACAAUCAUUUUGAAUGCCACAUAAUAUCAUAAUAUAAAUAGAAGCUCACCGUUGUUUUGGUGCAUCUUCAGCUUCCUUGCUGCAGUCACCUCCGAGGAGAUGAAGAGAACGAAGAAGAAGAAAAAAGCCAGCAAUGAAUAACCACGUCCCUUUCCACUACUCAUUCUUAUUCCUUUCUCACUAUUAUGGAGAGAGAAUUGAAUUUGUUUUGAAGAUGAAGUUUGAGAAUCAUUUCCGAUUAUCUUUUAUAGCCAAAAGAGAGUGGAAAAAAAACGAAAAUUUAAUUAAUAAAUUUUGUUUUGGAUAAUUACUAUGAAAAUUUAAUCAAUAAAUUUGUUAUGGAUAUGGACGUAAAUAAUAUGUAUAGAUCAUAAGAAAACUUGUAUUUAAAAGAUGAAAGACCAAAAAUUAUAUACGGUUCAAACUCACUAAAUAGAAAUUAUAAUGGAUGACCAUUUAUCCUUAAUAAUAAUUAAGGUUAUAUUAUACACAGUUUAGUUUUUCAAAUUUAUUAUACACCGUUUAGUUUUUCAAAUUUAAGAUGUAAUGUAAUCUCUUAAAAUAAAAUUAAAAAAUAUAGCUUCAUAUCAAAUAAAUUAAACUUUUGGGUUCGAAUUUUCUUUUUAUUUUAUAAUAUUUGAUUCAUAACUUUAUAUCAAAGCACUUUUUCCUUGUUUUGUUCUUAAAUUACAAAUUUAAUAGGAAUAUUGAUGUAUGUUUUUUUAUUGUCCAAAAUUAAAUAACUCCUUUUCAAAUCAAAAGUUUAAAUGCAUGUACCUUCACUUUUGUUUGAUAAAUAUAAAAAUGAAAGAAAAAGGAGAAGAAAUGGGAUUAGUCUAAAAAUAUAGGAAGUAAACAUAAAGAGAAUAACUAGGUUUUUUUUUAUAAAUGUAAUAUAUAUAUAUAUUUCCUGUCAAAUCAAUUUGCAUUAUUAGUUUUGAAUAGUCUAAAUAAAUAAUUGUGCAAUGCAUCUACAAACACAUGUAUAUAAUUGUAUAACUAUAAUAAUAUCGAUAAAAUCUGAAAUUUUAUCAACAUUUUUAUUUUAUAAUAAUUUUUCAAAAUUUAAAAUCUUAUACAUUAAUCAUCAUGCAUACAUUUAUAAAUAUUAUUUUUCUCGUAAAAAGUAAAAUAAUUAAAAAAUUGAUAAAAUUGAUGUAUGAAACAUUCAUGAUAAUCAAGAAAAAAGACAAUACUAAAGGCCAACUCGUGUAUGCAUUUAUCUUCAUGCAUUGUUAUCCUUCAAUCACAUAUGACUUUACAAAACAUCUCUAAAAGGAAAAAUAAAAUAAAAUUUAUAAUUGAACACUUAAAUAUGAGUGACACAAACAUAUAUGUAGUUUAAAAUGUAUCAAAAUAAUUUUUUCGUAAACAUCUUAUUUCAAAUGACCCACAACUCCAUGGCAUGCCAAAUUAAAUUAUGAAGACCAUUGACUUCAAUUUUCCACAUAAGUUCCUUUAGUUGGGGUCUACUUGAUUAAGAAAGAAUGCUUCAUUAAACUCAACCAAUAAAAUAGUAUUAAAAAGAUAAUUAUUAAAAUGUUAAAAUAGGAUUUUAGUCAAUACAAUUAAAGUUUUUUGCUCCAAAUUUAUAGUCAUGCAUGCUACCUUUAAUCAUUCAACUCAUUAUAUACUAAAUACCCCUAUGUGGGGUGCAAUAAUGAAAAACCCAAAAACAAAAUAUCAAACCAAAUCUAAGGUUAUAUUUUAGAAUGGUUUUUUAUUAGAAAAAUCAAUCAACAACUAAAUCAAUUAAUACAUCUAGAAUCUAUAGGUUAGUUUUGAUUCUUAAUCAACCACACAAGCAUACAAUAAAUAAAUAUAUGUAAUAUAUAUAUUAUUGAAUUUCUUACUCUCACACACAUGCACCAACAAUAAUAUCUCAACUACUCCAAAAAUUUCACAUACAAUACAAGUCUAUCAGCUAUAAUUUUGUUAUAUUUGCAAUUUUUUUAAAAUGUUGUUGUAUCCUUAAUUAUUAUUCCUCAAAUGGUCAUCUAUUAUAAUUACCCUUCAUUUUAUUAGAGGAAAAAACUUCAUAAAAUUGAAGUGUAAUUAUAAUGACAAUUAAUAGGGCUACCAAUUUGGAAGACGACCAUGCAUUGACUCAUAUUUCCCUACAAAAAUUUUCUUUUCAUUUAGUUUUAACAAACAAAAGUGUCAUUAUUAUAGUUUAAUUGAUUAAAAUAUGUAGCAUCAAUCAACCGUUAAUCAAAAUAUUACAUUCUUUUAAUUCAAGAUUUUUUUAAGAUAAUAUAUUUUAAUUAGGGACAUUUGCAAAAAUAGAGAAAAGAAUGAUAAUAAAGUCUAUAUCACUGUUAUUUUUAAAUUGCAAAAGUAUGAGAUAAUGAAAUUUAAAUGGUAAGAAGUAAAGAUAAAUUUAGGUUUUUUUUUAAAAAAUGUUGCCACGAUAUUUUUAAAAUUACAAAAAAUUUUAAAAAAAUGUCUUUAUCGUUUGUAUAUGUGGACAAAAUUAUGAUGGCUUAUAUUGCAUCAACAAUACUUCUAACAAUGCUACCAUGGUUAGUAUAUGGAUGAAAACAAUUUAACGACCUUGCUCUUUUAUUUUUUUUCUUGUGUCUCUUUCAAUCUAGCUAGACAUUUUUUUCCACUCUCUUAAUCUCAUUAUUUCAUUCCCUACCAAUUCAAUUUUAACUUGGAUCACUAACCAAUCAUAGAAGUUAUAAAUUGGUACGAAACAAUAUGUCUAGAUGGUUCAUAUAAGCAAUAUAUAAUAUACACAAACUUUUCUGUCAUUAAUAUUCUUAUUUUUCUUCCUUUAUCAUACUUUGGUUGGUUUUUUCCUAUCCACUGCAAUUGUUUUCAAAAGAAAAUUUAAAACUAAAAUGAAAAGAAAAAAAAUCUUGAGUUUGUGUCACACGUCCAACUUCUAAAGUGUGGAGUAAUUUCUUUUAUUUAUUAUCAAACGUUCAUUUGAACUUUAAAUUUGUUUGUUAUAUCAUGAGAUAUAAAUAUAAAAUUUUGCUAAUUAGAUUGGUGAUUGAAAUUUAUAAAUAUUUUAAUUUAUUUUAUUAUUUUAAAAAUGUCUCUACAAAUUAUGUUGGAGCUAAAUGUGAUUUGAUAAUUAUUUAAUCAAUUAUUUAGGGUCCGUCCGUUUAAGAAAUAGAAAAAGUAUAAAACUGACUAUUUUUUAAAAAUUCUAAAUUUGUCCUUCCUUGUAUCACUGUCAUUCGUCUUGAUUUUUUUUUCUUGAUAUCCUUUUCAUUAUAUUAAAAUAAAAAACUUCAUGGAAUUGAAGGUGGCGAUUAAUGAUGGAAAUUAUGGGCCACAAUAGGCCUACCAAGUUGGACGACCAUGCAUUGACUUAUAUUCAUUUACUCGAAAUAUGAAGAAAAGUUUUAAUUGAUUAUAGUUUAAUGCAUGGAAUGAAAUAUGGAGAUCAAUCCAGAGCUAAUUAAUCAAAAGAACACAGAGAAAUUUUUGUAACAUAAUACAUUUAAUUUAAUUAAGGUUAAAUUAUACACAAUUUCGUUUUUCAAAUUUAAGAUUUUAUGUAAUCUCUUAUAAUAAAAUUAAAAAAUAUAAAUUAAACUUUUAAAUUCUCAUUUUUUUUUAUUUUAUAAAUUUUGAUUCAUAACUUUUGUAUCAAAGCACUUUUUCUUUGUUUUGUUUCCAAAUUACAAAUUUAAUAGGAAUGUUGAUGUAAGUUUUUUAUUGCCCAAAAUUUAACAUCAACAAAACAUUCAAUAUAUCAAUAUAAAUAUGUGCCAACGUAAAGAUAUAUUAAUGCUAAUUAUUAAAUAACUCCUAAGUAAAAGUUUAAAUCUCUUUCACAUUUGUUUGAUAAUAAAAAUUAAAGAAAAAUGAGAAGAGAUGAGAUUAGUCUAAAAAUAUAGGAAGUAAACAUAAAGAGAAAAACUAGGAUUUUUCUUUAUAAAUGUAAAAGGUAAACAAAAAAAAAAAAAAAAGAAGAAGAAGAAGAAAGAUACGUUAGAAUGUAUUAUUGGAAUUGAAUGUAUUAUGAAAAAUAUUAUUUCAAAUGAAUCACAAUGCCACAAAUUAAAACUUGACUAACAUUGACUCCAAUUUUCCACAUACGUUUCUUUCGUUUAGGUCUACUUGAUUAAGAAAGCAUCAUGCAAUCAAUUCAACAAUAGUAUUUUAAAAGAUAUAUUUAUUAAAAUGUUAAGAUAUCAUUUUUGUAUUGUAAGUCUUUUUUUCUCCAAUUUUUAGUCAUAUCAUUCUAAUGAAUAUGUACUAACUAGUCUAUGUAAGGGUGCAAUAAAAAACCGAAGAACAAAAAAUCAAACCAAACUAAUGGGUUGGUUUGGUUUUUUUAGUAUAAAGUUGGACAUAUCUUCAAUUUAUAUUUGUAGAAAAGAAAAGUUAUGUAAAUGGAACUAAAUCAAUUAGUUUAUAUAAAAUCGAUUGGUGAGUUUUGAUUCUUAAUCGACUUCCAAAUAUUUCCACAAUAAGAUAAAAUAAAAAAAAUCUCAAAUAAUUUCAAACACCCAAUAUAGUAAUAUAUAUAUAUAGAACUUCUAAUUCUCCAAAAUGUUCACACACAAUAAAAAUAAUAUAUAUAAUAUAGAAUUUCUCAAAUUCCUCAAAAAUUUCCACCAACUUCCAAAAUUUUGGAAAUCCACUCCCUUCCAAUUUUUUAAAAAAUUUCAUCGAUGUUGUAUGUUCUUGCGAGAUUUACCAAAUGUUUCUAUUUAAUUAGAAAGAUCAGAGAGACAAGUUAGGUCAUAGAUUUCUCAAAUUUAUUUAAUGUCAUAUGGGCUUGAGCAUGAAAGCUAACUUUUAAAUUUGAACAUUCCAUUAUUUGUGGUUUGAUAAAAAAGAUCAAAGCUAUUCAAUGUGCCUUUGCCAAAAAAAAGGAAAAAAAAUUGGCCACAGGGACUAAUGUCCACCAUUAAUUACAUUAUAUUUAUUCUGCAUCAAUACAUCAAAUAACUUUCAUCUUUCUCUCUCAUUAGCUCUAUUUCUAUCUAAGAUGAUAAACUCAAUUUGAAAUAUGAGAGAAAAAUAUAAGAUGAAGAUAAAAGAAAAAAAAAAGUCUUAAAACUUUUAUUUAAAGAGGUGUGAAGUUAUAUCAGUCUGAAAAGUUGUAUAAUCGUGAAUCCAAACUAGAAGUAUAUAAAUCAUGAAAUUUGAUGGUUUUUUCAGCAUGUGACGUAAAAACUUCUUAAGUUAAACAAAUGACUUCACUUAUUUGAACUCAUGAGCCUAACUAUAUAUUAUCUUAGGGUGUUACAUUUGUGACUUCAUUAGCAUAGUUGCAACAUUGGAUGCAUUGUCGACUAAAACGAUUGAAACGACAGCAACCAUGUGAGCAACCAUGUCCACCUCUACCAUACCCACCGCAUGAAUUUCUAGAUUAAUUUCCGCAGCCAGGGGUGUCCACGGAGCUGCAGCGGCCGUCACGUAAAAGGUCUCUUGCUGCCACUUUUGAGGACUGGACAAGAACGACUAUGAUGGAGAAAACAAGAGGAAAAUUCCUCUUGGAGUUGGAAUAAUUCAUUUUUCAAUGUUCCUUUUCUUUCCAGUAAUUAACUUGUAAUUUUGAAGAGGGAAUGAGAAAAUUUUGCACCUCUUCUCAUUCUAUAAUAUUUUAUAUGCACAAGCGAUAUACAAGAUUAAUAUAGAUAGUUGGAAAGAUGCAAAACAAUUAAGUAUAUAGCAAUAUUUUAAAAAAUUGCAAAUAUAGUAAAAUUUAUCCAAUUCUGUCAAUGAUAGAAGUCUAUCACCGAUAGAUCAUGUUGUAAAUAUAUUAAAAACCAUAAUUAAAUAGAAAAAAAAAUUAAAUUUAUAAUCGAAUAUUUAAAUGAAUAACACAAACAUACAUAUAACUUAAAAUGAAUCCAAAUAAUUGUUUUGUGGAAAAGUUAUUUCAAACGACCCAGAACGCUACAAACAGACAUACCAAAUUAAAUUUUGAUGACCCCCUUUCCUUUCGGUCUACUUUAUUAGGAAUUUAUUAAUAGUAUUAAAAAUAUAUCUAUUAAAAUGUUAAAAUAUCAUUUUAGUUAAUACAAUUCAACGUUUUUUGCUCCAAUUUUUAGUCAUGAUACCAUUAAUCAAUCUAAUGACUAUAUACUAAAUAGCCUACGUAAGGGUGCAACAAAAAAUCAAAUCAAUCUAAUGGUUUGAGUUAGUUUUUUUUAGUAUAAUGUUGGACAUAUCUUUGAUUUAUAUAUUUGGAGAAAAAUCAAAAAGUCAUUUAUUUGGAGCGUCUUUUUAUUAAGAAAAAUCAAUCAAAAUUGAACUAAAUCAAUUAGUACAUAUAAAAUCGAUCGGUUAGUUUUGAUUCUUAAUCGACCACGCUCAUAUACAUAAAGAAUAUAGAAUUUAUUACUCUCACAAACAUGCACACACCAUAUUAUCUCAACUUUAGAAGUUCCACACACAAUACAAUAAAAAAAAUCUCCAAAAAGUACACACACCCAAUAUGUUGAGAUGAAGAGUGAGUAAUGACCCAAAAUGUGAACUAUAUAUUUUAUAAAUGUUCAUCCGUCAAAUUUUUCAUUUAAUAUAAUUCAAGAUCUCCUAGCUACCUAUCAACUUUAACCAAACAUCAAUUCUUGCAUUUAUUUAUAGUUAAAUUAGUGUCUCAAUUUUUUGAAUUGAAUUGGGAAUCUUCAACCCCACAAUUGGGUUUUCAUUUUUUUUUCUUUACUAAUUACUACACAUUUGACAGCCUCCUAAAUAAAAGUGCACCUUCUUUCAUAAAUUGAUAGCAUUUUCUUGACUGGGAGUAAUUUUGGGUCCUCUCAAAGAAACCAACAGCAGAAUGUUGAAGACAAGGUUUCUAAAAAGUUCCACCAACAUUCGAAGAAAAUACUACCAACCAACAAAAACAAAAUUAAUAUGUUAAAAUUUAUUACAACUAUACAAAAUUCUCUCUCGGACUCUAAUUACAAAUUUGGAUGAUUACAUAACGAUUACUCUUUUGAUAUUUUGUCAAAAUUCAACAAUCUCUUUGAAAAUCUACUUCCCAAGGGUCCAUCUAAUCAUCAACUAUAACGGCUUAUUUGAUUGGUUUUAGUGCAUAUUAUUCCCUAAAUAUGAACAGCAUUAUCGCUUUUAUUAUGACAGUAUGGAUUACUUUUGUAAAUCUUUUUUUUAAUAUAUUGCAUUAAUUUCAUGAUGAAUUAAUCCCAUCCUCAACAAAAAAAUCAAGAAAUUAAUGAAUUGAAAGUACAAAUAAAUAAAAUGAGUAUUUUAACAUUAAUAUAACUUAAAGUUAACAAUGAAACCAAGUAAGUUUAUUUUAUUAAUAAAAAAAAUUAAGCUAAAUCCAAUUUGAUAACAUUUUAAUUUCAUUAAUUGGUAGAUAAAUAUUUUGAAAACAAAAAGAUUUGACCAUAAUUACAUAACAAAUAUAAAGCCAUCAGCUUUUUCAUCAUUAUUUGACAGCACAUUCUCAUGCAUUAUUCUGCCGACUAAUCCAUGGUAAUGCAAAACAAAUCAACGGUGGAAAUUAUUGGUAACUCAAAACAAAGAAUCGUAAUUAAACUUUAACCUUAGUUCUUCCAUUAUAAAUAAAUGAAAACCUUAGUUCUGUCGGUGAAUGCACAAACAAUUAACAAACUAUUUACGAUAAAUAGUAAAAUUUUAAUUCAAACCCAAAAUAAAUAAUCAAAAUACUUUUUAUUUUCUUCCAAUUAUGUGAAUUCUCCUUUAAUAUUUACCUAUGUCCAAUGUUGUUGGUAAGAAAAAAAAGUAUUUUCAAAUGUAUCAAUAUCUUAACAUUUUAAAAAUUUAUCAUCUUAUAUUAUUAUAUCUAUUUUUCGUACCUAUAUCUAUAUUUCUACUUCAUAGGUUAGAUAUCUCCAUAAAUAAGAUAUUGACAUGAGAGGACAUUAAUCAAUGUUUUUACUACAUACAUGGUAAAAAAACUAAUAAAAUAAGUAACAAAAUGUAACUUGAUAUAAAUUAACAAACACUUCAAUUUGUUUACAAAAAAGAUGCAACAUUUAUUUACUAUUAAAAAAAUUAAAAUCUUUUGUCUUUAUAUUUUUUUAGAAAUAAUAUCUAUUAAUAUUUAUGUUUUAAAAAAUUGAGACAUCAAGGGCAUGAACAAUAACUAAUUACUUGUAGUAUUUUAAAUAUUUGAAUUUGUAAUGAAACCAUGAAUACAUUUAAAGUAAUAUUAAAAAAUAAUAGUUUAUUACUAAAAUAAAACUCUCCGAUUCCUAUGUUCAACCGAUCCAUUGGUUGGAUGACAGUCAAAAACAUGCGAAAAAAGAAACCAACGGCUCAAAACACCUAAAAAGACUCAAUGAAAAAGGAAACAGCCUUAAACAACGCCCAAAAAUCACUCUAUGCAGUACAUAAAUCCAUCCUAGAAGUGUGUGUGUCUGUGUAUAUAUAUAUAUAUGAUCAAGUUCGUUCUUCAUUAAAUCAUCAAGUACUAUUUGUUUUCUUUGCUUUCAACAAAUUAAAAGCGAUUCAAAAUGAGCGUAGAGAUCUUGAACAGUGCAACCAUUAUGAAUUUUGUGGAAGAUGAAGAAGCUUUCAGUGGUUGGAUAAGAGAGCGUUUUAGCCAUCUUGACAUUGAUAGAGAUGGAGUUCUUUGUUAUGGAGAGAUGUUGAAGGAGUUGCAGAGUCUUAGGGUGUUGGAGACUCAUUUUGGGAUUGAUACGAAACCCGACCCCAACGAGCUUUCGUCCGUCUACGGCUCCUUGUUUUUACAGUUCGAUCGCGACUGCAAUGGAAAAGUUGAUCUUGGUGAAUUUAUGGAAGAAACCAAGAAGAUGAUGUUGGCCAUGGCUAAUGGAAUUGGCCUUUCUCCUGUUCAAAUGUUGUUGGAAGAAAAUAGUUUCUUGAAGAAAGCUGUGGAUAGAGAAUCCACCAAACUCGCUGCGGCUUAAUUGCAAUAUAUAUAUAAGUUCUUUCCGAGAAGGUGUAUACCAAUUAUUACGACAUGCAGAGCUAAGAUUAAUUGAGUUGAAUUUUGAUUUUCUUUGGAAGGAUGCUCAUUUCAUCCUAACAAAAUGUUAGAGCAAAACUGAAAUCAUUCAUCUUUUUUCUUUCGAUUGAUGAACUUUUACAUUUUUGUGUAUGAUAAUGGUAGAAAUCAAAUCUGCCUUUUUUCCAUUUUUGACAAGGAUGUAAUAUAAUCUAGCUUUGAGACAGUAAUUUAUUUAUCUUAUAGCUGCGAAUUUAAUUAGGUGAAUUUCACAUGUUACACGAACCAUAUAUGAUACACAAUUGUUAAAAUUAGCUAGAAGACAAUAAGCAUAAGGUGGAAUUCAUAUCCAAUCAUAUAAACUAUAUAUUUAUAUAAAGUUUUAACUUUUGAAAUUAUUGAAACUAAUUAAUUUGAAUUUUCUUCAAAACUAUAGAUAGAAGUGUUUGUCAUCUCAAUUGGAAUAUACAAAAAAACUUGAACAAUCAACUUUUAAGGAGAGGAAGGAAAGAUGUCAAAUAAUUGGGUCAUUGUAGAGAAAUUUUUGUACAACACAUGUUAUAUAUAUUUCUAAUAAGAAUAAAUAUGCUAUAGGAUUUGUAUUGAAGGAAUACUUUGUUCUAUUUUUAAAAUUCUAAGAAUGUGGUAAUUAAAUUAAAUACGUUUUUGAAUUGAUGCCAACAAAUUUGGGGAAUCACAUCCAUUGAAGAUGCUUCCCUCUUUUUCUUGGGUACUUUCGAGUGAAAAUUGAAGAUUUCGAACCACAAAUUUCUUAAUCACACACAUACGUUACAUAUGGUAUAUUAGUUGAGUUAAAUUAGCGUGGAGAAAUAUGCUUCACUUUUAAAACAGCUUUUAGUCUUGUGAAUAGUAAAAUGAAAAAAAUUCUUGGAUAAUCUUUUAUUUCUUUAUUAUUCGUUUCCGUAUAUAAAUUAUAAUGGCUAAAUUAAUUCAAGAAUUUGACUUCCGACCUCUUGAACUAUAAUACAUGUUUAAAUUAGAAAUAUAUAUAUAUUUUUUUUUUUUUGAACUUUUACGUACAAUACAAUCUAUUGAUUGAACUUAUAAUAAUAAUAUAAUAAUUCAUUCAAAAUAUAGUAAAACAAAGUGAUAAACCAUGUUACAAAUAUUGAUUUGUUUCUAUUCGACUAUAAGAGUCGAUAGCCAUAAAAGUAGAUUGUACUAUAUUUGUAACAUUUUAAAUAGUUAUUAUACACUAAAUUAUUGUCCCUAAAAUUCUCGUUCAUUUUAAUCAUCCACAAAAAAUUCUUAAAACAUUAAUAAGCAGAGGCCGAAAAUUAGUAUUGGAAAUAAGAAAACUAAAGCAUGAAAAGAAGAAGAGAGCAAAAACAUAAGAUUCUCCCUAAUAAAACGUCUCUAUACCAAUAGAAUGGGCCAAAACAACACAUUAUUUGAGCAUUUGUUUGCUUUAUUGUUUUCUUUUUCUUUAAAUAAAAAAUAAUAGACAUAGUUGUAAAUUUAGCAAUUACAUUUAAAAUAAUUAACUUUAUAGCAACAUUUUAAAAAAAUUGUCAAAUUCUAUUCAUACAUACAAGUCUAUCAAGAAUUGUUUUGCUAUAUUUGCAAUUGUUUAAAAAUGUUGUUAUAUUCUUAUUUAUUAUUUUUAAAAUUAUCAUAAUUACAAUUACUUAAUAAAAAAUAAUAAUUUUUUGUUUGGUAAAAUAUUUUUUUUAAAAUAAACUUUUAGAGAGGUAAAGGGAAAUAUUAAACGAUGUAAAGAUAUAAUUUUAUAUAUAUAUAUAUAUAUAUAUAUAUAUAUAUAUAUAUAUAUAUAUAAUUUAAAGAAAAAGUUUAUGUAAAAUAGACAAAGAAAUAAAAAAAGGUUUUAGAGAAAGAACGGUGUAGAAAGAGAAUGAAAUGUUAGAGAGAAUAUUAUAGUAAGAAAUUAAAGAGCAAUAGAUGCUGUUUAAAAAAAAAGAUGGAGUGGAUCAAUAAAUUAAACAUAGGUUAAAAGCAAAAGACAUAAAUUCAAGAUAUACAUCAGAUAAAGAGAAUAUUAGUAAUGGAAAGAGAGAAGAAAUUUGAAAGUGAAGUAAGAGGAUAAUUAUUUAAUAGUAUGUUUUAAUCUCUAUAUAACAUUUUCAAAUAUAGCUAUACCAAAAUUAUUAAAUUCUUUAUAGUUUAUUUGAAAUUUUUUUGCUAUAUUUUGUAAAGCUUUGCUUUUUUUUUUUCUUCAUCAAAACAAAACGUGUCGAAGGGUUUCAUUUCAAAGUAAAAUUUUAUUCUUUAAACUAUUUUUUUACUUAUUCAUGCAGAAUUUUCUCUCAAAUCUUAGUCGUAAUAUUCCUUAACCUUAAAGAUUAUUGUCAAUAGAGUUUGACAGCAUAUCUUCUCAGUAUACAGUAGCUAGUAAGGAAUAAAUUUGUAACUUACUUUAGAGGUUAACUUUCUAAACUUUUUUAAAAAAAGAGAAAAAAUCUCUUUUUUAAAAAAACUAAUUAUAAUAAGCAAUAGACUUAGGUGUUGUUAAAAGCAGGUUUAAAAUAAGUGCAUGUUUAAAAGUAAAUUGUAAUCACUUUUUGAUAUCAAAUUUUUAAUAUUACUAAUAUGUGAUAAAAGUGAUGUUAAGCAUUUUAAAAUCAUUCUCAAACAUGCAAUAAAACUGCCAUGAUUUUGUAAACCGACCAAUUGGAUUCUUAACGCUCUACUCACCGACCUCUCCUUGUGUUGACUUUGGUUCAUUAUUAAAAUGUGUUGUAUAAAAUUCCAUUUGAACAUCCUUUUUCACAUCCAUUAAAUCAAAUCAAGGAUUGGCCCCCAAGAACCUUCAACAGUGGCAUAAACAAAUGGCUAAAAGAGAAAUAAACCCUCCUGAGACCUAUUUAUAUGAAGAAACCUGACCCAACCUUCUGCUCAUAAAAAACCCAACUCAAAAUCUUUUCCAAUACCUUCCAAUUUCCUCUUUAAUUCACCUAAAUAUCAGAACUAGGAAAAAUGAGUGUGGAAAUAUUGGACGGUACCACAAUUGUCAACUUUGUUGAAGAUGAGGCAGCUUUUAAUGCCUAUAUAAGAGCCCAAUUCGCUCACCUCGACACUGACCAUGAUGGUCUCCUUUCCUAUAAUGAGAUGCUGGAGGAGUUACAGAGCCUCAGGGUGUUCGAUGCCGAUUUCGGAAAUGAUGAGAAGCUUGGUCCAGAUGAGCUUUCGUCUGUCUAUAGUUCUCUGUUUUUGCAAUUUGAUCGUGACUCGGAUGGAAUGGUUGAUCUGGAUGCGUAUAAGACUGAGAUCAAAAGAAUGAUGCUAGCUAUGGCUAAUGGGAUUGGCUUCUUACCUGUUCAGAUGGUGCUUGAAGAGGGCAGCUUCUUGAUGAAGGCUGUUGAGCGUGAAACUGCCAUAAUGGCUGCUUGAGUAAAGUUACCUUUUAACUCGCUGUAUUAGUAAAUUCAAGAAACAAUUCAAAAGAGUGAGGUUUUUGUUAACUGAAAUAAGAUGUUUUUCUUUUUGUCAUAUAAAUUUCCUCUAAAUUCAAAAGAUUAGUAGCCAUUAACUUACACGCCAAUUCCACAGCAACAUGAACAGUGUUUUCUACUUGAAAAUGGAUGAUGGUUAUUAUAAGAACAGGGACAAUUCAGGAGCAGGAAUGAAGCAGAACAUACUUUCACCAAACAAAUCUAACAUAGAUGUUAACAACUUUCCAGAAUUAAGAUCCUCCUUCCAGACUUGAGAUAGGACAGCUGAUUUUUUAAGAAUUUGAUCAUCAUGCUUCCCCUUUCUACUAGUGCUGCCCGAUGAUAUGGCUUCAUUUUGCAUCUGUCCAGAAGAUGUAGGCGAAACCAGAUUGGAAUUGCCAGAGGCAGCCGGAACAACUGUUCCUUCCAUGUGUGAUGCCGAUGAAUUAGUUAACAUGACGCCCAUUGGACCAUCAAUUGACAUCCUCUUGAGAGGAGGCUGCCCUUCUAAGUAGUCUGCAUUUGCCUUGCGUUUGUCUAAUAUUACACGUGCAGGAAAAAAAAUGAAUUUUAGCAUGUCAACUUCAAGCAGUAUACAACUUGCAUCAAAAACUAGAAGAUUCCAAAAGUUGUAGGAUUUGAAGGAUUUGGUCACUUAACAAGAGAAAAAAUCAGCAUGCAACAAUUAGGACAAAUCAAAUAUUUACCAUUUUAGUUCAGCAGGCUCACUAUUCAUAUAAUUCAAGGUAUACUAGGGGGACGUUUCUGUAUGCAGUGCCAUUCAUUAAAUAAAACUCAGAAACAAAAAUUCAAGAGAAGUAGGUGCCGAAAAUCACGUCAUUCAAGGAAUAAAACUUUCCAGCUUAGAGAAAAGCGAACUAAAAUUGAUACCAUUUUGUAUCUCAGUUUGAUUCAGAGAAAGUUGCAAGAGCUUACUUGGGAAAGUGGUGGUGAUAGUUCUUGCAUUUGUCCGCAAAACAGAACCUGCUGGCGUACUAAGCAAAGGAGGAAAAAUCUUGAUGCGUUCAUAUAUGCACUGACCGACAGCUCUCUGUAAGCCAUUUUGUGUCAUUAAAAGAUUACAUCAGUUCCCACAGAAUAUUCAGGUAAGAAACUAAGAAUGCUACACCAGAUCCUAACAAAAGAACUCACGAGCAAGGCUCCAUAAACAUGCCACGCUUCAUGCCUCUUCAUCUCAUUCUUUUGAUUAGCAAGAAGCAUCUCAGGUUCCAGAAGUCCCAGAUAUGGCUCAAGAUUUGGUAGUAUAAGAAGAUGAACCUAUAAAAUAUUAAAUACUACAAAUAAUUAUGAAGUCAAAAGACCUUUUUACUUUUCAUAUGUUUACUAUUGCACUUGAAAGAUAUGCGAUCAUCAUUAUCAUACGUCUGAACAUGGAAUGAAUCCGAAGGUCAAAGGCUUUUCUGGUAUACAAUUUUAUUUGGUAAUGAGAAACUAAUACGUGUUUAAAUUAAAGAAAAGAAGCUGCAGGGCCAACAGACCGGAUUCUCUUCGUGUUGGUGAGAUAAAAAGAAAUAUCAAGCUAGAUUAUUUUCACUUCGAUCAUAUCAAGCUUAUAAAGGUUAGAAAACCAAACAAGGAUGAACUCAACGAGGUAAAAAUUCUAUUCAGAUAAAAUCAACACACUAAUCAUAGCCAUCUUUUAAGUUCAACCUGAUUUGUCUUGUUCAUCUCAAAUAGCAAACAGAGGCAAACUAUAUAAACAUGAUCACUUCCCUUCUCUCUAAUAGCAUUGUUUUUCAUACUUUUGAGACAAACACGUCAGUUUUAUUUCCACACGGUCAUGUUUUCUUUUGCAUCCUUCUCCAACCUCCAACCCUCUAGAUAGUCUAAUUAAAGAUAAAGAAGCAUGUAAGAAAAAGCAUACCACAUUCAUCCCUAAGGCAGCUAAUCCUCGAAUUGCACCAUAAUGUUGAGUCAAAGACCGCUUUGGGUCUAAAAAUGCAUUGAGAAGAGUUUUUGUGAGCUUUGUCUGCAGAGUGUUGUAAACAUGACCAAACCUGCAACACUAAAACUGCAACCUUAGCAAAGAGCGAAACAUCUUGGAAGUAAUGUUACAGAUGACAAAGAAUUAUACUAUGCUCUGAAGAAAGAUGUUUUAGUAGUGUGUCUAUUAGUAGUAUUACUUAAAGAUCAAAAACCUACUUCCACUGAGAUAAAUGGAAAAAUCAAAAAGAGCAUACAAAAAGAUAAGAUAACACAAUAAAAGGGGACGUCCAAGUCCCAAACUAGCAAUAAAUAAAGGAGUUCAAUCUAAAAGCACAAGGCUGAAAGGAUAAUUACAAAAAGCACAAGUAACAGAUGCCUAAAAGAGAUAUAUUAAAUCAAACAAGAGACCACACCUCCUCUUGAGAUCCCUCAAGCCCCUCACAAACUCUCAAUCCUCUCUAGCCAUAUUCCCAAACAAAAGUAGAGAAAGCACAAUGCCCCAAAAUCAACGUGUAAUACAACAGGGGAAUGGAAGAGCCCUUCCUAAAUCAUACCUUAGCAAGCUCCCACUAAGUAUUAGAGGAACCUAUUUUCUGCAGAGUGUUGUAAAUUAAAAUUCAUAUAGACCAAAUCCAGUUUGAUAUGCAGUAUACUACAGCUAACUUGUUUAAGGUGGUAGUUGAAAUGAAGCAUUGCAAUUACUGCAAGUGAUCAAUAAGAAGCAAGCCAAUAAAAUAUAAAAUUAAUUUUUAUUUAAAUAAAAACUCUAGAAUAUAUAACUAAUUUAAGUUGAUAUUCCAUACGGGCAUGCAGUUUCAUAACCAUGUAGAAAGUCAGUCUCAAUUGCCUAUGGCCAUAAUAAAAAAUGAUAAGCAUUUGACUAAACAGAACCUGACAAAUCAAAUCUCACCUUUUACAUAUUAAAGCAACCACUUUUGCUGUGAAGUCUCUAAGCUCCCAAUGGUUGUCUGAAAACCUACUCCCUAACCUUUUUGCAACGAGGCAGGUCACAACAGAUGGCAUCAUUUGGUGUAGCUGAGAAGAAAAUAUGCUUGUCUCAGAGACAGAAUGAAUACCUUCCACACAAAGCACCAAACAAAACCAUGUAUUUAUCCUUUUUGUUGAAUUAAAACCGACUCACAAUGUAAGAAUAAAACGCAUACUAAAGAUAUCUUUUGAACAAGUUGAAGAAUGAUCAAAAGCCCAAAUUCGUUUUUUCUUCAGGAAAAUCACAACUUUCAUUGAGAAAGAAGGAAAGAAUAUACAGGCAUUCAAAAAAGCCAAGCCCACAAAAAAAGCCCAAGUUGGUAUUUGAUAGAGAUAAUAGGAGGAAAAUUAUUCACAAGGCCAAACAUUUGAAAUUGGAAACAUCUAUCAGCCUAUUUUAGUGAUCAACUUGAAAUAUUAUAUUCACAAGAAAUGUUACCUUCAUUGAUAUGCAAUUGCAAAGGAAGUAGAAGGAGGGAAAAAAGGGAAUACUACAGAUAAAAGCUAAAGACACCCUGAAGAACCUCACAGAAAAACCCAUCUGAAUUUGAGCUUAUCACAAAAGGAGUAUAAUUGAUAUGUCUAUGUCCUGCUAAUGAAAUAAUUCCACGAACUUUCAGGAUCCACAAAUGAACUUAUCGAUAUGAAUUCCUUUUUAGCAUCUCUACAAUGCAGAUGAAUCAAAUAUGCAUCUUUGUCUCACUCAAUUAUCUAAAUUUGAAUGACUUCUAUUCUAAUUCGUAUUCUAAUAUCAGUUACACUGACUGCCCAGAAUCAUGGAAGACAAGGCAGCACAAGAUGAUGAUAGUAAUACAGCCACUAUAGAAGAUCAAUGAGUUGUCCUCACAAUACUUACUGGACUUGAACAUUCAUGAAUCUCAACUCAACCUUCAGAAAAAGAAGAUUACACAACAUUCAACUCACAUAAGGUUCAAUGUGGAUAUGAGGGUUCUGAAGAAGACUCCAAACAACACGCAUCAAAGCAAAAAGAAGGGAAUAAUCACCCAGUCCACGAGCAACCUGAUAUCAUUGGAGAAUCAACAACAGUAAAUUUAAAAUUAAAAAACAAAUCUCAAGAAAUUCUAAUCCAAUCUUGUGUUCAAACAUUUAUACCUCGUCAGCUAUAUAGCACGUAAAAUAAGGAACCAAUGGGUGAAGUCCCGAGUCCGUAGCUAAACUCACUAAUGCCUUCUUAAAAAGGUCCGUACUGGAUCUACUAACAACAAGCUCUGUGAUUUUGUCAAAAUAAAGCUGCAAAUAAUGUUUGAAAACGUGUAGGUUAGAUAUAAAUUAAACUUUAAUAUAAAAAUAUAAGCCAAUAACAAGUCAUUUACCUGAAGUUCCUUGGAAAGUAUAUGCUUCACUGGUAAUUUGAUGUCAACUGGAACCUCAUCCUUUUGUUCACUACUUUUGGUAUCAGAAGGUGGUAAAAUUACUGUAGAAAGGAAAGAUACAAAAUAGAGGUUACUAAAUAAAUUGGGUUGCAACAACUGGAGAAAACAGGAAAGAGGAAGAAAUGUUAAAGAAAAAGUACAUCCAAUUCCUUCUUCCUUUGGGAAAUAUUAAAAACAAUCUAAGCAUGGUUGCUUUUGACCAUUAAAAGAAUCCCACAUAACCAACAGAGCAGAAAGUCUUGCAUAAUUGCAGAAAAAUCACACAAGUGAUUCAGCAUUUGCAGAAAUUGUUAGACUGAAGAUCAUAAAACCUCAAGCCAAUUCUUAGAACAACCAAACUCAGACAGUUAUAUUUGAACUUGAACCUUGCAAAGUUGUAAUAAAUGAAACAAAACUAAACGUACAUCUCUCCAUUUCCUUUUCCCUCUUCAUUUCAAUAACUACAGUUGGUUUUCACUCGAGCCCUUGAACCACUCAUCACUCUUGAUCCAUGGUUUUAAAGCUCAAGGUGCAAUAAAGCACAAUAGUUUUCAAGGCAUAAAAAAUGUGUGGGCUUUUUUUUUUGUGAGGUGCACUAUAUAUAAAAGUAAUAAACUAAGAAGAGAAAACAUAGUUGAAAUGAAAAUAUGAAAAAUCCAUAAGAAAUAGAAAAGACCCAUAGACACAAAAAGUUUGCAUUUAGGCUUAGUAAUUUUAUUUUUUAGCUAAUAAAGAAUGAAAAAACCUAAUUAUUACUACCAGUUAAAAGUAAUGAAAAAACCCCCAAGCCCCAAGGUUUUGGGGCUUGGGCCUUCAAGAAAGGUGUGCAUCUAGGUACCUCCCGGAAGGCUUUGUAAAACACUGCUCUUAAAGAAACGUUUCUUCUUCAAAACCAACAAACACACAAAUAUCUACUACAUGCUAGCAAGUUAAAUGUUACCAGCAAAAGUUAGUCGUUUACAUUUUGGGGAUCCAAAUACAUAUCUGCCUGACUUGAGAGUUAUAACAAUCAACGUUUUAAUCAGAUUUGAGACAAACCUUCUACAGGAGCAUUUUCUGGUAUUGCAGGCUGUACACCUUCAAUUGCUAGCCAAUGGCAAAAAACUGCUGCAUCAAGAGGAGCUUUUGGCAAUGGGGCGUCAAUAACCUAGAAGUAAAACCCACAUUUACACUAAUUAACAUUGGCCUAAAUGGGACAUGUUGAGUGAUGAACUUUGUCUUACGUCUUUAAAUUCCAGGUCCUUGUCCUCGAGGUAAAACAAAUCCCUAUGUCCCAUGGCUCUCUUAAAUCGCAAGGGCCCUCCUGAGGCAAAGCCAUACAUUGGCUGCCACAUUAACAUCAGAAAGGAGAGUGAAUCAUUAUUAGAAACUGAUAAAAGAAACAUAGGGUAUGUUGAAUUGCUCCAGCAGGAUCUUCAAGAUAAAACGCACAAAAAUCAUGCAUCCUUUAUAUCUGAUGAAUAUAACACAUCAACUUUACAAGAUAUUUUUAUAUUAUGGAAGCGUUUAAGUUAUACCAAAAAAUCAAGAAUAAACGCCUUUCUUAUCUUGUAAAUCAAACACACCAAAGUUUUCCUUUUGUUGAUUGUUUUCUAGGAGUGGUCACUAAUGCAGGGAUAUUUCAAGUCAAACAUUAUGAUAGUUGACGUCAAUAGGCACUAAAGACAGGACAUUAUCAACAAAAAGAGAUCAUACUAAUCCCAACCCAGAUCGCUUAUAUAAGGAAACUUAUGGUUUACAUAGUGCAUCACUUGUCAGAAUUGACAAGGACAGACUAUUACAUCACUCCAAGUCCUAAAUCAAGAUAUAAGAAAUAAAAGAAUAUUUGCAUAUAAAGAUGAUAGAAAAACUACCAUCAAAGGCAUGCAGAUUUAAAACACGCACAGAAGCCAUUUGCUCUAGCAUUGUACUUACCUCUACAUUUCUCAGGUUUAAUGCACCAUCAACAUCAUCUGCUGUCAACGUAGUUCUCUUGGAGUGACGCAUGCAUUUGAUGGCCUCCUAGAUUCCAAGGAAGAUAAAUAUUAACUCCUCCAUCAUUUAUUAUUCUACGACACACUAUAUUUAUAAGAGACUCUUUUUCCACUUUUGAUCGUCUUAUGGAAUUAGUGCUUUCUACUGCUUUUUUUUUUUUUUUUUUGGUACAAAACCAAGCAGUAAGCACCCUUUUUUCACAUUUCAGCUUACCAUACUUAUGCUCUAAUUGGAGACUUUUAUUGUAAACGCCUAUUAAUGUCAGGUUUAUUCUUUAGUUCAUUCAUCAAUGAAAUGUUUCUAUUAUAUAAAGAUUUUACAAGUUUUUGAGUAUCAUGACAUAGAACCACUAGAACAGAUACUGUGACCUCUUAUUCAAUUUAGCCACGCCGUGCAUUGGGCUCAUAAAUGCCAUUGCCAACAUCCAACCGUUUUAAAGAUACCAGUCACCCAAUUCUUCUCUUUGGUAUAAGGCAGCCACGCAGGUGACCCUCGAUUUUUAUGAACCUAAAGUCAUUGUUAAGCAACACCUAAACAAGUAUAGCCUAAAAAAAAAACUCUCCUUGUGCCGAACAUAUACCUUAGUUUAAGCAUAAACAACAAAAAUACCUGCAUGAUCUCCCGCAAACGAUAUUCCACAUCAGGAGCAACUGCCAAUGCGACAUCUGGGGAUAAGUUAUUGAUCCCAACACAUUGAGCAAUGACCUCAAUGUUUUCUUUAGGUACAGCACUCAUUUUGUUUCUUCAAGAUCUCAUGUACGGAGCGCCCAAGUAACCAGAUACGUCCUACAAUGUAAAACACCCAUCAAUUAAAACCUCUGUAAGAGUAGAUAACAUUCAUAUUAUAAGAAAAAGAAGAAGAGUGAAAGAUUAUGUUACGAAACCCACGUCACGUCAGCGCUGUGGUUUGUAGCGAUAUUCAAGGCAUUCCAACCGAUUCUGUUAAGCUUAAGCUUAGACCGCCUUUGGGGCAAAUUGCACAGGCCCAAUAAAGUAAUAAAGGUAGAAAUGAAGAAAUGGCUUCUCCGGAUUUGUUCUACAAUCGAUAAACAGCUUUACUCCAUGGAAAUUGAAUCUAAGAUCAACCAGCAAGAUUUCAAAGAGCCAAAAGCUUACGAUUGGCGAUUACGGUGAUGAAUGGCACUGCAUGAGCUUAAGCGGAGUAGAAAAUUUGAAGCUUUGGCAAUUUAUAUAAGGAAAAUCCGCAGGAUUCAGUAUCCGAGUUUUUUCGCGGUGGACUUUGAAGUUCGAAGAACACAAAAAUAAUGGAAGGAAGCAAACCCGAAUGAAGCGGGUAACCCAACUUCCCAAUCCCAAUUCGAAAUUUUUACAAAUUUCCCCAAAUAUAAUAUAUUUUCUAAAAAAUAAAAGUACAUAUAUAAAAAAACUCACAAAUUUAACCAAAUUUCUUAUUCUAUUCCUAAUAAACAUUUCAUUUCUGUAGCCAUUUAUUUGAUAUACUUCAAAUAUUUUAAUUUAUUUUGCUAUUUUUCUAUCUUUAAAUUAAAAGCGUACAAAUAAUUAGAUGUAUUAAGCGAAUUAUUAAAAAGUUAAUCCUUUAAUAAAUUGGUUAAAGUCUCCAAUACACAUACAAGUUAAUUAUGUUUGUGCAUUCAUGCGUGUUUCUCGUGUAAGAUUUGUUUUAUUCAUUUGCAGUAAUCUCAAACAAUUACUUACAUGUAGGUGUUGAACUUUUCACGAAUAUCAAUAAUGUGCAGUAAAGUAAACUUGAUUUUAGUUGUGCAUUUGAUAUUGUAAUCUCUUUGAUUCUUGAUUUGUUUGUCAUCUUUUUGGAUUGGUUUAUAACUUGUUGGUUGUCUUAAAGAAUCAACCAGCAAUGUGUUUGAAGUUUGAAUUUGAUGGGAUGCAAUAUAAAAGUGUCUUGUUAGUUUAACAAUGUGUAACGAUGAAGAUUCGAUCCUCCAAACUUUUUGUUUUAUUUGACAUUUACUCUUUCUUUCUUGAAGUUGGAAUUUUGAAUUUUUGUAUCCACUUUAUUUAUAUUAAAAAGUCAAAGUUACUUAUUUACCCUAUUAAAUUAUCGAAUGUACCACAAUAAACAAACUUACAUAUUAAACAUAAACUUAUCUUAAAAAAUCACGUAGGAUUAAAAUCUUAACGAAAGAGAUGAAGAAGCUUAUAUCCAAUAAAACAUAAAAUUGAAUGUAAAGACAUGCAAUAAAAUAAGUACAAUUUUGUUUUUGAUUUGAUUCGAUACAACUCGUAAUAAUAUUGGACUUCUCGUUCUCCCUUCCUACGGGUCCAAGAAUGUUUUUUCUAAAGAAAAAAAAUGAAUAUACUAACUUUUGUAAUAUAAUUUAAAUUAGGUUAGGUCAUAUUCAUAAAAUAGUCUUUUAAAAAAAAUGAUAUUUUUUGUAAAGGGAAAAGUUAUAGUAAUGAUACUAAAUGUUCGCCUUAUAUUAAUUUUGAUUUGAUGAGGUUAUGUUUACUAAAUCCAAUGGUUAAAACUGUGUUGUUGAUUUUGAUCUUGAUGCGAUGUGAUUUGAUUUGUAGAAUUUGAUUCUCUUAUUCUCUCUUAGUUGUAUGUGUAUGCUUGAUUUGAGAAAGUGAAACGUGUUGAUGUUCAUGAAAUUAAUGCCUUCGAAUAAUGUUUAUAUCUUUAAAAGAACUUGAGUCUUCAAGUGUGGUCAAGUUUAACUUCUGACUAUGAAAAUUUCUUUAUAUACUUUCGAAGUAUAUAGUUUCUUACCUUACAAAUGAAGAAGAAAUCUUUUAUCUCUAGGGAUCUUUGGUAAGCUUUAUGGAUUUAAAUUUAUUUGAUUCAUAGACCCGUUCCCUAAUCAACUAAUUGGAUUUGGAUCUUAUCUAAAAUAUUUACAAAAUAAGACAACAAAACUUAAAUAAGAUAUAGAGAGGGAUGGAUUUUGCUAUAUAUUCUAUUAGCAAAACUUUUAACAUUGUAUGCACAAAAGGUUACCCUCUAACUUUAGCACAUGAUUAAGUUGUUUACUAAAGAUGAAAUGGACAUGUUGAAAGGCAAAAGAACAUUUCAAAAUUACAAGAACCCAUUGAGAAAAAAUUAUUAAAUUUAAACCUGAGGCAUUAACCACAAUAUAAGAAACUAUAAAUAUUCAAAUCCAAUCCUCAUUUCUAAUCAACUAUUCACAAUUUUUCAGUACAUUACUUUUGGUUAAGUGACAGACUAAUAUGUUUUGGCUAGUGGCCACAGAGGUAAUUAAAAGAUGAGAAGGGAUUAAAAAGUUGAAUGGAUGAUUGUUUGUUAAUUGAAUAAGUGAAGUAUGAAAAAUUAAAUCUACCUUUAACAGAAUGAGUGAAUAUCAAUUAUGGGUAUAGUCGCUUUCAUAAAUUGAUAUUUAUUACUAUGCUACAAGUCAUCAAUAAACACGAUAUAUAUUACUUAAAAAACAGUUAAAUUGUCAUUUUCAUCCUUAUGACUUAUGUUUUUUUGUUCUUUUUUUCUUCUGCUAAGCAAUGGCAAAGGAGGGCUUGACUUGACUUUUUUAAAUGGUAGUAAGUGGAUUGUACACUUAAAUACGUUUAUAUUUGUUUCGAAGUUAAAGAAAGCAUGACUCAAUUGUCAUGUGAAUUCAUAUGUACUAGUAACAACAAAGCGAGAUCUGUUCGAACUUUUUUAUUCUAAGUUGUACUACAAGGAUAGUUAAAUCUUCCCAAAAAGGAAAAAUACUAUCAUCACUCUUUGUGACGUUUUCGUUUUAAGAAACAAAAGCAAAUAAGAAAAUUGUUUAACACAUGAAAACAACCAAAGACACAUCCAAAGAUUUUAGAGAAUCAUAAGGAUUAAAAUAAAAAUUUAUAAAUCGUAGGGACUAAAAUGAAACCGAAUAAUUUUGGGACCAAUAUAGUUAAUUUAAUCCAGAAGGGAAAAAAAGAUGGUUAUGUUAUGUCAGAGUGUAAUGAAAAGGAAUAGACAUAUCCUCAUUGCCAAGCAAACCUUUUUUUCUUUUGAGGGGGGUUUGGUUUGAUGAAACCACAAAGCAGUGUGUGGCAACCAUGUGCAAAAAGUUAUCUGCAAAGCAAUUAAACUCUUACCAAUCUAAUCCUUUACUUUUUCUUCAUCUUCCAUUAUUUCCUUUGAGAUUUAAUUAUCCCAUGUCCAGCUCUAAAGGGUAUUUGAUAAUUUCUCUCUAACAAUUUGCUUCCAUUUCCCUCUUUUUUAACCUUUAUAAUACUGCCCCCAUUUGCAUUUUCUCUGAGUUGUGUCAAUUACUCGCAGGUUUAUUUAUCUCUUUCUCUCUCAUUGCAUGACUUUCAGCACCACAAAGACUUAAAGAAGCUGUUUUUCUGUAGAUUUCCCUUCUGGGUUUUCUCUGUUUUGUUGAAUGUCAUGGGAAUUAAAGGAGAAUUGGUUAGGAAUGUGUUCUUGAGGAAUCGUUCUUUCAAGACCCAUGAGAAAAAUGUAAGUUUGGAGUAUAGUUAGUGUUCAUUUUCUGUGAACUUGUUCUACUUUUUUUUUCUUCUAAUCAUUGCUGUCUAUGUGCUUCAUGAAAUGCCAAGCUGAAUCUUCUUGAUUUUUCUUUUGUUCUUUAACUUGCUUUCAUCUUCAAUUUCAUUUGUAUCCCAAUUAUUUGUUUUCUUUCCAAGAUGAUCGUGGUUUCUGAGUGAACUUUUGUUGUUUUGAUUUCUGAUCCGAAUUUUUCAGACGAGGAGCCAUAGUUCUGUGGAAAGGAAAAAAUGGCACUCUGUUAGAUCUUACCUGUGUGGGGAUGAGUACAAUUCAGUUCUUGUUGAGGAAGAUGCAGCUUCCAUUAGAAGCUCUGAAGCGACUGUGACACAGCCUGUUGAGGAGCUAGAGGUUUCAAAACAGAAACAAGAACCUGGAGUGGAGGAAUCGGAAUUAAGCUCUCAAUUGUUGAAGCGCCAAGAACAAGCAGCAUUCAUCAUCCAGUCAGCAUUUAGAAGCUUUCUGGUCAUUUUAACACUUUUGCUUUGUGUUAAAACAUUUGGAUCCCAAAACUUUUGGUUGAAUCUUCUUUGAUUCAACAAAAUGAAGUGGAACAUCAAACUUCUUGAGCUUUAUAGCGAAAAGGAUAGAAAUGAACUUUGUGAAUUGAUGAAUUUGAAUUGCAGGCUCGGCGUAGAGAUGAGCAAAUAAAGACGAUGGAUAAUGAUUGUAAGGACAUCAUCGAGGGAAUAGAAAGUCCAAGUGGAGAGUCUCUAAGAACGUCCAUUGAAGUUCAGACUGGGAAUUCCGAAGCUUUCUCCGUUCAAGAUGAAAGAACUUUUCUUUCCAACCGAGUACAACAGAAAUCCAAAACCCAAUUACAUAGGCUGAAGGUUGAAGACGACAUGCUCUCGUAAUUCUUUGAAAGCUAGUAAUGAUCAUAUGUAACCUGUUUAGCCCUCUGGAUUUUGUAGGAAGAAUGGGAUGAUAGUACAGUGAGUAGCAAUGUAACAAAAAUGAGGAUUCAAAACAGGCUAGAAGCAUCAACCAGGCGUGAAAGGGCUCUAGCUUAUGCUUUCUCACAACAGGUACAAUUAUAAUAAUUCCUUAGAAAAUAAAGAAGUCGGAUUGUUUGGUGAAAUAAUUCUUGUUACUCCUAUCGCAUCGUUAGUUAAGAAUUUGCUCGAAGAGAAAGCACUCGAAAUCCGACGUCAUAGAAGCGAACAUGAGCUGGAGCUGGCUAGAGCGAUGGAUGGCCACCCGCCUUCCUGAAGGAUCCUCGGUUGAAACUCACACGAGGAAGCCAUCAGAAGUGAUUGACAACAAUCAUAGAUUGAUGAUAAGCCAAAGGCUCUUUGAUAUAAGUGCAGAAGAAAAGGAAAGCUGCGGAUCUAAUGAAGUAUCUGUAAGAUCUAUUAACUUCUCUGCUGAUGCUUUGAAGAAUACAGAUAGCAACUUGGCUAAGAACAGAUCAAAAGGUUCAAGUGAUAUAUCAAGGAGAAAAACAGUACCAAGCCUCCACUUUGAUGGAUAUUUUACAAAGGUAUAUCUCAAUCCACUUUGACUAAUGAAAGACCUAAUCGGAAUGGCUUUUGCUUGAAAACCCUUUUUCACAUUUUUUUAACACUUUAAAAGUCAUUUCGGACCUAGUUCGGAAACCAUAAAAAGCAAAGACCAACCCAAGUAGCUUCAACUUAAAAGGCCCAUUAUUCUCUGUUUUUCAUUGUAUAUUUAUUGUUUCUUCUCAAUUUAGGUGAGCAAACGGGAUUGGGUAACACUAGCAGAGAGUGAAAGAGAUAAAAAGAGCAGACAAAAGCAAGCUGGGGGCAGAGGAGAAAUCAAAUGUAACGAUGCAUAUAUCAACAGUUCUCCAAGUUCCUCUCCACUUGAAUCUAGAAUCGGUGUGUAAUUUAGACAUUGAAAUCUCCCAGUCCAUCAUCUUUGAUGUUAUUUAUGUUAUAAGGCAACCCCAUGUAUAUUAAGGAUAAAAACUCUCAUAAUCAGUCGGUAACCACUUAGAAACCGUUUGGAGCAAAGCUUGUCUAGGACCAUAAUAACUACCGUUUGGAACAAAACUUAUCUAGGACUAGUAAGACCAUAAUAACUACCGUUUGGAACAAAACUUAUCUAGGACUAUAAUAACUACGUAAAUACUAUUUGCUACAGUUUUUAUUAUCUGACAACCAUCAUUUUUUUAUUAUAUUAUUUGCUAUAGUGUUUACUAUUUCCUUAUCAAACUAAAAUAGUCUACACACUAAACACAUAUGUAAUUCAAACGAAAAUAAUCUACACCUCGAACACAAACUAUUCUAAUCAAACUAUAAUAACACAAAACUAUUCUCCAAUAGUGCAAAGUAUUUCCUUAAAUAAAAUGCAGAAAUCUUUGUACAAUAAUAACUUUCCCACCACAAAGACCAAUGGAUCUAAAGUAAAAGGCUUAUAAUUGACCUUAACUAGUGCAGACUGAUGAACACUAUUGAAGCAAGUUGAGAAGACAUCAUAACUAUUUUGUACAUUAAGCAAUGAAUGUAUACCUGACACACGACAACAGAAGAAAAAAGUACAAUUCCAUAUAGUGUAGAAUGUCUAUUCAUUUACUCUUAAAAUAAGAAAAAAUAUCACAUCUUGCAUUUAAAAAGAAUGGUACAAAACCAUCUCAACAACGGGGUGAAGUUGUAUUUCAAUAGAAGUAUUAUUGGCUAGAAGGGGCAUAUGCAAUCAUUCAGUAUAAACGAACAGAUGUUACAUGGGAUUGAACCGAUUCCCAUCUGCAUUUUCAGACUAUUACGAAAUGGAAUUCGGUUAUAAAACCUCACCCCACUUUAGUAUAUAGUUAUCAUUUACUAAGAGAUUAUUCAAAAUAAAGGACUAACAUCUAGAUCUUAUCAAUGUCUUCAUCCUCAAACUCGAUAUAAGCAUCACCACCACCUUCGUCAUCAUCAUCCAUACCCCCAACAAUACCCUCAUUAAGACGUGUAUUCUCAGGUAACUCACCGUAAGCUUUCAAAAGCCUGGCUUCAUCAGGCAUGUAUUUGAGAAUCACAUCAGCUUUGUCGUCUUGAUAGUCACGAAGACCAACUAGUAUGAUAUCCCCAGCUGCAAUCCAAACUUUCUUGUGCAUUUUUCCUCGAAUAUGACAAAGACGUUUAGUUCCAUCAAUACACAUCGCUUCACACCGACCAUUACCUAGCAUUCGAAGCACUUGAGCAUAUUCCUGUCCAUCUUCCUUAAACACAAGCUCACGCUUCUCAUCAUCUGCCUCGUUCUUACCUCUCUUCCUAUUCUUUCCUCCUUUUCCCUUGUUCUUCGGCAUGGUUGCAGAUUAUACUAUCAAUAUAAUGGAAAAUUAGUCACCAGAAACAUAGAUUCAUAAACUAAGCUAGAAAGUAAAAGCCAAAGAAGUGUUUGUAAAAAAGAGCAUUAGCAAAAUCUGAAUUCUCCCUUUCCCUUGUUCUUCGGCAUGGUUGCAGAUUAUACCAUCAAUAUAAUGAAAAAAUAGCCACCAGAAACAUAGAUGCAUAAACUAAGCUAGAAUGUAAAAGCCAAAAGAGUAUUUGUAAAAAAGAGCAUUAGCAAAAUCUGAAUUAAUCAUGAAUUAUCAAAAUAGAUUUGCAUUUGCCAAAAAGGAGCAAAAGAGGAGUUUCAACACUUAUGACCUAUCAUGAAUAGACUAGGGUACGAGCAUGUAUGCACAAAACAAAACCACUGAUCAAUCAACAAAUAUGAUCAUGUGGGGUUUAACUAGUAAAACAGAUAAUUUUCUUUCAGCUCUCUAAUAAUUGCAUGUUUUGGCUAAUUUUGAAAAGGCUAAAAUAAUUUUCUUUUGAUAUUCAAAAUCACUCUGAAACUAAUAUGAUGUUUAAUUUACACUUUUUAAAUGUUAAUUCUUAAUCAUAAUAAUUGGACAUGAUUUUAGUCACUCAUGACCCACAACCCUAGCUAGUUACUGCAACCUUUUAACAUAAUCAAAAUUCAUUUUACAUGCGAUGAACACAAUUAAAGACCAGGAAAUCAAAAAAGAAAGAAAAAAUGAUGAGACAAUACGAAAAUCCAAAAUAUUCACACUAAUCAAGCUAUCAUAAUCUUCAUCAAAAGAAGAAAAUGGCCGAACAAAAGAAGGGUUAAACAUAAUAUUGACAUGCAAAAAUAUGGGUAUGAAUUAGAAGGAAAGGAACAAUCGAAGAGUACCUUUUCUCGCACAGAUGGUUCAAUCGAGCAAUUUUGCAGAAGAAAGCUAUGUAAUCUGAGAAUUAAGAAUGUUCUUCUAUCUUCUUAUUAUUACGCAACCUAAAAGUAUUAAAAAAAUAAAAUAAAAAGAGAGAAUCCCCCAAUGGACCGGGCCGAUUUUUAGCCCUAUAACAAUGAAUUCCUGAUUUGGGCUAGCCCAAAACAACCGCCAAAUUUAGCAGGCUUAACAUCCUAUUCAACUUAAUAAUAUACAUAGUAACGAUUUUAUAAAAAUGGUUUUUAACCUAAAUUGAUGUAUGAUAUUACGUAAAAAAAUCCAAAUUACUAAUAAAUUUUAUAAAAGUCCUAAAUGAACUAGUAUAUUACAUGAAGGCUUAAAUUACUUUAAUACUUAUUUCUAUUAUUUAAUUAAUUUAUAAUAAAUAUCUAAAUAGAAAAAAUGGUGGGAUAUAGUUUUGGAAAGAAGUGAGGUCUAAAUUAAUUUAAUAUCAAUUUCUAUUAUUUAAUUUAAUUGAUUUAUAACAAAUAUUUAAAUGGAAAAAAUGGUGGGACACUGUUUUGGAAAUAAGUGGGGCCCAAAAUAAUUUAAUACAAAUUUCUAUUGUUUAAUUGAUUUAUAAUAAAUAUCUAAAUGGAAAAAAUAAUGAGGUACAGUUUUGAAAAAAUAAUGAGGUACAGUUUUGAAAAAGAAAUGGAAAACUUUUCAUGUUUUCCUUCUAUGAAAAUGGUUGUCUACUCCUUCCAACGUGGAUUACGAUUUUUACUUCAAAAUUUUAGGGAGUUCGGAGGUGAAGAAGAAGACAGUUGACGGCUCACAAAUACAAAACUUCUCGAACAUAAUCUAGUUAAAAACUUUGAGGUUAGUAUUGCAUAUAUUCAACACAUAUAAAACAUUAGGUAUAUUAUGUAUAUUUUAGAUAUUCAAUUAAAUAGUCAAUCAAAUGAAAAUGUAGUUUUAAAUGUGAUACAUUUUAGGGUUUAUUGAGAUUUUGGCGGUGAAAAAAAAAACUUUCGAUGGCCAAAAAAUACAAAACUUAUCCGAGAGAAUCUAGCUAGAAAAUUUGUGCUUAAUAUUAUAUAUAUUUAAAACAAAUGAAACAUUCGGUAUAUUAUGUAUAUUUUAUAUUAUAUUCAAAAUAUAUGAAACAUUUGGUAUAUUAGGUAUAUUUUAAAUAUUAGAUUAAAUAGACAAACAAACGAAAAUUUAGUUUUGAAUGUGAUACAUUCUCGAGUUUAUUAAGAUUUCAACGUUGAAAAAGAACGGUCAUCCUAUCAAAAAAAUAAUAGAACUAUAUGUCAGUAUAUAGUAUUAUUGUAUAUAAUAUGAGGUACAUAUAUACUAAAACAUAGAACAUAACUAUUAUAGAUUGCGGAUAUAUUAAAGUAUAAUGUAAUCAAAUGCAUUUAUAGGAAAAAUAUGUAUGUAUGAUCAUGUCGUUUACUACUAUUUUAGUAAUAUUUAUUCUACAAACAAAAAAUUUAAACACAAAUUCUGUAUGAAUUAUGUAUAAGGUAUUAUUGUAUAUAAUAUGAGGUAUAUAUAUACUAAAUAACAUAUAUGAAUUCAGUGUAUAUUUUAUUAGUGAAAGGUUAUUAUAUAAAUUUGUUUAUGUUUUUUAUUUAAAUAUUCAUAUAUUAUGUGGUAAAUAAUACGUUAUGUUUGAAAUAAUAUUGAUUAUGUAUUAAAGUUGCCCAUUAGGCAGUUUUUUAACAAAAUAUACCUAUUAUAUUAAUAUAGAAAAUGAGAGGAAAUCGUGCAACAUUAAAAUAGUAAACUUCUUUACCGUUUUCUCACUUUCCAUAUUCAACGAAAAGCUUGUCAUUUCGACAAUCAAGAACAUAUACAACCUAUUAUAUAAUGCGAUAAUAUUAUAAAACUAGUAUAAUCAUAAAUAAUAUGUGGUAUAUAUUCAAGGGAAAUAUUAAAAAACUGGUAAAUUCAGAACAAAAUAACGUUAAAAUAAGGGAAAUAUUGUUAAUAUAUAAUAUAUAUAUAUAUAUACGCAUAUGAUAUACUCAAAAUGAACUAAUUUUAAAUUGGUAAAAUAUCAAAUGACAUACUUAUGUUAUUCUUCGUAUAAAACAUCAACUAAAAGUAUUAUAUCUCACAAUUAAUAUAUAAAACUAAUAUAAAUAUAAAUAAGAUGUGGUAUAUAUAUAAUAAAUAACAUAUACAACCUAUUAUAUUAUGCAAUAAUAUUCUAAAACUAGUAUAAUCAUAAAUAAUAUGUGGUAUAUGUUUAAAGGGAAUAUUAAAAAACUGGUAAAAUCAAAACAGAAUAACAUUAAAAUAAGAGGAAUAUUGUUAAUAUAUUAUAUAUAUGCAUAUGAUAUACUCAUAAUGAACUAAUUUUAAAUGAGCAAAAUAACAAAUGACUAGAUUUUAUCGUAUCUUCAGCUGAUGAAUAAUUGUAUAUGGCGGCGAUUUGUUAAGAUUCUGCAGCUUACGGUUAUGAUAAAUUUGAAUACAAAUUUAUAAUAAGAUGUAAUAAGAAGUUCAAAUGAUGGAGAAGAAUAGCAAAAAAAAAAAAAAAAAAAAAAAACUGUCGACGAUGGAGAAGAUAAUGUAAUGGCUGCCGGAGAAAGUGAACAAUUAAGUUAAGUUAUAUUUUUAGAAAGAAUAAUUAAAUAGUUUAUUACAAAAUAAAAUAAAAUUAUAAUUAUUAUAAUAUAUUCUGAUUUAUAAUUAAUUUAAAAGAUACUUGAAAUUUAUUAACGUAUUAAUUCUCAAACAAAUAUUAGGAAGUUAUGGAAUUCAUAUUAAAUACAAAUCGUUUUAAAUAAAGUAAUUUUUUAAAUAAUCUUAAGAAUAUAAUAUAUAAUUAAUAAUUAAUGAAAGGUUAUAAUUGUCCGUAAAGUAUUAUUUUUUAUAUUUAAGAAAAUAAUUUUCAAUGUACGAUAUUUGUGAAAUUUCUUAAUAAAUUAAGACCUUUUGUCUAAAAGUUUCUUAUAAAAAUUAUUAAAACAGAAAAAGUAUUCAAGGUUAAAUCUUAUCAUUAGUAGAUCAUGUUGCAAAUAUUGAUCUAACUACAAGUUGAUAAACUUUGUUAUAUUUGUAAUUUUUUUAAAUGUUGUUAAACUUUCUAUAUAAUUAAUUAUUAUUUCUAAAAUGGUCACCCAUUGUAAUUACCUUAAAAUAUCUGUAAAAAAUUCAUCAUAUAUCAAUAGUAUUAGUAGGCUACCCAAUGUCGACAAAAAUUAUACAUCCCAUACAAGACGUAUGAUGUAGUUAAACCAUUAUUUGUUUGGCAAAAAAUUAACUUUUACUUAAACAUUGGAAGGAUUAAUUUUUUCACUCGAAUAAAUGUAAGUUCUUGCUUGAAGACCAACAUGGAUGUCCACGUCACACAAUGUAAUCCAAUAUACAAUAAAUAAAAUGAAAGUUGAGAUGUUUGAUGAAUUUAUUAAACAUGGAUUCUGAGCAAAACUUAUAUAAGUGUGUAUUUGAAAUAACUUCGAGUGAUGAUAUUUUAAAUUAAGCUCUCAUUCGUUCCAGAACAAAAGGUAUAUUGAUUUUAUUUGAUGUUUUUACACUUGAAUUUAUAUGAAAGUACAUGAAUGAAUAGAAUUCAUAUCCAAAUAAGAAGAUAUAUAACAUGAGAUAUUGAUUAUGAAUGCAUAGUUCAAGUAAAAGCCUCUAAAGAAUUUAUAGUUAUUAUGUUUGAAGUCCAUUAUGAUUUCAUACACACAUGUAUAUAUAAAAGGAAAUGUUUCAUAAUUUUUGGUAAAUUUUUUGAACAAAUAUUGGCAUUUCAUUGAAAGUGACAAAAGCAAUCUAAAUUUAGGAUUACUUCUUAUAUUAAUUACCCAAGAAUUUUCAUUAAUAAAUCUAGGGUACUCAUAUUACCAAGUUUGUCUCAAACAUUUCAGCCUCUUGUUUGUUUGGAAAAGUAAAAAAUAAAAGUAAAUUAAAAGACAAAGGAGUUGUCUUAUAUUCUAAUUAAGGUUGUCCAUCAUUUUGAAGCAGUGGUGUAAGAAGAAGAGCAAAUCGGAGGAUUUUGUAUUCCUGAAAUGAUUGGUUUCACAUUCAUGCAUUCAGAAGUAAUAGAACCUUUUAUUCCAUUAUAAACGAGGUCAAUGUUGGCUACUUUUACUUCUUCACAUGGUAGGUUGCUACUACAAAUAAGUUUGACUGCCACUGGAGUUGCAGAACUUCCUCUAAUGUUCUUGAAGCUCACCUUAUUAAUCUUAAUAUUUGACGGAAUCUGAAAAAUUGAAAGUGAAAAUCAAAGUUUAUUCGUGAAGUUGAAAUGUAUGAAGGAAUUUCAAAAUCAAAGUUUUAAGAAUGUGAUCAAUACCUCACGAUUGCACUGAUUCCAUGGACAGUACUCCUGGUCUAUGAGAAUUGGGUUGCUAACGUUGACCAUUGUAAUGUCUGAAAAAUGCAUGUUGGUGGCAAUACCAGCAACGGGAGAGGCUGGCCAUGUUUUGAUCCUAACACCAUUGGUGGUGUUUAUUAUUGUGCAAUUAUUUACUAUGACACCUUCAACAGGUUCUUCGUUAUUGUAUUUUCCAAGACUUCCUAUGCUUAUUCCAUGCCCUGGCCCACAUAUCACAUUAUUGACUUUUAUUCGUUUACUUCCAUCUCCAAGUGAGAUGCAAUCAUCUCCUGUUGCUAUUCGAGAUUUCAAGAUUGAGAUCCCAAUUGAUCGACCAAUGUGUAUUCCAUCUGUGUUGGGACUAUUUUCUGGUGCAAUUAUGUUAACACCUUGGAAUGUGAGGUUGUUGCACCCUAGGAUGUUGACAUGAAAGUUUUUGCUAUCGAGUGAUGUUAUUCUCCUCACAAUUGAAUUGGUAAUGAAGUCGAAUCUUAAACUCUGCUCAUUUGAUAUGCGAUCAAUAAGUCGUGUCAGAGAUGGGGGAGAAAGUCAUGCACAAACUAUUAGGGAGGGAUGAAAAUUAUGAGUUUUCUCUAUCUAUUUAGUCUUUAUAUUUUUAUAUAAAAAAAUGGCUCUUUUGCCUAAUUUUUUAUGGUUAAGUUUCGUUCAAUAUUUAAUUUCUUAAUCAUUAUCGUAUGGUAUUAAGAACACAUUUACCAAAUUGUAAAAAUGAAAAUAAUAGAGAACGAAAAUCUAACAAACCUCUUCAUAAUGAACAAAGACGAAUGUAGUUAAUGGAUAGGAAAACAAAAGAUAUAGAACUUACAAUUGGGAGUUUAGCACAAUCUAUACGUUUAUGGCAAUCAUUCUUUUCCCAACCUGCCUUUCCUUGGCCAUCAAAAACUCCUCCACCUGAUAGUCUCAAUCUAUCAACAUAUGCAAAAGUAAUCCAACUAUCUCCAUGAGGAUGUUUUGGAGCCUGCAAUGUUCCAUGAACUCGAAAUUCAAUAGGGCUCUUGCAAGGGCCUUUAAAUUCUCCUUCUCUUACUUUAAAUGUUCCUUUUGGAAUAACCACUGCACUUGGACGAUCAGAUGCACAUGCGUCAUUCCAUGCAUCUUUCAAAGCCUAUGUUUCACAAGCAACAAGACUACAAAAGUUAGCAAAAACAAUUAAUUAAUUCAUUAAGUCAUCACUUUGGUAUAUACUUUUAUUAUGUAUUUAUACCUCAGUGACAUCGGCACCAGACACAAUAUUACCAUACUUCCUCAAAGAAAAAAUGUCAACAUGGGAUCGAGCCUCAAUAGUAAAUGAUAGCAAUGACAUCAAGAAUGUAGUAACCAAUAAGAUCAAAUGCUUAAUCACACCCAUAUCGUUUUUUUUUCUCUUUUAAAUUCUUCUUUAUGUUUGAUGUUUGGAAACUUUGUAUGAGGAUGAUGUUUUAUUUUGCAUUCAAGAUCUCUAUAUAUAUAUAUCAAUUGAAAGACAAUAUGCAAUGAACCUAAAAGAGGUUACGAGGAUUGUGAACUUAGUUUGUGAUAUAUUGUUUAACCCACCGUCCAUCACUUUCAUCUAUGCACAAAUUUUGAUAACUAAAAUUUGUUUAUUGUUCACAAUCUGUUUUAUUUUCCAUUAAGGAUCUCUAGGUUGAAUGGGUUUGCUGCAAAAUUUCCUUCACCCACCAAUAUAAACAAUCACAUUUCUUGAUUAUAAGAAUAAAAAAAUUUACAAAACCAAUCAAACAAGAACCCAUCAUGCAAGAAACAGAAUCAACGUUCUUUUUUUUUUUCUUAGCCACACAUGUUACUUAAAAAUGUAAAACCCCUGGGGUUAUUUAUAACAAUCCCUAUAAAUUGGUGGAUUUUUUUUUAACGUCACAUUGUUGUAUUGUUAUUGAAAAUCAUUUGGAGUAUCUAUGAUUUCUAUGACUAGUUGGUUUCUGUCAAGAUAAGGAAAAUGAUUGAUUUUAUAUUGUCAUUCUUAUAUAGUCCAACAAAUUUGAAAGAUUAUUGUUUAUAAUUUUUAUGUUUUUAGUGCCUCACGAACAAAUUUAUGUAGAAUGUGUCUUGUAAUCAAGUUCAUAAUGGAGGUUUUGCAUUACCCAUCGUCUAUCAAAUUUAUUUCUUGUGUACAACUCUUCUUUUUUACUGUUAUUAUAUAAGUUUUUCUUAUUAAAAAUAAGUUUAUUAUAAUAUUUGUAGUUUAAUACUAAGAAUGACUCUUUUGCACAAAAACACUCAAUAAAAUACUAGAUGAAAUAUGUGCCAAACUACAUUUAAUCUAUAUCAAAUGAUGGUAUUAUAGGACGAGGUACCUUUCAACUCGGACUUGGUGAUCAGAUUCAAAUCCUAGGUGUUAUUUUCUUAUUACUAUUAUUAUUAUAACCAAUAAUUUGUUUGUUUUUUUCUAACAAAUUUGAUUUAUUAUGUUUAUUGCCUAUAAGACUUUUAAUUCAAUUAUAUACAUUCAUACAUACAUAUAUACAUACAUUAUGAGACUCGUGCAACACAUAUAGUUAAAAUUAGUAUAUAUAAACAUGGGAAAAUAAAACUUAAGAUUUUUUUGUAUCUGGGUGUGUAUACAUAUAUGUGUAAACUUUCUUUUUUUCCCUUUGUUAUUUACUUUACCAUUAUUUUAAACGAUAUAAAUUUAAUUAUUAUUUUUAAAAUUAUGUCCAAAUAAAUAUCUCAACUUUCAGUUUAAUAUAAAAAUCUUAUAAGAAAUAUUCAACAUGCUCAACAAUUAACAGUCUUUGUUAAAUAAAAAAAUCUGUUUUUAAUUAAAUUUUGAAUAUUUUAAUUGUAUAGUCUACAAUAAUAAUAAUAAAUAUAACCAUUAGAUUCAAAAUAAUUAAGUAUAUAAUAACAUUUUUAAAAAAUUAUAAAUAUAGCAAAAUCUGUUAAAGUGAUAAAUAUUAAUUUAUGGUGGAUAAUAACAAUAAAUUUUCCUAAAUUUUGUUAAGAUGUUAUUAUAUAUCUAAUUAUUAUUUGUGAAGUUGCGACCAAUUAUAAUUAUGGAAUUAUUUAAGCACGAGGGCCAAACAAAGGGAAAGCAGCCCAAUUCAUUGGCUGGAAAAUGAGCCCAUAUUCUAAAACCCAAUCUGGAAAUCCCAAAUGUGAGUAGAACGCGAAAUUAAUUUCUUAGGGUUAGGGUUUUGACCCUCAGGUUCGGUUUCAUUCUCCAUUUUCGCGUUCUAUUUUCAUCGGCAACGGAAAUUCGUUCAUAUUCUUGGAUUUCCAUGGCGACGCCAGCAGCCAAUGCUCCAGCAAAGAGGAAGCCUGUGUUCGUAAAAGUAGAAGAGCUAAAGCCUGGUACCAGUGGCCACACUCUCACCGUCAAGGUUGUGAGUUCCAAAAAUGUUAAGGUUGUUAAUAAAGGUGGACGAUCCACCAUGCUUACUGCUCGCCCUCAGCAAUUAACUCGAAUCUCUGAAUGUCUUGUUGGUGAUGAGACUGGUUCCAUCGUCUUCACAGCUCGAAACGACCAAGGUGUGUUUCUCUGAUGAUUUUGUUUGAAAGCUUACGUUUUUCUCAUCUUUUGAAUGUAUUGAGUGCUUGCUGAGACGAUUUUUUGUAUGUUUCCAUUUCGUUGGAUGUCAUUUGGUGAUUUUGAAUUCUUCUGGAACAGUUAGUGGUCUUCUUUUUUGUUUGUGGAAGUCCUUGAUAACUGAGAAGUUACAAUAUAGACUGCAAAGAACUCUCCUUUACAGUGUUACAUAAUCUUUUAGAGUUGCACCAAUGAAAAUUUAUUUCACCCUAGGGAUGACCUCCUCUGUGCUGAACCACCGUGGAUAAUAGUUAUUUAAUAGUUAUAUUCUAAUAUAAACAGAAUUUGAAUGUUGAGAUAAUUGUAUUACAAGGAAUGUAAUCAUAAUCAAACAUUGAGAUUCAAGAUAACUUGAAAAUGCGUUUAACAAGGUCUGUAAUAGGAAUACACUUUGGGCAGAACACUUGGGUGUUUUGGAUUGACUUUCUACAUGCUUAAAGUUACUUUUUUUUAACACUUAAAAACACUUCUUUUUAGCCUUUAUGUACUAGUUGCGCAAAGUGAACUACAUUGUCAAAAACAGAACACUAAGAAUUACUGUAGGGUAGGAUAUCUUUUGUUCAAGCACUUGAAAUGAUCCUCAAGGACAGUUAGUGUGUGAGUUUUUUAGUCUGUGGGAUUAGAUGUUACUGGUCAGGAUAGAGCUUCUUUUAUGUUUAUCUCCUUCAAGUCAGGACCGUUGAGAUGGUGGAUUUAGGUUCAUGGGUGUAGACAUACUUAGUCUUCAUGUUGCAUUGUUGUCAUUUUAAUUGCAGAGCCGUUUGGCCCGUUUCUUUAUAUAUUGCCUCUUACUUAGUGAUUGAUAUUUUUUUAUGUGUCUGCUUGGUAUCAACAACCUAUUGCUAUGUAUCGUGUAUAUUAUAGGCGGUAAAAUGCUUGUAUUGGUGGAAGUGAUCUUCAAUCGUUGCUCAUCCUCCCCCCUGCUCCCAAACAAACUUGUGUAUGUUUGUAUGUAAUUAAUGUUUAUUGUGUAAUAUUAUCUAAACGAAUGGUUGUAAACUCUGCAGUUGAUCUCAUGAAGCCAGGAAACACUGUGACCCUAAGGAAUGCAAAGAUUGACAUGUUCAAAGGUUCUAUGAGGUUAGCAGUAGAUAAAUGGGGACGAGUUGAAGUAGCUGAACCAGCCAACUUUGAGGCUAAAGAAGACAACAAUCUCUCACUGGUUGAAUAUGAAUUGGUUAACGUUGAAGAAUGACUUGAAAUUAUGCAGUGUUAAUUAUCAUGGAUUUACUUUCUUUAUUGUGUGGUGGACUGCUAUUUAACUGGUAUACAGUUUCUAUAUGGCAACACAAAAAUCUUGCUGAGAGUAAUAUAAGUUGAUUAUUGAUGUGCCCAACUAUGCUUAAUUUGGAUCUGAUGUGAUAAAGAUCUUCAAAGGCAAAGUGCAAACGUUACUAUCUGGUCUACUUAUUAUUUUGAAAAGUAAAUAGAAUGCUUUACCAAUGUAGCUUUGUUUUGGUCCCUUAUUUCUAUUAACUAUUGGGGUAUUCUGCUAACUUGCAUUUGAGGAAAGGUAUAUUUGAUACAUACAUUGUAGCCUUUGCAUUCAUGGAAAUCGACCCCUUAUCGAUAUACUUUGUCAGAUUUACUUGACUCUUCGUAUCAACUAUUAGGAGAAGUCAAUUAUAUUUUUGCAAUGUUAUUUAAUAUUUAUUAACAAAAAUAAUAAAUAUUCAUCUCAUAGAGGUUCACAACACUUUAUACUUAUUAAGAAAUUGAAGUGAAAGAAUCGACAAAAAUAAGAAAUUGAAGAGAUAAAAUACUUUAUACUUAAAGAAAAUUACACACGAACCACCUGCAAGACAACGAACCAUAUCAUUCGCAUUACCUGAGAGUGAGUAAUCACAACACAACAGACCUUUAAUCUCAGCCAAAAAAUCAUUCAUCUCAUAGAGGUUCACAACACUAAGUCGAAGGACACAAGUAAGAUCAAAACAAUCAAACAAUCACAAUGAGAAAUAGAAUGACACUAGGAAAUAGAGAAAACAGAGACUGGAGCCGUUUGAUAAGGCCAAAGGCUUCCAAAAAUGUUAUUGGCCACUUUGAGAGAACGGGCAUGCAACCCGUAGAUGAGAGAGACCUUGAGAGGUCACGAACAACCCCACCCGCCCCAACAUCCUCCAACCACGAGGCGUCGAUAUUGAGCAUCCACACCCCAACGUUAGGCGGAAUCUAAGAAGCAUGAUGCACCGGGUUCCCCCCUCCUAAGCGAAAAUGGAGCCCCAUCUCCCUUCAAGUGUAAAGAAGAUUCUUCUCAACAGAGCAUCACGAUCAGGCUCGAACCCGCAACGCUUCACCACAUUUCCGUAAUUCCACACAUCCCACAGUAGGAUAGCCGCAAACCCUGUUACGCACCUCGGUCGUAGAAACCACCCUAUAUCAGCAGUUCGACAGACUCCAACAAUUCUUGAAAUCGCCAAAAAGCCCAAAUAAGGAAGGGAAGAAUAAUAAUCAAAUGCUUCUACAAAACUUGCAUCGCAGCCCAUAAAACAUUUCCUACAAAGAAAACAAAGCGGGUUAAUAGAGAUUCCAUUUUUUUACAAAUUAUGGCAAAGGUAGGGAGUCGGAGACAGCGUUCACCCUUAGGGGCACCUCAAGUUUCCAUAUAGCUUUCCAUAAAGGUUUCCAUCUAAAGGGGAGCCAACCCCGUCACGGAACACACCUCCCUCAACAGAAAGGUUUUCAUCAUCACCACGACAACCCCUAACAAGGAUAUUCAGGAUAGUCAUUGCAUCACUUGGGAGAAAAUUUUCGAAGACAGAGGACUUAUUCCACGCCCUAUCAUCAAUAAACAAAUCGUAAACCCCUUAGGAACCAUGGCUCCUAUUGAUACGUAUAUGUGUUCUCAACCCUCACCACAAAGCCAAUGAUUUCGUUAAUAUAAGCAGUGUUUUGAGGUAAAUUUGUUUUAUGAUCAGUUUUGUAAAAUCACAUUCUUUUUUCCUGCUAUAUUUAAUUCGUGAUCAUCACUAUUUUUUGCUAAAACAAUAAAAAAAAAUUAUGUGCAUCAAAAUUACUAUUCAUAUCACGACCAAAUGAAAGUUGUGACGUCUAUAAUUGAUGUAUUACUCUUCUUUUGAUCUUUUUGCAAAGCUCUUUCCUUGAGCCGUAAAGAACCUUCACAAUUUUCACUUAAGUUGAGGGAAAAAAAUGUGAUAAGUCCAAAACUUACCAGAUAUACAUAUACUUGAAAAUUAGAAAACUUGUUCGAAACUCGAUUGGAGGUCUAGAUUUUCAUUUAAACUUUAAAAAUUUUGGGAACUGAUUUUAAAAAUGGUUUUAACAAGAUGCUAUGUUUAAUGAAAAUCUCCUCCAACAAAAACUUUAAUGUUUGAAUCUCUGUUGUGUGUAUUACUAACUAAAAUGGGGAAAUGAUAAACUAAGAAAUUCAACAUCUUAUUAGCAAUGAAGUAUAUGAUUCAAAUCCUCCUCCCACUCCAACAACGCCUCUGCCCCCGAAAUGCAUAACAUAACUUUAAUGAACUAAAUUUCUCUAAUUUGUGUGUGUAGGCCUAUUUCGUUUUAAAUGGGCAAAGAUAAGGAGAUGAUUGUUUCAGAAAUAGAAAUAAAGGUUAAUAUAAAGACUACGAAACAAUAUAAGCAUAAUUGAAACCUACUAAAAUUUGGAAGUACAAUUGAAAUUACAAAAAUGUCACACAAUAGCAAAAUGUGCUAAUUUGUAUAAUGUGUAUCCAUCUUUUAUAAAAUAGUUGAAGAACAUUUGAGCUAAAAUAUCAUAAGCUUUAACAAAUUCAUGAAGCUAAACUAAGCAAGCUGAAAAUUCUCGACAAUCAAGAAUUUGUACAACACCGCAAAAUUUCAAUUCCUUCUCUCAUUCAUGAUUAACUGUCAGUCGAAGUAGUGUCAUGAGACGGAAUCUAUGGAAGAUUUCCUGAGGUAUUGGUGCCUCAAAGUGUUUAACCACCACAGCCAAGGAACGUCCCUUCUCUUGUUUCGAACUCAGUUUACUCAACUUCUUUGAUAAUUCUUCUCCUACGGAGUGGCACAGUCGAAAUGCUCCCAGGAGCGCUGUGAGCUUUCCUCCUCUCUUCUUUCCUUCUCUCGGCGUCAAUAAUCGUGCGUCGGAGUGCAGCGGCUUUGAAUAUCGGUUUCGGUAAGUGUCUAUGCCUGUAGUGAAAAACCCGAGUUUAAAGUUUUAAAAUCCCUUUCCAAUACUACUGUUUCCUUAUUGUUACAGCAUAUGAAACGGCAGUUAAGAACAAGAGACGGCAAUGAGGAAUCCUCUUUCCGAUGGUAAAAGAGAAACCGAUUAAAUGUGCGUGUGUAUGAUGCAUACACAUCAGACUUGGUGUCAUGAAAUUAUAGGAUGCAGAUAGAGGCUAAACAAAUAAGCAGUGCAUGAAUACCGGACAAGAGUUUUACCUCACAAUACGCUUAACCUCAGGAAGAUGUUUAUAACGAUUCUUAACAGCCUCUUGAUAUUCAUGUUUUCUUUUCUCCCUCGGAAGAAGCUGCAGCAAAUAUUAAUUUAGAAGUAAAUUGAUAAAUCCCAAAUGUAUUGAAAGAUAAAUGUAAUUGAAAACAAGAUAAACCCGAUAAAUUCAUGUGGUAGAUGUACUUGGACCAUACCAAUCUUGAGAUCACCUCGCUGUAUUAACAACCAUCUUCUCUAACAACUCAACUAAUCGCUAAUAUGCACUUAAUACACUCCAAUCAAAAGAGAAUUUGUAAAAUAAAAAUAGGGCUGUAAACAUUGACGUAUUCAUUAUCCAGCUCGAGCAAGUGCAGAUACUUGGCAAAAAUAAAGAGAGAGAGGAUUCUUACAACUCCUAAUUGUUCAGAUGCCUUGGCUUUCCAAAGCCGAAGGUUGGUGUCAUCACUCCCUGAUAUCACAUAACUUGCAUCACAGCUGAACCUGACGCAGAACACCCUAAAAAACCAAAAAGGAUGCAGUAACAUCAGCAAAAAAGAACGAUCAUUAUUCAUAUUUGAGCAUUCACCAAUCACAUUAAAUGUAUUGAAACUAAUUGCACAUCGGAAGGCUUCAAUCAAAUGAUAAACCUACAAAACAAAUAAUUAACUUGGACCAAAGGCUAGAAUAAUGGUGCAACCUUUGCAUUCUUUUGGUAUGAUAAAUCUCACGGCUGUGACCCCCGUUAUAUGGAAAGAUUCUUAUCUGCAAAAUUAAUUACAUGAUAGGUUAAAAACAUAACUUGAAAAAUAAGAUACAAAAUGUUGAACAUAACCUGGGUUGGAACUCACUGUUCUAUCGUAUGAGCCAGUAACAAAUUCUCGACCACUUGGUGAAAAAUCAAUAUCCAUUCUGAAAGAAAGUGCUAAAUGUUAACACGAGUUUUACUAAAGCUUGAAGUUAAGGAGUGGCACUAUUUAAUUCUUAUAAACCAAAAUAAAAAGUUUGUUUCAUACACUGCAGAUACAUGAUCUCUGUGCACACAUUUUGCCUCAUCAAGUUUCCUAGAAUCGUAGCUAUAACAGUUGCAAUCUUCAUUUGCCUGGAAAGCAUAGAGUAAGAGGAAUUAUUCUUAAGGGAACAAAGAACAAUUGUAAACAUACUAGAUGGUUAAAAGAAUGACAAGAACAUAAAAAGUUAGACUACUUAUAAAAUUUAAUGAGGCCUGCUAUAAACUAUUAUACACGUAAGAACAAAGAAGUAUUUGAUUAUUAUAUUGUCUGCAUUUUGAUAAAAGCAACAAAGCCAAAAAGCUAAGACAACAUCAAGCAAUAUCAAAUCUUAAAGAUCCAUUCAUGUGCUUACAGCAGUGAAGUUCAUUGGCUCCCUUGGAUUCCAACAAAUAGAAUUAGUUUUUGUCUGUCACAAGAAAGGUACCCAUAAGAAUACACAAAACGAAACAAAAGAUUUCAAAGCAACUCUUUUGACUAACUGCCACCAUCAUACCCUCAUAAUUACUUUCCUUGCAGGGGAUGACAUGCGCAAAUCAUACAAUGCAAUACUUCGAUCACUACAAGAUGAAAAAAAAUAGCAUAGAGGGUUAAAAAUACUCCCAUCAUAUAAAAAUGAAAAUGAAGUGAUCAGCAACACGGAAAAUUUUACUGGAUUAAACACCAUUACUAGUUCCAUAUUGCCCUUUUCAUCCUUUUUCUUUUCUUUUUUUCCUUUGAUAGAGCUAGUUCAAAUCCACACUACUUCAUUUAUGAAGAUGUAAUACAUAUAUUUAAUCACCACAAAACUCCCGACAUCCAUAAUAUCAGAGGUUCUUUUAACUCAGAGGGAAAAGAAAUCGUGUAUUUCCAUGAAUGCCCACUAUCAAUAGGAACUAUUUACUAAAGCAUAAACAACUUAUUGAAUCAAAUAUUCACAGAUCCCUGUCAUGGAGAAGUAGGAUAAAGAUAAUGUAAUAAUGCCCCAAGUAACUUUCACUCUGACCACGAAAAAAUUAAAUUAAAAAAAAUAAAAAAGCAAAAACAGAACCUAUUAGCUCAAAUUUUGUUUACGGUCCAAAAAUUGAUGCAACAAAAUGAGGGGCGGGGGGGGGGGGGUUGGAAAUAGUGGAAGGACAGAUCUUGUACAACAGAAAAAUGCAUAACAUGUAUUGACCAUUAUUUUUCUGUUUUAGUUCAAAUUGUGCAAGGUUCAACGAUCCACCCAUCAACCUAUGGCUAUGCUCAAAUUGAUAUGCAUGGACCGUUAGCAAGUAAACUAGCAUUUGUGAUCAUACAUACCUAGCCGACGUUGCCAGGACAUUGGGUUCCCCAGGAUUAAAACGAACAGAGAUAACUGAGUCUGUUCCCCACUCAUAACUGCUCACUGGUUGAGACCUACCAAAAAAAAAAAAAACUUCAAUAUAUAAUAAGGAAAAGAAAGUGCCAAGUGAAAUGAAUGGUGAUGAAUACCUGUUGUGAUCCCAGAUAUCUAAUUGAGCACCAGCAGUAGCAAAAAGAUUUCCAUCCCACUGAUGAUCAAUAGCCCUAUAAUCAGAAACUAAGGGCUCAAAAUUCAAAAAGACCUUUAAAUAAAAAGAAGCAGAAAAAAAGGGUUAUAGCAUUGUCUAAAAUUAGUAGCUUACCAGAAAGCAUUCUUCCAGACAUAAACUGCCAGAGGCUGAAAACAUGGUUUUCAUAAGGUUAGUUGGGAAUAACACAACAAAGAUAACUCAAGCAUUACAACGCAUGGAUAAUUCAAGUGCACACCUCGGAUGAAUUAUUUGAAGUUUCAUAUGAAUUCAGAGUGGGAACUGGAACAUUCCAUAGCCUGACACUAAAACAACAAACAAGAAAAUUUCGGUCCCAAGUAAAAAUUUAUAAAAGUCUUAACAUUCUACAAUGCAUCAAAUAAUGUAAUUACAAAAUUGUGUCUUACGUGCAAUCUGUCCCACAUGAUAUCAAGAUGCGUCCAUCGGUAGAUGCAGUCAAGCCUCGAACAGCACCUUGAUGUCCAGGAAACUGAUAAACAGUUCGCCUAUAACGUAUGUGGGUCAGCAUUUUUUUUUUUCAGAUUUUUAAUUGUAGCCUAAUUUGUGUCAAGCUUGUUGACCACUAUAAAAACAGAACUGCAUAGAACUAAAUGUUAAAAACCAUCAUCUUACCUGUUUGCAAUAUCCCACAGACGAAUAUCUGUAGACAUAAAAAUCAAUUAUUGAUGGAGAUAUAAAACAACAAAAAUGCAAGACAAAUUAAUAUCAUUGUUUUAAUGGAACAAGAGCAUUGCAGCACUAUUUACUGAAUGGAGACUACAAAUUAAAAUGAAGAAAAAGUAAAGCUAUUGCAAAUUAAGUAAAAAAUUCUAGAAUAUAAACACCCAGCAACAGUACAACUAUAAAUGGUUACCAGAACAGCACAAGAAUUAAACACAAACACACAAAGAAGUAAAUUUCCCAAAAACUUCCGACCAAACUUCUGUGAACUCAACAAAAAACAGAGGAAGAAAUCAUAAGGAAGAAGAAACUAACAAUGUUAACCUAGCAGCUGAAUCAUUGAAUAAUUUACCUCCAUCCAUCGAACCGGAAAAUAUCCCUUUCAAGUGAUUAGGAUUCUUCGCCAUACAUGAAACGGAGUCCAUAUGCCCAUCCAUUGCUCCUAUAAAUGGUUUUGCAAACAUCUAAACAUAGAAAACAUAAGAAUCUUUACUAAUUGAUUGAACUUUCCCAACAACUCGGCAACUUGAAACAAUGAUUCAAAUCCCAACAUUACCUUGUCCAAUUUCGCAGCAUUAACAGCACGGACAUACUCAACCGCCUUCUCUUGCGUACGGAGACUGGGGUCGAAGUUCCGAAAUACCCUCUAAUUGAAGCAAUACAGAGUCAAUACUUGAAGCAAGAUGAAAUCGAACAAUAAAUAAAUAAAUAAGUAAAUCCCGCCGGUUAAUCACCUGGAGGUCAUGGCUUCGUUCUCGAGUGAAUUCAUCAGUAGAGCGGGAUAUCACCUUGACCUUCAUCGUUGAGUAAAACCCUAACUAGGGAAAGAGAGGAGAUGGAGAAACGAGGUUGAAGGAGUUAAACCCUGCACUGAUGGGCCAAAUUAAGAACCAUCAGUUAAGUUUGUGAACCGAACCAACCGACUCCGGUUCAUAACGGCCGGUCAGUUUUUAACCGAUUUUGAUGCGGUGGCGAGAUGGAGGCUUUUGGAAGAAAAAUAGAAUUGUUGAACGGUGAAGAUGAAGGCUUGGGGAACUGGAGAGAAGCUGGCCGUGAACGUGGAGGCGAAGAGGAGCAGCUGAAGACGAAGAAUUUCGUGGAUGAGAUGAACGGCAGCUGAAGAUGGCCGCGCAGCUGGCGGUUCGAUUCGUGGGACUUGUCCAACUUUUGCACUCUAGGACACGUGCUCAAAAUGAGUGGCGGAUUACAAUUAUACCCCUGACCCGGUAUAUAUGGAUAUUAAUGGCUAAUUUUCAAUUUCCUAAUUUUUUUUGGCUAUUUAAUUCAGGUACUCGAAACUUUAAAUAUGUACCAAGAAAUUCAAAAUGGGAGAGCAUUGAAUUAGUCUAACAAAAAAUAAAAAAUAGUAUGACAAAAAAUAGAGUAAUAUUAAUGGUAGGAGAUAAUAAUUAGAAAGGGUAAAUUUAAUGUUUAAUAUGGAACGAUAAGGACAAUGCACCACAAAGUAGAUUAUUAGAACCACAAAAAUACAAUACCCACAAACUCUAAUAAUCAAUUUAGUAGAUUUUCUUUUUAAAAAAUGUUGAUUAUGAAGGAACUUUUUAAUACAAAAUUGAAUAUUUAAUGACUUAUUUAGAAAACAAAAUUAAAAACUCAAAAGUUUAUUAAGCACAUCUCGAAAUGUACGUAGAUAAACCCAAAAGCUCAAACCUUCUCUUGAAAUAUAGUAUUUGUAAAAAGAAACUAAAAUGAUAUAGUAUAUUAGUUUUUAUAAUAGAUACAUAUUAUAUGAACUGCUUUAAAUUUUAAAUUCUCUUCGAAAAGAGAAUGUGGGCAGCAAAACUAGGUAGUCACGAUCAUUUCAUCCCACCAAAAGAAAGCUGAAAAACAAGUAGCCAAAGAAGGACCAACUAAAAUGAAACCUAACUCAGUAGCAUGGGCAUAAGCUUGGUUGUUCAAUCUCCUUGUGCUUUAAAAUAAUGGUCAAAAAGGCCCAAAAACAAUAAAAAAGAUCGAUAACAUUUUAUACCAUGCAAAGAUGGGACACAACAUCGAGGUUGCAUCAAAUUAGACUAAGCAAAUAGAGAUUCUAUUCCCAAAAAAUCAAAUACAAAAAGAUCCCGAGUCAAUGGGAACUAAAAUAGGAACACCAUGAAAACAUGAAUAAGAUCAAUUCAAGCACGUUUUCGAACUCAUGGCUGUUCAUCAAAACUAACAAUGCACUGCUCGGAUGAGAUUAAGACGAUCAUAACUAAACUCGAACCCCGCAUCCCGCAUUAUGUUUUUGCCGUCCAGCAACAUGCUGGUUAGAAUUGAUAUCAAUCAGCAGUGAUUUAACCAUUCCUCUAAUUACAAUGGCUUGCUACUGUUCCUCUCUAUAUUCUGGGUUCUCCUGUAAAACAACGAAUCCUUCUAGGAUUGGCGAAAGAGGAAUGUACCUGAACAAACAUAAGCUAAGUUAGCUCAGGACUAAUCAAUGUCGAAGGGAGUUACACAAACAAUAAGGCUAAAUCUAGUACUUCUCAGUUGCCAGUUCUGCCCUGUCACCAGCAGCAAGAAGAACUGGGGUUGAGUGUGUUUGAAAACCAGUGAUUGUCUUUGGCCGACCCGCCUGUCCAACGACAUCAACAGCUUGACCCACCCGAACAGGUACUGAGAGAGGCUUAAGAUUCUCAUCCACAGUCAACAGCAUUCUCGGCUGCCAGACAUCAUAUUUGAAAGUAAGAAUGCUGCAAAAUAAUAUAAAACUGACUUCGACAAGAGUUGAACAACAACCAACACUGACCUGCAUUGCCAAGACAAGGUAGUAGAGCACAUAAUGAUAUUUCCCCAGGAUAAUGGCUUUCAUGUCAAGACAUGCAUGCAACGUAAUUAUUAAUCCUGCCAGCGCAGUCCUGCAAUGAAAAACAAGACAGUAGAUUAUAAAACAACUUCCAGAAGAUAAAGUAAAAGAACAAGGAUUCUCCAUAGCAGUCACUAACGGUGCCAAUAAGAAUCGGUCAGAAUGAUAAGGAUUCAAUGUUAACAGGCCCUUCCCCAAAUGUACAAGCCCUUGGGCAAUCCUGACCUGCAAACAUUUACAAGGUGAAGGGAUCAGACACUAAUUAUUCCCACAAAGUAGAAGGAGAACUCCAAAAUAUAAAAUUUCAGAAGCCUCAUUACACAGAAAAGAAGGCUUGCGUCUUUGUAGUAAUAACUCGAAAGAUUUCGAAGCAUGCCAGCUAUUCUUGCAUUAUUGGUUCCCGCACCAAUCAAACCCAAGGAGAUUACUGCUGCCUGUGACAUCCAUUUAAGAAUUGUGAUGUUGAAUCUCAACAAAAUUAAUGUAGACAUAAAAAAUUUUUAAAAAAAACUUUGCCCUCACCAUCGCUACUUCGGAAUCCGUGUCAUGACUCAGUCUGCUUAACGUGUCCAUAACAUUAACCUGGUCAAAUUAUCCAAUCGUACAAUUAAAUUUGGCAUGAAAACAUCCGCACUCAAAACCAACUCACCAAAAAACUUGCCUUGGCAUAAUGUAGCCUCCCUAUUAGUAGUAGGAAUUUGUGGCGACUUCUCUAUACUAGGACGUUGGAAUGUUUAUGUACAAGUAAUUGAAACAUGCUAUAAACCUUAGUACCAUACUGCUAACUGAUUUCAUUAAACUAUAAAGCUCUUGACCCUUGCAAUUACAAUUUUUUCCACUAUUUUUUUGCUCGAAACCUUUUUUGUAUAGUUUGGAAAUUAACGAAUAGAUUGAAACAUAACAGGUUCUUGGUCAAAGAACAAUUCACACUGACCUUGGGGUUUGAAAUACAAAGGAGGCCAAGAGCCAAGGGAACAGCACGACGAAUAUUUUGCUCUCCAUACUGCAAAAGAUGCUCUAAUGAACGAAUUGCCAUCUCCAAACCCAAUUCUUCGGCCAUUGCCACCAUUGCAAUUCCAAGCACAGCAGCUCCUUGGUGGGUUUCACCCUUCUCAAGAUGUUGAGAACAAUGACCAAGAAGGUUUUGAACCUGAAUGAGUGAGAAACAGACAACUCAGUUUAAUUCUUGCUGCAUUGUAUUUAUAAAUUGAUAAACAAAGCUGCAUACCUUAAGUACAUUCCCAGUUCCAGCAUAUGCACAGGAGAGCAACGUCAUGUCACAAUAUUUUCUGAUUUUCUCGUUAAAUGUCUUGGAAACCUCAGCUGUGGCCUCCACACUUUCCUGUUAUAACCAACAGAAGGGAGUUACAAAGGAAGAGCCUCAAUUUCCUCAAAAUGCAUAAUCCCUAAAACCUCAGUUCAAGGUCAAUUCUUAAAAAACAAGAAAACAAUCAUAAAUUAUAACAGAUAAUGUAUUCACGGUAGACUGCUGGCAUACCUGCUUUCCAAGGUAUAGAAGACCAAGGCUAAGUGGUAGAAGGCGACCUAGAGCAUCCCCCAAUUCAUUCUCAUUUCGAUCCAUUAAUGUAAAUAUAAUUGCUUGAGCAACCUCCUCAUUGCAGGAGCCAAGAUAGAUUAAGCCCAACGAGAGUGAAGUGAAUGCAAUCACAUCAAGUGAUGCUCUUGAAUCACUUAAUAUGGGGGUCAGUUUUCGACGUAGCUGGAAGAAUGUACAAUGAAAAAUAUCAAUUAGAAGUGAAAAAAAUAAUUAACAUGCGGAAACACACUGAUAAAGUAGAGUGUCAUAUAUUUUUAUAUAUUUUAACCAGAGACAAAUUUUUCCUUGAUAAAUGAAAAGGAAGAAAAAACUUUUAAUAUACAAAGUCCCAAUUAAUGUCAGGACAAAAAGAAAAGGACAUAAAAACCUGAAAAGAAUCAAACAAAAUAAGAAACCAAAGCACCAGUGACUGGUAAAAAUCCCAAAAGCACCAUUGGCACUGUCAGUGGUAAAAAAUGUAGUUUCCAAAAGACUAAUUCAUUCAUUAAACCAAAAAACAGAAAGAAGAAAGAUGGAUAACCUGCUCAUUUUGAGUUCCGGCAUACGUAAUUCCCAAGCCCAUUAUUGCACCUAUACGAGUCGAUGCAUCUUCUUUGUCUACAUAUUCUAUUAAAAGUGCUAAUGCCUGCAAAGGUGGAUGCCAAGGUUAAGAAAAUUGAAGUGGUUCCAACAUUCUACACAAUAAAGAAGUAACACUUACAGGAUCACAAUCAUUCUUGAUAGCACAAUUGACAAUACCAACUCCCAGCAAUGCACCAGCAACAACAUGGUUAUCGUUGCUGUGCAAAAAUUUGUCAAUUUGAGAAAGUCCAGCAUCCACAUCCCAAAGCAAAAUCAUACCCUGCAGUUAUGAUGAAAAAUGAUAAGACAACCAGAUACUAAUCAAAAUGGAAAGACAAAUAUUGUAAAUGAUAACUUACCAAACUUGCUGCAGCACUCAUCUUCCCAUGUUCUUUAUUCUUAAAUAACCAAUUUCCCGUAGAAGCACCACUGGAUGCAUCUGGUGUAACUGUCAUUAACUUAUCCUGGAAUGACAAUAAUAAAUGAUAAGCCAAAAUAAUAAGUCAUUUCCUCUGCAUAUCAAUUGAACGCCUUCUACCUGACCGAAACCAGCAUUCACAAAAGCAUUGACGAAGGUAGCAGCCAAAUUUUGACGAGCAGAAUCAACACUUGCACCAGCACUAGCCCGGCCAUCAAGCAAAUGUGCCUGAAAUAUUUCAUGGAUGAAAACCAGUAUAAUGAGAACGUGGAUGUAACACUCGUGAAUAACAAAAACAAUUAAAAGAAAAGAAGUUUACAGAAUUUUGUGCUUCAGAUCAGAAUAAAACUGACCGUCUUCAGACUCUCAAAUGGGUCACAGAAACAACAAAAUUGAUAAAAAUAAAUAAAUAAAUAUCAUACUAUGUGAAAACAACAAGCUAAACCACCUCAACCAAUGUAAAGGAUAUCGAAGUAAUGAACAAGCAGCCGUCAGAUACUCAACAACUAAGGAACAUUAAAAGCUAAACCGCAUUGUGUAUGGAUCAAACAGCCAUCUACAUCGUAAAAGUGUUAACCAAUCUUAACAGAAAGCUCCCUGAAGAAUCAGGAGUGUUAUACAUUUAAAAUAACUAAUGAAACUUUUUAAAAGAAUUCGCCAAAGAAACUAACAUCGGUGUAUUAUGGGGAAUGAAUAUCAUUUGCAUAGUCACUCAUUUAAAAAGGAUUAAAAUACACUUAACAGGAAAUGAAAUAACCAUCUAAAAUUAUGAAAAAAGUACAUGAAGAAAGAGUACAAACUGAGCCACCUGCAAUGUCUUAAUUAUCUUUGAUUACAGUUAACCUUAUGUUCACUCAGAAGAAAGUGUUGCUAAAGCAACUCCUCAGACAAAAACAACAGAACUACUGUACUUCCUUUUGUGAUCUUGUACAAAUUAUGACUUAUAACCAGAGUGCCCUCCACAAGUCUUUAUGAAGUAUUUAGUAUCAACCUAGACAGCCUUUCCUUCGUUUAACUACUUUGUGGCAUGAGUUUCUUCUUCCCUUGAUCUUUUAGGCCAUUCUGUCCUUUUGAAAAUAUUGUUUAUUAUCCUAAGAAAAUGAAGAAAAAUACUCCAAGGAUUGUGUAUUCUUUCAAACACUAUCUCAAAGAGAAUACCCAUACCUUAUAGAUGUCUUCUGGAGAUUUAGGCUCCAUGACCUCAAUGUCACGAGCCAGUGUGAGAUAACCUUCACUUAGUUUGGAAUUAUUGAUAAUUUCCUGCAAUGCCUCCCUAUCAUCGUCAUCUGCACACAUCUCCUCGUCAAGCUCAAAACAAGUGCCCUGUGUGAAAUGAAAUUUUUUAAAAAAUGAACCAAAUGAAUAGAUAAUAGUUGGUCACUGAAGAACUGGUCAUGUCAAGCAUUCAUAAAUCAUAAAUGCUGUAUCUCACAAAAUAAUCCAGCAACCAGCCUAUGAUGGUAGAUAGUGAUACAUAUGCACCAUAGUGUACUAUACAAUCUUGUACCCCACUCAACCAUCUCUUCACGCCCAAAGGAAUCAAAUUCAAGGCAAUACGGGAAAAACUACUACACAAUUGUGACAUUGGAUUCACAUUCUAAGCAUUUUACCCAAAACCAAAACCAAUACAUCAAUUUUGUAUAAGAUACAAAUUAAAAUUGGAAACAAAACGCUUAACAUUAAUGCAUCAGAAAAUAGAUCCAAUGAAUCGAUAUCAAAUUAGAUAAGAAUUAAAAUAUGGAUUUUUCAAAAGUUACCUGUCGAGCAAGUAUGUACGAAAAUUGCUUUUUACGCUGCAAAUCAUCACAGGAUUGAUAGAUCUGCCUGACAUACUGACAACAGGCAUAUUAAAUUGUUAGAAACAGACAUAGGUGGUUUUGGACAAAGUUCAAUGGUUAAGUAGUAAAAAUAUACUAGUUACAUAAAAAUUGGAGAAGGGCAAAAGUGUUAAGGUAAUAAAUAGGGGGAAAACCUGCAAGUUGUCAAGGAACAAAGCAAUCUGAAGCGCAUUGGUAUAUUCUUCAAAUUUUAGAUAUAUCAUAUAUGCAAUGUCCAAAGCUAGCAUGUCAUCAGGUCCAGGUAGAUAUCUGUGAUGUUAGCUGAGUUAACUAUCAUAAUCAAGGAAAUUUAUUCAAAAAAAGGAAAAGGAAAAACCAACACUAGUGGAGGCUAUAAGUUUGCGUGGAGGUUAUAAGUUUGCAAAUAAAUAAUAAUCAUAUACUAUGACUUCUUAAUAGAAAAUCUAGCCUCUUCAAGAAAAUAUUACAGAGAAGCAUACAAGACCAAAAAAAUAAGUUAAAAAAUUAACAGAGCUCCAAUCUAAAAUAAUUGAGCUUACUGGACAAUUAAACCAUUGGGACCAACAUCAAAAGAUAUUAAACCUUAAGACAAACCAAGCCUCUCUCAAGACCACUAAACCUGUCUAAACAUCCUCCUUAUAUUCUCAAGCAAAGACCACAACACCCCCCACCCCCCACAAAGAAAAAAGCAGAAAAAGCCAUGAGGCCUGUUCAAAAUUGACAAAGGUCUAACAGGCGGUAACAUAUUUCUUCAUUGUCAUAAUAUAAUAUGUCAACAUUCAACUACUAAAUAGGUAAACCAUUUACUUUAGAAGAAGGGUAAAACAACAAUAAAUUGAUUUCCUCGUAUCACAACCAUACACAUAAUUGAUAAGACAUUACACUCGUCCAUCAUAGACAGAGAACCAAAACAAGUUAAAGAGAAAAACCAUUCGUAUCAGACAAUAAUUCCUAUAAUAUAGCAAAACUGAAGGAAGUGCAAUUAUAUGAAUUACAAGAAUUCAAAAAAAUGAUCUUGCAUACUUGGCUGAACUGGUAAGAUAGAUACAGGUCCUUUUGAAAUUUGUGCUGUCAACAUGCUCAACUAACAGAUCAAGAUCUUCAACCUGGUAUAAGUCAAUUGGAUAAUUCAGUCAGUCAUACACCAUUCCCCACCCCCCACCCCAAAAAAAAUACCAAAAAUAACAAUAAUAGAAAAUAGGGUCUCACCUCCAUUAGUAGAUCAACAGCUUCAGGUUCGGCAUUGUGCUGAAGAUCAAUAACAUUAAUUAGAGACGUUGCUAAAAGUAUGGUCUUAUCUACAGAAAACUAUGGCUUGGUGUCCAAAGAAGAUUCAAACAAAGUUUAUCAACCGUCUUAUUAUAUAGACAUACUUUCAUGUGAAAAGCAACAAUUUCUUGAACAAGUUCCAUAAGAUCAUCAAUGGGAGCCUCUUCAGCCUGAAACAAAGAAAAAAAGAAAAAAGAAGGCAGCGGUAAGUACAUCUCUAUAGUAGAAAAAUAUUAAAUGAAUACCAAGCAUAAAGACAGCAUGCAUAUUUAUGUUAUAAUCUCUUAAUUAGAUCAGAAAAGAAGAAAAGAGAAGUUAUUGCAACUGCCAUUACCUGUCGCUUGGUGUAUUCUUGAGCAAUCUCUCCAGCCAAGUUCCUGAGGUUACAAAUCAUUAAAAUUUAAUGAGAAUAAUACAGAUACUACUUUCUAAAAUAUUUCUAACGAGUGCCACUCUGACCAGGAAAAAAAAAACAUGUAUUUAGAAGCACUGGAAUGUUGUACUAACCAUACGCUCACCUUACAUACUCAUGACCCCAUGAACCAAUAUCACCUUCCGAACCUAAUAAUCUGUAUUUCAGGCUUUCCUGAGAUAGUUUCACAAGCAAUGAUUUAUAUGUAAGUACAAUUGCAAAUGGAUAUGUAACAGAGCUAGAAAAGACAUACACAUACGGGCAUAAGACACAGAGACAUCAAAAGCAAAGAAAAUGCUCCAUACACAUGAUAUUAAAACAAAGAAAUGAAGUAAACAUAUUGCGAUCAAAUAUUAUGGAAAGCAGACAAACCCGUUCUCCCUCUGCAGACAUUGUCAGUGCCAAUACUGAUAGAAUGUCCGCCAUGUAUUUCUGCAAUUUAGAAGCAAGUAGAGUUACAAUUUUUAGAAAAACUAAAUCGAUAAUGGGAAACAUAUUAAAAUUUGAAGGGCCAUAAUCAAGAAGACGACCUUUAAAUCUGUGUCUGCCAUUGUUUCAUAAUAAGCUUUCAAGGUUCCAUAAUGUGGGCGAAGGAACUUUAGAGGCUUUGGAACAGAAGUCAUAGAGCUUGUGGAGGUUCGGAUUUCCUGCCUAGAAUUAAAAAUUCUCAAAUAAAUUCAAAAAAUAAAAGCCCGAAGAAAAUGUACACUCUGCAUAAACCUAUUCAACCCGACAUGCCAAUCUAUAUCAUAAUUGUAAACCUCCACACUCAGUGUACAAUACCUAUAAAGCAACAGUUUCUGCAUUAACUGAAUUAUAGAUAAAAAUGCAAACCUCAUACUCUCAAGGGCAACUUUCUGCAACCCAGGAUCGGGGUCUUGAACUCUCUCCACGUACAACUCCAACUGUUGCUUCAAGGCCAGAUCCUCCUCCGACUGUACAAGCAAUAACCCAUAUCAGAUCAAUACCCAACUGACUACAGGAAACACAAGAGACACAUGAACUAAUCUACGCAUUCCCUUGGCUUCCAUUCGUACUACGAAUUAACCUCAUACAAGUACAGAAACGACUUAAGCUAAGCUGAGUAAACAAAUUUCAAAGUACACCAAAAACGGUUUACACCAAACCGACCAUCCCAAGUUGAAAUUUGGGUUUUUCUGAUGUCCUGGAAAUCAAACAGCACUAACUAGUGAAGAAUUGAAUGAAACAUACCAGAUCCUCAUCCUUCUUCUCAUCCUUCUUCUUGGGGUCCUUCGAUGGGACCUUCAGAGUGGCCUCCUCACGCUGGGUGUUGUUACUAGCACCGCCGCCAGCAGAGCCAUUGGGGUCACGCGCCAUUGAGCAGAGAAGGAGAUAAGCAGAAUCAAAACCCUCGAAUGAAAUGGCAAAAUGAAGAAGACGAGAAAAAGGGAGUGAAGUAAAUCAGUAAGAGAAAUGGAAAUGGAAGAAAUUGACCCCGAAUGAUAUGGGGAUUGUGUGUAUGUUCUUCUACCGAAGAAAAUAAGCGAAAGGGUAUUGCUUUUUCCUUUUCCUCCUGAGCAAGAAACUUGAACCUGGGGUGUUUUAGGGGGUUUUCUCCUCUCUCCAGUCGGGUCGGGUUAUAUUCGAUCGUGUGACUUAAUGGGCUUUUCUGUGGACUUUGCAUGGGCCCAAUCUAAUUAGACCCGAACAAUUCUUGAGUGCUCCUCUUUUAUUGGGCUUUUUCAAAUGCAGCCCAUAAAAUCAUUGUCCUACGCAAUGUGUUGGAUAAUUGAUACUCACUAUGCUAUACUUAUCCAUUAAAUUUACUAACAAUCCUCUUCCUAAGAUUGAAGUUGUUAGUUUUUAUAGUUGUAUCUAAUUUAUAAUACUUUACCUAUUACAUAUUUUAGUUUUAAAAAGAUGGAUCUAACUUGUAACAUAAUAUACUUAUAUUUCCAAAUGUUCAUCGAAUUGAAUUAUAUGGAAAGUGGUAAACUUAAAUAUUGUUUUAAUCACGAACAAAGGAGAAAAUGAAGUUGGGCCACCCAAAUAAAUUGAUUGGUAUCUUCCUUGUUACGGCUAAACUAAAUCUAACAAGAAAGUUGAAAAGGGUCCCCUCUAAUGAUAUAAAUGUAUAUGUGCCUAGAAAUACAACAUUAUCAUACCUACUUUAUCAUAACAUUGUCCAUUUCUUAGACUAACAAUAUUCAUCCUUUUAUUUCUUUCUUUCUUUUUAUCUAGUUGAGCAUAAUUAACAUUUAAAUCACAUGGAUUGAAUUUAUUUUAAACCAAUCGAGUUCGGGAUCAAUUUUGUAUGAACAAAAUCUAACCUAACUAACUUGAUUUCGAGCUUGAGGAGGUAAGUCUCAAAUUUUGUUUCCAUUCGAAAGUCAUUGGAUAAAGAUUAAAAAUCUUGCAUCCUUAAUUAAUUUCUUGGUGGAAUUGGAAAUUUAGAUUCACUUUAAAUGUUUUAAAUUUUUUUGGAGGUUGCUAUUUCAUGCAUAUUAGAGAUGUCAUAUAGAACGUCAUAUCAAUCACACAUAAGAGUUGGUAAUCCAGUUCGGUGAUACAAUACCUACGUUUGGGGCAGGAAAAAUAGUAUACUAACAUAGUCAAGUUAAGUUAUUACAAUGUUGUACUUAUAUGUAGUUAAUCAUUAAUACAACGGCAAUUGUAAAAUCUAACUCGUUUAAAAUUUUAGUCUCUCCUAAAUGCGAGACUCCCUUUCUCUUUGUACUUAUGCUCACCCUAAGUAUGUGAAUAUCAAUGAAGUAGACUUAGACUCACUAUAAGUAUGUGAGACUCUCUCUUACUUGAGGUUAUCUUUCCUUCUUCAUGUGAACUCCGUUCAUUUGAGCAACUUAGGCUCCCCCAUUUGAGAACUCCAUUCUCGUGAGAAUGUGCCUUAGGAUUCCUCUAAGGCUGAGAAAUCCUUAUCGAAUGAUUUGACUUCAGGCUCUCAUCCUAAAGUUGUAUAUUGGUUCACACAUUCUUAUGCAAUCUUAGCAUAAAUAAUUCGCAAAAUGUGUCACCACACUUGAAGAAAACUCAAGUAUUCAAACACAAUAAUUAGUGCAAAAGUCACUAACAAGUAACAAAGCUCUAUUAUCAAACUCAUACAACAUAUGCGUACGACAACUUUGAUAAGAACAAAUUCUUGAGCUUAACUAACACAUGGAGAAUAUAAAAUAUUAUCAAAAUAAAUGGACAGACCACCGAAAAUAAAAACGUACUUCUUACGAAUAACUUAAUAGCUUUUAAUUUUUCUUGUAGGGAACUUAGACAUAUACAUUUAGACUUAACAUUAAAGAACUGAUAGCUUUUAAUUUUUGUUCUUCCACAAAUUGAGAUGUACCAACUCGUAAAUUCAAAGUAUAGUUUCACACGUACCAAGUUUUGUAAAGAAAUGUAAACAUUGAAUAUAAUCUAUAAAAUCUCAUUAUGGAAUUUAUUUCCAAAAUGGAAACACCAUGUUUUUUUCUUCCCUUCCAUUCAAAUCACAUCCAAGAACAACAUAUCCAUUCAAGUUGUGCAAAAACAAUCACAACUCAAAGAUAAUAAACACACACACAACAUAUAUAUGAAAAAACUUCCAUAGAUUUAAGUUAAACCCUAAUUAAAAUCCCCCCUUCUCUUCAUCAAGGAAGCAAUCCCUCACUCCUCUCAUACUCCUCCAUUGAAUCGAACUCGUACUUUGGAUACUUCUUCUUACUUCCGUACGAUCCAUUUUCUUCAUCAUUCCUCGAGUUAAUGUCAUGAAAAUACCUUCCAUUCUCCAUGAAUCUGGUAUCGCUCAUCCCUUCCUGCUCUGUCGGUUCGAAUCGGCUCCUCCUGUACCCGCCCUCUUCAAAAUUCCUCUGGUCCUCGUAAUUUCUACCCUCAUUGUUAUUGUUCUCGUACUCCGAAUUUCUGUACUCAUUGCGGUUAUCGUACUCGGAAUUUCUAAACCCAUUGUUGUUCUCAUAGUUCUUGUUCUGGUACUGCUCCUCCUCAUUUCUCGUUUCAACAAAAUUGUUCAUCGGAAACCCAGAUUUGUCAUUCCCCUCGUCCUGAUCGCCUUCUCCUCCGAGAAUCUCCUCUUCCACGUCGGUAAUCGUCCGAGUGUUUUCAUCGGCAUCGGGAUCACUGCCGUAUAGACCGUAAGCAUUCUGGGAUUCGUCGAAAAAUGGCGCAGGAGCCGGUGUCGGUGCAAGAGAUGGAGAAGUCUCAGGCGGAACAGAGAGGGGCGCCGGGGAAAGUGUGUUGGGAACAACCUCGUGAUCUGUAUGAAUGAAUUUACUGAAGAAUUUGUUGACUCUAGCUUCAAUUUGAACAGAGGAGAUAAGGAGAAGGAAGAAGAAGAAGAAGGAGAAGGAGAGAUGGUUGAACUUGAAAGUAGCGGAAGCUGAAGCUGCUGCCAUGGCUACUGAAGCAAAACAAAAAGAAAACAAAAAAGGUAUGGAAAUGGAAGGAUCGUAAUGGGUGAAUUUAUAUAAAAAGAGAGAGAAAGGGGUUGAUGGGAACUUUGGAAUUGUUGUUUGUGUGAUUAUGGAGGCGAUGAAUUAUGCGGGGAUUGAGGGAAUUAGAUGAAGAAGAAGAAGAAGAAGAAGAAGGAAGUGUGGGACAGAGGAGAACAUAAUGGUAAUGGAAAGAUGGAGUGCACGCUGACGCUGCAUGUGGAAAGCACUUGAAUGUCCACUAUUAUAGGCGCACCUAAUUUUUCUUCCCCAAAACUACAAACAUUUCCAUAUUAUUAAUUCCAAUUUUACCUUUCUAACUUUUAAAUUUGCUAUACAUUACACUUUCAUCUUUCUAUUUAAUUCAAAUACUAUUUUUGUUAUAUAAUUACAAGUUCUCUUUAAGAUUAUAAAAAUAAAACUAUCAUAACUUAACUAAAAUGAUGUUAAUAGUCCUAGCUAAUGGGUAAUGUGUAGCAAGGAGCUAGCUAUAAUGAACAUUUUGAAAGUAUAAUGAUACAAAUUUAAUGAAAGUUGAGAGCAUAACGAUCAAGAUCAAGAUAGUAUUUAAAUUAGCUUGUGUUUAUUUAGUCUCAUGAUUUCGUAAAAAUGCUAAUAUCUUUUUAGGAACUUUUAGGUUUUAUUUAUGCAUUUGAUAAGGCGUUGGAAUUUAAAUGUUGAGUGGAUUUUUGACACGUUAUUUUUUAUUAGGCACUUAGUAAAAAGUUUAGGCUCCGUUUGUUUUGUGAAAAAAACAAAAACAAAUUCUUAUUCUCCAGUGUGUUUGAAAACAUGUUUAGUUUCAAUUUGAUAUUUUAAAAUUCAAAUUCAAAAAUAAAAAAGUUUUGUGUUUCAUUGUGAAUUGUGAAAAUGCAACUGUAUAUCUCACAUUCACAGUUAUUUUUAAAACAAAGAAUACGACAAUUUAUUGUCUUCGAAAAUGGGUUAUUUCUCGUGUUGUUUUCAAAAAUCCUUUUUACAAUCAUGUAUACCAAACACGUUUUAAUUAUUUUAUUUGUAUUCUUUUGUUUUUUAAAAUAUACAAACGAAAAUGAAAAUGAAUCACAUAUCUAACAGAGCCUUAGGACAUAAAUUUAAAUUUUAUGUGUAAUAUCCUUAGGCUAGUUUUUCCAAAGUUUGAAAAGGUUAAGGGUCUAUUAAAUACACAGUAACUAACUCUUUUAAGCACAAAGUUCAAAGUUUGUUGAUCUUUUAAGACACGUACUUAAAAUUUUAAGAAUUGAAGAUGUAACUUAUCAUACUUUUUUCACCCACAAUUAUAUUUUUCUUAGUUUUAAAUUUUCAUGAUUGAUUGUUUUCGUCUAACAUUUCAUAGCGCAGACUAUAAAGUUCAUAUGUUUUGAAAAAUUGUUUUAAAAGAUUUACAAUAUGAUAUUAUUAUUUUUUGUUUACUACAAUUACUAAGAUUUUUGAAAAGAAAACAAUUUAUCUUUGUAUUCCUCUCACUCUCUCUUCUUUUGCUUCUCCUUCCCUUAACCUUGCAUGCUCCACUUUAUAAAGUUACGUGACAAUUAAAUCACACAUUACUUGCAUGCUCCACUUUUAAUGUAAUUACAUCCAAAACACACAUUACUUUCUUCAUUUUCAGUAGGAAUAUAAGUUUAUUCCCACCGCAAAGUUACGUGACAAUUCAUGAAUGACAAGAUCACCUCAACUAACAUUAAAAAUAUUUGUAUUAAAUGAAAAUAUGAAAAACGAUAAUCUUUUUUAAUCCUACUUAGUAAAAUGGAUAGUUAACCAAAAGGUACGUUUGAUGAGAAAUUCUAUAUAAAAAUAAUGGAAAUGAAAAAGAAGAAGAAGAAGAAAAAGAAAAAAAGAAGAGAAAAUUAGGAAAUGUUCCAUAGUCAAAAAGGUACCAUUUUGUUUUUUCCUUUAGUGGUCGUUAAAAUUAUAGUGUAAACACUUUUUUUUGCUUUUCCAUGGACAUUAAAAGAGAUUGGACUAGAGAUGAAGCCAAUUACCAACCAUCCAUUUUUAUUUACUUUAAAAUCAUCCACCACUUUUUGUUAGUUGAACUAUUUACAAAUUAUAACAAAAGAAAAAUUAAUUUAUUUCAGUUCAGUUCAUGUACACAUCAAUAAAAAUCUAUUAUUGUUACUAUCAUUCAAAGAAAUCGAUGCAAGUUUUAUCAUCGAUAGAUGUUUCUGACAAAUUUACGUAGGAGUCAGCAUUAUUUGUUUUUAAUGACUAUUGAUGGUUUUUCUAUUACGUAAAUAAUCUGAUAUUUUUUCUCUCUUCAAAAAGUUUCUCCUUUAAAUGUACCAACGAGAACAAAAACAAUUUCCACGUUAGAAUAGUAUUAAAAAAAUCAUUUCUUUUGUGUGAAUUUAUAAACUUUUAUUAUAUUUUUUGUUAGGAUUUUAUGAUUAUAGUUAUAAUACAGAUGUGAUAAAUAAAUUUAAAUAUUUCAAAUAAAUGACAAAAAAAAAAAAAAAAUAGAACAGCCACUCAACUAGUAAUUUAAGAGUUAUAUUUGAAACUACUUAUACGAGAGUAUUUGAGGUAUAUACUUUUUAAGUUGUUUAGAUUUCUAUUUUUGCAUUUAUUGGGAUGAAAUUAAAAGGGGAAUAAAUAAACACAAUAAAAAGCCUUAAAUUUGAACUUAGUUUUGGUAAAAGGUAAGGAGGAAGAAAAGAAGAAAGAUAUGAUUGAAUUGGAAGGGGUGGGAAGAGGAAGAUUUGGGGACGUGAUGUUGAACAAAAUGAUAAAGUAAAGUUGAAGGAAAUAUGGAUUUAGGGAUCCAUGGCGUAAUCAUAGGAACCAAUUACCUCCACAGCCCACACCCUUUGCUUUUUCUAACUGUUUAUGUCGCCUUUUCAUUUAUUGGUUAAACAAACUCUUUGACCUUUACCUCUCUCUCUCUCUCUUUUAAUUCAAAUCUCUACUUCUUUUUUCUUUAGCUUUCUAAAUAAAAGGGAAAGUUUGGUGGACUAUGACACAGAGAAAUGUCACCUCUCACUUUGGGCUUUCGGCCUGUAAUGCAUGCAUAUUGUCUGGGUUGGGCCGGCCCGGUUGCAUGACCCACGGUUUGGAAGGUGGAAACUAGAGUCCAAUUGUUUGCUUUGCUUUUACAAAGUCGAAGCCCAAUUGUUGAGAUUUAGAAACAAUUGGGAUAUGGUAUAUUUAAUUAUUAUUUCAAAAAUUGUCAUCAAUUAUCUUUAAUACUUUGAUAAUUAAAUCUAAAAUUUUCUAUGAAUGAAACGUAUGUAAUUUGAGUAUGAUUACUGUAUCAGGUAAAUUUGGUCAUAUUAUUUUAAUUUUAGCUCACCCAACUUUCACAAAACCAACAAUUUAGUACCAAUUUUUUUAUAUCAUCUAAAUAUAUUUUAUAUAAAAAUAAAAGUUAUGCAUACAAAAUUUAGGAUGAAAUUUCAGUGGAAUGUUUAUUUUUUUGGUAGAACAAAUAUUUUAUAUUUUCUGUAGUAUGAAUGAGAGGAUUUGAAUCUUAACUCUAGAAAGGUGAGUAGUGAGCAGUGCAUUUCGUACUUUAAUUUAUGAUUACAUCAACUAUACUAUGUUUUAAUUAGAUUAGAUUGUUAGGCAGUUCCAUUUUCACUGGCUUAAGAAAAAAAUCUUAAACUCAUACCAACGUUAAAAAAAAAAAAACUAUUUAGUUUAAAUGAUAAGAAAAAAAUAUAUAUAUAUAUAUAACAUGCAUUAAAUAACCAAAUAUGAUUUUUCUAAAAUCAUAUUAAUUUGCUUAAUGUGAAAUUGACACUAGUUGAAGAUAAUGUUUCUUUUAAAAUAGGGUGAUAAUUAAUUUUGAUUUUUAAAUAAUGGAUGAUUUGAUUACCCUCCUACUUUUAAAUUUAAACUUUAAUGAAAAUGGGAUGUUUGAUAACUAUAUGUAAUUGAGGUAGAUCGAUAAAAAAAACGUACGCACUGUUUAGGUGUACCAAGAAUUGAAGAGGUUUAUUAAUUCGUGUCAAUUUUUUCUAUUACUUUAUUAUUAGAUGAUAGUGUAAAGGGGAUGUUUGAUAACUAUGUGUAAUUGAGGUAGACUUGGUACAAAAUCGUUUACACUGAACACGACCGAUUAAUCAUAUUUUUGUUAUUUGUUUUUUCUUUUUUUCAAAAUGUAAAUAUUUUCGUUGUUCAAUAAAAAAUUAAAACCUCCCAAAGAAAUAACUACAACCAAAUUUACAAAAUAAAAAGAAACAUAAAUGUAAAAUGAGAGGAAUAAGUUUUUUUUUUAAAAAAACCCUAAUGUUAUUUUAAUGAAAAAAAAACCCUAAAUUUUGGUUUAUGAAAGGAAGGUUGUUGAAGAAGGAUAAUUUCUGGAACUUUCUACGGAGUUUGCUCAAUCGAACCAAUAGUGUUUAUUCUUCUAUGCCCUUGAAGAACACCAUCGGAAGAAGAAGGGACUAACCCGAGGGAUAGCGUAAAGGGGAGAUGGGAAUCGACUAUUACAAGGUUUUACAAGUUGAUCGCAAUGCCAAAGAUGAUGAUUUGAAGAAGGCUUACAGGAAGCUCGCCAUGAAAUGGCAUCCCGAUAAGAACCCAAAUAACAAGAAAGAAGCCGAAGCCAAAUUCAAGCAGAUCUCUGAAGCUUACGAGGUUCGUCUUUCAUCACUUUCCCCCCUCUCUUAUCUGAAUAAAAAAGCCCACGACUUUGUUGAGAUCGAUCCAUCAGAUUAUUGCACUUGUCUGCGUUGAAAUUGACAUGUGGUUUGCCUCUUAUGUCUUAUAUUGAAUAUCAAUACUUCUGGAAUUCGUUCUUCUAUUUCUCGGAUUUUUCGAUUACCUCAUGUUAGAUUUGGUUCUGUGGUUCUGUUUGAAUGUUGCAUUUAGGUUCUUAGCGACCCCCAGAAGAAAGAAAUUUAUGAUCAAUACGGUGAAGAGGGUUUAAAGGGUCAGGUGCCGCCGCCUGAUACUGGUGGCCCAGCUGGAGGGGCUUCUUUCUUUUCCACCGGCGACCGGUCAUCAACAUUUAGAUUCAAUCCGCGCAAUGCUGAAGAUAUUUAUGCUGAAUUUUUUGGGUCUUCAAACCCGUUUGGAGGAAUGGGAGGGGGACCAAGGUUUUCAAGUAGCAUUUUUGGUGAUGAUAUAUUUACUUCUUUUAGAGAAAGUGGGGGAGGAUCCAUGAACCAAGCGUCUUCUCGUAAAGCUGCUCCAAUUGAGAAUAGAUUGCCUUGUAGCCUUGAAGAUUUGUACAAAGGAACUACCAAGAAAAUGAAAAUAUCUAGAGAAGUUUCAGACACGACCGGGUAAUCAUCUUUCUUUGCUGUACUUAUACUGAUUUGAUUGCAUGCAACUUGUUUGCUCGAACUAGUUUUAAAGUUUCGUCCUUCAAUUAUCAAAAUGACUGUUCUUUUCCAUUUCCCAAAUGGAAAUGUUGUUUUAUAAAUUUUGUGUGUGACUAUGUAAUUUGUGGUCUUCAGCUCCAAGAGCUCUACCAUUUACUCUGGAUUGUUGUUGUUCGCCCUCUUGAAUAUUUGGUCUUAUGGAUGAGUUUGGCUAGUUGUCUGUUACGGUUGCAAACGGGGUAAAUUCUUGUUUCUUGCUAUUUAGGAAAAGGAACUUUGUUCGUUAGAUGCAAUAUAUGUAUGUGGGGGUCAUGAAGCAUGUAGGAUAGCUUCCAAAUUUAGUUUAUUUUGUGGAUUCAAUGCUCAUUUGAAGCUGCAUGUUUCCCCCUCUUAUUCUCUCUAUAUACACUCAUCCAUCUCUCCCCUCUCUCUGUCUCUCUCUCCACAUUCCUUUUGAACAGGAAGAUUGUAACAGUGGAAGAGAUCUUAACAAUUGAUAUAAAACCAGGUUGGAAGAAAGGAACAAAGAUCACAUUUCCUGAGAAAGGGAAUGAGCAGCCUAAUGUAAUACCUGCAGAUCUUGUUUUCAUCAUUGAUGAGAAACCACACAGUGUGUUCACUCGUGACGGGAAUGACCUAAUUGUCACCCAGAAGAUAUCUCUAGCCGAGGCAUUGACUGGUUACACUGUCCAUCUUAACACCUUGGAUGGGAGAAGUCUAACGAUCCCAAUUAACAAUGUGGUAAAUCCAAGUUACGAGGAGGUUGUCCCGAGAGAAGGAAUGCCUAUGCAGAAAGAUCCAACAAAGAAGGGGAGCUUGAGAAUUAAAUUUAACAUCAAGUUCCCAUCAAGGCUGACUACAGAGCAGAAGGCUGGGAUCAAGAAACUCUUGGGUCAGUAAUAUUAUGAUUUGUUGGUUUGGUUUUCUGUAAUCAACCCAGGAACCACUCAUUGCGAAUACAAUACAGUGUUUGAAAAUUUUGCUAAAAUGGGCCCAUCUUGUUUUUGUAUUUAAGGAAUUCAUUAACUUCUCCGUAAAUAUAUUUCCUUAGAGUAACAUCAAAUGAAUUCUUUAGCCAUGCAGUAAUUUCUUUUCUACCUAAAAUAGGUGAAUGCUUGCCAACAUUUGUAUCAAGAUUCAAACGUUGGAGAGCUCAGGUUAUGAGGAUUCUCAACUUCUGUAGAUCUGUUUUUAUUUAUUUGAUAUUAUACCUAUUGAAAAGAGUGCGAAGGACAUUCAUUGUGGAGGUGAUAAUAAAGCUAUUAAGUAGAAGUUGACCGAUUGUAAUCAAUGACUACGUGUUGUCUCUUGUUAGGAAAAGUCAUGUUCACAUUAAUCAAAGUUGUGCAAGAUAUGUACAAUGAUAUUACAUUAGUUCUAAGGUAUCUAUCAACUUCCUAUCAAGACCGUGGGCAGAACACAGCCUAAUUUUUUGAAUCCUGUUUUAGACUUUUAGUAGCUGUAAUCUGAGGAGGAGGCAGAUUGUAUAUCUUCUGAUACCAUACUAUCCUAUAAAUUAUUUUCUUCAUUGUGCUCCCCAUUCUGUUCAACGUUACCCUUCUCUCCAUCAACAGAAAGGUCAUACUCAUUGCCUUCUUCGUCCAUGGUGUGUACACCCCUCUCUCCGUCUCCAUCAGAGAGAUCAUGUUCUAUGUUUUCAUCCAUUUCAUUACUUUGGCUAACUGGUGGAUAGUCAGCUUGUCGAGAUCGAAUAUGGUCAUCUACUGGCAUAUCGUUAUAUUCAACUCUGACAAUGUUAUCUAUGGAAAGGAACUUACCAGAGCUGCUUAGACUUUCAUUACUUUGUUGAAACAUCCUAAUGUUUCGGUUGUCAUCCCAUUUUUACUGUUGUCUUGGGAUAAUAUUGAUGUCUCAGUGGUAUUCUGAGGCAAUCACCGGUCUUCAAAAACGGUUAACGCCCUUGAAACUCACAUCUAGUUCUUUUUGUUGCCUUCACUCUUUCCUUCUUCUCACACAGAUGUUUAUUUCAGCUGUGGGACUUGUGGAUACGAACUGAACUUUAGUUACUAGUAACUGUGACAGCUCUAAAUAUGGUAAAUCGAUAAAGCGUGGGAUCAUGUCAUUUCUAAACAUCGUCAAAAGCAAAUUUAUUCAGGCAGGUGAUGAACUUCAAUGUGUGUCUCAUUUCUCAAAAAAUCUUGCCCAAUGAAUUUAUCAUCCUUGCCCAAUGAGAAUAAUGAAUUCUCUAGGUGCUUUAAGUAUGAAGUAGAAAUUCUUGCUUUACAGCCUUCAUCUUCCAACGAAUUUGAGGCAUCAGUUGUUCAAACAAGGACAAGAGCAAUGGUGGUUUUGUUGAAUGGUUCUUUGGAGCUAAAAUAAUUGAAUUGCCUAGCAGCAACAAAUGCAGGAUUCUCACUAUAUUUGCGGUGUUUAAGUUGUGAAUAGAAUCGGGUUUCAAAUGGAAAGGAAGUGUAAUUGAAAGAAUUCACAGCUGUUGUUCUUGCAAACUUAAAGUUGAUGUCUCAUUGAUAGUUUAUUCAAGCUGAUUUUACUCAAUCUUCCUUCCUGCUAUUUACUUUCUAGCAGUUCGACGACCACGCCUAAAUCCUCCCUGUUCAUCCUCCUGCCUUGCUAUUUUGUUGUUGGUGCCAGUACUUCCCUUGCUGGAUACAGUCCUCAAGCAAUUUGUUCUAUUCAGUGCUUUUCCACCUCUAAUACUCUCUUGUCUUCGUUUGCAAUCUAGCUGUCCCUGAUCAGAGCUUUGAUAUGCUCAUUCGAAAUUGCAGCAGUUACAUAAUCUUGAUUGUUCUUCACACAGCAGCAUAAUUUGACCAGGGCUAAAGAAAUGAAACAAUGAUGCCAAACAAUAAGUUUGUUCAAUAUAGUUUUGAUCGAUACCCUUGAGUUGUGUUGAAGAUUAUGAAAGUUAGGUUGGUUCACCAUAGGCAUUAGCUAAAAAAACUCACCUAAUAUUUCUCACUUUGUUAUUCGCGUCAACUCUCUCAACUAUUUUCGUUUCAUAAAAAUUACAACUCCACUUAAUUCUACACCCCUUAGCUACAUGGUUUUGAACAUUCUCAAACAACUUUUUAAUUCGUAAGAGCAUAAAUAUAAAUUAGAGUAUCCCUGUGGGGUGUGUGUAGCAUGUUAACUCGGUUCUUGUUUCACAACGUAAAUGCAAAUGAAAAAUUUAACAUUCAAAGUUGCAAAACAUAUACAUAAAUCGAUGUAACCUUUAACAUCUUUUAACUUAUUCUUUUUAAUUUUGGGUGGUUGAAUCAGAAUACUUAUACGUUUUCCACCUCAAUAUUAUUCUUUGACUUUUUUAAAUUUUUAUGUUAAAGGGGAUGAAUUUAUAUCCAUAUGAACUUGAAAAUUUGCCACGUAACCUAUAUUAUAUUACGUAGUUAAGUUGGAAUGUGAUUUGUGUUUAGAGCGUAGAAUAUUUUAAUUUAAAUGAGUAAUUUAUUUUAGUUUGAAAAAAAUUGUAAAUACGGUAACAUACUAAGCAUAGAAUUGGACUCGAGCACAUGGGAGGUUUCUUAAACAUAAUUUGUGAGUUUGAAUUAUUGGUUGAGAGUGAAAUUAGAAAUUAAAUUGGUCAAAAAGAUAAGGCACCUCAAUUGGCUCUCGUCUCCAUCCUUAAUAAUUAUGUACUUUAGACUUUCACUUAACUUUCCAACAACCUCACUGCCCUUCCCUUCUCAAUUCAUUUAUCAUUUUCUUUUAAUUACUUCUUUUUCAAACUAUAUAAUUAAAAAUACUUUACAACAAAAUCAUACCUAAUCUUGUUUAAUAAGUCUAAAUUUUAAUUUUGUAUCUAUAUGAUAUUAGUUAAUUUUGAUUGACUUGUCAAUAUUUUUACAUUUUCGUAGAUUUAAAAUGAAUACAAAGAAUGACUUAACUUAUAUGUUUUCAAUAUUUUCGUUAACAACUUCUUAAAAAGAUACUCGCCAAUGUUUAUGUUUUAUUGAUAUACAUACAUAUAUGUACUUAUUGGGAGGUUGAAUUUAGGAGAAGGAGGGGAGGUGUGUGGUAGUAGGGAUUUGGUGGGGGUCAUAAGUCAUUGUUACAUUAGGAGAUUGCAACCAACCUCUUUUAAAUAAUUACAUUAAUACUUAGACAUUUCAGAUUUAUGAAUAUUCAAACUUUGUCAUUUAUUAUUCAUUCAAACUUGACUCACAUCAAAAUCACCAACACUAUAUAUAUAUAUUUCUCCUACCCCCAUUUUUUAAAAAAUUUAAUUUUAAAUAAAUAAAUAAAAAUGGUUAGUUUUUCUUUCUCUUCAUCACUUUCACAUUAAAUGAUUCCCUAAAGUAAUGGGAAAUGUCUUAUCAUUUCACCUACAUAUUUAACUUAUUAUUAUAAACUUAUAAUUUAAUUAAAUUAAUAUAGUAUGUGAUUAGUUGUUGCAUAGGAUGAACCAGACAACAUAUACUAUCAAUUUGUUUGGAUGUUAAACCAAAUGGGAUAAAUGACAUUUUUCGACUCUAUUUUUAAUGGAAAAGUUAAAAGAUAAAUUAUUAUGGACCUAAAAAAGUGGAAUUGUUUAUCAAAUACAUUGAGAAUUUCAUAGAAUUUGUUAUAUUUUGUAAAACGGUCUAAUUAAAUUUUUUGGUAUAUUUGAAAAUGCAUAUGAAAAAUUAUUAUUUUAGUUCUUCAAAUUUAAAAGAAUGGUAUUUUUCUUAUGAAAUUUUAAAUUAAAAAAAUUAAUUUUAGAAAAUUUUCAUAUCAUGUGGUUAUAAUUAUUUCUCUCUCAAUUUACUUUUUAAUUUAAUUGUAAUAUAAUUAUUUAAUAUAUAUGUAUUAAAAAUAUAUUUUGUAUAAAAUAAAUGAUGAGAUUUGAGAUAGUUAAUUGCUGUAAAUAAUAUCUCAUUUUUGUUUAUACAUCAAACCCACUCUAUUAUUAUUUAGAGGCAUUUGGUAUAAUUCAACUAAGUAAUGCUUAAUUUUGUCAAUCUCAAAUGAGGUUCUCUCUCCUCCAUUUCAAAUUAUUAGAGAGAGAUUAAUUAUAUUGAAAAUUGCACAACAUUUAAAUUUAUUUUAUUUGUCUUCGAAUGGAAUUGUGCUAUAAAUAUAAUUUAAUUAUAGUUUUGCACUAUUGAAAAUGUAUAAAAUAAUGUGUAAUAUUAAAUUUUAUAAACAAAGCUUUAAAAAACAUUAAAUGCCAAAAUUAUAUAUAUUUUUCUCAAAAAUAUAUAUUUUUCUAAAUACUUAUAAGUGUUGGGAUCACCUCGAUUAAUCUCAUAUAACAAUUCAUCGUCUUAUUUUUUAGACUAUAUAUUUUUUAACUAAUAAACUAAUCUAUAAUAUAUUAAUAAAUCAAAUUAGUAGUUUAGCCAUCUCGAUUAAUUUGAAAGAUAUAUAUAUAUAUAUAUAUAUGAUAUAUAUCUAGAACUAAUCACUAAAGUUGUUGCAAUAAACAAAGGAAAGUAAUUAAUGUUUCAACGUUAAUGGAAUUGCUUUUUUGAACAAAUUAUAAAUUAAGUCCAUUAUUAAAGUUUAACCUAAAGCAAAUAAAGUUAGGACCAUAACCACUAAUAAACAUUUUUCUUUCUCCCAAUAAUUUAAUAUUAGUUCUUAAAACAUAAUUAAAUAUCUAAUUUACCCCCUUUUUUGGAAUAAAAAAAUUAAGAAAAAGUUACCAAUGCUACUUUUACUAUUGUCAAUUGUUCAAGUAUUAUAAAAUAAUGUACAUACCACCAACAAAUUAUAUUGAUUGUUAAUAAUCAAACCUCUAUGUUACAACAUUUUAUAAUUUAAUUAACAUAGUUACAUGAAAUUAAAAAAAGUAUACUAUUAAAUAACAUACUAUCUAUAUUUUCAAUUUGUUAUUGAAGGGUAUCUGGAUUAUUUUAAUAUAUAUAAAGCGUAAAAACACGUUUGGAAUAUCUUUUAAGCGAUUCUGAAUUGAACAUUUAAGAAAAAAAUGAUUUUUUUAUAAAUUAUUUUUAUUUAAACUCGUUUGAUAAAAACGGUUUAAAAUACAAUUCAAAAGCAAUUUUAAGUGAUUGUCAAGCUUUAACAACUAUCCUAAAAUUAAAAUAACCACUUAUUACUUAUAUUAAAUACUAUUUUGUACUCUCGAGUUAUUUAUCAUUAGCACUGUUUCAAAUCUUUUAUUUGUUAUAGUUUUUAUAAUUUUAGAUUCGUCGUCUUUCCAUUGUUUAGGUAGGUAACAACUAAAUACAAAUUUUAGGAAUAAAAAGGAAAAAAGAAAAAAGAAAGGCAAAUUUGUUUUGAUUGAUGUUAAAUUAAUUUUGGAGAGUGUAUUUGUUUUGAUAAUAAUUGAUAUGGGAGAAUCUAAAAGAGAAGAAAAUGUGAGAGAUAGGGGAGAAGGACCCGAACUUAGCGUAGCUUUUAAAAUUAUUGUUUGUUUUUCUUAUAAGAUAACCACUGCUCUACGUGGGUCCUCUCCUAAAAAGUUCCUUCAAAAUUCUUCUUCUUCUUCUAUUAUUAUUCCUCUUCUUCUUUUGACCCUCACAUUGUCCUCUUCCAUUUUCAAUUUUUCUUCUUUCUUUCUUUUUUUUUUUUUUUUUUUUAAUUUGAUGAAUCUUAAAUUUAGCUUCUCAAUUUUUAACUUUAAUUAUAUUAUACUAAACAUUAUAGUAUUAAAUAUAGUAAUCUCAAUUCUAGUAGUAUUAGUUGGGUGGUUCGUGACUUCACUCGUUCUCUUAUUCUAGUUGAUUCACUAUGACUAGGGCACUAAAAACCUGGAAGCUCUUGCGGUGACAUUUAUUAUACUUUUUAGGUUAUGUAUUGUAUUUCCCCAUUUCCAUGUCUUUUAGUAUGAUUAUUCUGAUCAACUUGUUCAUGCUCUCUCUGGGAUAGGGUUGGACCUGACUAAGCUGUCUUCUUUGGUCUCAAAGAUCAAGACGCUUCUGAUGUAUCCAUAGGUAAUGUCUUUUGAUUGUCCCUACUGCUGACAAACGGUCGUUGCUCACCAUCUAGCGCAUGCAGUGGUCACUUUUGAUGGUUUUAGGGUUUUUUUUUCUAAGGAAGAAAAAACACUACUCCACCCCCAUAGUGACCACUUUUGCAAACCAUAUGAUGAGCUAUUUAAAGGUUUCGAAAAAUUGUCAAUUUCAUUUGCUAAAGGCCCCACCUUCUUCAUGCUAACGUGUUCAAGAAUUUGAGAUUUUCAUACUUCAUUAUCACUGGAUCUGUUUGUGAUGAUGUUUUCGAUUUCAAAUUUUAAUCCAUAACCUAAGUUUGAACCUUUUAUGUAAACUUUAUAAAUAAAAUAAAUGAUACUCUUAAUGUUAUUCUUAAGAUUUCUUAAGCCGAGUUGAUUUCAUCUUAGAUAUAUACAUGCCUUUUAUUCUCACCCCACAUCUAAGUAUAAGGAUAAUUAUAAUAGUUAACAAUUUUAUGAAUAAUUAUUAAGUAUAUAACAAUAUUUUUUUUAAAAUUGUAAAUAUAGCAAAAUUUAUAAAUGAUAUAGUUCAAUAGUUAUUUAUGAUUUAUCAAUGAUAGAUUUUGACAAAUUUUGUUAUAUUUGUAAUUUUUAUAUGUGUUGUCAUAUACCUAAUUAUUUUGAAUCUAAUUGCAAUAUUUACCACUAUUCCUUAUUUUCAUUACAUUUUAUAAGUAAUAGAAGAAAAUUAAUGAUAUUUACAAAUUAAGGAUACUUUUAUAAGUGACAACCGUGUUAAAAUAUUUACAAAAUAUAACAAUAUUUUAUAUUCUAUCAAUUAUCUAUCAUUUAUAUAAUCUCAAACUUGUUUAUAAAAUUAGAAUUGAAUCUCAAACCUUAUAUUAAAAUUUGCUCAAAUUUGACCCCGGUAGGUUUUGAAUCUUUUUAUAAAAAUGGUUGCUUGGAUUAAUUAACAUUUAAUUAUACAAAUGUGUUGAAGAUAUUUAAUUAGGGUUAUUUUUUUGGGAAGUUGAGUUAAUAAUUAUUACAGGAAAGAGUAAUUAAAAGUUUUCACAAGUAACGAAAUGAAAAAUAUAAGUUUAUACAAGUUACGGGGUGAGAACUAUGACUAACUCAAAUAACAAAAUAACAACCCUCUUAAAUUGUUAAUAUAUUUGGUAGUUGAAUUUUUCCUUUUUUUUAUCAACCAAACUCAAUUACAAGUCGUUUGUCAAAAUGAGAUUCAUGAGAUUGUUUGAUUUGAUAAUAAACAUAUAAGCAUAGAACACUAAUUUCUUAAAAAAAAAAAAGAAGAAGAAGGAAGAAGAGUAACGUAGAGUAGGGAUCGUCUGAUUGUGCACUUCAUCUAAGUUUUAUUCAAUGGAGUCUUUGUUGUUGUACUGUACACAUCCAUCUUAAUCUCAAUUGCCAAUACCCAACUACUUUUUAACCUUAUAUAUGUUGCAUAUAAAAAAAGGUUUAAGUUAUUUAUUAAUUUUAAAUCAUAAAAAAAUAUUUACAAAUAUAACAAAAUGUGACCGUCUAUCUUAUUUUGGUAUAGCUCGUAAAUAUUUUAAUUUAUUUUACUAUUUUUAAAAACAAUUCUACAAAAAAAAUUGUUAAAAGAAAAAAAAAUUGUUAAAAGAAAAAAAAGAACAAAAUAAUUGUGUUUUAGUGAUUUAAAGAUUUUAUUAUAAAAUUCCACGUAAAGCCACAGGGUGAAUUUUCUCGGAAAAUUUGGAAUAAAAGAGGGAGAGAAGAUGGAGUUAGAGGGUAGAGGGGAAGAAUGGCAUCCCAACCCCCUUCUCUAAUUACAUUAAAAAUGCCUUCCCUUUUUCUUCUAUUUUCACGUAAAUAAGAAGAAUAUUUUUUUAAAAUUAUUUCUAGAACUUCUCGUAAAUGUGCGCGUAUUGCGCAUUUCCCCAACACAAUUAUCAUCGACUCAUUAAUUCUAAUCCCACUCUCUACUCCUACUCAAUUCAUUUCCUUUUCUUUCUUUCUUAAAAUAUUCUUUUCAUUUCUGAUUUCAUCGUAAUCAUAGAAUUUGAUGAGACUUUGUUUUGGUUUGACUCAUAUCUUAUUUAAUAAAUAUGUAUCACACUCUAAUGGGAGAGUACGAUAUUUGGUGUCUUAUGUGAUAGAAAUAGUUUUAAAUUUGAAGGGGAAGGAGUAGUAGUUUUUGGUUAGAAAGAAAUAAGAACGUGGGGGCCGAAAAUCUACAAUUUCCCCCAAUAUCUUUUUAAAUUUGUUUGUUUUUUACAACUUUACAUUGCCCCAUCUUUUUCACGCCUUCAUAUUUCACUCCCACUCUUCAAUUCCAUUUCAUUUCAUUUCCCCUAACUCUCUCCCUGCAGACAUGCCUCCUCCUCCUCCUCUUCUUCUUCUUCUUCUUCUUCUUCCUUUUCUUCCAUUGAUCUCUUCUCUCAAUCAAGAAGGAUUGUAUCUUCAACGAGUCAAACUCGGUCUCUCCGAUCCCACUCACUCCCUCUCUUCAUGGAACCCUCGCGACAACACUCCCUGCAACUGGUCCGGCAUCACUUGCGAUUCCCUCACUCAUUCUGUCAUCGCCGUCGACCUCUCCAACUUUCAGCUCUCCGGACCCUUUCCCACUUUUAUUUGUCGUCUUCCUUCUCUUUCUUCGCUCUCCCUCUCUAAUAACGCUAUUAACGCUUCUCUUUCCGACGAUGUUGCUUCCUGUUCUGGCCUUCACUUCCUUAACAUGUCUCAGAAUCUUCUUGCUGGUUCUAUUCCCGAUGGGAUUUCCAAGAUCUUCAAUCUUCGUUCUCUGGAUCUCUCUGGAAAUAAUUUUUCUGGGGAGAUUCCCACGAGUUUCGGUGGGUUUACGCAACUUGAGACGCUGAAUUUGGUUGAUAAUCUAUUGAAUGGAACUAUUCCGGGGAGUUUGGGUAACGUUUCGAGUUUGAAAGAGCUUCAACUUGCUUAUAAUCCGUUUAUGCGGAGUGAGAUUCCGAGUGCAUUCGGUAACUUGACGAAGCUGGAGGUUCUCUGGCUUGCUAAUUGUAAUCUUGCCGGUCAGAUUCCGGCAACCAUUGGCGGGAUGACUCGGCUUAAGAAUCUUGACUUGUCUAAUAAUAGACUCAGUGGGUCGAUUCCGGUUUCACUCACUCAAAUGAAAAGUUUAGUUCAAAUUGAACUUUUUAACAACUCGCUCUCUGGGGAGUUGCCUUUACGACUGUCUAAUUUAACUUCACUUCGACGAAUUGAUGUGUCCAUGAACCACUUGACGGGAAUGAUUCCGGAUGAACUGUGCGCAUUACAGCUUGAGUCGUUAAAUUUGUUCGAGAAUCGAUUGGAAGGCCCUUUGCCGGAGAGUAUCGUUAAUUCCCCAUACUUGAAUGAGCUCAAAUUGUUUAACAACAAGCUUAGUGGACAGUUACCUAGUAAACUCGGCCAAAACUCGCCAUUAGUUCAUCUUGAUGUUUCAUACAACGGGUUUUCUGGCGGAAUUCCUGAAAACUUGUGUGCAAAAGGGAAAUUGGAAGAGCUUAUAUUGAUUUACAAUUCGUUUUCUGGAAGAAUCCCGGCAAGCCUUGGAAAAUGCACCAGCUUAAGCCGGAUUCGAAUGAGGAACAACAGACUCUCUGGUCCGGUUCCUGAUGAAUUUUGGGGUCUGCCCAAUGUGUAUUUGCUUGAGCUCGUUGAGAAUUCUCUUUCUGGGUCUAUUUCUUCGAUGAUAUCUGGCGCUAAGAAUCUCUCUAUUCUGGUGAUUUCAGAAAAUCAAUUUUCAGGGUCAAUUCCUAACGAGAUUGGGUUGCUAAGCAAUCUGACUGAACUCUCAGGUAAUGACAAUAUGUUUUCCGGUCGAAUCCCAGGAGCUUUGGUAAAGUUAAACCUGUUGAGCACACUCGAUCUAAGCAAGAACAAACUUUCUGGUGAAUUGCCAAUGGGAAUUGGAGCUUUGAAAAGGCUAAAUGAGUUAAAUUUAGCAAGUAAUAGACUAUCUGGCAAUAUCCCGAGUGAAAUUGGAAACCUUCCAGUGCUUAAUUAUCUUGAUCUCUCUAGUAAUCAUCUCAGUGGAAGUAUACCUCUUGAAUUGCAGAAUUUGAAACUGAAUUUACUAAAUUUGUCGAACAAUCUGUUAUCAGGUGUACUUCCUCCUCUUUAUGCUGAGGAUAUUUACAGAGAUAGCUUCCUGGGUAAUCCAGGUUUGUGCAAUAACGACCCAAGUCUUUGUCCUCACGUUGGAAAAGGAAAAAACCAAGGCUAUUGGCUUCUCAGGUCCAUUUUUCUACUUGCUAUCAUUGUUUUUGUUGUUGGGGUCAUUUGGUUUUUCUUCAAGUACAAGGAAUUCAAGAAGAGUAAGAAAGGAAUUGCCAUUUCCAAGUGGAGAUCGUUUCAUAAACUUGGUUUUAGUGAAUAUGAAAUAGCAGACUGUCUCAGUGAAGACAAAGUCAUUGGAAGUGGAGCGUCCGGCAAAGUGUACAAAGUCGUGCUAAAAAAUGGGGAGGUUGUGGCGGUGAAGAAGCUAUGGCAAGGAACAAGAAAAGAGGACACAAGUUUGGAGUCAGAGAAAGAUGGAUUUGAGGCUGAAGUCGAGACUUUAGGGAAGAUUCGUCACAAGAAUAUUGUAAGGUUAUGGUGCUGCUGCAACACAGGCAACUGCAAGCUGCUUGUUUAUGAGUACAUGCCCAAUGGAAGUUUGGGAGAUUUGUUGCACGGCAGCAAGAAGCGCUUUCUGGAUUGGCCUACAAGGUAUAAAGUAGUUUUGGAUGCAGCUGAAGGGCUUUCUUACCUGCAUCACGACUGUGCUCCUCCAAUUGUUCAUAGGGACAUUAAGUCCAACAAUAUAUUGCUUGAUUCUGAGUUUGGGGCUAGAGUUGCUGACUUUGGAUUGGCAAAGUUUUUGAAUGCUGGCAAGGGAUCAGAAUCUAUGUCUGUCAUUGCUGGUUCUUGUGGUUAUAUUGCACCAGGUACCAACUUGGUUUCUCUACCUUCUUUCAUGAAUUGAAAUAUGAGUAAUUCUUACAUUAUAUGAUUAUAAACCUGUGUUGGGCAAAUGACCAUCUUUAUUAUUUCUAUGGAUGUUAUGAUCUUGUCUACUUAAAUAUAAGGUGGGAUGAAUCUGUGAGACUUGAAUGCCUUCGUAUUAACUUUUAGAUGUUGUUAUACAAAUGAACAUUUUCCUUGGGAUUUCUUUGUUCAUAUUUGGAUUAUAGAAUUUGCCUACUUUUUUUGACUGUCAUAUGCUUGAUGCAGAAUAUGCUUAUACUUUAAGAGUAAACGAAAAGAGUGACAUCUACAGCUUUGGGGUGGUGAUUUUAGAGCUAGUGACAGGACGGCCACCAAAUGAUCCAGAAUUUGGAGAUAAAGACUUGGCAAAGUGGGUAUAUGCUACUGUCGAUGGCAGAGAACUCGACCGAGUAAUUGAUCCUAAGCUCGGUUCUGAAUACAAGGAAGAAAUAUACAGAGUCCUUGAUGUUGGACUGCUUUGCACAAGCUCACUCCCUAUCAACCGCCCCUCAAUGAGGAGAGUCGUUAAACUACUGCAGGAGGCUGCCAUAGAAACCAGACCACCCGCCAUUGUUAAAAAGGAAGUCAAACUUUCUCCAUAUUUGUCCUAGUAUGUCUCUGAACACUUACUAAUCUCUAAUUCACAUCAAAUGCCUGAAAUUUCCUACUCUCUAACUUGUAUAUCGAAUUCUAUUACAUGACAUUUUGAAGAAAAGCUCAUGUAGAAUUGCUAAAAUCUUACUCUUACAAGUUACAAUCAACCUCUACAAUGUAGACAUCAUUCAUCAAUGAUUUUAAUUAAAGGUCUGUAGGUUUCUGUAACAUAGAAGUUUGGUAAUUUGGUACAUAGUUUGGUAUGUAAGGUGCAAGUAAUGAGGAAAUGUCAAAAAGGGGGGUAAAUGUUCAUCAAUUGGCAGCCAGCAGAGAUUUGUGGUACAAACCAAAUAAUUCUUUUAACCAGAAAGUUUCUUAAAAAAUUGCUGUUUCCACAAAUUCAACAAUUUUGGUGGGGACAAUUGAGGAAGUCCCUGUUUGGCAGGACAUGUUUUAUAUAAAUAUAUAUAUAUUUUGUUUUGUUUUGUAAUAAAAGAUGGAAUGAAUGCUAAGCCAAUGGGGCAAUAGCCUCUUGUUUCUUAGCCAACCCUUAUUUACUAAAAUGGGGCCCUUGUUUUCCAAUGGAAAUCAGCUACCAUAUCUUUCAAUUAUUGAUUUAAAUGAAUGCCUAGUGUUUGGUGUCAUAAAAGUUCCCAUAGGAAUGAUUUUUCUUUGAUUCUUUAUUAAAUCUUUUUAGUUAAAUUAUGAAUCUAGAGAAAGAACAGAGUUUUUAUGUUUGAAUUCAAUUUUAGUAUUGUAAAUUUUGAUUUGAUUCUGAUUUGGUUUUUCAUUUUUGCAGAAGAAAUUUAUUUCUUUUAUGACCCACUAUUUUCUUUUCCUUUUUAUACUCGAGUUUAAAAUAGAAAUUUAGAUUUGUUUUUAGACUGUCAAAUGAGAUUUUAGAAAUUGAACUCCAACUCUAAGGGAUGCAUACCUCCUUCCGAUCUUCUGACUGCAUCAUCUGAGAGAGAUUGAGUAGGAUAUGGCUUGUUACCUCCUCUAGUUUCUUUAGCACCCAAUCCUCCAAUGGACCUUCUAUGACAUCGAAUUUGGAUUGAAACAGAAUUUUGACUCAACGUAGAGUUAACACAUUUAGUUUGAUAUAAGUUACACUUGUGGCAUAAUUGAAUUAUGGCAGUUGGUCCUUCAAAAGCUUUAGUGUAGGUAGCCACAAAUUCUUGUCUAUAGAUCGUAGUUUUAUCCGUUAAAUCUUUACAAAUGUCUGUAGUAGUGACAUAUGAAAGAUGAUAAGUCAGCGACCAUUAGGGGCAUAAUACCGUUUGCCAAUGAAAGACUUAAGAAAGAGUUUUGAUGAAUAUUGCACACAAAGAACACAUGCCCCUGACAUGUCUAUUUUAGAAGACGAUAUCUUAUAAAAGGCAUUUGCUCAUUCCUAUAUUUUUAGUAAUCCAAUAAUAUUUCAUGUGAAUCAAAUGGUUGUUCGUGUGCGUUUAUCACUGGAGGCUCAAACAUGAAAUUGAUAGGAACCGUAGUGGAGUGGCUAAGGUAUAAGUCCACAAAAUUUGCUGUGGAGUAUACUCACUUUAGCAAAAAUUAAACUUGAUGUUUGAUGUUGAGUGAUUGAAGUUGAUUGAUAUAAAGUAGGUUGGGAAUUCGAGUUUUAAAUAAAUUCCAGGCUGUGUUAAAAGACUAAAGCAAUGACUUUAUACAAAGUUAAGACAUUGUUGAAAUAAAAUAUUUGCAAAUUUGAGAGUGUUUUAUGGUUUUCUUGAUCUAAAAUACUACUGUUUUAACUUAUCGUGCAUAAAUAAAUUUAUUACAAGUGUUUCAAGUUAUAUAACGUAGGUCCGUAGUUGGAAUUUGCAAGAGGACGUUUGGGGGAAGUUUUAAUUAUUAUAAUGGGUAGUUAUUACAUUAGCAAUAAAAGAUUUGAAAUAGUAUAUAGUAGUUAACUAUUAGGUUAUAAUUGUUGGAAACACCAACUAUUAUAAUUAAAGUAACCUAUUUUUACAUGAAGUUAGGGUCCAACUAACCCAUAAAUAAAUUUAGGGGUUGCAUAGGGAGUUAAAAUGUAAUAUGGAUUAUUGAAAAUUAGAAAAGUGUUGGAAAACGAGAGUAAUCAAAGACGAAACGAAAAUGAGAUCGUGAAGCGUCAAAAAAUGGUUGGAUGGAAAAUUAUCGAAACCUAAUGCGUUUUGUAUUACAAAUUGGAUUAUUACAUUACAAACUCAUUCCAUUACGAAAAUUUUUAACGGAUACCAAAAAUUUAAUAGCUAAUUGUUUAACAAUAUUUUUUAAAAAUUACAUAUAGUAAUAUUGGGCAUUGAAGGGAGUUUUAGUGAAACAUUCUAGGAGACAAAUGAAGGAUGGACAAAGUGUUUGGGCUCUUGAGAUUAGGGCUUAAUAAUGGUGUAGGCCCAAUUACACCUUACAAACAUGCCCUCUCUUUGAUAAUAUUACAAAUUCAGCAAUUAAAUUCAAAUUAGUUAAGUGUAUAACAUAAUUUUAAAAAAUUUGUAAAUAUAGCAAAAUUUGUCAAAAAUUUGUAAAUAUAGCAAAAUUUGUCAAAUUUUAUCAAUGAUAUAAGUCUAUGACUGAUAAACCAUGUUGCAAAUAUUGGUCUAUCACUGAUAUACUAUAUGAAAUCUAUCAGCGAUACAAGUCUAUCAGUGAUAGUUUUGCUAUAUUUGCAAAUUUUUUUAAAAAUAUUGUUAUAUCCUUAAUUAUUAUUGCUAAAAUAGUCCUUCAUUUCAAUUUUCCUAUAACUAACAAAAAGGUAACAUAGAUAAAACAUUCCUUGAAUUGCUAAAAUAAUCUUAUGCCUAAGAUGCUAACUUUAAUAUAACUAAGCUACUUUCACAUAUACUCUUGGCCAACAGCAUUCCUUGUUCAAAUCAACUAAAAAAAACACAUAUAUAAUCAGAUUAAAUGCCACUAAGAUGAAUUUAUUUUCUAAAAUGUUUAAGAAGGUACUAAUGGACUCCCUAAUUAGCCUCCACUAAAGAAAUCGAGCGUAAAGUAUUAGUUGAUAUAAUCCACGAGUAAUCGAUUAUAUCAAACGAGUAAGAGUGUAUCAAUGAAAAAGUCUAUAAUCAAUAGAGUUUGUUAUAUUUGGAAUUCUUUUAUCUUUUUUUAAAUGUUGCCAUCAUUUAAAUAUUAUCAUUAAAAAUGGUGGCCAUUGUAAAGCUGUACAAAACUAGAAGAGAGAUGUAAAAAGAGAUUCUUGAUCCACACUAAACCUAAUUUGAAUGAAAAGGAAGAUGGAAAAGAUAACAUCAUAAAUGUCAACAUAAAGAGUAGAUAAUGGGUGAAGUGGGUCAACAUGGCCAACUUUACCUUUUUAAACCCAUAAUUACUAUUCAAAAGCCAAACUUUGGAGAACACCCUUCUGAUUCAAACAAACAAACAAAGUCCUAAUUUAAUCUUUUUCUUCAAUUUGAAAAGUCAAAAAUUCAAUUUUUCAUUCAAAAAAUGAUUCAAAUACAUGAAUUUAUCAACCAAUAGAGCAGAAAUAAAUUCAAUAUAUAUUAUUCAUAAUGGGAAAUGGUUGCUUUUUUUCUCUUCACUUUUUCCUCUUUUUUCUUUUUACAUUUUAUUCACCAUACCUUUUUUUUUCAAUAAUAAAAAGGAAGGAAAAAAAUGCAUGCAUGUGUUAAGUACACUGCUAUCCAGAGUGGAAAGUAAUGGUUUAUUAAGAAAAGAAAUACCAUUUUUUUAAAAAAAUUAUUUUCACAUAGUUCAUGUCUCAAGAUUCUUCUUCUUUUACCUUCCCAUUCAUAAAGUAUUUUCCAUUUUGUGAAGCAUAAUUUAAGAGCGAAAAUGAAACAAAAAAAAAAAGAAAAAAGUUGAAGCUUUUACCUUCUAAUUAAUUUCUUUUCCCCUCCCUGUAAUAUGCUUCCUACUUUCAAACUAAACAACUCUAUACUCCAAUCCUAAUUUCACACAGUUUAGUAUUAUUUCAUCAAACAAGUUAUUGCAUUUAAUCAUAUAAUGUGUAAAAACAACGUAUUCUUUGUACUUCUAAUUGACGUGAGACUAUGUUCCUAUCUUGAAAAAACCAACGAAGUAAAUAUGUAAGCAUCAUCGUCAUCUCUCUCUUCUUCUUUUUCUUUUGAAUGACCAGACUUUUCUGGUACAUUUAUACCGAAAAGAAUUCAUGCCCCUUUUCACUCAAUAAUAUAAAAUAAAAAUAUACCCUCUUUUUCUCUUCUUCCCAAUACCCACAUUUGAUACCACAAGAAAAAGAGGAUACCAAAAGAUUGCAAGAAAUACACAAAUAACAUAGAAUGAUUUCCAAAAUGGGUCCUUUUAAGUUUUCAACUUUUUUUUCAUUUCCCCCCCAAUUGCUCUGUUCUCCUCUGCCCCUUUAAACAGAAAACACAAAAAGCUAUCAGCUUUCUGUCUUUUUCCUCAAACUGAAGAAUAUGCAUUGAUCUCAUCUCUCCCUCUUUUUGGUCCUUUUAUCUAAUUUAAAAUCAGAUCCAUCCAUUUACUGUUGAUGGAUGACAUAUGGUGUGCAUUCCCACACCCAAGAAAUCCCUUGUUUCUCCUUCUCCACCAUUAACACUCUCUUCACUGACAGUAUGUCUCAUUCUCUUUGCUGGUGGUGCAGAGUAGUGAUGAUGAUGAUGGUUUUCUUCACUAAGAGGAAUAAUAACAUUAUUGGAAUUUGAGUUUAUCAUUGACCCAUAAAUCCCUGAAAGCAAGGCUUUGCCAUCAGUUAUUGAACUGAAUUUCAAACCAAGACUUUCCAUCAAUGAUGAAGGGUGAUCUGUUGUAACACCAAUUUGUGCAGCUUUUUGUAGCAAAAGAGUAGCUGACAUGUUGGGUGAUGAAGACAUAAAUUGAUGGGAUGAUUGUUGUUCUUCAUUGCUGAAUAAGGAAGGAACAGAAAGAACAUCAGAAUUUGUUGUUGCUGUUGCUGUUGUAGUUGUUGUUGUUGGAUAAUGGAAAUUAUUGAUUUGGUGAGGAUUCGUUGGGAUCCAAAAAGGGAGUGGUAUUGUGGGAGUAUUAUUGUUAUUGAAAAAGAAGGGGGAAGUUUCAUUUGGUUUGAAAAGGUUGGAGGAAUAAUUAGGGAAGAACAAUUGAGGAGGAUUGUUGUUGUUGAUGUAAUUAUCAGCUAAUGAAUUGUUGUUGUUGGCAAUGUUGGUUGAUGCUGCAUUUAAUCUUGCUGUUUCUUCUGCCAAUGCUACACAAUAUGCUCUGUGAGUGACAUAGCUAUCUCUCCUGCAUUUUCACAUACACAAACGUUUUUAUGUACCCAUCUCUAUAAGGACAAAAAAGAAAGAAAUAAGAAAAACAAAAGUUAAUCAUUAUUUUUGAACUCAAGGUUCGUCGUAUUGAAGUUGUUGGGAUCAUAUCAAAGUCCAAUCUUGACUUGAUAAGGAAAAUAUUUUUCUUUUCUAAAAUAAGUGAACAUUUGAACUAAUUUACAUGCACCUCAACUAAUUUUAUAGAACAAUUUUCUUCUAAUAACAACUAAUUUCAUAGAACAACUCGCCUAUUCUUCUAACAACGUGGAUGUCAAAGAAACUCAUAGAAAAAUAUAUAGAUUUAUAAUUUCAAGAAAGCUAGCUUCAAUAGUAUAAAACCUUCUUGGUAAUCCAAAGGCAAAACCACGAAUACUUUUGUCCAAAGUGAGUAAUAUAAUAGCGAAAUAUUUAAAAUUUUCUUUUUAAGUUGAUAGGAGUGAUUGGAUGUGUUAGAGAGUAUAAAUUAAGAACGCUUGAGUAGAACAUAAAUCAGUAGUUUAAAUUGUACCUAUGUAUAGUAUUAGAGAGAAAGAAGGUCAUACAUUCAAAACUCCUAUGAUAUAAUUUCAAGUAAUCUGACUGAAUCUUGUGAUAGCUUUCAAACCUAUGAAUGAGUGGUGAGAGAUAAAAAUAUGAAGGCAAAUGUAGAAAGUAAAUUACUAUAUAUAGACCCAUCAAGUUAAGCUUUUAGAUUGCCUUGUCAUCUCAACCUAAACCAUUUGAAUAUCUUCAUGAUAUUAUGUUUAUGUAGUUUCAUUAUAUAUAUUCUUCUCUCUGUCUGUUAACUAAAAAAAACAAACAAACAAUGUGAUCAGAAAACCUUUAGCUCGAUAGAAUGAAUCUAUAUUGAUAUAUACACACAGUGAGAGAAUACAUUUAUGGAAGCUUAAACUCUUUACAUUAGGAUGAUAUUAUUUAAAUAAUGCUAGAAGGAAAUUUAAAUCCUUGAUUCGUAAUCGUUUAGUUUUAUAUUUUUGAAAGUUAAAUCUAUAGAAACAUUUUUUUUUUUAGUCAUAUAUUUUUAAAAUCAAAACCAAAAUUUGAAAUCUAGAAAGGAUAGUUUUUGGUAAAUUUGUUUCUUAAAAUGUUUACAUACAAAAUUGAAAACUGCAAAUAAGAAAUGGGUUGAUGAGAAAACAAGCGCAAUUUUCAAAAACAAAAAACGAGAGAUGUAUUAAUAAGGGUUACCUUGAAAAUGGAGUCCCACAGUCACAUUUAUACUCUUUGGUACCACAUGUUUUGGAGUGUGCUUUCCAAUCUGAUUGCACAGCAUAUUUCUUAGAACAUUUCUCACACUUCCACUUCUUCUCCCCAUGCUUCCUACAAAAGUGCUUUUUAAUUCCUGUGAGAUCUCCAAGAGCCCUUGAAGGAUGAUGAUGAACACAACUCUUCUCUGGACAAACAUAAACUCUCUUUCUUGGCUCUUUGUUUCCAUUGCUUCUUUGCUUUAGCUUCCAUGGAAGAUUGUGUCCUCUCCUAUGUAGUUGUAGGUUUUGAUCUCUUUGAAAUCCCUUCCCACAUAUCUCACACAAGAAUCGGUUCGUUGCCAUUAGUGUCUUUGGUGACAACGACACUACUUCUGCUUCAGGAUCUGUCAAAAAUGAUUAUCAAUAUUAAUCGAAGAAAACCGACUCUGAUAUCAGACUCAAAAAUCAAAUGUUUAAGCAGAUGAGUUAUGAAAAUUUUAAUCUUUUUAUUCAUAUUCAUGAAGAUAUGAGGGAAAAGAUGGUUGCUUUGUAAUAACCCUUUCCAUGAGGGUUUUUUUUUUUUUUUUUUUCCUUUUAAGAAACUCAAAGAAGAACAGAAUCUGAGGGUUCCAAAAGAGCAAUAAUGAGAGAGAAAAGGUUGUUUUCUGACAUUUUUCAGAGAGAAACAAAGAGUUUUAAGAUGGAAAAGUUGAAUAUAUCCAUCAAAAUAUUCUACCCUAAAUUCCCCCUACACAAAGAAGAAACAUAAGCCACAAAAAUAGUAAAAAGAAGAUCAUAUAAGUGCAAAGCUCUUUUUUUGUUCUUGCCUGGAUUUCCUGGGAGAUUCCUCUUCUUCUUGACAAUAACAGAAGGAUUGUUGUUGUUGUUGAUGGAUCCAAGUGAUGGGAUGCUGCAAAUGAAAGCACUUGAAAUUGUUUGCUCUUCAGACAUUUUCUUGAUCUUCUCUAACAAAACAACAAAUAAUCUUAUUUAAGAAGAUUUUUGUUGUUUGUCUUCUUAGUGUAUAAUUAUUUGACUCACUCUCAAACAAUCUACAACAAACCUAGAAGUAAAAGUGUUUGGACUCCAAGCAACAAGUGUGUUCAUAUAUAUGUUAUAAAGAGAAGAGAAAUUUGACAAGAUUUGGAUCUUUCUUCUCUUUCUCUCUCUAUUUAGAUUAUUGAAUAAUUUUUUCCAAUAAUUUCAAAACUAGUAUAAUAAAAAAUAUUUUCUUUUUUGUUGGGGAGGGGGUGAAAAAAGUUAAAGGUUAGAGGGAGAAGGGAUUUGAUGGGCAAAGGUGCAUGAUGACACAUAUGAUGAGAGAAGUUAUAUACAUAAAGCUAGUUUUACUACCUUUUCCUUUUGAAUGAUUAUCCCAUAAUUUCUUUGCCCUUCUCUCUCUCUCUCUCAAUUAUGUGAAAUAAAAUAAAUAUUGCUUUUUAGAGGUCUAAUAUUAUGGAUAUUAUCAUAUAUGGAAACAGGUUACUAUUGUAAUAAAUGUAUAUACAAUGUUAAAAAAAUUAUUGAUCAUCGUAAACCGUCAAAAUAUGGUUGUCUUCUAAUAGCAAUUUGAAAUACGUAGUGUACAUCUCUUUAUAUGUCGUGUUGCGUUCACAUUAAAACUUCAUCUAGUUAUAAUAGAAAACACAUCAUGUUGAUUAAGUUUUCACAACUCUAUGUUGAUUAUUGAAUGUUGCAUUACUUAAUUUGGUUUGAUUUGAUGAUAGAUAAUUGAAUGUUGUUGAGAGAAUAAAUAGUUAGGGUAAUUAAAUAAAUUAAUAAGGGGAAAACAUAUAGUUUAAUUAGGUGACAAAGGGAGCAGUGAAUUUUUGGAAGUGUGAGCAGUCGUCCCCUUGUGAGCUGACUUUUCCUGCUAAUCUUAAUCAUAAUCUAAUCAUGUUUUUGCUUUAACACUUUGUUUAAUUUUUAAUUUUUGGAGUUUUGCUAAUGAACUCUUAUGACUAUAGAAUAUUCUUUUUCCCUUUCUCCCACAUUUCACCCAAACACACACUCAACUUUCGAGGCUCCUUUCAAAGAUUCCUCUCUUAAUUCACAUUUUUAUUUUUUAUUAUUGUUUUCCCACACACACACACACACACAUAUACUUUCAUCAAAUUUAAUUUAAUUAAGGCAGAUUAAUAAUACACUAUAAGAAGAAAAACCCUAGCUAUCUAAUAGCUGAUUAAUUAACUAAUUAUAUAUAUAUACUUGAUGAUUAUUAAUGUUAAGACAAAUGGGUUUAGGGAAAAAAGUAAAUGAUUGUCAUUUAAGGAGGGAUGUUUGUUUUCUUUGCCUUGUCUUUUACACACAAAGCUAAUUAAUCUAUUUAGGGUUCUUCUUUUCUUAGAGCUAUAUAUUUAAAUGAGAUUUUAUUUUUAGGAGAGUAUAUAGGAGGGGUAUAUUUAUAAGUACUAAACAAAUUAAACUUAACAAAGAUGGAAAAGUUGACACAACAAAUAUAUUCGAACUUUGCAUUUAAUUUAGAGUAAUGGGGCUUUUUUUUUCUUUCCAGCUUCUUUUAAUUUUAAUUUAUUUGGUAAGGAAGAUUAUUGGAAAUAUGGGAUAAGUGUGGCUUUUGACACACACAAAAAAAGAAAGAGAAAGAAAAAACCCCAAAAAGAAGAGCAAGUUUGGAUUGUGGAAUCCAACAUUUACAGAAACUCACAUGCAUUUGUGCCUUAGGUUGCCCCUUAGGCCCUUCGCCUUGGCCUUGUUUAAAAGUUGGAGAAUCUAUCCCUUUUUACAAAACCCUAAUCUUAUUAUGUUGUCUUUCUUCUUUUUAACCCUUUCAUCUCUUUUUUCCCUAAAACUCAACCCUUUUGGGUUUAUAACUUUAUUUAUAUAUAUAUAUAUAUAUUAAUUUGUGAUGCAUUUGGGUCAAUAUAUAUCUUCCUACCUAAUUCUGAUUUGUUAAUUUUUACUUUUGUAGAGUUCCAUUUUAGUCCUAAAUUAUUCUAUAUCACACCCCCUUUUUGUUGGUUUCUAUGAAAGAUUUAUAUACACUAUAUCCUCUUAGAAAGACGUUCGAAUCUAUGAACAUUGAAAAAAUUUAUAAGAUAUUUCUUUUCCUCUUGCUUAAAAGAAAUACGUAAAAGAGAGCUCUUUUGGAUCAUUAAUCGAAUUUAAUUUGAAGGUUUUAUAAAUAUAUUUUUUUGAAAUUUCAAAUUAUUUGAUUUGUAGGUGUUAAAAGUAUUGUAUUGAAAAGGAUAUAUAGAUGGUUGAUAUGUGCAUCAAACAACUUUAAUUAAACCUAUUUAAUUAAACCUAUUAGUAAGCAUGCAUGCAACGCUAUGGAUAAGUACUAAUGCAUAUAUAGAAAUUAAACUAAUAAGAAUAUGUACCUUUCCAUACCUUUUCUUCUUGUAUUUUUUUGAAGAAAAAAAUUGACUUAACAAGUUUGGAAGUGUAAUCAUGUUUUUUUUUUUUAUUUAGCACGAUUAAAUGUGAUUAAAAUUUUGAAUUUUGUUAGAAGAGGAUAAAGGUGUUAGGGAUGUGUCAAUCUAGUUAAGAUAUAAGACUAUUGAAAUUCCUCUUGUCUUUUGUAUAUUAUUAAAAAAUAUAUAAUUUUGUAAACAAAAAUAUAAUUUUCAUUUUAAAUUGGAGUGUAUAUUUACUUUCUAUUUACAACAUAUUUUUCUAAAUCAACAUUUAUUUUCUUAGUAAAGAUCAGUAGUCUCAAUAACAACAAAGCACCACGAUUAGACUAACAUAUCUUUAACACACUCUCAUUAUAUCACACCAUAUCUCAUAUUUCGAUUUCAAUCUAAACCCUAAGUCAUUAAAAAAAAAAAACAAAAAUAUUUUGAUUUCAAAGCAAAAUUUCAAACUCUAACUUUUUUUUUUAUUAUUAUUACUAUUAUUUUAAAAAUACUUAAUCUAGUCCUCCUCCUCAUAUGAUAAAGGAUGAAUCAAUAAUCUUAUACGAAACAUUAUAAAAAUGUUGCAAUUACCCAAAGAGAGAAAAGAACAAUUGACACACCAUAUUUAUAUAUAUAUUAUAAAAGAAACCUUGUUUUUGUAUAUGUGGAGAGUGGGCGUGAAUAAUUAAUUUUGUCGAAGGAUGAAGGAUAAAAUUGACAAAUCACCAAAUAAUUAAGCAAAGAUAUAUAUGUAAAGGAUAUAUAUAUAUGUGUGUAUAUAUAUAUAUAUAUAUAUGUAAUGUAAAGUUUAUCUUUUUUCUCUACCUGGAAAGCAAACACUAAAAUUUGAAAAAUCCUUUACUUUUUCCCACCCUCACCUCUCUUCUUAACAAAAUUCCAAUAAAAAAUUGUAUGUUAUGGGCCAAGAAUGUUCCUUUUAUUUUCAAGUGAAAACUUAGGCACCUAAGGUACCCCUUUUGUCCCAUUUAGAGAGAAAGAGAAAAAAAUAAAACAAUUAUUUCAAAAUUAAAGUUUUCUUUCUUUCUUUCUUUCUUUCUUUUCUUUUUGGAAGAGAGAGAGAGGAGAAUUCAAAUUGAUGAACUAUUCAUUAAUAUUGAUACCAAUUUCUUGAAUUAUUGGAAGACAAGACAGAAAGGGGUAUGAGUUUCAAGAAAAGACAAAGUAUUGUUCAAAAUUCUAUAUAUAUAUAUAUAUGAAAUAUCUCAUCCAUUGAUGGGAAAUAUAUUAUAGUUUGCAAAAAUCACGUUCCUAAAGGGUAAGACCCAUUUCCCAUUUACUAUUUUUUUCCAUGUUUUUCUAAAUUAUUAUAAAAGGUAUUCCAUGAUUAGAUAAUUAGUUGAAAAUGAUUAAAUUGAAUUACAUCCAAAGCAUGUCGUCUCAGAUAGAUAAGACAUAUGGUUCUUUUAAAGCUAAAUAUAUAUGGUUAUAAAUGUAAGAAUUAAGAUUCAAACCUUCAACCAUUUAUAAGAGAAAUUAUAAUGGUACAAAGUAUCUAAAUUAUACGUUUUAUCGAUAGAAAGUAGCAACCAAAAAAUAAUAUUUAUUUUUUUCAUGAUAUAAUAUGUAUAGAUAUGCAAGUUGAUAUCUUAUUAUUAAAUCACAGAAUGACUAAAUAAUAUAAAUUUUUUAUACAUUUAAACAGUUUUUUUUUUUAUCAUUUUUUGAUUUAUAAAAUCAACCAACCUUCUUUGUUGUUUGGUGUUAGUAUCACAUAUAUACCUUUUGAGAUAAUUUGACCCAACUAAUUUCAUUCAUUAUAUUCCUUCUUCUUCUUUCUCUCUGUCCCUAAAGAGAGGGACAUUUGUGUUAACUUAUUAAUCUAUUGAAAUGAAAUUAAGCUGAAGAUAUAUGUUAUGUAUGAUCACUUUCAUUUGUUUCAAAAAGAGAACAAAAAAGAUUACUUUCAUUAUGUGCUAUUCCCUAUUUUUGAGUAAAUUUGGGCCUUCAACAAAGCCUUACAUGGGCUCUCAGGUUCUUAUAGCCUGGCCCAAAACUCCCAUAAUACUUGGUGGAAAAGCCCAAAGCCUAAAUUUCUUUAACCAAAGGGCUUUUAAGUAGAGUAUCUCUCCAACAAAGUAUUGCCAUAAUUUUCAAGCACAAAUUUAUAUAUAUAUCGAGUCCAAAUAACAAAACUACCUAUAAUUUAAUAUAUUUAUUUUCAUUUAAUUUUAAAAUUAUUAUUUAUUGGAAUUGAAUGAUUUGAUUAUCGUUUUAAUUUUAUCAAUGCUUUUAUACCAAAGUGUGAUUUUUAACCUAAACUAUAAAACACAAACUUUUUUUUCUUUCUUUAUAAGUUAAAAAAAAAUGUAUUAUAAUAAGGUAAUGAUAAAUAUAUGAUAAAUGUUUUUUUUUAAAAAUAUAAUUACAUCUCUCAAAAUGAAAAAAACUCAUAGAUCUACGAUAAAAAAAUACACAAAAUGUGUCGUUAACACGAGAUUAAGUGCUGUAGGCCUAAUAUAUUUGGUAUGAGUGAUUUAGUACACAUUGAUUUUGGUUUGCCAAAUUUCAACAACGAUAAAAUAAAUGAAAAUUUACAUAAAUGGAAGAAAAUGAAAAGUACUUACAUCCUAGAAAAAAAAAUAUUUGAAGUUGGGUCAAAAUUUUGGUUAUACAUUUUGGACUCGAAUUAAAAUUUUAGUAUGAACCGUAAAUAGUUUACCAGUUCUUCCAUUUUUAAGAAUUUUCUAAAAUAAAAAAAGAAAGAAAAAAAUGUAAAAUGAAAAAAAAAAGGCGAAAAUGAGGACAAAUCUGGAGCUUUUUUGACGAAACAAAAUAAAACAUAUUAUGUUGAAUGAAACUUGCUGGUUAGGAUGCUUACCAAAAUUUACCUUAACAAAAAAUAUUUUUAAACUUAUGUAUACUUUUUAGUGGAGUUUGAUCGUUGGUAAGUAGGAGGCAAAUUUGUCGAAAGAAAAAUUUUCAAUAGAGAAAGGAAAUUAUCAAAUGCAGGGAAGAAAAAGAAAAAUAUUUUGGUGUUUCCAUAUAUUUAUGGAAAUUUAUAUAAAUUGAUAUUCCUAUUUAGAUUUUAAUUUUGGGACAUUAUACGUUUAUUUUUAAUUCUCUAUUAAAUCCGAUAAUCCCUUACUUGUGAUAACAAAUUUUCAUUCGUUAACAAAAAUUCCAAUUUCUUUCCAGAAACCCUUCCAUCUUUUACGAUCGGUACUCUCAAAACUUCCCAACAGACGAGCCGCAUCAAUUUGCAAAUGGAUGCAAAAAGUUUAGCCAAAUCUAAGAGAGCUCACUCUCAACACCAUACCAAGAAGUACCAUUCCAAUCACAAACAGAAACCCUUCAAUGGCACCACCAAUGAAUCUCUCAAAAACCCGCUUCCCAACGAUAAUCUUCCUUCAAAUUGGGAUCGUUACGGCCAAAAUACUUCCACCGCUGAGGCUACGCCAGCGCCGCUUCCCGAUGUUAUUUUGCCCAAGAGCAAAGGGGCUGAUUACCGCCACCUCAUUGCCGAGGCUCGAUCGCAGAUGCAGUCGUGUACUUCUACGGAUGUUUUUCCGUCUUUGGAUGAUGUUUUCCCGGGUGAGUCCGCGUUUUUUUUUCUCUCUUUUGAAUUGUUGUAAUUAGGUCACUUUUAUUUUUUUUUUCUUCUUCGAAUUUUGAGUCAUUGGAAUGGUUGCUGAUAUGAAUAUAUGAAUGUGCUAUUGUUGUUGGUGAAAAAUAUAUGUCUCAGUUAGUUUGGUUGAUUGUAGAGUUGCUGUAAUUCAUGUUCUGAGGUAAGGUUGAAUUGGCAACUGUUUAUGGUUUUAAUGCCAGCUAAAUUUUCGGUUUUUUUCUGUACAUUAUGAUAUAAUCAUUUAUUUUCCACCAUCCUUACUGUGUUGGUUAGACCUCCAAUGAACAUAUAAAAGAGAAUUGUGUUUCUUUGUUUUGAUAGAUUCAACUAGUAGUGUUAGUAAUAAUAGUAUAUCAAUAUCAAGAAUGAAAAGUUUGGUAGAGAUAUUAAUAUGCAUAAUCUAACAGGUGAGUUGAGUGGUGGAGGAUCUGCUAUGCUUGCAGCAAGGGGGGAAGGCCUCUUGUCUUGGGUUGAAGAUGAUAGUUUCAUUGUGGAUGAAACAGCCACUUCAAUUCCUGAGGUAAUCAGUCGUUUAUUAAUAUUUCUUUGUGUUGAGAAUAAUAUAAAGUAGUACUUUUUGAUUAGUGAAAACCAUUUAUGGUCUAUCAUAUAUGUUGGAGAACCCGACCACAAGUGGAGUUUUUAUUGACUUUAUUCUUUUGGGACAUUUUCACAUAUAGCAAGAUAUUGAAACUAUUUACAAAAUAUAGCAAAAUUCAUUAAACUCUCUAUAGCACAUUUGAAAUCAAUUUUGAUAUAUUUUGUAAAUAGUUUCAUUUUUUGUGCUAUUCAUAACUAUCACCUUAUUUUUUUUGUUCUGACUUUGUAUUCUUUCAUUUGGUCUGAAAGUAGUUGUUUCAUUUAAAAAAUGAUGGGGAACCUGAGCACAGAAUUUUAAAUAUGAAUCAUACUGUGUUCAAGAACUUUUGAAGCAUAGGCUUAUAACAUUUUACACCUUCUCAUGUUUGCCAUGUCUUUGAAGCACAACUGUUGAGAACGUUAGAAAAACCAAGGGGAUUAACUUUUUAUAAGAUAGAUGGUCUACUCCUUUUAUGACUAAUUGGGUUUGAGAUGGAACCCAAUGCUAUCAAACAUGGCCUCAGAGGCCAUAAAGCCCGAAAAAGUAUUCAGUCCAGUAAAAUGAAAUUGUGAUCCGGUCAAGAUUGGUGAACCAAAUAUCAAUUCCUUACAGCCAUUUGGAGUUUGUUUUACAUGUUAUUUCAGCUGUUCGAUGGGACCAAAAGAAAUUUGCAUGAUUAUUUGUUCCCUUCCUUGACAAUUGUUAGUAUAAUCUUCUUUUGAUAAUUUUUCAAUGUAUCUGUUUACUGGACUACAAUUCCUGUGGGCCAUGUCGUGUUAGCUUGCUAGAGGGAUGUUUAGGAGUUGAUCAAGGAGCUCCUCCUCCAUGUUUCUUCAAGGGGAAGUUACUUUUUAUUGUUUGCUGGGGGUGUGUACCUUAUUGUCGGUUUUUUUUUUUUGGGGGGGGGGGUCACCAAGUGCUACACUCUGACUCUACCUCGGGGACAGAUCGGGCGUAUUCUAACUAUGUACUAAGCUCCUAAUCUUUAGAGUUGUGGAGUGACCAAUAUUUGGUCCUUGGUAAGGUUUCAUGUUUCUCUUCUGGUUUCAGUUUCAAAUACUUUUUGUAAUUAUUUUAUAGGUAGCAUGUUACUAAGUUGGAAACCUUCCUUUAGAGGGUUUCUUCUGGGCUUGUUUUUUUUGUUUGUCCUUUUAUUCCUACAAGCAAUUUCUAUCAAAAAUAAAAUUCUGAUAGCCUAGAAUAUACUUUUAAAAUUCAGCCAUUUCUCUCUUUUUCUUAUCAUAACAUUUCAUAGGUCUGUUCCACCUUUUUAUGGAAACUGGAUUUUUUUCUUCAUUUUUGCAGGCAUCAUUUCUUUCAUUAAAUCUGCAUAUGUUAGCAGAUCAACUACAGAAAUUAAACGUAGCACAAAGGCUCUUUAUUGAGGAGGAUAUAUUACCAUCAGAACUGGUAUGUCUGACGUUUCACUCUUGGAUAAACUAUAAAUUUUUGUUUGGAGUGAACUUUAAAUGCCUCAGUUGAAUUGGUUGCUUCUUAAAUCCUCAUUUAAAAAUGCUCUUCUUCCUUCAAAUUUAGAAGUUUGGAUGUUAUCCUUGAAAGUCAAAUUGCUCUGAAGUUUGCUUGUUGAUACUAUUAUUUUUUCAUUGCUACAGAUGCAACCAUCUGAGUGUCAAGAGGCAGAAAGAAAUAUUGAUUCAUCAGUCACUGAGAAAGGAAAUGUCGAAGACAGAGUUCAGGAUGCGAUCGUUGCUUCUUCAUCUAGCUACUUUGGAAGUAACCAGCAAGAUCCAACCUUCAAUCCAUCACCAACUUUGUCAAAUCAGGUCCAAUAUAAUGCCUGUCCAAUUGAGUUGGAAAUAUCCAGCCAAACUAAGGAUCCAAAGUACACAGACCAAGCUAACACAAAGUUCACAACUGAAAAUUCAAACAAAAAACUCACGAAGCUUGAAGCAACAACUGCAGAAGCCGAAUUGGAUAUGCUUCUGAACUCAUUCAGUGAUACAAUAGACCUGGGCACCACCGCUGCAAGUAGCUCGUCCCGCAUAGAUGAAGUGUCUAAACCUUCUUUUCACCUUCCAAAUAAAGGUCCAUAUUCAACAAAGAAGCCACCCAUUGCUUCAGAACUUGAUGAUGCGUUGGAUGAAUUGCUUCAAGAUACAUCCUAUCUAACAUCCCAUAUAGAAAAGCCUAUCAACACUCAUAUCCAAUCUCUUUCACUCCAUUCUGGAACCAACUCCAUUGCCAAGGAUGAUUUUGAUUCUUGGAUUGAUUCAAUUUGAACUCUGUAAGUAAAUGAAUUUGAUACAUGAUAAUUUAGUCUGUGCUAUAGUUACCUGUUUCAUUUUUUUGAGCUAGAUAGUACCAUUAUUUUAAUCUUAACACUACUGGGGCUGGCAUUAUUACUCUUUUCAUACAACCCCCCAUGUAAACUAAUUUGUUAUGUAGUAAUUUACUAAUUUAGUAUGUGCACUAAUUUCAAUGUGCUUCUAGAAAAAAUUGUACUACUAUGGUAGUACACUACAUACUUCUUUCUUCUGUAUAGACAACUAGAAAUUUGCUCACAAGGUUCUUAUCUGUUAUGGGUGUCAAUCAAGUGAUCCAAAUAGUGGUUGGAAUUGAUUUAUUAUUUCUUUAUAAAGUGGAUUUUAGAUGGAGAUUGAAAUAUCGAGGGGUUUCAACAGCUAUUAAUAGUUAUCAAUUGCAACUAUUGUUAUAUGGACCACAGCAGUUGGCUUGAUUCUUAAUAUUCUCUCUCUGAUUUACUUUCUUAAUAAAUCCAAAUUCAAACCAACUGGCAUCUACUCUUUUUGUAUCUUUGUUUUCUUUUUCUUUUUUCCAAUUUUUAAUUAUUGAAAUCUAUCUUUAAUUUCUGUUUCCUACAUGUAUGAAUUAAUUACCAUGUCCCAAGCCUUGGAUAAACUUUAUACAGUGACAAAAACUAAUAUUUUGGGUUUAACCUAAGUGUUUAAAUUGUGUUUGAAGCUUCAAUCUUACCCUUGAAUUUUGAAAUUAAACAUUGAUGGAGUGAUUUUCCUUAAUAAGAAGAAAUUAUUGAGCAAAAUUAUUUUCUUUAAAAAAACUUCUCUCUCUUAUAAAUAAAACCUUUUUAGAAUAAGAUAACAAUCUUUUUAGCCAAUUGUGCUAAUGGUCAUGAUUAGAAACCAAACAAAAGUUUAAAUAUUUUAACAAAGCAUUCCAAUCAUCAAUUUAAAGCCAAAUCUUGAUUAGGGCCAAAUACUUUUAUUUUGUUACUAUUCCCAAAUAUUUUUUUCCAAAUAUUAUAGGUAGGUAAACUUUGUUUUUUAAAUUCUCUAUUCUUAAUCCAAAUCCCUAAUUCACUAAUUCCUCAAAUAACACAAAUAAUCUUACCUAAUCUUUUAGGUUGGUGAUCUUCUUCAAAUAUUUCUUAUUCCAAGCGUCCAUUCCCAAAUUCCAAUCUAAUUAGAUGAGGAAACAAAAGGAUUGGAAAAAUAUUAUUUGCAGAAGAUUGGUUGAGAAAAGGAAAAUUGUCUGAUUUCACUUCAACAAAAUAGAUUUCUUUUUUUGAAAAAUUGCCAAACUACUUUUCUUUUUUUUUGUUGUUACUCACCCGAGAUAAAGACCGAGAUUUUGUCUAAAAGUUAACUUCUUAACUUCAUCUAAAGCUUUCAUUUUUUAUGGAAAAACGGGUAGAAUCUCGGUGUUAAUACUACUCGAAGAUUUUUCGAGAUUUCUCAAAACAAUUGAUAACAUUUGAAAAGAUGUUAGAUCUUGAGCGAAAAAACUAAAAAAACUAGUUGAACGACUUUUAAAAAAAGAGUGCUAUUUUGAUAACAUGAAAUCUUUAAUAGGUUUUUAGACAAUUUUCCAUCGAGAAAGACUUUAAUCGAUACUUUUUAAAAUUAUUUCCAGCCAUCUUCCAAAUCACUGCCUUCUAAUACUUGUACUACAGAGAUCGCAUCCAUUUUUAUUCUUUAUUAAAAAGAAAUUCAAGGAAUAUAAUUCAAACUUAUCUCAAAAGUUAAUUAAUUUUUUGGGAGAGAGAGAAACUCAAAAGUUAAGAAGUACAGUAGUGUGUGUUUAUAUAUAGAUUAGAAUAGGAAUGAAAAUUUGGCAUUGGACAAAAUUCAAAGUAAAGCAUCUUACCAAAGAGAGAAAAAAGAGAAAAGAAAAGUGGGGAUUAAAAUAAUAAUUGGUAGAAUUGGUAUUUGUUUGAAGAACGUGUCAAGAUGUCAUUAUAUUAUACAUUGAAACUGAUAAGCACUUAUGGCUCUUCCACUUCCACACCCAUUAUAAAAACACUCUAAAAAUAAUUAAAAUUUUGAUUAUUCAAACUCUCUAUUAAAUCUUAAUUAUUAAUUGUAAAGAUAAGAGGGGAAAAAUGCGUAUAUUAAUGUCCAAAAAUUAAAUAUUUGUAACACCCUAUAUUAAACCACGAAAUGAUUCAAUUAAUGGUUGGUUGGAGACACUGUUGUAUAUAUCAAUUCAUUUCUCUUCAAUCAAAUUAAAUUAAUUAAUUUCAUCCAUUGUUUGUCACAACGUCGGCGGAGAUCAAAUAAUAUAUAUUUAUAUUUUAAGUACAAUAGUGGAUUUGAAUAACUUUUUCAUUUUUGUCAAUUUUUGUUAGGUUAAGUUUGUUUUGAUUUUAUACUUUUGGUUAUUUUUAAAUUUUGUACAUAGUUUAGGAUGUCGUUAGAGGUGAAUUUUGAGCCAUUGAAUUUACUUGAUUUGAUGGUUGAGUUUCUUUGGACUCUACAAUUAGGUGGAAGACCUAUGUGGUUGCUAAUUGGGAGGUUUUGUCCCAACAAAGAAGGGGUCUAUUUUAGCUGUGAUAUAUCUUACUCUACUCAAUCACAAUUUAUUUUCACAUGUUGUGGAGACUUAACGAAGAUUUAAACUUAUAAUUGAUUCAUUGAUUAACUGAUUAUAUGAAAGAAGUCAAAAGAAGCAGGUAGAUGAAGAUGUAAAUAAAAGGAUUAGAAAGAGCAGAGCAGAGCAAAAGUGGUGGUUCCAUAUAAGAACACAUUUCGUCUCUAAUUGUUUGUCAUUUGCUUCCACUCAUACUUCAUUGCAUGUGCUAUACCAUGUGACUUCCUAUUCUUUUAAUUCCUUUUUUUUUUAAUUCAGUCCCAUCGAUCUUCCAAUUAUUUUCCAUUUUGAAUAAAGUCUUAUCCAAUGUUGAGAAUUCAAUAAUCAAAUCUUAAAUUAAACAAGCUAUAAAUUGGUCGGACAAAAACUUAGUUCAGCUAACAUCAUUGUAUGUUGAAGAUCAAAAGAGUUCGUGGUGCAAAUCCUCCACCUCUAUUCGUACUUAAUUGAUAUAAUGUUUGCACUAUUUUAAUCUCGAAGCUAGAUGUUUGAUUCGUCACAUUUGUCAACAAAAAGAGAACAAAAUAAAAAAGAAAAAAGAGUUCUAACUUCAAGUUUGAUAUAUAAUAUAUGUUUUACGUCAAUUGAGUUAUGUUAUUUUAACCAUCAAUUUACUUAUAUUCUUAGUUACAAAUUGUAUUACAAUCGGAUAUUGAAAGGUCAAGUGAACCAAAUUAUGGAACUUUGUCGAUACUCCUAGAGUCUCAAUAACUUGCUUUCUUCUAAAAAAGCAAAUAGAAGAAACAACCAUCAAUGUUUUAUGAAAUUUAGAUUCGACACUUUACGACCUUGACAUGGAUCAUUCUAUCAACCUACUCGAUACACUUUUUAGAGUGAAAAUUAACUAAAUCAUUUGAUAUAAUAUUUUUUGGAAAAUGAAACUAGAAAGCUAGCUCAUCCAACUAUAAAACCGCUCUAACUCAAACGUCUUACCUUUAGCUUAAGAAUUCAUAUGAUUCGAUCAUUUAGAAGAUCUAGAAAAAUACGUCUUGCUUGCAUAGAGAGUCACUAUCUAACUCCAAUUUUUUUUUUUUAAUUAUUUGAAUUUAUGUAGUUCUUCAAUACUCAUAUGUCAACGUGAUUCAAUUUUUAUUUUUCAAAAAGACAAUGAGAAAAGUGGUUAAUUAAAAAUGAACAAAGUGGUGUAUUAUUAGUAGAUAGCUCAUUUAUUGCCACAUGUUAGGAUAUUGAUAUUUGCCAAUAGCCCUUAUUGUAAUGGUUGAACAUUUUCCAAGUUGAGAUUAGUCAAACUAAAAAAGGUUAAUAAAUAAAAUAAAUGGAAGAAGGUUUAUUUUCAAUUUAUAUGCAUAUAAAUUAUGAAAAGAAAUAAUAAUUCAAUGUUAAAAUUACAAGAAAAUUUUUAAAAAAUCAAAGCAUAUAUGACAAGAAAAAGCACACAAAGAACAAAUAGUACUUUUCCUCAAACUCAACUCAUCAUCAUAAAUGAUCUUAAGAAACAACACUAAUCACAAUCAAACCAAAACUCAAAAUUAAACCCAAUCCAACACCAUUUUUGGUAACUGCACUCUUAUCGUUAGCUGGUGGCUUUGCAGCAUCGGAUUUUGGCGGUGUUUCGCCGUCGACAGGUGCCUUAUCGGUCCCUGGAGCUGGAGCUUUAGGAGGUGCAGCAGUGUGGUUCCCAAAAAGAGCAUCUGGCAAUAAAACUUGGUCUACCACAAAAAUAGACAAUGGAGAUUGCUCUCUGAGCUUAUUGUUGAUUGGCGCUGUGAUAAUACCGGUGGAAACGUUGACUUGGUUCGAGUUUGCUUGGCCAGUGAAAUUUAGCCCCCAAUCUCCAGCUUGAGUCCUCACUGGAUUACUGACUGUUUGCAGCUCGAUCAAAGUGUAGAACUGUAUGUCAUCAAAAUUCAAAAAACCAAAAUUUUAAAUUUUGAAUACCAUAGCUUUCAAUUGCAUGAAAAAUAACGUCGGUGGAUGUUGACAAUUAAACAAAUAAAUUAUGCAUCCUAUGACCAUUUUUUAAAGUAAAUAGAAAAGAAAAACCACUUCUCACUAUUCUAUAAAAAAAUUGAUAAGUCUCAAUUAAAAAAUUCAUAUUAUUAUUCUCUAAAAAUAGUUGAGAUCUUGCAUAUUAACUUUUUCUUGGUACUGUUAAAACUAAAUUUUUUUGAAAAUAUUGAUAGAUCAACUAUAAGAUUUAAAUCGUGUUCGAGUAUGAGAGUGACCUAAAAUAAUGUGGUGGCACUUAAACUUUAAUAUUCUUUCAAGUCACUAUCACACGACAUUUCAAAGUUCUAAUUUUCGUUCGAAAGAAUAAUAAUUUUCACUAAAAUAGAUUUGAAAUAACUCAAAACUUUUUUUCUUUUUGCAAGAAUGAUUACUAUUUUUCAAACAAAAACCGAAAGUAAUAUUUAGAGUUAUUUAUUUAAUUUAGCAAAUGAGUGUUUGGAAAAUUUCAACUACUCACUAGAUGAAUUCUAGGUGUUAAUUUGGAGAACAUAUAGUUAAGUUUGAAAUCUAUUUUGUCAAUAAGUUGCUAUAUAACUAUUGCAUCCAUAGAUAUGCGCUAGAAAACGUAAAUGAAAAUAGAGUAAUACUUAGAAUUGCAGCCUCAUAUUACAGUUAUAUUCUUGGAAUAAAUUUCUACAAUUAAAGUGUGAUUAGACUGAGAUAAUGCAACCAUAGCGCGAGAGUAUCUUAAAGAUAUAUAUACAUAUAUACCUUAGGCAAGACGUGGUAAAGGAGAAGCUGGCUCUUCUGCUGGUCGUCAAGGGCGUUGAGGGCGCCGGGUCUAAGGGAAUUGAAGCCAUUAUCAGUUGGAGCAAGAAUGGUCAAUCCUCCCCCUUGAGAAUUGUUGAGCUGAUUAUCAAGCUGAGUAAUUAAUCUACUUUCAUUCAGCAAACGGAUGAAGGUACUGAAUUGGCCGCCUUCGGACAAAAUGCCGGUUAAGUUGAUGGGUCCAGGAGGAGAUGGACCCGGUGCAGCCGGAGUUUGGGCAAGAGUUUGGCAGAAGAGAGCAAAGGGAAGGAGGAGGAGGAGGAGAGCGGCGGAGGCCAUGGCGGAGAGAGUAGUUAUAAUAGAUAUAGGAGUGAAGGAGAGGAGGAGAUAAGUGGUAAUUUAUAUAUUAAAGGGAGAUGAUGGGAUUGGUUGGGAAUGAGCUGGACUUAAUGGUGACAACUAAGAGCUUGACGCAAAGAGAGAAAAGAUAGAAUAGAAUUAUAUAUAGAGAGAAUAAUAAUGUCCAAAAGUCUACGGUGUUAUGUUAUGUAUAUUAUGCACUCUCUCAAUACAUUAUAUUUACCCAAAUUUUGUUUCUUUAGUAGGUGCUCUGCUCUCUCUUCAAAACUUGUAAAUGAUAAACAAUUGGAAAAGUCUUAGUUGUUUUCCUUUUUCUUUCAAGUGUAAAUUGGAAAAAGGGGAUUUGAACUCAGGAUUUGCUUUCCUUAGUUGGUAUAAAAUGUUAACUUCUUAACUGUUAAUGUAGUAUAGUUAAUGAUAUCCUUCCAUUGUUAAUGUGUUUUUGUCACAUUUAUUUGAUAGAGAUGAUGUAUAUACUAUUGAGUUAGUUAAGUUUAGAGCUUUGACAAGAUUUUAGAUGUUAAUAAUACACAUCCUUAGGAGGAGGGGUGACCUAAUGAAUUAUUUGGAGAUUGGUUAAGGUUAACUUGAAGGUUUGUGGAAUAAUUUGUUACUUUUUUUUAAUAAUGUACUAUAAAAAUUAAAUAUUAAUAAGAAAUAACAUUGUAAAUGGUAAAACUGUUAAAAUUAAUUUACAAAAUAUAAAAAAAAUUCAAAGUUUAAAUACGAAUAUGAUAUUUUGAUAUUUUGGUUUAUUAUAUUUUAUUUAAUUUGAAAAUGUAUCUCUUAUAUUAUAUAAAAGGUAAAUGGAAAAUUAGGCAAGAAUAUACCAAAAAUAAGAAAAACACAUAUCCAUUGGAUUCACAAAUUAUUGAAACAUCUGCAAAUAUUACAUUUUUUUUGAAGAAAUGAUUAGACAAAAAAAUAGUAGAAGAAAUGAUUAGACAAAAAAAUAGUAGAAGAAAAGUUUUACUCAAAUGUAUGAGUUUUCAAUUUUAUUGAUUUAUUAGUAAAUUUUAAAAAUUGUUUGCACUUGGGCUUCUUUAUGAUACAGCGGCCUUUUUUUAUUGUCUUAUGAGCCCAUAAGUAUUUAAACAACAUGGGCUUGAAUCUUGGGCUUCAACUUGGGUCUCCACAACUUAAUUAACAAUCACAAAAUUUCAAAGUUUGCUCAAACUUUUAUUUUUGGUUAAAUUACAAAUCGUGCAGUUAUGUGAUUGCUUUCUAAUUAAAUGAUAUUAAGUACGUAAGUUUAGAGUUUACUUUGUGAUUUUUGUUUGAUUGUUUUGUGAUUUUUAUUUGAUUGUCAUGUAAUUUUUAAUAGAUAUUUUAAAGUAAUUUAUGAUUUCUAUUUGUUUGUCAGGUGCUUAAUAUUUUAUUUUGUAAUUUUAUUAAAAGUUAUAAGUUAUGUGAAAAAGAAUAUAUAGUAAUUAUAUAUGAUAAUUAGAAGUCAAUUGAACGAGGAACUAAAUUGACAAAAAUAAAAGCAUUUUAUAUGAUAAUUCCGUAUUACUAUAAAAAAUAACUAUCUAUUAUACUAAAAAUCAGAACAAGAAAUCUUUUUCUAUUUUCUAAUCAGCAAACACAUAUGAAGCUUUGGCACUUAAAAAAGCCGAAUGUCUUAUGUCAAACCUUGAUAAUAAUGAUUUGACAUCUGGUGUUGCAAAAGAAAACUAAAUUUUGUCGAUUCAUAUGAAGUUAAGAAAACAAUUAUAUAUUUAUUGUAAAAAUAUAAACCACAAAUACAUACUUUUAUAACCAAAACUAAAAUAAUCUAUACCCUUGACACAAAUUACUAUAGCAUAAUUAUAAUAAUCUAAAACUAUAAUAACCCACUCCUCAUCGCAAACAUUCUCUAAAAACUUCACAUCUAUUUGGUCCUAAAAUUGAUAAAGAUCAACUUAUUUACCAUUCAAUUAAAACUUUAUUGUAGUGUAACACUCAAUCCUUCCAUUAUAAAGUUUAAUGUUAAUUUAGGUCCAACUUUUAUGGUGUAAAGUUGGAGCUUAGGUAAUUACUUAUUAUUUAUCAUCCAAUUUCUUUCUUAAAUAUUAACAAAUUGAACGAUACUAUACAAAUUAUAAGGGUUUGAUAAAUAUAAGUUAAAAAACUUAUAAUGUAAGAAUGUAAUGAAUACAAAAUUUAAGAAUUAGAUAACCAUUUAUGGUUUUGAAGAUGAUGAGACCAAGACAAGAAAGCAGUUUGGGAGAUAAUAAAAGAUUUUACACAACCUUUCAACUAAUCUAAUGCAAACAUUGUGAAGUCUCACAAAUUUGGAUGGAACAAAAUGUAUAGUUUCUAUUUGUUAGGCAUAAUGCAUAGGAUUGAAUUGUAUUAAAAGAGGUAAAACGAUCAUAGGACAACCAAUUAGCAACCACAAACAAAACUUGUAAAGUAGUUUGUUCAAUCGUACUAAAUUCAGUUGUGGAAAAGGAGAUAAGAAGAUUGUUUAUAUAUAGAGAGAGAAAUCUCAAAAAUAGUAUUUUUGUUUCCUUCAAUCCCAUGGCUUAAUCACUAUAUCCAAAUUGGCUUUAAAGUUGAAUCUAUGAUCUUCCUUUGACGACACCUCAAAACGGUGAAGUCUUCAACAAUCUCCCCAUUGCCAAGCAAUCCAUUUUCGCUUCAAUUAUAAAGAUCUCUUUCAUUCUCCUUCUUCUUCUUCUUCUUCUUCCUCCUUUAGAUCCUCUCAAAAAGCUUCUUAAUUCCUUUGUUUCUGAUCAUACCAACAAAUCCCAACAACCUUCAAAGUUCUAUAUUGGUGGUGGUGGAUGGCAAAAACCAACAAAUACACCUCCAUCAAUUUCAAUCACAUCUACGACAAGAAUCUCUCCUCCAAUUCCAAAACUGGCAACAAUCCAUCCUCUAAUAAAAACCCAUCUUCUUCUUCUUCCUCCUCUUUCGCCACUGCAACUUAUUCUUCCAUUUCUUCCCCUAACAAGUCCCAUGGCCGCAUGCUUGUCCUGACCCGUCCCACCCCCAGACCCAUUACCUCGCCUCAACCCCUUUCCCCUCAACCCCAGUCUCGACCUUCAUCCGCCGAUCAUCGUCCUGUUCCGGAUCACCCUCGUCCGCAAUCCGAUUCCGAUUCGAUCUCUCUUCGCCCUCUCGGUCGGACCGGUACCGGUGCGAUCGCUCCCUCUCCGAUUCCGGUGUUGGAGAAGGACAGGGAGAUUACCCCUCCGGUUGUGACGUUGCAUAAGCCGGAGAAAUUUGUGCCCCCUCAUCUUCGGGCGGGGUUCGUCGGGAAGGAGGAGAGACCUGUGAACGUUGGGAUCCGAUCUAGGGAAGGGAACCAGAGGCAGUACGGGAAUUAUGGGUCUUCGGGCCGGUACGGUGAAGAUGGGCGGCCGAAAUCCGGUGGUGGGUAUGAGAGGAUGAAAGAGGUGGGUGAGGCAGAUCUGGGGGCGAUGGUGAAUCGGCCAAGAUCCAGUGGGAAUCGGCCGAGUUCUAGUGGAUGGUAUGUUUCUGUCAAGUACUUGCUCUUUUUAAAUUCUAUGUCGUGGUUAAUUAAUUGGGAUUGUGGAGCAUAAACGUGUAGUUAAUCGUACUUAAAAAUGAACUAUUUUGGCCCUGCAUUUUGGGUAUAGAAUUGCCUUCUUUGGAUGCCCUUUUACCAUGUCACCGAGAUUCUGCCGGGCUGCUGGCUAUGGCUUUUUAGGAGAGUUUCUCUGUGAUGUUCUCUCAUGAUUAUAGAUUAGAUGGAUCCUUUUGUCUCAAUGAAUUGGGAUUAUUGAUAAUUUGAUACACAAAGGCUUGGUUAAUACAGGCACUGGAUUUUAGGUAUGGUAUGGAAUUGCCUUAUUUGAGUGCACUUUUAUCAUGACACUAGAUGCUGUUGGGCCUUUGGCUAUGGCUUUUUGAUUCAUACGACACUCCCUUCAUGUUUGUUGGCUUUGAGAUGAAUCGCUUUAAUCCCAUGAUUACAAAGUAGACGGAUCCUUCUGUCUCAAUGAAUUAGGAUCAUUGAUACAACCAUGUAGCUAAUUUUGGCAUUGGAUUUUAGGUAUGGAAAUUGUAAUUGCCUUAUUACCUUUUUACCAAGAUAGUGAGAUGCUCUUGUUUAUGGGUUUUUAUUUUUUUUUUAUUUUUAUGAGAUUCUCUUGAUUCUGAAGAGCUGUGCGGAUUGAAUCAAACUAUUUAAUCUCAUGAAUAAAUCAUAGAGCAGAUGGCUCCUUAUGUUUCCUGUUUUUCGACUGUUGAGUGUUGGCCAUUAACGUGUAAGGUUCUCUUAGGAAAGAAGAACAUUGGCUGCCUAAGUUGUUUUUCUUUGAUUACAAACCUUUUUUAGAAUGCAGAAUGUUCUAUGAGCAUGAAGAGGUUCAACUUUUGGACUUGUGUUUAAUUGUUUUCCUCGGGUCGUGUCACUGGCUUGUGACAUUUUUUUUUAAUCAAGGGGUGCUUCAUAUAGAUUUGGGAGUUCUAGUAUAUGUAACAUGGAUUUGAAGAAGUUUGAGAACGAGAUGAUGUGUUUGUGUGAGAUGCUUGAUUUAGAUCGUGUAUUGGACAUUCUCUUUGUGGGCUUUACAUUUUCAUAGUUGAAAAUUAUGGAUUUUGAAGAAAUGAUGUGAUGAAUUAUGCAUUUCCAAUAGGUCAAACCUUCAAAACAGAUGUUCCUGAUAAAAUUUUAUGAUUCCACAUGCUUACUUGAUGCUCUAUUCUAUAGGCUGUACAACUGGGUUCUUGAGUUCUAGAGAAUUUGAUUGUUUGUCGUGCUAAAAUUUUGUAAAUGUGUUGGCCGUUGAAUUUUACCUAUAGAAUUAGGCCGCCUUUUUUAUCCUUCGACAUUUGAUUAAUAAAUGCACCCUUCUUCCCCAUCACACAGACACACAUGAACUUGCUUACAUAAGCCAAACUAAGGUUAGCUUAGUUGAUAUUGACAUGACCUUCUCCUUAGUGGUGGGUGAUUUGAUCCCCCACCUUGCAGUCGUACUGAAAAAGUUUUCACUGGGCUGAUUGGUUAGACUCAAACAAAAAUAUUGAACUUGCUUUUGUUCAUAUGAUAGACUUCCUCUAGUAAAUAAUGCUUUCAUUCAUAUUUCUUCACGGAUGGUGUCAAUUUGUGUUCUCACUGAUUUUUAUGGUUGGCAACAAAUUGUGCUCAAACAGAUUCAUUCUGAAGUUGGAUACUUUUCCAAGGAUGAAGAUGGUUUACAUUUGAAUCACAAGCCACGCUGCUCAGCACCCAUCUUUUAUCUUUCUGGAAUUGUAAUUCGUCAUCAUAACUUUUAUUUGUACUUUUUAGAUUUCAUAGUCGUGGAAGAUGAACAGAUACCCACCAAGGUGACAAGAUCUCAAGAAUGAAGUGACAUACUUCAAAUUCAGAUUGUUAUACCCCAAGGAAAUGAAGUUUGAGCAUUCAAUCCCUUUACUGAUUGGUAGAGUUUGGCUUCUUCACCCCCUCUUCUGUAUUUAUGAAAGGGAAAGAAGAUUGUUAUGGAAUGUAGAACUGACCAGGUGUUAUGCAUUGUCAUCCUCGUCCUUGUCGUUGUCGUUUAACUGCAUUUAGAUCAGUCUUAGCAUCUUGUGUGGAGGAUGCUCUUAUGUUUUUCAGUUUUCAUCUAAGUUUGUAAAAUAAAGAGUCUUCUUGUGUGAGGAUAUUAUUAGGUUUCAUUCAGUUUAUAAUGAAAUGAAAUGGCCAUUCUAAUGCAACCGCUGGUACAAAUAACUCAUUUUCCCCCUCUUUACUCUUAUGGGGCUUGGCAUAAGGUGGGUUUGGCAUGAUGCCAAGCCCAUGUUUGGCCAAUGGUUUAAAAGUCAUGGCAUACUUUAAAGGUAAAGGGAAACUGAAAUGAAGGAAUAUUUUAGUAAUAAUAAUUAAGGAUAUAACAAUAUUUUAAAAAAAUUACAAAUAUAACAAUUAUCAUUGAUAGACUUGUAUCGCUGAUAGAUUUUAUAUGAUAUAUCAGUAAUAGACUAAUAUUUACAACAUGGUCUAUCAGUGAUAGACUUAUAUCAUUGAUAGAAUUUAACAAAUUUUUUAAAAUUGUACUAUAUACUUAAUUAAUUUGAAUUUAAUUUUUUCCUUAAUAAAAAAAUGUUUUCAAUUUUCACCUUACAACACAAUUAGCUCUAAACAUAGCUUUUAUUUUACCACAAUAACAAUAAUAAAUUUGAUCUGAACUUACAUAAGAUGUAUGUAAUUAAUUGUUAAGGAUAAAUUUCAAUAAGAGAUCGACCUUAAACCCAAAAUUGGAAAUAUGUUGUAGCCACUAAAUCCAGCUUCUUUAAUAAGACGAGUCCAUUCUUUUUCACAUCUCUCUCUUUUCCACAAACCAUUAGCAUAUCACCAUCAUAUCAAAGAACAGUUGAGUUUCAAUGGAAUCAUCUGUUUUGUUAUUGCCCACCACCAUACCCAUUACCUUUACUUUUCCUUUCUUCUCAUUCCCAUUGAUUGCUUCUUUGGCAUUUCUUCCAAAUUUUCACACAUUCUUCAUCCCUCCAGUCAUGUAGUACCCACUGACGUUUUGAUGACCCAUCAUAUGUGUGGAAAUAUAUAGCAUUAUUCACAUUAGUCGAAAAACAUAGACUAAAUUAUUAUUUGGAUAAAACUUAAAAAAAAAAAUCAAAAUCCGAAUUGAUUACACACAGAAUUUAGCUUUGUUUGUUUUGCCUUUCUCCUAUGAACAAACAAAACAAACCAAACAGAUUGAAGAAUUUAAUUGAAUUGUGUUUAGUAACAUGGCAUACACAAUAUUUAUAGAGCAAACGAAGGAAAACUAAAGCACUAAAACUUUUGUUGGGGAGAGUUUUACUCAAAAAUGGAUAUAUAAAGAAAUUAUUUAUAAGCAAACAAUUGAAAAAAAUUAAUUUAACUCAUCACCGUCAUGUCCUCUACAAGCUAGAUUUCAUAUCAUCAAAUUCUCGUAUAUAACAACUUUGUUAUUAUCUAUCUUAUUAAGAAUUCUAGUUCUUACACAACGAUCUUUCCGUAAUUACUUUUAUGUAUAAUAUCUUUCUGGUCUUUCCGUAGUAAUCCAGAAAGAUAUUAUACAUAAAAGUAAUUACGGAAAGAUUGGUGUGUAAGAAAUAGAAUUCUUAAUAAGAUAGAUAAUAACAAAGUUGUUAUAUGCGAGAAUUUGAUGAUGAUCUUACUAAUUUUUUUAAUAAUAUCUCUCCACUAAAAUUUUGAAUUAAAUCUAGAAUGAUGUACAUGUAACUGAAUAGUCCUAUAUAUAUAUAAAUUAAUAAAAGUAAUAUUGAAGCAUGAAAGCUAAAUUUGUACAAGCAAAUGAAACAUGAAAACUAAAAAUACGUACCUUUUGCCAAAGUAAUUAUUCUCAAAUUGCUUGCAACUAUAUGAUAUGAGAUAUGGAAAAUUAACAUAUAUGAAUUAAAAGAAGUGUGUUAGAUUCAAAAUAUAUAUUAGUUGCUACUUCAGUGGCGACAAGAAAAGAGUAUUUUGAGAGAAUUAAUUAGGGUGUGUGGAUUUUCUAUUUUGAUCACGUGAUGGAUAUUGUUUAAUUGGAUAUGAAUAUUAAAUAUAGAUUAAUUUUUAUAAAUAUAAUAAAACAUCAAAAUAUUACCGUGCAUGUAACAAAAUAAAAAAAUUUAUAAUAUUUUCGUAAAUUUCAGGUUUGUCUUUCAAUAGUGUGGAUUAUUUUUUACUUUUACAUUUUCUCUCUUUCUUAUUUAUUCAUCUUCUAUUCGUAUUAUUACUUCUUCCGUUUACAAUUUAUGAUUCUUUAUGUAAAUAUUUACUAAUUUCUUUAUGUCUUCGUCAAGAAUUUUUUCCCUUCUUCUUCAUUUCUCAUUUUUUUUUCUUGGUACAAGAUCAAUUUAAACGAUGUUGGUACAAGAUUUAAACGAUCGUAUACUAAUAUCUAAACGGUAAGUUGUCUAACCCAGAUAAACAAAGAUAGAUCACUGUCACUAAUAGAUCGUUUAGAUUAUUAGUAUAAGAUCGUUUAGACUUGAUACAAGAUCAUUUAGAUUUGAUAUAAGAUUGUUUAAAGUGGGUACAAGAUCGUUUAGACUUGGUAUAUGAGAUAAUUUAAACUUGUUACGAGAUCGUUUAGACUGAGUACAAGAUCGUUUAAACUAGGUACAAUGGUACAAGAUCAUUUAGACAUGCUACGAUAUCGUUUAAAUUGAAUACAAGAUUGUCUAGACAGAAUACAAAACCAUUUUCGUACGCGCGUGUGACCAAUUAAUUGCAGGGAUAUUUUUGUUAUUUCACAUUGUCAGCCUAUUUAUUUUUUUCUUUUUUAAAAUUGUUCUAUACAGUAUAAAUAUUUUCGCACUUUGUUAUAUUUUUUAAAAGAAUCCUUAAAUAUAUGAAAUUUAAUUAUAUAUUUGAAAUAAUUAUUGUUUGUGAUUAGAAAUGUAAAAUAAUUAAUACUUAGAAGUUAAAUAUUUAUGUUAGAAGUUAAAUAUUUAUGUUUUUGGUAUAUAUAGAAACCAAAAUUACAUAAGUGUCUAAUUAUUUUAAAGAAAAAUGUUUUAAAUUACAAAUUAGCUCAAAUUGUUUAUUAAUUGUAAUACUCUAAGCCUAGAAUUCGGAUUAGGAUUUGGAAUUCUGAUCUCCGACAUCCUGCAUCUCCUAGGUCACAUCAUUCUUACUAUCUUUAAAAGCUUAUUAGAGUGGAAGUUCUCUCCACAAAAACCAACUAACACAAAUCCUUUUAGCAUGUAACAUAGAAUUGCUCAAAGCUAAGCUCCCUUAACUUUGAAGUUCCUAUGAUCAAGCCACUGAAAAGGAAUGUACACCUUGUUGGAAUAGGUAUUAACUUUUAAUUCUUUUAAGUUUUUCUUAACAUUACUUUCAUGUUCUCAAUAUCACUCUCAUUCAGAUGUGAUACCGAUUCAUUCAUGUCUCCCUCCUAAUCUCGUGCGUUACACUAAUAUAACCAAAAUUUAUAGUUUAUUAGUGAUAAACAAUGAUAGAUACUCAUAGUCAUCUAUCAGUAUUUAUCUCAUAUAUAUAUCAAUGAUAGAUGGUAGUAGUUUAUCAAUGUCUAUUAGUUCUGGCUAGCGAUGUUAUUUUUCUAUGCUUAUAUAAUUAAAUACUUUUGUUCAUUUUGUUAUUAUUUAAAUUAUCUCUUAACUAAACGUAAGAUAAUGCCAUUGUAGAGAACAUUCCAGAGUGACAUUUAUAAGCAUUUUAGAUCCAACAUGUGCUGGCAAAAUUCUAGUCGUAGACGGAGGGUUGUCAACUAGUACAAAAAGGAUGGAUGCCCUGCCACUUUGUAUCAACCAAAAUUUAGAAGUGUCCACUCAUAAUACCAGUCUCUUUCUUCAAUUCUCAUUCUCCAAAUUUCCUCAACCUCCAGAAUUUCUUUCCAACAUGUAGCUAGGUGAUUGGGGACCGUACCAAUAAAUGUCUACCCUCACAAAAAUUAAAAACAAAACUAUGAAGUGAGGGGCAUCACCCAUUCUAACUUGUAUGAAAUAGUACUUAGUGUGGCUGAUUGCUUCUAUACACAUAAAUACACAUCCUCGUUAAAUUAAUUAGAGGCCCCACUCUUUCAUUUUUUCUUUCAUUGCUUUUUUUUCCCUCUGUUUUAUUGUAUCCAGGGUAAUGGAGGAUAUGCAUAUAUAUAUAAGUGGAAGAAAUGAUCUAUAUCACAAUUGGACACACCACCAAAGUGUUUAAUUUGGACAAUUAUUUCUCUCUUUUUGUUCUGAAUAUGAAUAUGGAGGGUGGAAAUAUGUUGGCAAUGGGAGGGGAUGAGUUGUUAGAAGCUCAAUCCCACAUAUGGAAUCACAUCUUCAACUUCAUAAACUCAAUGUCUCUCAAAUGUGCAAUCCAACUUGGAAUUCCAGACGCCAUCCAUAGCCAUGGACCCAACCCUAUGCCUCUCUCUCUUCUUGUUUCAUCUCUCCAACUUCAUCCUAAUAAAACCCAAUUCAUAUACCGUUUGAUGCGUUUACUAACUCACUCUGGUUUCUUUGUUCAACAAGAAGAAGGAUAUAUUCUUACCAAUUCAUCUCGCCUUCUCCUUAAAGACAAUCCUUGUGCUGUAUCUCCUUUCCUACUUUCCAUGCUCCAGCCAGCCCUCACAGAUCCAUGGCAGUUCCUCUCAAUCUGGUUCCAGACUGACGACCAAACGCCAUUCGAGACAGCACACGGAGUGCCUUCUGGAAGUACAUGAGGAAUAAGCCAAAAGAAGGGGAGGUUUUUAAUGCAGGCAUGGCGAGUGAUGCGAGGUUGGUGAACAGUGUAUUAUUGGGGAAACAUAAAAGUGUUUUUGAAGGAGUUAAGUCAUUGGUUGAUGUUGGUGGUGGGACUGGAACAAUGGCCAAAGCCAUUUCACAAGCUUUUCCACAAAUGGAAUGCACUGUGUUUGAUCUUCCCCAGGUAGUGGCUCAUUUGAGGGGAGAUCAACCAAACCUCAAUUAUGUUGAAGGAGACAUGUUUAAACGUAUUCCUCCUGCUGAUGUGCUUCUCUUAAAGGUAAACUAACCCAAUUGUUAUUAUUCUUUUCCGUUGCAUUCCCACAAUUUACUUAUAAGAUAAUUGUAAAUUUAAAAGAAAUAUAUCAUGAAAUCAUAUUUCCUUAUCUUUAUAUUAUUAGUUUGAUAUUUUAUACUUGUAUCUUUAUCUUUAUCUUUAUCUUAGUUUUUCAGAAAUUAACAAUUUCAUAUAUCUUAUACACAUUUUUUUUCCUUUUGUAUGAGCUAAUUAUGAAAUAUAGUCAUUAUGUAUUGUGAUAAAAUAUAAUAUAAUUUGAAGUGUGACAUAAAAACAGUGGAUAUUACAUGAUUGGAGUGAUGAAGAAUGUGUGGAGAUUCUGAAGAACUGCAAAGCAGCCAUUAGAAGCAAUGGUAACAAAGGAAAAGUGAUGGUAAUUGAUAUUGUACUGUUUGGGAAUUAUAAAAAGGACUCAAUGGAAACUCAAUUGUUGUUCGACAUGUUGAUGAUGACAUUAGUUGGUGGAAAAGAAAGGGAAGAAAAAGAGUGGGCUAAAUUAAUUAAAGAAGCUGGAUUUGGGAGCUACAAGAUCUUUCCCAUUAUGGGUGUGAGAUCUCUUGUAGAGAUUUACCCAUAAACAAUAAUCUCUUCUAAUGUUGUGUAUGCAUGCAAGGGUCAAUUUAAUUAAUAACUGUUCUUUUUUCUUUUUAAUGGAAAAAUUGUGUGAAUGGAAGUGUGGAUUGUUGGAGGUAAUAUUAAGAAAGCAAUUGUGAAGGUUUUUUUUUUUUUUUUUUUUUUUUUUUUUUAUAUUUUUUAUUUUCUUGGAAUGUCUUGGGAGGUUGAGUUUGUAAACUAAUGUUUGAUAUAUAUAUAUAUACAUAUGUGGGAUUUCAUUAUGCAAAUGUAUUUGAGUUUCAAUGAAGAUGGGGAUGGAUUGAUAUUUGUGUAUUCCACGUUGGUUUUAUUUAAAUAUAUUUUUUGUGUGCAUUAUCUACUGUUUUAUCUUUUUUUGGAUUUAUUAUUUUAUUAGACUUAUUAAAUAAGAAGAUAAUACUUUAAAUAAAGGUAAUUAUAUUAAUGGUAGCAAUUUUUGCUAUCCUUUUGCCUUCUGCCUACAUAAUUGUUGCUAUCUUUUCGCCUUCUGCCUACAUAAUUUUUGCUAUCUUUUCGCCUUCUGCCUACAUAAUUUUUUGCUAUCUUUUCGCCUUCUGCCUACAUACUUCCAAAAACGACAUUCCAUGAGCCGUGUCAAAUAGAGUCUUAUCGUCAUUUCGAAAUCAAGCCGUAGAGGAACUGCGCCAUGGCUCCACCAUGAUAUGACAACUUUAUUAUUAAUCUAUCUUAUUAAGAAUAUUCUAGUUAAUUCUUACACUAUGAUAUUUCCGUAAUUUUAGUUUUAUGUAUAAUAUCUAUCAGAAUCACUGCUACUUUUCUUCCAUUGAAGAUGAUGAUCUUAUUAUUAUUAUUUUAUAAUAAGAUCUCUCCACUAAAAUUUUGAAUUAAUAAUCUGUAAUAAUGUAUAUGUAACUGAAUACUACUAAAUAUAUAAAUUAAUAAAAGUAAUAUUGAAGCAUGAAAGCUAUGUAGAAGUAAAUGAAACAUGAAAACUAAAAAUACAUACCCUUUGCCAAAGUAAAUUAAUCUCAAAUUGCUUGGCAACUAUUUGAUGUGAGAUAUGAAAAAUUAACGUAUAUGAAUUAAAAGAAGUUUGUGUUAGAUUCAAAAUAGGAAAAUUAUAUCGAAUGAUAAAAACAUUUAGAAAAAAAAUAGCUUAUGACAUAUAUGUUUUUUUUUGCAUAUUGUGAAUAUGUCAAAAUUAGUGAUUUCAGAUGACUAUCAGACAGCAAUCAUAGGCUUAUCAGCUUUUAAAUUUGCUACUUUUGCAACUUAGAAAAUGUAAUGACACGAGUCAUGUUAUCAUAGUUUUUUUUCUAUGUUUGCAAGAUAUCCUUCAAAACAUAUACUAGUUGCUACAUAAGUGGUGGAAAACAAGUAUUUUCACAUAAUUAAUAAAGGUGUGUGGAUUUUCUAUUAUGACAUGCAUGUUUGAAUCAUGGAUAUUGUUUAACUGGGUAUGAAUAUUAAAUAUAGGUUAAUUUUCACAAAUAUAAAAAAACACUAAAAUAUUUAUGGUUCGUUUAACAAAAUCAAAUUAAAGUCGAUGAUAUUUUCAUAAAUUCCAAGUUUGUCAUUGAAUAAUGCAUAUGAUUUUUCUCUUUCUCUCUUUUUUUUUUUUCUUUUUCUUUCUUCUUUGCAAUUCAUUCAUCUCAUCUUCACAUUAUUACUUAUUCAAUUUACAAUAUUAUGAUUAUUUAUGUAAAUAUUUACCAAUUUAUUCAUGUCCUCUUCAAGAAUUUUUUCCUUCUUCAAUUCUCAUCUUCUUUUUUCUUCUUGGUACAAGAUCGAGUUAAAUGAUAUUGGUACAUGAUCUAAACGAUCGUGUACCAAUAUAUCUAAACGAUCAGUUGUCUAUCCCAGAUAAACAAAGAUAGACCACACGUUUGUUUAGAUUUGAUAUAAGGUUGUUUAGAUUGGGUGGGAGAUCAUUUAUACUAGGUUGAGUAGAAGAUCGUUUAGACUUGAUAUGAGAUAGUUUAAACUUGUUACGAGAUCGUUUAGAUUGAAUACAAGAUUCUUUAGAUUAGAUACAAUGAUACAAGAUUGUUUAGACUAGCUACGAGUUCGAGAUCAUUUAGACUAAGUACAAAACCAUUUUUUCAUGCAUGUGUGAUCGAUUAAUUGCGGGGUAGUUUUGUUAUUUCACGUUGUGGAUUUGUGAGCUUUUUCCCUUUUUUAAAAUUGUUCCUAUACGAUGUAAAUAUUUUUGCGAUUUGUUGACUAUAUGAAAUAAUUAAUGUUUGUGAUUGGAAAUGUAAAAUAAUUAAUAUUUACAAGUUAAAUAUUUAUGUUUUUUUUUUGUAUAUAUAUAGAAACCAAAACUACAUAAAUGUUUAAUUAUAUUAAAGAAAAUUGUUCUAAAUUACAAAUAUGGUGAAAAUGUUUACAAAUAUAACAAAAAAAAGUUUAUAGUUAUCAGUUAUAGACAAUGAUAGAUGCUUAUAGACAUUGAUCUAUCAGUGUUUGUCAGCAUAUAUCGAUGAUAGAUGAUAGGGUAAUCUAUCAAUGUCUAUUAACUCUAGCUAGCAACGUUAUUUUUAUAUGUUUAUAGAAUUAAAUAAUUUAUUCAUUUUGCUAUAUUUAAAUUUUCUUUUAAGUAAAUGUUAAUGUCACUGAGUGAUUUUUUAAGUAUUAUGGAUUGAAGAUGUAUGGACAAAAUGGUCCUAGUCAUAUAUUUAAGGUUGCCAACUAGUAUAACAGGAGGAGGGAUGUCCUACCACUUUGUAUCAACCAAAAUUUAUAAGUGUGUCUCAUAGUACUAGUCUCUUUCUUGAACUGAUCUCAUUCUCCAAAUUUCCUUGCACCUCAAAAAUUUCAUUCCAACAUGUAGCUAGGUGUGUGGGUACAGUACCAAUAAAUGUCUACCCUCACAAUUUUUUUUUUUAAAGAAAAACCAUGAAGGUAGGAGCAUCACCCAUACUAACUUGUAUGAAAUAGUUUGUGUGGCUGAUUGCUUCUAUACACGUUAACACACAUCCUCCUUAAAUAUAGGGGCCCUACUCUUUCAUGUUUCACUACUACAAAAACAGGCUCUCUUGACGUUUGCAGUUUGCCUUUCUUGACGUUUUUUCGAAAAACGUCAAGAAAGAUUUCAUUUUUAAUAAAAAACGUCAAGAAUUUUUCUGAAACAUCAUUCUUGAUGUUUAUUAAACGUCAAGUAAAAUAAAUUUUUCCUUGACGUUUUUAAAACAUCAAGAAAUAUCUAUUAAUUUUUUGACGUUCUUAAAACGUCAAGAAGCGUAUGAAUUCGACAUGCUUGAAUUUAAAAUUUUACUCGACGUUUUAAAAACGUCAAGAAAUUUAUAAAAAAAUCCUUGACGUUUUUAAAAACAUCAAGAAUAUUUUUAAAAUUUCUUGACGUUUUUCAAAAACGUCAAGAAUUUAAUCGUAAAACGACGUCGUUUCAUUUAAGUACAUUUUCUCUUCUGUAAAACCUAAUUUAUUGCGCGUGCGAAGGGAAGCUUCUCCCCUUUUGCAUUCGUCGUUCGUCAUUCUCCCCUUUCACCGUUCUCAAGCUUUCACCAUUCUCAAGCUUCCACCGUUCAUCGUUCAUUCACCGUUCAGUUCAUCGUUCACCGUUCACCGUUCACCAUUCGAAACUCGUACAGAAGUGUGAGCCAUCGAUGAUAAUGCCUUUGCCAAAGACUUAGGAAUAGACACAGAGGAGAGAGACCCUUUCUUUCUAUUAGAGAGAUCAUUCACGAGAUAAAGCCUACGGUCCCUGUUCAUCGUUCUUGCACGGCUCCCUCUAUUCACCUUCUUUGUUCGAAAACGCGCAACACAUUCACCUCUGUUCUACCGGAAAACCUCCAUUUGUCUCCAAUUUCUGUGUAAAAGGGAAGCUCCUGUUAUUGCUUACACUGAGAAGGUAUUGAAUUUUAAUUUUCGGCUCUAACAUUUUUCCUAAUCUACUUCUUUCUUCUUCUUUUCAAUUUUACUUACUUGUAAUCAAACUGUGUUACAGAUAAUCGAAGAAUGGAGUUUUCAAUUGAGAAAGUACGAAUCUUAUCUUUACCCUCUCAGAUCUAGUUUCACACACAUUUUAUACCUUGCUGUCUUAUGUGUUUCUUUUGCUUUCAAUUUGAUUAUCACUUGUUUUUCUAUCUUACCUGUUGAAGGAAAUUGAAGUCUGGGGCGUUACCCUUGUGUACAUUCUUUAGAUGUUAACGAAUAUUGGUUUAGUAACUGUUUAUUUAUAAUGCAAAUUGCUCUAAUAUUCAAUUAAUGGUACUGGAGGAAAUCGUAAUGAAACCAUCCCGGCUUAGUUGGUUUAAUAACUGUUUAUUUAUAAUGCAAGUUUGAGCCUUCAAUUUAUGGAGAGGAACCUCCCUGCCUAUCUUCUGAGCUAAUAGGAUCAGUCUUUAUCUUCUGAGCUAAUAGGACAUGGUAGCUGUUCGAAGCCAAAUAUCUUAGAAGAGAGUGACUCGAUGAAAAUAAUCAAAGGGAAGAGUAAGUUGAUGGAUACAAUCGAAGGGAAAGAGGUGGAGGAGAUAAAUGUAAAUGACGACAAAGUAGAGUUGGACAUCUUUAAGGUAUGCAUCGAUCCUCUAAUAAACUCAAAUUCUUAAUAUUCAUAUCGUAUUGAAAGUGAAUGUUUUUCUUGAAUUAGGAGAGAGCCUUAAUAAAAAUGCUAAGGAAAGAGAGGUUGUCUGUGAAUCGACGUCAGUUUUGCCAAUGGGAAUGAAGUUGAUUCUCAGAUACGCUGAGAAGAUAAUGGAGAAAGAUUUAGUAUCACUAUUCCACUACCUGUUGGCAUUUUUGGUAUUAGUCGAAAGACUUCUGUUCUCCGAGAGGACAUCAUUGAUCUUUGUAACAUGAAUGAGGUCAAAACAUUUACAUUGGUGGCCUAUAUGACGUAAGUCAAUUUCAUUUCUUUAGAUCUAAAUUUAUGUAUCUCGUUUACAAGUUUAUAAUAUUUUGUAGGUACUUGUAUUCAUCUGUUCUUGGUUCGAAGGAAAAUAUACAGUACGUCUUUGUAGAUCCAUCCCUCACCUCUGUCGGACACUCGCAAGAAUCUCGAGUUCGAACUUAUGCAGUAGAUUGAUGGUCUCAAAGAUUAACGAAAUAGUUCUUGCUCCUUUUAAUCCUGGUAAGUCAAGUUAUUUUAUUACUUGCAUUGCAAAAAACUAGUACUAAUAUUUUGUAUAAUUAGGGGUCAUUGGGCACUGCUGGCCAUAAAUGCGUAUGAUGAUACAUAUAUUUUACCUCGACUCACUAAGGACAACAUCGAAGUCAACUAUAAGAUACGUCACUGACACGUAAGUUAAUCUAGUAUUUCAUUUAGUGUUGAUUCUUAUAUGCAUGUACACAAUAUUUAAAUUAUUUGUUCAAUCUUAUCUUGUCAAAACAGAGCAAUAGAGAUGUUUCAGUCACAAAAGAACAUUAAAAAAAGUAGAAAACAAACUUUAUGGCGAACAGUAAAGGCAAGUAUCAAAUUUUUAAGUCAUUAUAUUUUUGUAGACUACUAGCAAUUAGGAUUACUUUGUUAGUCAAUUUUGUUGCUUUUAUAUAGUGUCCACUGCAAGUCGGGAGUACUGAGUGUGGAUACUACGUGAUGAGGUAUUUGAGAGAAAUUGUGAUUAGGGAAGCAUUGUCAUAUCCGAUGCGGUAUGUUAUAUAUCAAACUAUUGGUUUUGUGAGUUAAUUGGUUUAUUUGUAUAGUCAGUUAAUUCAUUUAAUUUAUUUUGCAUGUUUAUAGAUUGAUACACGAAGAUCAUACUCACAGGCAGAACUAGACGAGGUGCAAGUUGAGUUAGCUGACUUUUUGGGUUCUUAAUAUGAUUAUGACCAAUAUUUUGUGAUUCUGAAGUAGGAAAUUUUUUGUUGUGGCUUCUUUAUGCCUUAAACUUUAUGUAUAGAAUCUUUAGCCGAUAAUUCUUUUGAAUUGUUCAUAUGGAGAAGGGGGGGGGGGUUCAUUUGUAUAUUCUUUUGAUUAUUGUUAUAGCUAGCAUGUUUUGUGACUUUGUAAGUUGAUUUAUUCAUGGCAAUGUAAUGCCAUAUGAAAUCUAAUGUAAAGCCUAUUUCAUUAUGCAUAUGUAAAAGUCUUGGAAUUGAAUAUAUAUGGUGAAUGGUUUUAUUUAUAUAUGUUUGAGAUUUGAAACUAUAUUUGAUGAAUAUCAAAUAUCUAUGAAACUGUUGCUGGACAAUUACAGGACAAUCAUCUUUCCAUUACAGCAUAAUUCAAUUACAAUUUCUUUUUUAAAAAACAAAAUUAAAAAAUGCUUGACGGUUUUAAAAUGUCAUGAACAAUUGCAAGCUUGACGGUUUUAAACUAUCAUGAACAAUUGCAUUUUUGACGGUUGACAAAUGUCAAGAACAAUUACAUUCUUGACAGUUUUAAAAUGUCAUGAAUAUUAAAAUUCUUGACGGGUUUAAAAUGUCAUAAAUCAGUUCAUCCUUGACGGUUUUAAAAUGUCAUAAACAAUACCAGUCUUGACGGUUCUAAAACGUCAUGAACAUAAGUAUAUUUGACGUUUUAAAUAACGUCAACUUUAUUCUUGACGUUUAAUACAUCAAGAACUUUGCCUUUUGACGCUGGGUUCAACGACAUUUUUAAAACCGUCAAGAGAGCAUGUUUUUGUAGUAGUGUUUUGUUCUUUUUUUCUUUCUUUUUCUUUUUCUUUUUUUGUUUUAUUUGUAUCCAUGGUAAUGGAGGAUAUGCAUUUAUAUAUAAGUGGAAGAAAUCCAUAUCACAAUUGGCUGGACACACACCACCAACAGAAAAUCUAGAAAGUGGAGGGUUUUGAAUGUCUUUUUUCUAACUAAAUUAUUUAGAUAUAAUGCAUUUCCUUUUAUAUUGGAAAACGUAGAGUAGAUGAGAGAAACAAAUGUAUGACAACUAAACUAAAAAUGAAAUAAGUAAACUAUUUAAUAACAUUUUUCAAAUUAAACUGUUUAAUAACAGUUUUAUGGGUUUUCUUAGUGAGUAGCCUUAAUAUCCCCCUCAAGCCAAAGUCUGCAGCAUGUGUAACACCUAGUUUCACUCGAAGUGGAAUGAAAGAAUGUGCAGAUAGUGGCUUGGUCAGUAUAUUUGCAACCUGAGGUGUUGAUGGAAGAUGCAAGGAGUUAUGAAGUAUGAAGAGUUACAAAUUUUUAAUAUAGUAUUAAAGUAAUAAGCUCUUAUGUUUAGAUCUCUAACGGUUAAAUAUAUUUUUUAAUAUUAAAUUGCACCUUAUAAAGUAUAAUAUUCUUUUUGCAACAUGUGAAUACAUAUAUGUGUGUGUGAGAGGUCAGGGUGGUUGACAUGCAUGCAUAACGAAAGUGAAUAUUACAUGAUUGGAGUGACAAAGUAUGUUAGAAGAUUCUAAAGAACUGAAAGAACCAACUACGGUACAAACAAUAUUGGAAAGAAUUCCAAUAGAAAAAGUGAAUGGUAAUUGUUAUGGUGGUUGGGGAAGGGCAAAUCAAGAGAGAUAAUGACUCUGUUCAAACUCAAUUGUUGUUGAGUUGACUGAUGCCCUGAAAUUAAUAAUCCAAAAUAAAAGAAGAGUUCAAAUUGAGUUCAAAGUCUGAUAAAAUAGCUUUUCCAAAAUCAUUUUGUAUAAAACUAUAUGGGAGCGUUUAGCGCGGAGGUUUGAAAUCAAAUGCCUGAGAAUUAAAUGACUGUGGGCUUGUUUGAUGGGGUUAUGAUGCCUAGAAAUUACAGAUGUCUGUGUUUGGGUACAAAAAUUGUGUGCAAGAACUGAUAAUUAUAAUUUCUAAUGUUUGUGUUUCGGGUGUUGGUUUUGAAUUCCUAGGUUUAGUUAAUUUUUUUUUUCAAUUGAUUUUUUAAAUAUUUUGUACAUAUAAUUCAAUUUUUUGAUUUAUUGAUUUUCAUGACAAUAAUAUAAAAACAAAAAAGUUUAACAUUCAAUAACAAUAAUUUUGAGCAUUAAUAUGAAUGGUCUAGUUAGGAAUAUUACAAACUAUUCACAAAAUAAUUUCGCUGUGUUGCAAAUGCAACCAUUGAACUUGUAUGGUUAGCCUCACUCUUCAAAGAACUGAAGAUCUUUCUAUGAAAACCACCAAUACUAGUGGUAUGACAAUCUUGGAGUUGUUCACCUAAGGGCAAAUCCAAUACUUCACUCGAAAACAAAACAUAUAGAGCUAGACAUCUAUUUUGUGAUAGACCUUGUUCUACAACGAAAGAUUAAUUUUCAUGAGGUGAUGCAUCCAUUCAUGAAGAGAUGCAAAACAAUUACCAUUUUUUUCAAUAACUAUUUAUUCCAAUAAUUUUAAUCUCAACCACACCCAAUAUAAUAUAUCUUUAAUUUUUUUACUCUUAAGAAUCCACAAACACACUUAAAUAUUAACACAAAUACUUUAUUCAAACACAAUAAAAUUAAAAUGUUUAAGUUCAACUCAUGUGUGUUGUUGUAUGGGAACUUAUUAAAAAAGAGGAGAGUUGGUUAUGUCAUGGGUAAAUUUCUAUAAGAGACCUUAAGAUUUCUAUAAGAUUUUUGGUAUUGAAUAACACCAAAUCAAUUACCAUCACUUUUCCUUUCUUACCAUUGCUUCCGAUUGCUUCUUUGCACUUCUUCAAAAUCUUUACACAUUCUUCAUCACUCCAAUCAUGUAAUAUCCACUAUUUUGUUACCACCCACCAAAUUAAAUAUCAUACUAUACAUAAAUAUUACAUUUUAUAUAUAAAAAAGAAAGAAAAAAGAAAGUCCUUUUAGGAAGAUUUAAAAAAGUAUCAAUGUGAAUCAUGAUAUUAGAGUUGCGUUAAUAAUGGGAGAAUUUUUGUAAGCUAUAUUUCUGCAACUUUUUUCUUUUUAUUAGAACCCUUUUCUAAAGAUAUUUAGCCACACCUUGCAAAAAAAAAAAAACAGUUAAAAUAUCAUUUUGUUGUGUUUAAAUAUUUUAGAGUUUGUUCAAUUUUAGUCUAUCUACUUUCAAAUGUUCAAUUUUAGUUCUUGAACUUUCAAUAAAUGUUCAAUUUUAGUUCUUGAACUUUCAAUAAAUCUUAAAUUAAAUUUAGUCUCUAUUGCUACUUCAUUUUAGUUUUCAUCGCUUUUUAUUAACAUUUUCACUGUAAUUUUUUUUCCUAAGUGAGUAUUUGAUCAAUUUGAAUAAAAAUUAACGUUUGAGUGACUUGUUAAACUUAGGAGGCAUUUGGAGGAAGAGUGAUUUAUAGAGUUAGUGUUAUGAUAAUUCUAGUAUUAUAAUAGUCUUAGUGUUGUGAUGACAUGCGUUUGAAGAAACGGUUAUAAUAGAUAGUGUUAUGAUAGUAUGUAUCUGGAAGAAGGAUUAUGAUAGAUAGUAUUAUGAUAGUAAGCGUUUUUGGGGCGAUUAUGAUAGAAAGAGUUAUGAUAGUAUGCAUUUGGAGAAAUGAUUACAUAGUAGUGUUAUGAUAAUAUGUGUUUAGAGGAAGAGUGAGAAUAGUAAAAAAGAGAGAAUGGAAGGAUUAUGUUUUGUGGAGUGGGUUCACUCCCCCAUAGUCGUAAAGCUUAAUGCCUCCUAAAACUAUAAGAAUUAAAAUUGAACAAAUUUGAAAAGGGCACGGACUGAAAUAGUAUUUUAAUGGAAGAAAUAUAUUAUAGAGUAGAUUUUACCUUCAAUAGAAGGGCAUCAGCCGGAGGAAUAGCAUCAAACAUAUCCCCUUCAACGUAUUUAAAAUUUGGUAUAUCCGGUUUCAAUUCAGCCACAACUUGGGGAAGAUCAAGCACAGUGCAUUCAAUUUGUGGAAAAGCCUUUGCAAUGGCUUUGGCCAUAGUUCCAGUCCCACCACCAACAUCAACCAACGAUUCAACUCCUUCAAAGACACUGGUAUGUUUUCCCAUUAACACACUCAUCACCAACCUCGCAUCACUAGCCAUUCCUGCAUUAAAAGUAUCACCAUCUUUCCGCUUAUUCCCCACGAACUCCCAGAACGAUUUCCCGUGAGCAGUCUCAAAUGGUGUCUGGUCGUCAGUUCGGAACCAGGCUGAGAGAAAGUGCGAUGGCUCUACAAAGACGGGUUGGAGCAUGGAAAGUAGGAAAGGCGAUAGGGUGCAAGAAUUGUCUUUAAGAAGAAGGUGAGAUGAAGUGGUCAGAACAUAUCCUUCUUCUUGUAGAACAAAGAAGCCAGAGUGAGUCAAUAAACGCAUCAAACGAUAUAUGAAUUGGGUUUUAUUAGGAUGAAGUUGGAGAGAUGAAACAAGACGAGAGAGGGGCAAAGGGCUGGGGCCAUGGCUAUGGAUGGCGUCUGGAAUUCCAAGUUGAAUUGCACAUUUGAGAGACAUGGAAUUUAUGAAGUUGAAGAUGUGUUUACAUAUUUGACCAUGAGCUUCCAUCAACUCAUCCCCUUCCAUUUCCACCAUAUUUCCACCCUCCAACUCCAUAUUCAUAACAACAGAGAAAAUUUCCAAAACACUUAAUAUAUGUGGUGUGUCCAAACUGUGAUUUGGUUCCUUUCAUUUAUAAUAUUUUCAUGAAAAUAUAUAUAGUUGCACUGUAUCAAUCCAACCCAACCAAUUUGCAAAUAUUAAAUAUAAACGACUCUUGGUGAAUACACGAACAUCCAAUUAGCUUCAAUUUUUCGUAGUGAUUUCGAAACAUAUAAUAAAUAAAAUUAGAAGUUAGAUAGUUUGAGAAUUUUUAUUUUAAUGUUUUCAUAUAAUCAUUUUUAAAAAUUCUUAUAUCUAGUUUAAAGAAAUAAAAUUUGUUCUACUAAUUACAUUAUUAAAUUUAAUUACGUUGAUAUUCCAAUAUUUAAACUUGAGAUGGUGCUUCGUAUUAAUUAUUACUUUUUCUUUUUCUUUUUAUGUUUUCUCUAAAUUUUGGAUCUCACUCAAUUGCUUUGUUUUUAUUAUUGACAAAUCAUAUAUCAUAUAUCACCAAUAAAAGUUGCACAUCUCAAAGUGAUUUUUUUUAUUAAUUUCAGAUAUACCAUGAUCAUUCUAAAAAGAAUUAAUCAAUCUUAAAUUUAAAAAAUUGUCAAAAUUAAAAAAUAUUUACAAUUUUGUGUGCUUGUUUACGAAAAAAACGUUGUGGGACAGAAAAAAUUAGAAAAAAAAGGUUAAUUUUGUCACGAAAAAUUAUUUUAAAAACAUUAUAUAUUUACUUUUGUCACAAUUGUACAAAAAGUCAUCAAACCGUGAGAGUGAAUAAUAAAAUUCUAUUUGUCCAUUUUCAUUUUACUUAUCAAUUAACGUUCUAAAUUUUACUUUUUAAAUUAUCCUCGAAAUUAACAAUUUGAUAACAUGAAUACAUAUCAUCAUGUUUUUUUCGUACUUUUUUAAAAAAUUAAACAACAUAUGUUAUAGAAAAAUUAAAAGCCAUUUAUUAAACUAAAUUUGGCUAAAAAGAUAGGGAUAGAAAAAUUUUCAAGAAUAGCCAAACAAUUUAGUAAUAAAUUUUAAUGAAUUAUAGAGAAUUUGAUAGUUUUUUUUUCUAAGAAUAACAAACUUUUAUGGAUGUUUAACUUUUUUUUGGAAUACAAAAAAUUGAAAUAACAACUUAAAAAAGAAAUAGAAUUAAUAAUGUUGAAGGAUGUAAGAUCACUUUUAACUAUAUGAUAAAUCUUAAUUUCAUCUUUCCAUUAUUGUCAUUGAAGUGAGAAAUCACACGACGUUUUUCUUUUAUUUUUGUUUGUAUAAGCUCGGAGUCAAGUUGGUACAUUCUAACAAUGAAUUUUAAAUUGAUUGUGAAAAAAAUGGGUGAAGAAAUUAUUUCCAUUUGAUAUAUAAAAUUAUGACUAAUGGUAGAAGAUGAAAAAUCAUAGAUUUUAGUAAGAAAUUUAUUUGUUUUUUCUUCGAAUAGUAACUGAAAAUUACAUUUCUUUCUGCCUCACUCAUAAUGUCAAUAAAAAAUGGCAUAAAAUUUUAACCUAUAAAAAUUUAUAAGAAAUAUAAUUAAAGUUAAUGGUUUUUAAAAAGAAACAAAAAAAUGUCAUUAUAGAAAUAAUAUAUUAAAGAAUUAUACAUUUGACUUUUGAAGAUAGUUUUUUAAAAUCAUUAAUUGAUCUUUAUAAAUUUUGUAGAUUUUAUAUUAGUCCUGUUGAAUGGAUGCAAUAUAUAUAUAAGGGAAAUUGGAAUGGGUAACCAUUUCAACAAUAAUAAUUAAUGAUAUAGCAAAAUUUUAAAAAAAUUACAAAUAUAGCAAAACUAUCAAUGAUAGACUUGUAUCGCUGAUACACUUCGUAUAGUUUAUCAAUGAUAGACUAAUAUUUGCAACAUGAUCUAUCAUUGAUAGAAUUUGACAAAUUUUGCUAUAUUUGCAAAUUUUUUAAAAUGUUGUUAUAUACUUAAUUAUUUUGAAUUCAAUUGCUAAAUUUACGACUACUCCUAUAUAUAAUUGGUUUAAAAACGAAAGGUAAAUGUGUCUAAAUAUAAUAUAUGUAAAUGUUUUAAAAACAUAGGGCAAAUGUGUCCAAAUAUAUAUUUAAUUGUUUUAGAAAACGAAAUAGAUCAUAUGUUCAAAAAUGAUUUUUUCUACACUAUGGCAUUCUAUAUAUUAUAGAUUAUAGAUAAAUAUAAGUAUUUAUUUUGUUAACCUUUUACACACUCAUCUCUCAUAUUUUUUUUUUGGAAGAAUUAAUGCAUUUAUGUAACCAUGUCUAUUGCAUCCUAUUUUGAAGAGUGGUCUCAUUAACAUUAAAUGCAUUAAUUAAGUUAUCUAAAACUACUUAAUAAGAAAUUUUAUAUGAAAAUGAAGUCAUCUAAAACUUUACUUAAUAAGAAAUUUUAUAUGAAAAUGUAGAGAAAAAAGAGGUAUGACAAAUUUUAGAUUAAGUUGUCAAAUCUAUAUAUAAAUAAUAAAUCAUAUGUAACUAGUUAAAGAUUAUCACUAAUAAAUUUUGUUAUUAAUAAAUGUUGAUAUAUAACUUCAAUAAUCUCCAAUUUAGUAAAGAAAAGAAAUUGAUGUCCAAUUGAAAUUGCUCCAAAUAUAUUAGACAUCAGAUGUCAUCUGAUAUUUUGUAAAUUAAUGAUAUAUAAAAUCUGGGAAAAAUGCUCCUUUAUUUUUUGGAAUUUAACUUUGAUUUUUAAAAGAUUAAGGUCUUUUAAAUGUUACCAAAAAGUUUUGUUUUAGUGUUAGGUUAGGCCAGUAAAUGUAGCACGUUUAAGUGUUGGUUCUAAAACUGUAAUUUGACUUAAUUGUAUAAUAGAGUUCAUUUGUCAAAAGCCACAUUUAUUGAAGUUACACAAUUGAAGUCACAUUUACGAAGGCUACCUGGUUAUUUUUUUAACUUUUAAGUUUAUAGUUAAUGAUUUUAUAUUUGUAACCAUUUAUUCACUCUAACUUUAUUUCUAUCUAUAAUAUUAGUACUAUUUUUUUUGAAAAAGAAAUGAUGCAUCAAAUGUACCAAAACAUCUCCACUAGGUAGACACUCCUUAAUAUCACAAUUGCAACCUUUCAAAUUCGGGAUGAGCGAUUGCGGCAAUUGUUCGACUCGGUCAACAAGUCAGUCGAUCGAAAUUCGAAAACUGCGGACAAACUCGUGGUAUGAAUCAACCUUCCAUCACGUUCUUGAGAAAAUGUUUUAAAAAACGUGAGAGAGAAAUAAAUUCAUUGAAAUCAUCGUUACAAUAUAUAUACAAUGAAGAUUGUCAAUUGCAAGUGAAAAAUAUUUGCUUGCAAGACAAUACUUAGACGAGAAUUAACUACUAUGUCUUUUUCCUAAACUACACUUUGGACUUUCAGUUUCUGAUACGCUUGCAUAUGAAAAAGCUAAAAUGUCACGUUAUAGAUUUAUUAGAUAAAAAGAAAAGCAACUCGUUAAAUUAAACAUGCUCCUCGUAUUAAACUCAAUCUUACAACUAAGAGUGUAUAUUUAGACAAUGAAAUGUGUCCGAUUAGAUGCCUGAUGUGGAGGUAUACAUAAUAGUAUAUUGAUCAUAAAGGAGAAGGAGAAGUAGAUGAGAUUAAAUUCACUUUUAUCUUGUAUUUAAUUAUCUUCUUUUAUAUCUUUGAUGACUUUUGGCCUAUUUAAUUUUGCCAGGUCCAAAUUCACCCACAACCCUACAAAUUAACAGAAAAAAUUGCAAACUCGUGCGACAAUAAAAUUAAGUGGACCAAUGCCAAGAGACGUUUUAAACAACGUUUUGUUUCCCUAUUUUAUUUAUUUUACAAUAAAAUUAAAAUUAAUAAUUCAAUUUUUAUGUGGAUUGUCAAACCACCCAUAAACAUUUAAAAAAAUAUUAAUAAAAAUAUAGAAACAUAUCAACUAAAAUUUAAUAACUUAUAUUAGAGAGUGAUCAAAUUGGAGUGCAUCUUAAUUAUUUGUAAAUAAAGAUAAUUUUGUGAUACUAAUUAAUUGAUAGAGUUAAGAAUGUAGCCAAAGAGUUCCAAGGUUUUCCUGAAAUUUCAUUGAAUAACUUUCCAUACACAUAAAAAUCCUCUUGUUAUUGUUUCAAGUCAAUUUGUAACUUUAAAUGUUCUAUUAUUUGAGAUAAUCCAGCUUUAAAAAGAUUUAAAGAAAGAGACAUUGUAUUGGAUGACAAUUCUAGUUUAGGAAUUUGUAAAUGAAGGUCACACAUUAUCCCAUGACAAAUUUUCAUCUCCAAUUCCUUCUUAGCCUUUUUCUCUCACACAAAUUGGGUUUGUGUUGGGUAGUAAUCGAAAUGAGAAUGGAGUAAGUGGAGUUUCCACACUUUCCUCUUUGGGAAUUAUCUUAUAUAAUUUGAUCUCAAUAACCUAAAAUUUAAAACGUUAUAUAACUAAGCAAAUCAAAUGUUUUAACUUUUCACGUAAAGAACCAUACAAACAAAGUCGGUAGGAGUCUUUGUUGAAUAAAAAAGAGAAAAGUUUGACCCAUGCUGCCAUGCAUAGAAUUCAUUUUUGCUAGUUAUAGUUGUCAUCCUCCACUAGAACGAGACUAGCUUCUUGUCAUUAAUUAGUAGUUGGUUUGGGAUUGUCACUUACGGAUAAGAACAUAUACUACACUUGAUCCUAGUCAGAAGAUCGAGAAAGGUAUUGGAAUUGUCGACUUUCACUUUCUUCCUUUUUAGACUCUUUUUCUAUUUUUAUUUUUGAUGCAAUGGGAUUCGACUCUAAUUUGGUAUGGGACAAUGAGCCCACUUCCUCACUUUCAAACUAUUUACUUUUUCACUUACCUGGUUUUUGGGUUGUUCUCCUCUCUUCUCCUCGUUGUUUUUUUUUUUUUUUGUAAAAAAAAAGAUACUAUAGGUUAGUAAAUGCACCAGAACAUCUUUGCAAGAUGGACAUUUUCUUAGCACCAGAACAUCUCUGCAAGAUGAACAUUUUCUUAGCACCCUCUUCUCUUCCUUUCCUCUCUUCUCCUCAUUUUCUUUUUUUUUUUAAAAAAGAUACUAUAGGUUAGUAAAUGCACCAAAACAUCUCCGCAAGAUGGACAUUUUCUUAGCACCCUCAUCUCUUCCUUGUUGAGUAAUGUUUUGUAUUUUUUUUAUCAUUUUGUGUUGGAUAUGUUGGCUUUUUGGCCCUUAAUCUCAAAUUAAUUUAUUUUAAUUAUUCAAUUAAUUUAUGUUUUGAUGAUAACAAAUCUGAUUUUUUUAUUGACAAUUUUAUUAAUUUGAAUAGACCAUAUCGUAGAGCUUGGAAAAAUGAUUCUAACGCCUCUUGAAUCACCCAAAUCGAAGUUCAAAUGAAGAAAAUAUUGCUAAAAGAAGCUUAACGAAAAAAUACCCGAGAUGGUGACGUGGCGACCAAGCAUUCAAUUUGAACCAAUUAGAGAAAGCCACUUGGAGCAAUGAAGGAGUAACAAAUGUGGCUUUUUGUUAUGUUUUAUUGGCUUUUAUAAAGAAAAUGAAUUUAAAAGAAAAUGAUUUUAAUAUUAUUAUUUUUCUUGUGUCUAACGGCUAGUUUUUUUAAAAGAGGGUGAAGUUGCUUUAUUGAUUUCUUUUUAAACAAAAUAUUUUGAAAAGACAUAUUAUUAUAUUAUUAUUUGUAUUGUGUCUAACGGCUAAUUAAGUUUAAAUCUCAACCAUUCAUUUUUCUUUUACUUAUAUCUAAUGACCCAAAUGAUUUUGAAUUUAUCUUUCCUCUCUUUUUAAAUACUUCACAUUUACACAAGAUCACAACACUUUACAAUCCUCAAGCAAAAAGCCAACAUUGUUAUUCUCUCUAAAGCUUCCAAUUUUUAUUCUUUUCAUCUUAUUCUUGAGAGCUUCUUAUUGUAUUGUGAGGAUUAAAUUUGUGAGCUUCAAAUUGUAUACUCACUCUUUUAGAGAGUUUUCUUUUGUGUGAUUUAAAAAUUUCAACAUAUUGUAACGGUUGGAUCCUAACCCGUGGAAAGGAUCGGGUUUGCUCUUGAACCCGAAAAAGGAGCAAGAAUCGGUUCGGCUCAAAUCCGUGGAAAGAGUCCAAAGAAGAUUUUCAAUCAAAAUCCCAAGGGUGCUUGGGAAAGUGGAUGUAGGUUGAGUUUAACCGAACCACUAUAAAAUUACGGUGUCUUCUUCUCUAACUCUUUUCUAAUUAUUUUUUAAUUUAAUUUUAGUUACAUAUUCUUAUUGGUUGAGUUUGAUUGCAUACUUCCAUUCAUAUCUUUUUAUCAAUCUUGUUAUUUAACAAAGUUUACAAAGUUCUUUAUUUAAAUUUUAGAAAAUAUCUAAUUAGUUGAUUUUACUUUUUAUUUGUCAAAAAGUUUAUUUAAACCCUAUUCACCCCCUCUAGGGUUGCCAUACCGAUCCAACAAUUGGUAUCAGAGCAAGGUUGCUCAUCUUGAAAUUUUAAUUUCUUGAUAAACUUUAUUGUUAGAGCAUUAUGGCAAACCUAUUGGCAAAUGGUAUUGUUGAAGGUCAAUCUACUUCUAGACCUCCUUAUUUUGAUGGUUCAAAUUAUGCAUAUUGGAAAGCUAGAAUGAAAAUUUAUUUGCAAUCUAUUGACUAUAAUUUGUGGUUAAUUGUUGCUAAAGGUCCUUAUGUACCCAUGAAAAAUGUUGAUAAUGUUGAUACGCCUAAAUUAGAAGAAGAGUAUGAUGAAAAUGAAAUGAAAAAGUGUUCAUUUAAUGCUAAGGCUAUUAACUGUUUGUAUUGUGCCUUGAGUAAAGAUGAAUUUAAUAGAAUAUCCAUGUGUUCUUCCGCUCAAGAAAUUUGGAAUACUCUUGAAAUUACUCAUGAAGGAACAAAUCAAGUUAAAGAGUCUAAAAUUAGCAUGUUUGUUCAUAAUUAUGAAUUGUUUAAGAUGGAUGCUAAUGAGACUAUCACCGAUAUGUUUACUAGAUUUACUAACAUCAUAAAUGCUUUGAAGGGUCUUGGUAAAGUUUAUACAACUUCCGAAAAUGUUAGAAAAAUUCUAAGGUCUCUACCUAAGACUUGGGAAGCUAAGGUAACGGCGAUUCAAGAAGCAAAGGAUCUCACCAAACUUCCACUAGAGGAGCUUAUUGGCUCACUCAUGACUCAUGAGAUCAUCAUGAAGGAGCACUUGGAGGAUGAGUCCAAAAAGAAGAAGAGCAUUGCAUUAAAGACUAUCUCCUUGGAAGUUGAUCCCGAAGAUGAGGAUGGCCUUGAUGAAGAUGACAUUGCUUAUUUCUCACGUAAGUACAAAAAUUUCAUAAAAAGAAAGAAAUAUUUCAAGAAACACCUAUCAACCCAAAAAGAGUCAAAAGGUGAGAAAAGCAAAAAGGAUGAGGUGAUUUGUUAUGAAUGCAAAAGAUCGGGUCAUAUAAGAACGGAUUGUCCUCUCCUCAAAUCAUCUAAGAAAUCCAAGAAGAAGGCAAUGAAGGCUACAUGGGAUGAUAGUAGUGAAAGUGAAAGUGAAGUUGAAGAAAUGGCAAAUCUUGGUCUCAUGGCUCAUAGUGACAAAGAUGAUGAACAUGAUGAUAAGGUAACUCUAGAACCUCUUUCUAUUGAUGAAUUAUUUGAAAAUUUUGAAAGCAUGCAAAAUGACCUAGAAAAACUUAGUUCUAAGUAUGUUGUGCUUAAGAAGAAAUACAAUGUUUUAAUUAGUGAAAAUAAGUCUUUACUUGAUACAAUUGCUUGCUUUAAAGAGAAUGAAAAUUUUGAGCAAAUUGAAGAAUUGAAUGUCUCUAGUGAUAAGCAUGUUUGUAUUGAGAAAGAUGCUUUGCUUGAUAAAGUUAGAUUUCUUGAGCAUGAUAGUUGUGAAAAAGAUAACUUGAUUAAAGUGCUUAAAGAAAAUGAACUAAGUGUUUUACAAGAACUUGAUAAAGCUAAAGAAACUAUUAAAAAGUUGACAAUAGGUGCUCAAAGAUUGGACAAAAUUAUUGAAGUAGGAAAAUCUUAUGGUGAUAAGAGAGGUUUAGGCUAUAUUGAUGAAUCAUCUACUCCUUCAAGUUCUAAAACUACAUUCGUUAAAGCAUCACCUAUUGUGCCUAAGUUUAACAUGUCUAAUCAUGUGUCUAAUCAUGUUAAAUCUAGUUUUGUACCCAUAUGUCAUAAUUGUGGUGUUGAAGGUCACAUUAGACCUAAAUGCUUUAAAUUGAAGUAUGCUCAAAAUACUUAUUCAAGAAGAAAUUUUUCGCAAAGAGCAAAGUUUUACAUUGCUCCAAGGAAGAAUUUCUCCAAUAAAAGUAGAGUACAUAAAUUUGUUAUGAAAAAUAAAUCUUUGCAUAAUGUUGUUUGUUUUUCUUGUGGCAAGUAUGGACAUAAAGCUUAUUCUUGUUACCUAUCUAGAUCUAGUGCUUGUAAUGUCUAUGAAAAAAUGAAAUGGAUCCCUAAAUAUGUAAAUGCUAACAUUCUAGGACCCAAACAAGUAUGGGUACCAAAGGAUCAAACUUGAAAUUAGUUGUUUUUAGGUUUGUUUGAAAGCCUCCAAGAAAAACAAAUGGUACUUGGAUAGUGGUUGCUCAAGACACAUGACGGGAGACCGAUCCAAGCUUAUCUCUUUCUCCAAAAAGAAUGGAGGCAUGGUAACCUUUGGUGACAACAAGAAAGGUAAAAUAAUUGGUAAGGGUAAUAUAGGAAAUGAUUCAUCUACUUUGAUUGAAAAUGUUCAUUUGGUUGAUGGUUUAAAGCAUGAUUUGCUUAGUAUUAGUCAAUUGUGUGAUAAAGGAUUUAGAGUAAUAUUUGAUAAAAAAAAUUGCAUAAUUGAAAAUGUUAGUGAUAGAAAAGUUUUGUUUGUUGGAAAUAGGGAUGAAAAUGUGUACACUCUUGAUUUGAAUGAUUAUCCUAUUAUUGAUAAAUGUCUUUCGGUUUUGCAUAAUGAUUCUUGGUUAUGGCAUAGAAGACUAGGACAUGCUAGCAUGCACUUAAUUUCAAAUAUUUCUAAAAAUUGUUUGGUUAGAGGUCUUCCUAGUUUUAAAUUUGAAAAAGACAAAGUUUGUGAUGCUUGUCAAAUGGGUAAGCAAACUAAGUCCUCUUUCAAAUCUAAAAAUGUGAUCUCUACUACUAGACCCUUACAACUAUUACACAUGGACUUAUUUGGCCCUUCUAGAAUUGCUAGCUAUGGAGGAAAUUAUUAUGCUUUUGUGAUAGUUGAUGAUUUUUCUAGAUUUACUUGGGUUUUGAUGAUAAAACAUAAGGAUGAUGCUUUGAAAAGUUUUAUUAGUUUUGCAAAAAGAGUACAAAAUGAAAAAGGAUUUUUUAUUUCCAAAAUUAGGAGUGAUCACGGAGGAGAAUUUGAUAAUGAUGCUUUUAAAGCUUUUUGUGAAGAAAAUGGUUUUUCCCAUAAUUUUUCCUCUCCAAGAACUCCUCAACAAAAUGGUGUAGUUGAAAGGAAAAAUCGUACUUUGCAAGAAUUUGCUAGAUCAAUGUUGAAUGAGUAUGGUUUACCUAAAUAUUUUUGGGCGGAAGCCGUUAACACCGCUCUUGCUAUGUUUCAAAUAGAGUUUUAGUUAGACCAUCUUUAGAUAAAACUCCUUAUGAACUUUGGCAUGGAAAAAUUCCAAAUAUUGGGUAUUUCAAAGUUUUCGGUUGUAAAUGUUUUAUUUUGAAUAACAAAGAAAAACUUGGAAAAUUUGAUUCUAAGACGGAUGUUGGUAUUUUUCUAGGAUAUUCCUCUACUAGUAAAGCUUAUAGAGUUUUCAAUAAGAAAACUUUAGUUAUUGAGGAAUCUAUUCAUGUUGUAUUUGAUGAAUCUUGGAAUAAUGUUUCUAAUGAGUCUAUUUGUAGUGAUGAUUUAGAAAAAGAUUUUGGAGAUUUACUUGUUAAUGACAAAGGCAAAGAAAUUGUUCCAAGUAUGCAAGAUGUGAACAUCAUAGAGAAGAAAGAAGAGGGUUCUUCAUCCUUGCCUAAAGAGUGGAGAUAUGCUCUAUCCCAUCCCAAGGAUCUAAUUCUUGGCAAUCCCGAACAAGGUGUCAAAACUCGUUCUUCUCUUAAUUUAUUUAGUAAUCUUGCUUUUGUGUCUCAAAUUGAACCUAGAAGUUUUAAAGAUGCCGAAUGUGAUGAGUUUUGGAUUUUAGCUAUGCAAGAAGAAUUAAAUCAAUUUGAAAGAAACAAAGUUUGGAAAUUAGUCCCUAGGCCUUCUAAUGCAUCUAUAAUCGGAACUAAAUGGGUUUUUAGAAAUAAGAUGGAUGAAAAUGGAAAUAUCAUUAGAAAUAAAGCUAGACUUGUAGCUCAAGGUUAUUGUCAAGAAGAAGGUAUAGAUUAUGAAGAAACUUUUGCACCGGUUGCUAGAUUAGAAGCUAUUAGAAUGUUGCUUGCUUUUGCUUCUUAUAAAAAUUUCAUUUUGUAUCAAAUGGAUGUAAAAAGUGCUUUUUUAAACGGUUAUAUUGUGGAGGAAGUUUACGUAGAACAACCUCCGGGCUUUGAAAGUUUUGAUUUACCUAAUCAUGUUUAUAAGUUGAAAAAGGCUCUUUAUGGCUUAAAACAAGCUCCAAGAGCUUGGUAUGAUAGACUUAGCAAGUUUUUACUUGAGAAUGACUUUAAGAUGGGAAAAAUUGAUAAUACUCUAUUUAUUAAAGUUAAAAAUAAUGACAUGCUUAUAGUACAAAUUUAUGUGGAUGAUAUUAUAUUUGGUUCUACUAAUUCAUCUUUGUGUGAAGAAUUUUCCAAGUGUAUGCAUAAUGAGUUUGAGAUGAGUAUGAUGGGAGAACUUAGUUUCUUCCUUGGUCUUCAAAUCAAACAACUCAAGGAUGGCAUCUUCAUAAGUCAAGAAAAAUACACAAGGGAUUUGCUCAAGAAAUUCAAAUUAAAUGAAGGUAAAGUUGCAAAAACUCCUAUGAGCACUACCACUAAGCUUGACAAAGAUGAAAAAGGUAAGUGUGUGGAUAUAAAGACUUAUCGAGGUAUGAUUGGAUCUUUACUUUAUUUGACCGCUAGUAGACCCGAUAUCAUGUUUAGUGUAUGUCUUUGUGCUAGAUUUCAAUCUUGUCCUAAAGAAUCACAUUUCCAUGCUGUUAAAAGGAUACUUAAAUAUUUGCUUGGAACUAUUGAUGUUGGAUUAUGGUAUCCUCGAAAUGUUGAGUUUAAUUUGGUAGGAUAUUCCGAUGCGGACUUUUGCCGGUAGUUUACUUGACCGUAAAAGUACUAGUGGGACUUGUCAAUUUCUUGGUAGUUCCUUAGUAUCUUGGUUUAGUAAAAAGCAAAAUUCGGUUGCCUUAUCCACUACCGAAGCGGAAUAUAUUGCGGUUGCUAGUUGUUGUGCACAAAUUCUUUGGAUGAAACAAACUCUUUGUGAUUUUGGAUUAAAAUUUGAUAAUGUGCCUAUAUUUUGUGAUAAUACUAGUGCCAUAAAUUUGACUAAGAAUCCUAUUCAUCAUUCUAGAACUAAGCAUAUAGAUAUUAGGCAUCACUUUAUUAGAGAGCAUGUACAAAAUGGUCAUAUUACUCUUGAGUUUGUAAGUUCCAAUAAUCAAUUAGCGGAUAUAUUUACCAAACCUUUGAGUGAAGAAAGCUUUUGUAAAAAUAGGCUUGAGCUUGGAAUUAUUCGUUGUGAUGCAUCUUGAUUUUAUAUCUUACUUGAUAUUGUUACCGUAAUGCAUAUUGAUAGGGGGAGAAUUAGACAUUUUGUAUGUGUUCAUAUUUUUUUUGGGAGAGCUAACUUCAUUGGUAUUGUUUUUGAUGAUUCCAAAGGGGGAGAAGUAUAAGAAAAAUAUGUUUUUAUCAAUAAUUGUUUCUAUUGAAUAAUGCAUAUUUUUUUUAGAGAAAAAAUUAAUUAAGGACAAAGAAGGUUUCUUAUCAAUUGUUUUCAAGUAUGUUCUUUGUGGUGAAAUAUUUACAUGAGCUUUAUGGUUAUACAUCUUGAUAAUAGAAUUACUUGUUGAUCAUAUGUGUUUCAAGUUAUUUUUCUUCAAUGAUUUGUCAUCAUCAAAAAGGGGGAGAUUGUUGGCUUUUUGGCCCUUAAUCUCAAAUUAAUUUAUUUUAAUUAUUCAAUUAAUUUAUGUUUUGAUGAUAACAAAUCUGAUUUUUUUUAUUGACAAUUUUAUUAAUUUGAAUAGACCAUAUCGUAGAGCUUGGAAAAAUGAUUCUAACGCCUCUUGAAUCACCCAAAUCGAAGUUCAAAUGAAGAAAAUUGCUAAAAGAAGCUUAACGAAAAAAUACCCGAGAUGGUGACGUGGCGACCAAGCAUUCAAUUUGAACCAAUUAGAGAAAGCCACUUGGAGCAAUGAAGGAGUAACAAAUGUGGCUUUUUGUUAUGUUUUAUUGGCUUUUAUAAAGAAAAUGAAUUUAAAAGAAAAAUGAUUUUAAUAUUAUUAUUAUUUCUUGUGUCUAACGGCUAGUUUUUUUAAAAGAGGGUGAAGUUGCUUUAUUGAUUUCUUUUUAAACAAAAUAUUUUGAAAAGACAUAUUAUUAUAUUAUUAUUUGUAUUGUGUCUAACGGCUAAUUAAGUUUAAAUCUCAACCAUUCAUUUUUCUUUUACUAUAUCUAAUGACCCAAAUGAUUUUGAAUUUAUCUUUCCUCUCUUUUUAAAUACUUCACAUUUACACAAGAUCACAACAUUUUUUACAAUCCUCAAGCAAAAAGCCAACAUUGUUAUUCUCUCUAAAGCUUCCAAUUUUUAUUCUUUUCAUCUUAUUCUUGAGAGCUUCUUAUUGUAUUGUGAGGAUUAAAUUUGUGAGCUUCAAAUUGUAUACUCACUCUUUUAGAGAGUUUUCUUUUGUGUGAUUUAAAAAUUUCAUCAUAUUGUAACGGUUGGAUCCUAACCCGUGGAAAGGAUCGGGUUUGCUCUUGAACCCGAAAAAGGAGCAAGAAUCGGUUCGGCUCAAAUCCGUGGAAAGAGUCCAAAGAAGAUUUUCAAUCAAAAUCCCAAGGGUGCUUGGGAAAGUGGAUGUAGGUUGAGUUUAACCGAACCACUAUAAAAUUACGGUGUCUUCUUCUCUAACUCUUUUCUAAUUAUUUUUUAAUUUAAUUUUAGUUACAUAUUCUUAUUGGUUGAGUUUGAUUGCAUACUUCCAUUCAUAUCUUUUUAUCAAUCUUGUUAUUUAACAAAGUUUACAAAGUUCUUUAUUUAAAUUUUAGAAAAUAUCUAAUUAGUUGAUUUUACUUUUUAUUUGUCAAAAAGUUUAUUUAAACCCUAUUCACCCCCCUCUAGGGUUGCCAUACCGAUCCAACAGGAUAAUAAUAGACUUGAGUAAUAUUAUUGAGAAGUGAGUGAUUUUGAAUUAAAUUGCUCGCUCGAUUUAGUAGUUCGUGAAUUCUCAUUUAAAAUGUGAGUAAGAUCAACUUAUUCGGGGACCUUCGAUAUAUUGGGUAUUGAAGUGUUUUUUAUAUUUGCUAUGUAUUUUUUUAGGGUAAGGAUGGAGAAUGCCCCUUCACCCCGACUCGACACUGUUGCCAAUCCUAUGGAGCAUAAUUAUUAUAACAUGUUGCCAAUCUUAACUUAGGACAAGACAAGAAUUAAAAUGAAUACAAUUUCUAAAAAUAAUGACAAAAAUGAUAUAAGUUUCAAUUUUAUAGAAAUAUGAAUGCAAAUCCGAAUAGAAUUAGAUAUUAAUAGAUAUUUAUGAAAUUAUUAAAAAAUAAAAAAAAUAUAUUAGCAAAAUUAAUAGAUAUACUUUAUACCUAGCUAAGAUAUAUUAUAUGAAAAGUUGCAUCAAAUAACUAAAAUAUUUAAAAUAAAAACAGCUCAUGACACAUAUGGCAAAAUAAGUGAUAUCAUAUGGUAAUCAUAACAUAUCAUCUAUCCAUAAUAAUUUUUUUUGUUAUUUUUGCAAAAGCCCCUUAAAUAUCACACGAUUUUGUACGCUUUUUAUGUUUCAUGUAUUUAUUUUUAAAAUGUUUUUUUUUAUUAAUUAUCCGAAUCAUUAACCCGUAGAAUAUCAAUAUAUCAAAAAUGUAAAUAUCUCAAAUAAGACUAGAACAUAAAAUAGUAAAUAUGAAAUGAUCUUAUUUUAUUUGUAAAUCAAAGAUACUAAUUUCUAAUACAUGAUAUGGAAGCAAAUUUGUUUUAUUCCAAACUUCAAUGGCAACAUUGUUUCACUAAAUCCAAAAUAGAUAACUUCUACCAUAACAAUCCAGACUUAAUUAAGAUUGACCUAAAUACUUUAUUCAGUAAUCAAAUUCAUCUCCCUUGUAUGAAGUUGUUAGAAAAGGAAGUGAUGUCAUGGAUAAAUCUCUAUCAGAGACCUUAAGUCUAAAAUAGGGAAGAUCUUGUAGGCCCUAAAUCCAGCUUCUUUAAUCAAUUUAGCCCAUUCCUUUUCCUCUCUUUCUUUUCCUCCAGGUACAAUCAUCAUCAACAUGUCGUACAAUAGUUGUGUCUCAAUUGAAUCUGCAUCAUUUUUCGUAUUAAAUAACACCAAAUCAAUUACCAUCACUUUCCCUUUCUUACUACCACUGCCUGUGAUUGCUUCUUUGCACUUCUUCAAAAUCUCCACACAUUCUUCAUCGCUCCAGUCGUGUAAUAUCCACUAUUUUAGUCACCACAAACGAUUAUUGGAUUUUAUAAUAUAAGCAUAUACAGCAAGAAUCGUUUAGGAAGAUUAAAAGAAACUAGUGGAUAUGCUUUAUUGGUGAAUUUUAAAUAAAUGUCUUCUUCAGUUGCACACAACAAUUUUAUUUCGAUUUCUGAUUAUAUUUUGUAAAGAAAAAAUUAAUUUCAAACGUAACUAUAUUUGUAGUUCUUCAAAAACAAAAAACGACGGUGGCAAGGAAACAAAAAGAUGUUAUCUAAUGGAGCCAUAUGUGUAUAAAAAGAAAAACAAAAGAAAUUAGGUUCUACCUUCAACAGAAUAGUAUCAGCCGGAGGAAUAAGGGUAAACAUAUCUCCUUCAACAUAUUUGAAGUUUGGUUGAUCUCCCUUCAAAUGAGCCACUACUUGGGGAAGAUCCAACACAGUGCAUUCCAUUUGUGGAAAAGCUUGGGAAAUGGCUUUGGCCACAGUUCCUGUGCCACCACCAACAUCAACCAACGACUCAACUCCUUCAAAAACACUUCUAUGUUUUUCCAAUAACACAUUAAUCACCAACCUCGCAUCACUCGCCAUGCCUGCAUUAAAAACCUCCCCUUCUUUUGGCUUAUUCCUCAUGUACUUCCAGAAGGGCACUCCGUGUGCUGUCUCGAAUGGCGUUUGGUCGUCAGUCUGGAACCAGAUUGAGAGGAACUGCCAUGGAUCUGUGAGGGCUGGCUGGAGCAUGGAAAGUAGGAAAGGAGAUACAGCACAAGGAUUGUCUUUAAGGAGAAGGCGAGAUGAAUUGGUAAGAAUAUAUCCUUCUUCUUGUUGAACAAAGAAACCAGAGUGAGUUAGUAAACGCAUCAAACGGUAUAUGAAUUGGGUUUUAUUAGGAUGAAGUUGGAGAGAUGAAACAAGAAUAGAGAGAGGCACAGGGUUGGGUCCAUGGCUAUGGAUGGCGUCUGGAAUUCCAAGUUGGAUUGCACAUUUGAGAGACAUUGAGUUUAUGAAGUUGAAGAUGUGAUUCCAUACGUGAGAUUGAGCUUCUAACAACUCAUCCCCUCCCAUUGCCAACAUCUUUCCACCCUCCAUAUUCAUAUUCAGAACAGAAAGAGAGAAAUAAUUUUCAAAACACACUUUGUUGAUGUGUCCAAUUGUGAUUGCAUUUCGUCCAUUUAUAUACAAAUCCUUAGGCAUUUUCAAGAAGAAACAAAAUGAUAUUAAAUUGAAACUUUGGGGUGAAAGAUCAUCUUUUGUGUUUGAACUACUUUUUAAUAUAAUUUGGAAUAGCACAUGCAUGGUCGAUUUUAAUUAUUUAAUCUUUAUACCUAACUUUAUAAUAUAUUGGUAACACAAUUUAGUAGUCUCCUAGUUUUAAAUUUAUUCUAUAAUAUAUUAACCUUAAAAAAACGUGAAAUUAUUAAACUGAUAUCAUCUUUCACUGUUAUGUGUGUAAUCUCCAUGAUCUUUUUUCUAUUAUUAUUCUUUUAUUUAGUCAGUAGCAUUGGGAUGGGAUAGACAUCAAAUCUAAGAUAAGGAGCAAACCAAUGGCUCUAUUAUAUAAUCAACAUCUAAAGUUUAAAAUAAACCUUAAAUUAUUAGAUUGGGAUAGACAUCAAAGAUUAAGCUAUAUGAUUGCAACUAAUUAAUAUUUACUUUCUUAUCAACUAGUUGGAUAUAUUUUAUAAGCAAAAAGAAAGCACCGUGUGAAAAGACUAAUAACAUGUACCAACCUCCAUAGUUGAUAAUAAAUAAUAAAAGCACUUUUAAAAACAUCAAAUAAAUUAAAAUAUUUAUAAGUUAUUGUAGAUACCGUAUUUUGUCCUGUAUUUUUAUUUUUUUUAUUAAUUUAUUUAUUAUUUUUUAAAAGAAUUUGAAUUUGAAUUUAAAUUUAAAUUCUAAAAUUUAAAUCUUAAUUUUUAAAUUUAUGUUAUAAAACAAAAACAAAAAUAAAAACAUAUUUAAAAUUAAAUUUAAAAGUAAAGAUUUUUUUUUUCUCCCUAUUUUUCUCAAUCAUCCCCUGUUUGUUUUCGUGAGUCACAACUCUCCCACUUUCUCUCAAUCUCUCACGUUCUCCCACUCUUCCACCUUCUUCUCCAAUCUCUCACGUUCUCCCACUCUUCCACUUUCUUCCCCAAUCUCUCACGUUCUCCCACUCUUCCACAUUUCUCUGUACUCAUUUCACUAUCUAAACCUACUUCACUUCUAUCUAAAAAAGGAGACAUUUCCCUAUAAAAAGAGAAUGAGAAAAUUCAAUUGGGGGGAGAAAUUUUCUUUUUUUUUUUUUUUUUUUGCUGGAGAAUUAUUUGAUAGAGAAGAGAGACACGUAAAAGAAAUAUUUUGGAAAAAUGUGAAGAUGAUCAACUCAGAACAUUUUGCAUUUAACGCAGACCUUGUAAGUUCUUUUUUUUUAUUAUUAUUCAAGUUGAUGAUACUGGCUUAAUUAUUUGACACACAUUUGGGUGCUGUCUUAAUUAUUCAUUUAAAUCACUCAUUAAUUAGAGGUUGAGUUAAUCAUUUGACACUCAUUUCACAUCUUUUAAUUAUUUGCAUCAUUUGGCUCCCAUUUGACUCUUUGAUUGUUGCCUUAAUUAAUUAGUGUUUGUUUUGCAUUUGAUUACACUUAUUUAUGCACAUCUAUUUGGCCAUUUGACUAUUCUGAUGGUUGAGUUCUGCAUCUGUUUAAUUAUUUGACACCCAUUUGAAUGUUGUGAGUUAAUUAUCUGAUUUGACUGCUAUUAAUUAUUUCAUUUGGUUAAUUAAUUAUGUUAAUUAUUUGAUCUGUGUUAAUUUUCUACAUCAUCAUUAAUUAUUUGACAUCCAUUUGACCAUUGGACUAUUUUGAUUGCUGUGUUCUGCAUCUAGUUAAUUAAUUUGACACCCAUUGGCUGAUUAAUUAGUUUUUUUUGCAUCUGUUUAAUUAUUUGGCAUCCAUUUGGCUACUACCUUAAUUAAUCCGUGGGUUCUUGAUUAAUUAUUUGAAUUAUUUGACAUCCAUUUGCGCUAUGUUAAUUAUUUCAUUUAGUUAAUUAAUUAAAUGAUUUGUUAAUUAUUUGAUUGAUGUCUUAAUUAUUUAACACUAAUUUGACAUACUGAUUUAAUUCUUUGCUAUCUUUUUAAUUAUCUAGGCAUCCAUUUUACAUUCUGUGUUAAUUGUGUGUAUCCAUUUGGUAUCUUGCUUUAAUAAUUAUCAAUUUGGCAUAUAUGUUAAUUAUGCAUUUGAAAAUAACUAUUCAUUUGACAUACUCUCUUAAUUAUGCAUUGUUAAUUAAUUAGCACAAUGUAUUUGACGGUUUUAAUUUUUGGCCUCCUCCAUUGUGAGCAAAUUAUUUGCAUAUUGUUAACUUAUUUUGGCACUCAUUUGGCAUCUUAUGUCAAUUACGCAUUCAAAUUAUUUGUAUUCUGUAUUAAUUAAUUAAUCAUUAAAACUAUUUGACAUCCAUUGGGUACUGUGAUUAUUUAUUGGCAUCUUGCAUUAAACCUACUUUGACAUCUGCAGUUAAUUAUUAUUUCACCCAUUUGACAUCCUCGAGUAAUUAUUUAUUGCUCUAGUCUGGCAUAAUUAAUUAUUUUGCAUAUUUCUGAAUUAAUUAAUUAAUUUGCCUAUUUCUGCAUUAAUUAAUUAUUUUGCAUCCUUUUGAAUUAAUUAAUUAUUUUACAUGUUUUGAAUUAAUUAAUUAUUUUGCAUCAUUAUGCAUUAAUUAAUUAUCUUGCAUGUGUUGUAUUAAUUAAUCAUCUUGUACAUUUUGCGUAUUGCUUACAUUAUCCUGUAUUUGUUUUAUGCAUUUAUUUUAUCUCAGCAUAUUACCCUUUAAGUAUUUUUCAAAUUUCAUAAUGUUUUAUCAUUGUUAUUAUUCAUUUUUCAAUUUAAAUAUAAAAAUGUAAAUUGGAGAAAAAGUAUUAUUUUUUAUGGAUUUUAUAAUUUAUAAUCCAUGAAUACAUGAAAUUUUUCUGUUUGAAAUUUAAUUAAUAGAUUGAUUUUAAAUAAACACAUUUCAUAUUUUAAAUGAGACUGAGUAGUGUUUUCAUUCUAGAUACAUGAAAUUUCUCAUUUCAUAUUUUAAAUUUCUCAUGAAAUUUCUCAUUAAUCUCAUUCUAGAUACAUGAUAGAGAUUAAAAUAUAAGUUUUGGUAUCUUAAUAUUCUUAAGGUGAAUAAAAAUCUUUUAAAACAAAAAUAAACUUAAUUUUUCUAAUGGCUCCUAUGCCACCCAUAAUCAUCAAUUCAUGCUUAGGUUUUACUUUCUUCGAUAUGAAUUGAUAAACAUGAGACAUUUAAACAAAACCUAAAUAAAAACUUUGUUUUGUGAACCUCUCUAAUUUAAUUUAAAAGAUAAAAUUGGAUAACCAUUUUUUAGGUGUUGUAGGGUGCUAACACCUUCCCUACACACAACUGACUCGCGAACUUAAAUAUCUGAAUGUACGCAGACCAUUUUUUUUUCUUUUUUGGGUGACCAAUCACACCCUAAUAUGGUUGGUGGCGACUCCAAAACUAUUUAUUAAAAUUAAAUAAACGGGGAGGUCGGCCGCUCCGCGUAGUGAUUACGUCGCGACGGUUAUAACAAUAUUUCAUCAACGUUUCUAUUAUCAAUAUCUAUUAUUGAUAAAUAAUUUUAUUAAGUAAAAUUUUUUAUUAUUAUCUAUUAUUUAUGAAAUUUAAAAAUUUUGCUAUACGUUAAUAAAUAUUUUAUCAAAUUUACUAUUUUUGACAAGAGACUCUUACAAAAACAGUACGACAAUUCAUCUCAUUACAUUUUCUAAAUUGUAAAAAUAGUAAAUUUAAAAAUUGAUAAUCCUGUAAUCCUAUAAUUAUCAUUUGAUAAUUGUCUAAUUGUCUGAUACCACUGAUUUUGUACAAUAUAAAAAAAUAAUAAAUGUGAUGUGUUGUUUUUUUAGAAUAUUUUUGUGAUUGGAUGUAAUUUUGUUUUUGACAAUUAUCUUAAAUAAUUUUAUUAAUUAAGAAAAUUUUAUAGAUAGUACACAAAAUAAAUAUAUUUAGAAAAGCCUUUUAAAUGAAUUAAAAAAAGAAAAAGUUAAUCGUGUUUUGCUAACUUUUUUUAAUUAGGUUUAAUUAUUUAAUUAAAAUUUAAGCAAUGGCCAGCUAUACACAACUAACAAGUAGGAUAUAAUAUAUACUCCUACUGUUCGUUUUUCGGCUCAGAUCUUGAGGUAUAGUGAUACAAAAUAUAUUAAUUAGGUGCUAGUUGCAAAUUAUUUGAUUUUUUUAUUUCGGGUUGUGAAAAUUAAGCCUUAUUUUUAAUUCUUUUUUAAAAAGUAAGGCUUAUUUCUUUUUCUUUUUUUUUCCUUUUGUGAUCUACCUUUUAAGGAUAUUUCAAAAAUCAAGCUCAUAAUGAAACUAUCGAAGAAUGAUGAGGAGACCAAUUUUCUAUUUGCAUCCACACUGAUAGAAGCUCUCUGAAAAGAACUUCAUCUACCCACUUUAAUUUGUGUUCCUUCUUCCACAGUUUUAAUGGUUUAUUUGUUCGUAUGGUUUUCAAGACAAUGGACGUUAAAGAAAUAAUUCAAAUAAUUUGAGCCAAAAGCAAGAAAUACUGACAACACAUCAUUUUGGAUCAAACGAGAGGAGAAAGGGACAAAUUGCGAAAUUGAAGAAGAGACACAAAACUACAAACUCUUGCCCCUAACAGGAUCCAAGGGCACCGUCGCAACGCUGACACCACCAACGAAUAUCAUGCGGGCGCCCUACAGCAUCGGCACACUAAGCAGUAUACAAAACAUAUUUCAUUCAAAACCCCACUGACUUAAGAAUUAAAUCAAAUUGAAACUAAACAAAAACAUAACUGAAACUAAAUUCAUAUAGUUAGAUUCGGUUUAUUAUAACUUGAAACUGAGUUUAUGUGAUUUCGUUCCGUUUAAAACUAAAUAAGUAUUAAAACAAAACCAAAUUGCUUUAUAAUUUAAAUAUAUAUAUAUUUUACAUAGAGAAAUUGUAAAAAAUAACAAAUUUUCCAAUUUUGAUAUGCUUCUCACCAAUUCAACUAUUUAUUGAAAACAAGAUAGAGUAGAUUUAAUAGAUUUUUAGAAUACAUCCUCAGAAACUAGCAAAUUCACCAAUAAUUUUGAGCAAAAAAUUAUUUACAAGAUUGGUUCAAUCAGAAUUGAUCAUUAAACAUGACAUGAAAAAAAAAGUUUUAGAAGAGUUAUUUAAGGCAUGGAAAAGGAUUUCUACAUUUGUUUUUUAAUUUGGCCUUUAAUUAAUUAGUAUGCAAAUUUUGUAGUUUUUAGGUUUUGCUUUCUUCUUCUUUUUAAAAAGGUUUUUGUAUUUAGAUGGUGAAUAUCAAUAUUAAAAAGCUUGUGUUUAUUCAAACGCUUAUGGUGUUAUCUUUUUUUAUUUAAAAAAAAGCACAUUUGAUAUUAAAAAUUAAUUUUGUGGUUAGUUGUCUUCAGAUCUAAAAAUGACCAUAGUAGACUCUAGAUUUGAUAUAAGUAACUUUUUUUGUCAGUGUUUACAUUUAACGAACAUAUAUUUUAUAAAUUAAAAGAAAAUAUAGUGAAUCAAUUAGGAGACUAAUCAAUGUAAUAUUUAUUUUAAAAGCUUUUUGCAAUAAAUCCAUUAAUUCGUUUUUCUCAUUUUAAAUAUUUGAUUUCUUUAGAAUAUUCCUUCAAAGUUUUAUGUUAUAAAUAAAUUUGGUUUAACGUGUUAUGUUAUAAUUAAAUUUGGUGAUAUUUAGUCUUUUUGAAAUACAUGUUUCACUCACAUGCUUUGUAAGAAAAUUCUAUAUAGAUCAUUAUUCCAAGCUAAAACUUCUUACGAUUUAGCCAUCCAAAAGAAAGGUACACCUUAGUAAUUAUGUUAAGCUAAUUUUAUGAUAGAUUGAAAGAGGUCAGUGACAAUAUUUCAUUAGACUAUUGCCUAUGCACAUUAGAAUUAAUGUACAUCUUCAACACGAAAGUUGACAAAUGAAUUUAGAAAUGAAAAUGGAGAAAAAUAGGUGGAGUUUAAGCACAACAUUCUAUUAUUACUUUAAUUCAAUCUUCUAUGGAAAUGAUAGAAAACAGCUGAAAAUCUUGAUAUUGAUGGAGAUGUAUUUUACCUAUUAUUGCAAUAUUUCAUUGAUAUGUCAGUCAAAUGACCUAUGCCCAACUUGACCACUGAUCAAGUCAUAUACCGAUGAAACAUUACUAAUUUUUCAAUAAUACACACAAGUUUCCAAAUGAUUAAGUAAUUGAAUGAGAGAGAAUAUAUGAAGGAAACUUGAGAUCAGGAUAUCAUUGACCUCCUUGAAAAAAUUGCUGGUCUUUUGCUAUGUUUAUUGUCUGAGUUGUCUGCUAUUAGUGUAAUUUAUGUUUGGUUCUUCCUCAUGUAACAUCUUUUUUCUAGUGUAUCCUUAUGAUAAAUCUAUCAAUUUUUUUUUUUUUUUUGGAGAUUUAGAAUGAUUUUGACCACAUGGUUAUAUUGGUACAAUUUGUAGCUUAUUGAAAAUGGAUUUGAAGGAGAUGUUGAUUCUGGCGGUGAAGAAGAUGAAACGGAGGACACUGAUGGUGUGAAAGUAGAACAUCUACACAUUUCAGAUUAUCAAGAUUUUGCACUAAUAUCCGAUUGAUUUACUAUAGUGAUGAAGCUACCAAAUAAGUGAUUGAUGUUUGAUUCGUGACAAGACUUGUUGUAAUUUAGUUAUCUAUGACAAUACAUUGCAUUUAGUUUCUUUGUAAAAAUAUAUUACCAAGGUUUAGUUUCUAUUUUACUUGUAUUUAUCCAUUUGGGAAAAUUCAAUAGAUUUAGUGUACUUAGUUUUUUUUGGAAAAAUGUUAUCUGUGUUAUUGUUAUACAUGAAAGUUCUUAUUUAUAUGUGUACUAGUUUUGUGUUAAAAUAGAAUCAUUGGAUAAUAGAAAAAAAAAAUUGAAUUAUAAUUUUUUUUUAAAAAAAAAUUCAUAACAUACUUGACGGUUUUAAAAUGUCAUAAACAAGUGCAUUCUUGACGGUUUUUCAAUGUCAUAAAUAAUCAAUUUCUUGACGGUUAUUAAAUGUCAUGAAUACUUAUACUCUUGAUGGUUUUAAGUUGUCAUAAACAUUCACACUCUUCGAUUUUUAACUAUCAUAAACAUUUGGCUUCAAGGACGAUUUUAAAACCGUCAAGAAUAGUGAUUAUUGAUAGUUUAAAAACGUCAAGAGAGUCUGUUUUUGUAGUAGUGUUUUUUAAUCAUAUUUUUACGUCCUUUGAAUCUAUCUCAUUUAGAUACGACAAUGGACAAUCUUUAGAGAAAAAAAACUCUUUUAUGAAAAUAAAUUUAAAAUUUUUCUCAUUAAUAUUAGUUUGACAUAAAAUAUUUUUUAAAAUAUAAAUACUAAUAUAAAAACCAAUGAAGAUAUUCAAUUAAAUAUUUUUAUGGAUAAAAUGAUAAAAGGACAUUUUGUUUGCAUCUAAUCAUUAACAAACAUAGUGAGUGUUUAUCAAUUUUUAUCAAUGGGUGUUCGUUUCGAUUGAAUUUAAAAUUUUGAUAUAUAUAGAAAAUAUUUUAAUUGUCAAAAUUUGGUUGUAGUUGGUAAAUAUUUUAAUUUAUUUUAUUAUUUAAAAAAAUAUGUGUUAGUACUACAUGUAUAUGUAUAUUAUUCAUACACGUAGGUAUAUAAUCUCAACUCACUCAACUCACAUUCACGUCCCUCCACCGGUGAUCGGCCACCGCUCCAACUCCUCUCACCUCAUGGCUCCACCUCCAGCCGGCAGCCAGUACCCUCGUAAAAUGAUGCAACAUGAUAACUCUUGGUUUGGGCUUUGGGUUCUUGGUCAGAUAUCAAUGUUCUGAUUUUUUUUAUUUGAUGUUUUAGAAAUUUUGUUAAACUAAGUGCGAGAGAUCAAUUGGUUUAUCUGCGUUGUUUGAUUUAUGUUUCUUUGAUUUUUAGUAAUAAAUGAUUGGGUUUCUCUUUGUUGGAGUAUUGGAGAAAGAUUGGAGAUGGCAGGAGUUGGGAGUGUUCCUAUCAAAUGGAUUUGAUCAUAAGUGUUUGCGAUAUUUAUCUGAAUGGAUGUUGAAAAUAAAUUCUAGUUUUUUUCUUUUCUUUUUCUCUGUAUAUGUUGUUAGCUUAUUCAUUUAGCCUAAUGAAUUAGAAGCAUUGUUAAAGAUCGGCAGUAUAUGUUUAUUUCCAUAAACCAAUUUUCUUGAAUUUAUUUCCAUGAACUAAUUAGACUAGAUAGUGAAUCAAUUGCUAGAAUUAGUAAGCAAAAUCAUAUCUCUAGCAUUUGUCACAACUUGUAACAUGAUUAGAAUCAUAACCAAAUCCGUUUCUAUCCUCCAGUUGCGUUUAAUAUAUUAUUCUUUGAAGAAAUUAUUGUUGUUGAUUGAUUUCAUUUCAUUUCAUUUUCGUUUGAAUGCAAAUUUAUUUUCCUUGUACAAAAUCACCAACAAAAACCCCCUUGUUUACUUUGGAAUGUGUGAUAAUUUCUAGAAAACAAAGUAAUAGGCUCCCUGUUACAAGACAUGUUCACUAGCUACAAGUUCAUUAGGGUGGUUUUAAAAUUCAUUUUUAAAAAUUUAAUUAUGAUAAUUUUAAUUAUAAUUAUGAUAAUUUUAAAAAUAAUAAUUGAGUAGAAAACAACAUUUUUUAAAAUUUGUAAAUAUAACAAAAUCUAUAUGCAAGUAUAGCAAAAUCUAAUAUAAAUCUAUAGCUGAUAGACUCUUAUAACUAUCAUUAAUGAAUCAAUAUUUACAACAUCAUCUAUAUAUUGACAGAGUUCAGUUUUAAAAAAAUUUAAAAUGUUUAUAAAAAAAUGUAACGGCUAUAUGAAAAAAAGAAAAAGAAAAAGUUUAAUGUAAUAAAUCUAAGUUUUGGGCCUUUCAACAUUGGAUUAGAAGACUGAGUUUGGGUUCAUAGGCCCAUCGUCUUUUAACGUAGUUUGCUGAAAUCAAAUUCCAGAUUGUAACGGCGAAACGCAUUUCUUUCUCGAUUGUUCGGCCUGCGAUCCAUCCACCCGUCGCUGUCAGCAUUUGAUUUCUUCCUCUCGAUUCCAAAUUUCUGUUUCUUCUUUUCUAAUUCUCUUUCUUCUUCCUCACGCAUUAUGAUUGCAGAAUCGGAUACCCGGUCAACACUGAUUCACUUCAGCAGUCAACUUUUCUAUUUCUUCCCCACCUCUUCAGUUUCCUUCACUUCUAUGUUCUGAAGCUCGAUUGGAGUUCCUCUAGAAAUGAUCCUCCCUGUUGUAAAGUUGGGGGCUCUUGCUCUUAAAACCAUCUGCAAACCCAUCGCCAAUCGCCUCAAGAAGGAAGCUGGAUUGCAUCCGAAGUUUAGGCAGUGUAUUAUCAACUUCGCACAGGUUUCAUUUCUUUUCAUGUAAUUACACGGUUUUCUUGCUUGUUGUUUACACUUGCAAUUAUGAUCCAUUUGGCACCAAUGGGUUGGAUUUUCUUGGAAUAAUGACAUGCUUAAACUUAUAUGUUCCAUGAGUAGUAGCUCUUAGGAGAAAGUUUAAAUGUAAACUCUACUGCUAUAAAAUUCUGCAGUCUAAGACUCGGUAACUUGAUGUGUAUGUUAAUAUUUCGAAGUUUGUGGAAUCAGUUGUUUCACAUUUGAUGCAACCCAAUGAUUUGUUUACUCUUCUCCUAGAGAUAUGUUCCGUCAUAUAAAUAAGUUAGGUGUUCAUGGAAUGCUGAUAGGUUUAUUGCUCAUUAACCUCAUAGUUUGCUUUGUUAACAUGAAUUCUUCUUUGUGGAAUGGAUUAUAAGAUGUUGUCAUAUUGUACUUCUUAUAUGGAACCAGGCAAAUCAUCGGUUUUCGACAAAUGUACAACGUAGAAUAUAUGGUUAUGCAACAGAUGUUGCCAUUCGUCCUCUGAAUGAAGAGAAAGCUGUCCAAGCUGCGGCAGAUCUUCUCGGGGAGCUCUUUGUAUUCACGGUAAAAUGAUUUCAUCUCUCUCUCUCUCCCCGUCCCUUUUUCUUUUAGAAGAAUUGUCUCAGGGUUUGUUUUUACUGUGUCUUUAUUCUGCUUUGUAAAGAAGGAUUUUUGUUAUUCUUCCUACUGGGAUAUUUUGAUUAGUAAAAUUAUAUCUCAUUCACAUCGAAAUAUACAGAUAACAAUUGAUUUACAAUGUUUACCAAUUCUCAUUUGGUUACAAUGGGAUGAAAACAAGUUUUUUGUUGAACAUGUGAACUGGCCUUUUGGAGAAGUAUAUUACUUCCACCAAGUUAUCCAAUGUGCCAAAAGAAAAAACAACUUUAGACAUUAGGGAUCCGUAUACUUAUUAUCAUAAUUCUUCACUAGAAGUGCGUAUUUCCCAAUUUUAAUAUCAGCUGUACUAUCCCCAUAGGUUGCUGGAACUGCUAUUAUUUUUGAGGUGCAAAGAAGUUCGAGGUCGGAAGCAAGAAAGGAGGAGCUCCGCAGGCAAGAAUUGGAGGUAUUUGGAGUUUCUAUUCCUUUUUGUAUCUGUUCCCUUCUUUUGUUUUCAGAAUCAAAAGAAUUAUGUCUUCUUUAACAGUUGUGAAUUUAUUACAAAACAAUAAAAUUAGAUAUCAGUUAUAGUUCGCAUUCCCGAAAUUAUACAGAAUUGUACCAAUGACAAUGCAAUUUGUUCCACCAGAAACUUUUGUUUCACACACAAGUGCUUCAUUGCUCUGACUUUAAUUUAAAAUAAUGUAUAAGCGUAAAUAUCUUUACAUGUUUGUUCCUGCUUAUAGGCGAUGAAGCAAAGGGAUGAUGAUAUAGCCCGAGAAAUAGAAAUUCUUAAACAAAAGAUCGAAAAUCUAGAAGAGUUGUCCAAGGGAAGAGGUCUAACUGGCUUAUUUCACUUCAGGCAUCCGCAUACUACGGAAGGUGAAAACGUGAAACACUCUUGAUCAUCAUUAAGACAAAGUAAGCCAUGGAUUUUGUAACUGAGCAUUUUAUCAUUGGUUGAUUGAAAUCCAACAUUUCUGACGGAGGGUUGUUAAUAAAGACUUUAAUCAUGUAAGAAAUUGCAGCCUUGUAAAUACAUUGUCCAACUCUAGAAUGUUCAAAUGAAAUUUGAAGUUCAGAAUGAAAAAUGACCAACCGAUAUUCCAAAUACCUGCAUCUCUCGAUGAUUGGCAUGUAUAUGUUCAGAAAUGUGGAUCUUUUUACAUCUUUAUUAGAGGGCAAUGUUUGUUUUGUAUAAAAACUAUAUCAGGAUGAAGAGAACUGUUUGAAAAUGGGCUGUUGGGACCUUUCUCUAGUAAAAUAAAUGCUACUGUCCUUUAGUUGUAAACCCUAUCAGUAGCAUUAACGUGACCUGUCUGUAUCUUUUUUUUCAUACAUCAUCAUACGUACAAUUUCUUAGAAUCGUAGGUGAGCUCUUGAAUUUGAUUUUGGACAUCAAUAAAUAAGAAAAACUAGUGAAUGUUCCAAACAGUUUCCUUGACAUCAAUAAUAUAAGGAAUUUGCAUUUGUAAUUUAAGAAAUUUAUAUUUUAUCGUGCAUUUAUUUAUUGUAGAAGAUAUAUCCAAUUCUUAUGUAGGCAGUAAUUUAAUGCUAUCUAUAACUCUUCACUCUCCCUCCAUUUAUUUUGUACAAAGCACAUAGAUGAGUAACUCCCAUUGGAGUUUAGUUUAAAGGUAAAGCAACAAUCAUCCUCUCAAAUAUCGAUAGUUUGAUUUCAUUCCUACAAUUAUUGAACUAAAAAAAAAAAAAAUUGUGGGCUUUUGGAUGGUUUGACCUUCAUGUGUCCUAAUUCUACUUUUGAUAUUCUAGCUUUCGUGCUGGUGGGUUGAUCCUUUUGGUGGUACUAACAAAAAGAUUUGGUUGGCCUUACUGCAUGCUUUCUUUUGAACGUUGUGAGGUGAAAGAAAUUGAAGGCUUUCUUCGAGUCUUAAUUUUCUUUUAAUAGAUUCAUGGAGUUGGUUUUGUCUGACAAAACAAAGCACCACUUCAAUAGUUAUAGCUUAUCUUGUUAGUCACUAAUUGACUCUCUUUAGGUGUAAUCGGUUUUAGGUGUUUGGGGUUUGGGGUUAUGAUUUCAUAUAUCAAUGAAAAUGUUUCUUUUACUAACCGUUUAUUUCAAAAUUAACAUACAAUCCAACUCAGUUGUUUCAAACAAAAGCAAACAAAACAACCUCUUUUCCUUCUUGUUGUUUCUCAUCCAACUAAAGAUUGGAGAUUGUGGAUGAAAUUGAUGAUAUAAGACUCCUCCAAAUCUUUGUCAAGCAAUAGCUCUCUUAACUUUGCACGGGUUGCUCUGAUCUCUUUCCCUCUUUCAUUCCCUUCAUCCAUCAGUGUCUUCACUGCCUCACACACACUUUCUUUGGUAAAAAAUCCAUCAUCUUCCCUUUUCUCAACCUCCACACCAACCUUCAAACAACUGCUCAAUGUUCUUGCUCUAAAGAAAUGGUCACCAACGUGAGGCAACAACACUAACUGACACUUCUUUACCAAUGCCUCAGAUAAAGACCCUGCCCCACAAUGUGUAACAAAGCAUCCAAUUGAUGGAUGCUCCAAAAUGUGCUGUUGUUGAACCCAUCCUCCAUACACCACCCCUCUCCCCUCAACUCUUUCUUCAAAUCCGUCAGGCAAGGCAGCGGUCACUGUGUCGACUCCAACCGGCGGUUUGAGCACAGCCAAGAAUGGUAAGUUUGUAAGCUCAAAGCCCAAGACCAAUUCUUGGAAUUGGUCUUUUGUUAAGGUACACUCACUUCCAAAUGCACAGUAUAUGACUGAACCAGAUUUGAACUUUGAUAACCAUUCUUGCCAUCUAUGUUCUAAAGUUGUUUUUGGCUCUUGUAUGUCCCCAUCAGGUCCUGAAAGCAGAACAGGCUUUUUGAAUUCACUUAUGAGAAAGUCUACAAAAGGACCUUCAAUCUCCCCACAUGCCUUGAAUGCUAUAGCAUCAGCCUCACAAAGACCGGUGAAAUGGCGAUGAAAAAAGCGGACAUCACUGCCAAAUAUCAUAUUGGACAUAAAUGUAACAUUUUUGGCCUCGUGAGAAUGAAGCUUGAUUGCGGAAAUUGCCAAGCCAAGAGGUGGCUGCAUAAAUUCAUCCACAGUGAAAUCAGGUCCACAGAGUUGCCUUGUUGGGGUGAAGACGUAACUGAAUGUUGUUGCACUAAUUACACUGUAAUAGAUAGAUUUGAUGCCCAAUUGAGAUGCCAAUUUAGGGAUCCAGAAAGUGAAAUCAAAGAAGAUGACAUGGGGUUUUAUGAGUUGGAGUAGGGUUUUGAUUUGUGGUUGGGUGAGGUCCAUCGCAGUCAUGAUGAGAUUAAACUCGUGAAGAUUAGAAACAUCAGCAGUAAUUUCAGCACCUUCAGGGAGACCAUCAACAUGAGGAACAAUGAUGGGGACAAAGGUAAUGAGAUUUGGAAAGUGGUUGAAAGGCUGCAAUUUGACCUGAGUUUUUGAUGGGAUUAAGAAGGAAAUUUUGUGACCUUUUUUGGCUAACUUGUUGGCAAUUUGGAGAUAUGGAGCUAAGUGGCCAAAAGCAAACCAAGGGAACAUUGCUAUGUGCAAGCUGGAAGUGGCUGCCAUUGUUGACACCCCUCUUUCCUCUGUCCUAGCUUCCAAGAGAUGAAGAAAAAACAGAAUAACAUGACAAUUUUUUUUAAUGAUAAUCAAAUGGGUGUUUAGUAACAGAAUUAUGAUCUAGAUCUAGAUCCUAUGGAAAAACAUGACAAGUUAAAGGAAAACAGAUGGUUUUGUUGAAGAGAAAUGGAAACUUAGGGAUGUGCUGCAUGGACGAAUUGAUUGUUCCAAAAUGUUAAUAAUGCAUGUUUACAAAAGCACAACAAAGGAAGAAAAUGUUCGCGUGGUAUCAAAUGUAAGCUAAUAAUUUUAGGAAUAGUCUCUAUGAACUUUUGUAAUAUUGUUUUUUUUUUAGAGAAGAAAGGAAGAAAAUGGUUGAACAAAGAAAUAUAGCUAACAAGCAUACCUGGAGCCUGGAAGUUUUAAGCAAGAAGCUGCAGCAAAUAGUGAGAUGAAGAAGUAAACUCCUAAGACAAUGGGUUUUGUUUAAGAAUUCUGAUGGUGAUGGCAUUAGAACAAAGCUAAGGAGCUAUGGUAAUGAGUAAUAAGAACUAGCAAAAAGAGUUAUUUUUUUCUUUCUUCUUCUGGAUUUCUUUUUCUGUUGUCCAAGUGGAGGAAAGAGAUGUAGCAGGUGUCACAAGAGCAGGAACUUGAUGUUGAAAGUCGUUUAACGUUGGAAGCCAUAUAAAAAUAAUGUAAUAUGAAAGUUCAAAUCCAAUUGGUUAGAUAUGUGUGUAUAUCUUCCAUCAAACCUUCAACUUAUGUCAGUCAUUUAUUGUUGCCCAUCACCUACAAUGUUGAUUUAACAUGAAAUCAUUUAUAUAUUAACUACUAAACCACACAUGAAAAAAUUAUAAUUUUAACUUAAUUUAUAAAAUUGGAAUAAUUAUUUCAACAUUUUCAAGUUUAUGUCCUAUUUUCAUGUUUACCUCCUAACAAGUUUAAAAUGAAUAGUAGGUUAAGAAGUAUCAUAAAUUUAAUUGUAAAUGUAAAUAUGAAAUUAAAUAUUUCAACUAUAUAAACAUGCACAUUUACUAUAAAAAAAAAAAAUAAACCACUAACUAGUGGUUGAACAACUUAAUUAAAAUACUCAAAAGUUAAUUAUAUUUGUCCAUAAUUAAUUUAAAUUCCAAGCAAGUAUAGAAUUUAUUAUAUUUUUAUUAAUAUAUAUAUAUAUAUAUAUAUAUACACACAAAGGGUUGAAACUACAUUUUUUAUUAUUUUACAUUUAUAAUGAGUUGUAGCAUGAGACCAUAAAUAAAUAAUUAUUUGCAUGAGUAUGUAUUUUAUGAAUAAUAUUCAUGGGUCAUAAAAGUGCAAUAUUACAUACAUGUUUAUAUUUUUAAACAUCAAAGCCCCUACAUCUUACAUUGAUUUGUUCACAUAUUUUCUAUCUUCACCAUGCUACUACUAUCCUUCUUACAUUUUUCAUGUUUUCGUUGUCCAUAAUCUUUGAUUGACGACACUUACUUGUCACAACCAUUGGACUGAGAAAAAUAUAUUAUGUCAGUCACUAACAACAAUUAUUGCUUUUGCAAUAAAAUUAAAAGUAUUGUGAUUUCUUGUUCAUCCCUCAUUGUUCUUUUAUUAAUAUUUCUAUCGCUACAUUUUCUAUUCACCUCUUUGCAAUAGAAGGUGAAUUGAAUAUACACUCACAAAGUGAAAAUUAACAACCUAGUCUUUGUAAAAUUAGAUUAGAGAUAUACCAUUAUGUAAUAUCAAACUUUUAGAGGUAAAAAUUAAAUUCUCAAACUUAUAAAAUGUUAUAAUUAGAUUCUCAAACUUGCGUGAUCGUAGAAGUUGAAACAAUUGUACAACUCAACUCUUUUUUAUUUAGAAGGAUACAAUUUUAACAAAUUUGAACUAUUACCAUGCUUGAAAGAUUUGCAAUUCUUUUGUAAUCAUAAUACUUUAUUAUCUCACAUUGAAUUAUAUUUUUGAAGCAACAAUUUAAAUUGAAGGGAUUUAAUUGAUAGGCACCUAGGUUUUAUUCCCAUAUUGAAUUGAUGAAGGUGAAAAUGUCUUGGAAAACCAUUUUCAUCUGCAAAUCCAUUAACUGCAAAUCCAUUAACUGCAAACCCCCCUUGUUCAAGGCAUACAAAUAGAAGGCUAUAUCAUGUUUUCUUCUUUCAACAAAAAAAAAUCCAUCAGCGAUUCUUUUCAAUCUCCAUUCAUGAGAGGAAUUACUAACACCACUUGAUUACAUACAUAAAGUUGUACUAGAAUGUAAAUUCGUGCUGUUUCUUUGGACAAAUGGACGUCGAAAAUCUUUUUUUUUUUUUCUUUUUUAAAUUGAAUCAAUGGAGACUUGUGAAACCAUCCAUCAAACAUAACUAACACAAUAGUUCGUAUGCUCAUUGUUGUUUGAUAAACCGUUUUUGCACCCUAUCAGCCACAUCGACCUUCCCAUGAAUCCUACAAGCACUCAACAUGGCACCCCACAAAGCCUCAUCAGGCUCGAUCUCCAUCUCCAUUAUCAACUUCUCUGCUUCUUCCACUUGCCCCGAUCUCCCAAGCAAAUCCACCAUGCAAGUAUAAUGCUGCAAUCCAGGCCUCAAAUGAAACUCCAUUCUCAUCAUUCCAAAAUACUCCUUCCCUUUCUCAAUCAACCCUCCAUGGCUACACGCGGUGAGAAGAGAUGUAAAAGUGAGUUCAUCCGGCUUUUGCCCUUCUUCCACCAUCCUCUCAAACAACCUAAACACCUCCCCAAACAUCCCAUGAACACCAUAACCCGCCAUCAAAGCAGACCACGACACCUCAUUCCUCUCAGGCAUUCCAUCAAACACCUUCCGUGCAACACCCAAAUCCCCGCAUUUGCCAUACAUGGUAAUCAAAGCAUUCAAACUAGGCAAAUCUGCAGAGAAGCCAUUAAUCAGAAGAGCCCCAUGAACCUGGCGGCCAAGGCGCAAGGAGGAGAGGCCGGUACAUGACUUAAGCACAGGCGGGAGAGUAUGGCGAUCAAUGGAUUUUCCAGAAAGGAGCAUGUGGCGGAAAAUGGAGAGGGACUGCGAGAAGAGACGGAGAGAAGAGUGGGCUCUGAUGAGAGUAUUGAAGAGGUAGGUGGGGCGACGAGUGGCGAAGGAGAAGAUGGUGGUGGCUUGUGGGAGUUGAGCGCAGGCAGCGUAGGUUGAAGCGAGCUUGGUUCGAAUGAAAUGGUGGUGAGAGAUAUGAAGUGUUAUGGUAAGAGCGUGGAUUUGCUUGAGAGUGUGGAGGUUGUUGGUGGAGGAGCAGGCGUCGAGGAGAGCAGCGUAAAAGGGGAUUAUUUCGUGUGGUUUGGGCAUUUACCACAUCAAACGAAGAUGAAGGCUCCGAUAUCUAAUCCUCGCCAACACCUAAAGUUAUUGAUAUUCUACAAGUUUCUUCCUUCUUCAAACCAUCUCUAAAAUUGGUACAUUCCCAACUUUGAUGAAUUUAAAUAAGAUUGUUUGGUAUUUCAGAUUAGGUCGGGUUAAUGAUAGUUUUUUUUUAAUCAAUCUCAAUCUUUACCUUGAAUCAACUCAACCCUCAUAUUUUUUUUAGUUUGAUCUUUGCACAACAAAACAACCGAAAAAUAUGUACAUUUUCCUUGAAAAAAUUAACAAAAUAGUCCAUUACAAGUAUGUUGUAAAAUUUUGAAUAAUUGUAGGGUUGGUGUACAUAAACAAUCAAAUAUCUAUUUCCUAUUAUUAUUUAACGAGAGCAAAUUCUCUUUAGUCAUUUACGACUAAGCUUCCUACUAAUCGAAAAAAAUCAUGUGAGGGUAGACCAACAAAUGAGACAAGAUAUAGAUAUAUAAUUUCGGGUUGGGUCAUUAUCAAUACUGUCAAAUAAUUAUGAAUUCAGAACCGACACAAAAUUCAAUUUCUUAAAAAAAAAAUCAACCCAAUUCAUAAUAGAAUUUAACCCAAACCAAAUAUCCUUGGGUUGGAUGGGCUGGAUCGGUUGGGUUACCAAAGAAACUAAUAUAAAUCCGCGAGAAUCCAUGAGUUAAAAAGUCAUGAGCUUCCUUCGGGUUGGGAUAUGAAAUCAUAGAAAAAUUGGAUAGGAGAUAGAGUGAUGGGCGAGACAAUUCUCCAACAAUUAUGCAUGUAAUUCUUGUCAACAUGAGCUAAGCUCAACUGGAGUUUGUUUUCGAGGAUAAAAGGAUAAGAGGAUGUUUCGGGUUCAAAUCACCCGAAUCCCAAGUCCUUUCAAGAAAAAUAAAUAAAUGUGAGUUUGGACCUUGACUUGGAUAGUCAGACGUUUUUCCUAGAAUGUGAGUUUGGAGAAACCACGUUUUUUUGGCAGCCAAAAUAAAUGUGGGGAAGUCAUGGAUAGAAAUUCUUUGGUACCAUUGCGGUAGGGGUACUUGAUGCCAACUCUGGACCAGAAUUGAGAGAGCCAUCAGAAUUAAUGUUCACUUUGUUUACUACCCAACUUUCAAAUGAGCACAAGGAAUAUAGAACAGAAUUAAUGUACAUAAACCUACCACGCUGCUUGGUCCUGGGCCGAACACUGCUCCCAUUCUUUUCGGCUUCUAGCUUCGAUUGCUAUGCCAUCAGCUUGUUGGGUUUGGUGAGUCUCCCUCUCCCAUUAAUGUUGGUUGGUUAUCAGCUUUAUUGUGAGAUAUUCUCGGGGAUUUGAUUAGCAUUUCUCACUAUUUGGAUUUGGAUAUUUUUAUCAGUUCAUCCCUUUGUUGAUUCUAUGUUUAAAUUAUCUUACUCAAACCAUUUUCAUGUCAACGUCCGUAAGACUCCUACCGUGGGCUAAAAACAAGACUGUUAAACUGUUUGUAUCCAAUCGUCUUUCUUACUUCAUAUGAAUUAUGAGGGUGAAGCUGAUGCACCAAAUUCAGGAAACAUUGAAACUUGUCUACCUGCCGUUGCCAACUUUAUUGGAAUUAUUUUGAGGAAUAACAUUGAAACUUGUCAAGUUCCAAAUGAGUACUAAUUAAUGAACCCACUUCCUUCAUCUAGAAGACACUGCUCCUAGAUUAAUAAUACUCUUUUGAGUAUUUCUUAAUUAUUUAUUAAAAAAAAUCAGGCUUCCUUCAAUUUUAGUUUGAAUCCAAGAUGGUCAGGCUCCCACUGUAAUUGAACUUAUCCAAAAAUAAGUCUUCUUUUGAAUCUCUUAUCAUCAUAAACCUUGAAUCUAUCUUUGAAAAUAUAAAAAAUCUUCAUAAACUAUCUAAGAAAGUAAGGACUUACCUUCAUAAAGAUUCUUAAAGGAACAGAAGCUUGAAAGCAUCUUGAAUGAAUGCCGGGAAGAAGAAUGGUCUUUGCUUUUAUAGGAAGGAAAAGAACUUCAAAUUAAAAGAAGAAAGAGAUCAUUUAAAGAUUGUUUUUGUAAAAUGAUAGUUGACGAAGGAAACUCAAAUAUUUUUUACGAGAGGAGGUGUCAACUAAUAGGGAACAAUAAAUAUUUCUAAAACUAAAAAAAGAAAACAACUUCUAAAAAAUAUCAUAUUGCAAGAGAAAGUGUCGACUGAGCGAAAAAUAAAUAUCUCUAAAAACUUGUAAGAUAUUUUUCCUUUUUUAAAAAUAACAAAAAAAACUAAAUAUAAUUUUUGUAAACGAGGUGACAUCGUUAAUAAUAAAUUGCUCUAAUGUUUAGAGAGGAGCAUUGUAUAUAAAUUAUUUAACUUAAUAUGAUACAUUCUCUAUAAUAGUUCUCACUCCUGCGUAAAUGUAGUUAACACACUAUUAGUGAACUAUGUAAAUCUUUGUCUCAAAUUUUUAUUGUUCACGGUUUCUCAUUUUUUAUUAUUUAAUAAUUCAAUACCAUUCUUGGUCGAUCAAGAUGGAUUGAGACAAAGUAUUAAAACAAUUAAGCGAGCAAGAAAGUGUUGUUUCCAGCAACUACAUACGAAUAUUAUUUCUAAAAAAAUUUGGCAAACAAAAAAAUAAAUAAACAUUUUAUAUUAUAAUUACAUCAUCGAAAUUUUGUUGCUUAUUUUUUCUUAUGUGCAUUCUCUUAUGAUAUAAUGAAAAUGUUAUUCACUAGUGUGUGACAUGUUAAUUGCCUAAUGAUUGGUAUGUUGUACAUGGUUAAAGAAAAUUUGAUAAAGAAAUUAGUAGAAAAGAAAAGAGUACUAUAGAGACUUCUUUCCUUUCAUUGUUUCUUAUGAAGUCAAACCAUGGAGACUGUGAAUGAAAUUGUUGAUAUAAGUCUCUUCCAAAUCUUUGUCAACCAAUAACUCUUUUACUUUUCUUUAUUUGCUCUGAUCUCUUUCCCACUUUCAUUCUCUUCAUCCAUCAUUGUCUUCACUGCCUUACACACACUUUCUUUGUUAAAAAAACCCCAUCUUCUUCCCUUCUCUCCACCUCCACACCAACCUUCAAGCAACUGCUCAAUGCUCUUGCUCUAAAACAAUAGUCACCAAUAUGAGGUAAAAACACCAACUGACACUUCUUCACCAAUGUCUCAGAUAGAGACCCUACCCCACAAUGUGUAACAAAGCAUCCAAUUGAUGGGUGCUCCAAAAUGUGCUGUUGAUGGUUAGAUGAAAAACGUCGUGGCUAAACACAUGCAUGAGAUCUAAAGGGUAGAGGGAGGAAGAAAUCAAAGGGAGAGUGAAGGGCUGUGCACAGCAAGAGAAAGCAUUAAGAAAAUUUGUUUGAAAAUAGUUAGAACUAGAACACUACGUCAAAUUUGAAAAUAAUCAACAAAAAUGAGAAAGUGUUACAAUUUUAAACAUUUGCAUGUGCAAACACCAAAUUAUUCUUUGGUUAGUCCCUAAGAUUAUUGUGUUUUUUUCUUUUCAAGAAAAUGGUUGACCAAAGAAAACAUAUAUACCUGGAGAUUGGAGGAGGAUUUAAGUGGGGAAAAUGAAGCAAAAUCUGAAGGAUUUAUUGGAUUUGAGAUUUAGAGAUUGAAUUUUUGGAUUAUUUUAAUAGGCAAUAAAUGGGGAGAGAGAUCUUGAGCCAAAAGAAGUAAAAGAAAGCUAAAAAAAAAAAGAAGUUUUUUUUAUGUUUUUUUUAAAGAAAAAGAAAAAUUCCUUAAGGGCAUUUUUUACUUUUCAUACCUCAUUUAUCCUAAAAUUCAAAUUUAAAAAUUAAAAAAAGAAACCUACCAUCCCUUCAAAAUUGAUCUAUUUUUCUUUUUGUAAUUCCCCGUUAUUAUCAUAUCAAUAUUUACACCUUUUCACUCCCAUAUUUUGCUAAAUAUCUUUGUAAGAUAUAUAUUUCACAGUGAAUGUUUAUUAAUUGAUUCUAAAUAAUUCAAAAAGUAAACUCUUAUAACUAAUUAAUAGUUAUUAACGGGAAGACCCAAACUGAACAUUAUGUAAAAAAAUGAGAUAGUUGCAAAUUUAGCAAUUAAAUUCAAAAUAAUUAAGUAUAUAGCAACAUUUUAAAAAAAUUGCAAAUAUAACAAAAUUUGUCAAAUUCUAUCAAUGAUAGAGUUUAUCACCGAUAGACCAUGUUGUAAAAAUUGAUCUAUCACCGAUAGAUCAUACGAGUCUAUCAGUGAUACAAGUCUAUCAGUGAUAAUUUUGCUAUAUUCGCAAUUUUUUUUAAAUGUUGUUAUAUCCUUAAUUAUUAUUCUUGAAAUUGUCAUCACAUUACAAUUAUCCUAAAAGAAUCUAUGUUGACUUGAUGUCCUAAUUGUAACUUUAAAGUUUACAGGAAUUAAGAUUACAUAUUAACAUAGUAUAUAGGGGUAUAAUUGUAUUUUAAUUUCUUAACUUUGAUUGUGUCUCUUCGGAUUUUUUGGGGUUAUGUAUAUCAUCGGGGCCUUUACAAAAAUAACAAAAAAAAAGUAUGAUAAUAGAGUCUAUAUCACUAGUAUUUUCUAAAUUUACAAAAUAGCAAAUUUAAAAGUGAUGAUCUUAUAACUUUAUGCUUAUUGUCUAAUAUCACUAAUUUUGUUAUAUUCGCGAUAUGAAGAAAAAAACAAAUGUCAUUAGCUGUUUUUUUUAAAUGUUUUUAUUAUUUGGGUUGAUCAAAAAUAAUAAUCAAUCUAGUCUUAUCACCCCACUUAUUUUUUUCAAGCGAACUGUUAAAGAUUAAACACGUGAAAAAGUUAAAUUAAAUACACUUUUUAUUUACCCAUGAAAUCUCACAUUAAACUUGCUUUGACAACCCAAACGCUCUUUAGCUCUUCCUUCCUUCAUGCUGUAUUUUGUAAUAGUAAGUAAAAGGUAAAAGAAAAAAUUGUUAGAGAAAUUUGGAGGAAGAGAGAGUAAAUUUAUAGAAAGAUAAUAACUAUUAACUGCUAGUGCAAGAAAUUACCAGAGACUUCUUUCUUUCUUUCCUUCUUACUUAUACAAUCAAACUACGGAGUUUGUGGAUGAAGUUGUUGAUGUAAGACUCUUCCAAAUCCUUGUCAACCAAUAACUCUCUUAACUUUGCUAUAUUUGCUCUCACCUCUUUUCCACUUUCAUUCUCUUCAUCCAUCACUGUCUUCACUGCCUUACACACACUUUCUUUGCUAAAAAAUCCAUCUUCUUCUCUUUUCUCCACCUCCACACCAACCUUCAAAUGGCUGCUCAAUGUUCUUGCUCUAAAAAAAUGGUCACUAACAUGGGGCAACAACACUAACUGACACUUCCUCACCAAUGCCUCAUUUAAAGACCCUGCUCCACAAUGUGUAACAAAGCAACCAAUUGAUGGGUGCUCCAAAAUUUGCUGUUGUUGAACCCAUCCUCCAUACACUACCCCUCUCCCUUCAAUUCUCUGUUCGAAACCUUCUGGUAAAGCGGCCUCGACUGUGUCGAUGCCCUCAGGUGGUUUGAGUACAGCCAAAAAUGGUAAGUUUGAAAGCUCAAGACCCAACAACAGUUCUUGGAAUUGGAUUUUGGUCAAAAUACAUUCACUUCCAAAUGCACAAUAUAUGACUGAGCCAGAGUGGAACUUUGCUAACCAUUUUUCCCAUCUUUCUUCUAAACUUGUGGUUAGUGGUUCUAAAUCCACAGCUCCUGACAGUAACACAUGCUUUUUCAAUUCAUUUUCUAUGUAGCCUAUGAAAGGUCCUUCAAUCUCUCUACAUGACUUCAAUGCUAAAGCAUUGCAAUUGGUAAAUGAAGUGGAAAAUUGAUCAAAGAGAGCGAUACCAUUGCUAAAUCUCAAAUGGCUAAGGGAUGCAAAAUUUUGAGCCUCAUGAGCAUGAAGCUUGAUUGAGGAACUUGGGAAACCAGGAGGUGGCUGCAUAAAAUCGUCUUGAGUUAAAGUAUCAUGUCCAGACAAUUCCCAUAUUUUUCCCUGAACAUAACCAACUGUGACAGCAGAAACGACAUUAUAAUAAAUUGAUGUGAUGCCCAUUUGAUCAGCUAGUUUUGUCACCCAAUACGCAAAAUCGUAGAAGAUGACGUUGGGUUUUAUGUCUUGAAGACAAGAGGCGAUUUCAGGUUCAGUGAGAUCCAUAGAAAUCAUGAGGAGAGGUAGUUGUGAAGGGUGAGAAAUAUCAGCAGUAGUUUGAGCUCCAGGAGGGAGACCAUCAACAUGAGGAACAGUGAUAAGGACAAAGGUAAUGAGAUUUGGAAAGUGAUUGAAAUGUUGCAAUUCGGGUAGAGUUUUUGAUGGAAUGAAGAUGGAGAUUCUGUGACCUUUAUUGGCUAAUUUGUUGGCAAUUUGGAGAAAUGGAAUCAUGUGGCCAAAAGCAAACCAAGGGUACAUUGCUAUGUGCAGGCUUGAAAGAGAUUCUUCCACCAUGGUUGUUUCUUUUUUCUCCUCCUUAGAAGUCAUAUUCUGUGUUCUGCUACUACUUUUCUCAAGUAUGUUUGCAAUGAUUGAAUCAACCGGAUGAUCUUAGAGAUUAGUAGGGAUGUAGAACAAGUUCUGCAGUUCAAAUGAACAAUAGAAUCAUUGAAAGCAAAGAUGUAUUAGAAAGUAGGUUCAACUUUACACACAGACAAAAACUCAUUUUUGUUUGUUAUGCAAUUUGGGGAAGAAAAACUCCCUUUCAAAACAACUAUUACCACUAAAACUUUUUAUCGAUGAAACAUCAAAAUCAGAUCUUGACUUUUCAAAUUACAAAAAUAAAUAUUGAUAAUCCAACUCCAUGCUUUUUUCUUGGAAAAAAAACAAAAACAGCAGAUUUGCAUACUUGUAAGAGACGAAGGAGAGAAUAUAUUCCUGACAACUUAUAUUUAAAUAUUCAAAAGAAUCUAAACAUAGUUCAACAAAUUUAAAUAAUACAAACAACUCAAAUAGAUACUUUUCUUUUAGAAACAAAUUCAAAUAUAUACCUAAUGAAUGUAUAAAAUUAGCAUAAAAAGAUUAGCAAAUAAUAUGCAAAUAAAUAAUAAGUUAAAGUUGGGUAAACCUCACAAGUAAUAAGGAUUAUGAAUCUAUGUCCUCUACUUGGUUUUCAUUUGCAAACGAAAGAAUUGGAUGGUUGGGGAAGAGAAAAACUAAGAGAGCAAGAAAGGGAAAGUUAGGCGAAGGAGGUGGGAGAAUAAUAAUAAAAAAAAAAGAGUACACAAUGUAUGUGUGGUGCAAAAAAAAUGAAUGAAUGCAUUAAAUAAAUAGCCUAAAUUAUGAAAGAAAAUGUCCUCACCUUCACAUUUUGUGCCAAAAUAACUCAUAAAAUAUUUCAAAGUUUCAUAAAUAUUUUUAGGAUCAUCUUUGCUAAAAAAAGUAAAUAACUAAUAAAGAAAUUUGAAGGUUGAACUAUGGUGUAUAUGCUUAAUUUAAAAAAAAAAUUGAUAAUUUAAAAUAGAGUUCCUUAUCAAAUGAAACCAAAUAAUAUUUUUUAAAAUUGAUUAUUUUUUAACACAAGACAACUUUAAAUAAAUUUAUCACUAAAUUAACCUAAGAGAUGUUUUUAAUUUAAAGUUAUUUUAUAAACAAGAUAUUAAUGGUUUUAGUUCUUAUACCAAUUGUGUGAGUAGUUCUCUUAUCUUUUCUAAGUUCAAACUUAUUUUAACUUUCAAAUAAGUGAGGGAUAACAUUUAACCAAGAAAAUUGUAUGAAGUAGUAUUUUGAGAAUAUGAUAUAGCAAUUAUAGUUUUUAGAAUUUUAUAAGUAUGGCAAAAUUUUCAAUUCUUCGACUUAAAUUUGUUAUUAUUUCUAAACUACCUUUGAAUAACAUAUUUUUCUUCAUCUUUUUAAUGUCUUACUCACUAUUUAUUUAUUCUCCCACUUUUUAAAGCUCUAAUUAUUUAUUUAUUUUUAUACUAGAAAAAUUAUUUAUUCUUUUUGUCUUAAUCUUAAUUUUAGAAUACCAAUAAUACAAUAAUUGCAAUAUGAAAUAUAGUGGUUGUUGAUCGGAGUAAUUUAACUACAUUUGUGAUUUUUUUUUUUUUUUUUUACUUUCUUCGAUGUGUAUUUUGAGUUGAAUUUGAUUCCAAAAUUUUUUUAAAAAAACUUUUACAUUAAUUUUGUUUUGGUUUUACUUUGUUUCAGUUUUGUAUACUAGUGUUGUGAUAUAUUUAUAUUAUAUAUAUUAGUUGGUUAAUAUACUUACUACGUGAUUUUUGUUUUUUUAAAUUUUAUGCAGUUCACUAGAAUAUUUUUAAGUAUAUGAAUGAUGUAACUCAGUGUAUCAUUAUCAAGUAUAUCAACAAUAUAUUGUUACAACAUAUCAAUAAAGUGAAUCAUUAUCAAAUAUAUGAAUCAAGUUUACAAGUGUAUAUCAAGUGUAUAAGUAUGACUUCAAGCAUAUCAAAUGCAUUUAAUCAAUCAAUUUUAUAAGUGAAAAAUACUAAAUAUAUUUGUAUAGUGCAUCAGGUUUAUCAAACAUAUCAUGUACAUCAAACGUGUCAAAUUUGUUGAGUGUUCCAAUGAAGCAUAACAAAAUUUAUUAGCGGUGUAUCAAACUUAUAAGUGAAGUCUUUUAAGUGUAUCAAACUAUCAAGGCCUAAGGGGUAUCAAGUGUAUCAAGAAAAAUCAAGUAAAACAAGAAGUAUUAUAAUGUGUAUCAAGAUGUUUCAACUGUGUAUCAAAGAGUAUCAGGUGCAUCAAGUGUAUCAAUCAAAUGUAUCGGGUGUAUCAAGAAGUAUCAAGUGUAUCAAGAAAUAUCAGGUAUCAAGAAGUAUCAAGUGUAUCAAGAAAUAUCAUGUAUCAAGAAGUACCAGGUGUAAAUGUAUCGGGUGCAUCAAGUGUAUCAAGAAAUAUCAGAUGUAUCAAGGGGUACUAGGUAUAUCAUAAGGUGUAUCAAACAUAUAUUAAUAAUGGACAUUUGUGAUAUUUUAACUUUUGAUGUGUGGACUGAACUUCGUUUCUACUAUUUUUACAAAUAAUAAAGUGUGUGCGCUAAAAACUUAAUUAUUAUAACUUAUUUUACCAUUUGUUCAAGUUCCCUUUCAAACAAAAUUUUAAUGGUUUUGAAAGGAGAAUGGUUUUUGUUUUGAACCCUUUAUGAAAGUUUGAGGUUAUCUUUAAAACUCAUGAAAUGUUGUGUUUCAUCUUCUGUGAGUAUUUAAACUCAAACAAAGAACUUGAAGGUGCUUUGAUGCCUUGUAAUAGAAAACAACAAAGGAAGAGAACAAAAGGCGAAAACCAGAGAAAAAUGUUGCACUCAGUGUUCUUCAUUCGUUGCAUUGAAAACAUAUUACAAGUCGUUAUGGGAAAAACAAAGGACCCACUAAUACACUAACAUUGAAAGUUUCCUCUAAUGAAUUCCACUAAGCCUUUAGCUCCUAAAUAAAAGCCACUAACCUGAAGGAAAAGGCUACAACAUUAAUUUCGAAAGGAAAAAAACAACCAACUCACUUAUUACUAACUUCUAAGAUAGAAAGAUCUAGUUUGUUUUAAGUAGAAGUGAAAGGAACAAAGAGACUCCCUUUCUUUUCCUUCCUUUUUACUUAAGCAAUCAAACUACGGAGGCUGUGGAUGAAAUUGUUAAUAUAACUCUCUUCCAAAUCUUUGUCAACCAAUGACUCUCUUAACCUUUCUUUAUUUGCUCUGAUUUCUUUCCCACUUUCAUUCUCUUCAUCCAUCACUGUCUUCACUGCCUUACACACACUUUCUUUGCUAAAAACCCCAUCUUCCUCCCCUUUCUCAAUUUCCACACCAACUUUCGAGAACUUGCUCAUCAAUCUUGCUCGAAACAAUUGAUCAGUAGUACGAGAGAACAACACUAACUGACACUUCUUCACCACUGCUUCUGAUAAAGACCCUGCCCCACAAUGUGUAAUAAAGCAUCCAAUUGAUGGGUGAUCCAAAAUUUGCUGUUGUUGAACCCAUCCUCCAUAUACUAUCCCUCUCCCCUCAACUCUCUGCUCGAAACCUUCCGGUAAGGCAGCCUCGACCGUGUCUAUGCCAUCAGGUGGUUUGAGCGCAACGAAAAAUGGUAAGUUUGAAAGCUCAAGACCCAACAACAAUUCUUGGAAUUGGUUUUUGUUCAAAAUACACUCGCUUCCAAAUGCACAAUAUAUGACUGAGCCAGAGUUGAACUUUGAUAGCCAUUUUGCCCACCUUUCUUCUAAACUUGUGGUUAGCGGUUCUAAAUUCACAAAUCCUGGCAGAAAUAUAGGCCUUUUGACUAUGCUUUCAAGAUAUUCAAUAAAAGGCCCUUCAAUUUCUCUACAUGAUUUCAAUGCCAUAGCACUGCAUUGGGAUAAUGCCCUGGAAUUGCGCUCAAAGAAAGUGAUAUCACUGCCAAAUUUCAUUUGGCCAAAGGAUGCCAAAUAUUGAGCCUCAUGAGCAAGAAGCUUGAUUGAUGGACAUGGGAAAUCAGGAGGUGGGUGCAAAAGAUCAUCUUGAGUUAAAUUAUAAUGUCCAGGAAAUUUCCAUAAUUUGCACUGAAUAUAACCCAUAGUGACAGGAGAAACAGCAGAAAAAUAAACUGAUUUAAUCCCCAAUGGAUGUGCCAGUUUUGGCACCCAACACGCGAGAUCAUAGAAGAUGGCUUCAGGUUUUAUUUCUUGAAGACGAGAAGCGAUUUCGGGUUCGGUGCGGUCCAUGGAAGUCAUGAUGAGAGGGAUCUGUGAAGGGUGAGAAACAUCAGCAGUAGUUUCAGCUCCAAGAGGGAGACCAUCAACAUGAGGAACGGUGAUGGGGACGAAAGUAAUGAGAUUUGGAAAGUGAUUGAAAGGCUGCAAUUUGGGUUGAGUUUUUGAUGGAAUGAAGAAGGAGAUCCUGUGGCCUUUACUGGCUAACUUGUUGCCAAUUUGGAGAAAUGCAAUCAAGUGGCCUAAAGCAAACCAAGGGUACAUUGCUAUGUGAAGGCUUGAAGGGGCUUCUUCCAUUGUUAUUGAGCCUUGAUGAAACAAUAAAUCGAAGUUUGUUUGCAAUGAUUGAAAUCAAGAGGAUGAACUUAAAGGGUAGUAGAGAUGUAGAACACGUUCUGCAUUAAUCCAAAACAACAAUAAAACUGAUAAGAAGAAACCAUAAUAAGAUAAAAGUGGUGUAGAAAUAUAAAAGAGUUGAAGAUAAUCAAAGAUUGUUUGAAUGUUACUUACCUGAGCUUCAAAGACCACGUUGCAGAUAGGGCUCACUUACUACACAUUAAAGAAACCAUAAAAACACAUAAUUUGAGUGAAGGGAAAAGAAAAAUGCCAAAAGAUUGUUUGUUGGGAAUAACUCACCAUACUAUAAAGGAAGAAGAGUAGUAUGGAAUGGAGAUCUGCGAAGAAUAUGUAUGUAAGAAGUCUGAUACGUGGCUGCUUCUACUUCACACAUAUCAACAACUUCUUUUUGGAUCAUUUGAGUCAUUUUGGAGAAAAGCCUGAGAAUGGCAUUAAUAACAAAUUGGAAAAUAGUCAGUUCCAACCAAAUUUCAUUUAUACCAAAACCGCACAGAGUAGUCAUUUUUCUUUUUUUUUUCAUCUAACUAUAGACGAAAAUUCUUUCAUCCCAAAUACGAAUUUGUAUAUAGAAUAUAAACCAAAAUCAUACAUACACUGUAGUUGCAAAUCAAAUCAAUCAGUUUUGUAAAAAUAUAAAAUAAAUAUUUAUCUUCGGAUUAAUCUAAUUCGAUAACAUUCCUUAGAUUGAUGUCUUUCAUUCAUUCUAGAUUUUCAGAUUUAUAGAUUUAUAUAAUUUAUUUAACAAUUUGUUUAUAUAAUUCAUAAUUAUAUAUACACACUAAUAGCUAUUUAAUUCAUAUAUUUUUUUUUGUAUUCAUAUAUAAUUCAAAAUUAUAUAUAUAUAUAGCCAAUAAAAUGAUUGAUAAUAUAAUUUUCUUGAUUGCUCCUUUGGUAAGGUUUGGUUAAUAUUUUGAAAGUUUAAUGGAAAGAUAUCUAAAAUUUGAAUUUAGAAUUGCAUCUCCCCUGCAAUCGUGCAUUCGAUGUGACAACUUCAUAUUAAUAAACUUCAUAAUAAUAUUGUUAUUUCCCCUAUAAUUUUGCAUUUAACGAUUCUUCCACAAAAUUGUUCAUUUAACAUAAUAAUAAAUUAAAAUUAAAUCAUUCUAUAAAAUAAUUAGGAUGUUGAUUAUUUUAAGAAAGUUUGAAUUUGAAUUUUAAAGUGUAGUUGAAAUAUCUCCCAAAUUUGAUUUUAUAAUUAUAUCAUUCCCUAAAAUCGUGUCUUUGAUAUAAUAACAACUUCAUAUUAAGAUUGUAUUUCCUCCUAUAACUAUGCAUUUAACUAUCCUUCCAUAAAAUGAUUUUAUUGUUAUUUUCCCUGUAAUUACGAUGCAUUUAACGACGAAAAGUUUUUCUUACGUAAAAAGAAAUAGCGAUUUUCUAAUGACGGUCGAAAAGUUUUUCUUACAUAAAAAGAAAUAACGAUUUUCUAAUGACGGUCGUUUAACUAAUCAAACUUUAUAAUAACUAAUAGAAUUAAGAUUUUUCAAACAUAGUAUAGGUCAAAGUAUGAAUAAUGUUAUAAACAACAGAUUUGGGACACGUAGAAGGUAAAAAAAUUGGUAAUAAAUAUAUAGUGUCAUUCGUCUUGAUAUAUGAUAAUCUAUAUAUUCUAAAUAUAGUGUAUUUGAAUAGCUCAAAAAAUUAGACACGAUAUUGAAAAUAGCACAAAAACAUUGUAUUUUGCAAACAACAUUCAAAUUUGAUAAAUUUUAACUAAAUUUGUUAUUUUGUUGCUACACAAGAUUGCAACCUCCUCCCCCAUAACAAUGGCAAAUAUAUAUACAACAUUUUCAAAUUUGUUAUAUUUUAAACAAUUUAUUAAUAAAAAAUAAUUAACAAACAAGAUUUUGACGUCAUAAUUGAUAUAUAAUUUAUGUUGUUCUUGCAAAAUAAAAAAUAUUGUUUUUUAUAAUAGUCUUAUUUUUAUAGUUUUAAUUUUGUAUUCUCCAACUUUAGUUUAUUUUAAUCCGUUUACUUUUAAAAAAGUAGUUCUUCGUCUUAUACAUUAAACUUUUAAAAACUAUCAUUUAUUUUUAAAUGGUGAACUCGGACCAUUUUUUUUAAGGGUAUCCCAAUUAAAAUAAAUGAAGUUAAAAGUUUAAGGUAAAAAAACCAAUAUUUUAAAAACACGAUAAUAAAAAAUGAACAAAAAUUAUAUAUAUAAAGAAGAAGAAAAAAAAGACAUAGAUUGAAGUAAGAUUUAAAUAUGCAAUUACAUGUAAAUAUAUUGAAAAUCAUUAGUGAUUGCAGCAUAGAGCUACAAACAAACUAUCUCAAUUGCCUACACACUACAUUAAACAUGAGAGUAAUGCAAUGCUAAUUAAUAUAAUAUCAUGGACUUAUCCAUCUUUAUUCAUUCAACUUUUCCUUUCUUUCUCAUUUUUGGUUUCAAUAACACAUAAUAUGCGGUACAUCCCAAUAUUUAACCUUAUAAUUGAAUUGGUCAUAUAACCUUGCUUCUUAAAAUAUAUAUAUAUAUAUAUAUAUAUAUAUAUUUUUUUUUUUUUUUUUAUUUAUGUAAAAUUCAAAAUACAUUGAGAAAGUCCUAAGGUAUUUAACAGAUUUCCUAAACUUCAAGUAUAUAGGUAAUUCAAAUGUAGAAAACUUGUACUAUAUGUUUAAUAAGUAGUAACUUUUAGUUUGUUUAAUGGUGACCUUCAUAUUUAACAACUAAUUAUAUAUGUCAUUGUGACCUGAAUAUUUAGUUAUUCUUGAACCUGAUAAUGAUAGAGGUAGUGAUAUAGAUGUAGAGGUUGGUGAAUUGUUUGAUAAUGAAGAAAAUGUAAAGGAAGAGAACGAAAUGGUCCCUUUUGAGAUAUUUACACAAAUAGAUUGGGACAUUGCGAAUUCUAUUUGUGAACAAGAGUCUACAUUGACAAAUAGAAAUGUAUCAGUAGACACAUCAUGUUUAAUUAAGAAGAGAAUGUUAUUUGAUUGCAAGGAAGAUCUGCAGUUGGCCGUUAAAAAGUAUUGUGUGACACAACAGUACGAAAUUAUUGUGGUCGAAUUGAACCAAAAUAUUUAGUAUGUUCAAUGCAAACAGUGGAGCAAUGGUUGUAAUUGAAGGUUACUUGGAAGUAAGCGUAAGAGCCACGAAAUGUUUGAUAUCACUGUGCUCGAAGGAGAGCACUCUCGUUUGUACUCAGACUUAACACAAGAUCACUCACAACUCGAUUCUAAUUUCAUGAGUGUUGAAAUUCAAAACAUAGUGAGAGUUUAUCCUAGUGUUACUGUGUCUAUGCUCGUGGAAAUUAUAAAACAACAGUACCGUUACAAUGUCAAGGACAGAUGAGUGUGGGAAGUGAGAGAAAAGCUCUAUUUGCUAUUUUUUUGGUGAUCAGGAGAAAUCAUACAACGAGCUUCCAUACUGGUUGAGUGUCGUUGUACAUUAUAAUCCAAAAACUCGAGUUGAUUGGUUUUUUCUUUCAUCUGAUGUUCCAAGUAUACGACCAUUUUUGAAAGAUUUUUCUGGUCAUUUGGUUCUGCAAAAGAAGUGUUCAGAUAUAUUGUAGGCCAUUAAUUUAGAUCGACGGAACUCAUUUGUAUGAAAAGUAUAAGGGUAAAAUGUUAAUUGCCUUAUCUAUCGAUGCAAAUGGUCAUAUAUAUUUCCUCUUGCAUUUGAUAUUGUGGAAAGGGAAAACGCAUCCAAUUGGUCAUGGUUCCUUUAUGCACUGCACCAAUACGUUACUGAUAGAGAUGGUAUUUGUUUGAUCUCGACAGGCAUAGAGGUAUUAUUUCUGCCAUUAACAAUGAAGAGGUAGGUUGGAGUGAACCUCAGCAUUCUAUCGAUAUUGUCUUCGUCAUGUUGCUAGCAACUUCAAUCAGAAAUACAAAUCGAAGCAACUAAAAGAUUUGGUGUUUAAGGCAGGUAAUCAGCACCAAAGGUGCAAAUUUAUAAAGAGCAUGAAAGAACUAAAGCAUUUCAUCGAUUUUGACCAGGCUGGUACAUAUGCUUGGGGUAUUGCAUGUCUUACAUGGUUGUAUAGGAAAUUGUGUCAAUCGAGUAAUAUUCGGUCAUCAGAAAUUGUUGGCCCAUUGAUGUUGCUACAAGUAUGGGUGUAUGACAGAUUUCCUAUUGUGGCACCACAUGUACCACUACAGGUGUCAGUUGGUCGACCUUACACAACAUCCAAACAAUAAAAUUUGCAAUAUCUAUAACUUAUUAAUAAUUUCUUUCAUACAUUAGAUGGAGUGGUGUUCUACCUUCAUCAGAACACUCAACAAAUAUGUUACUAACCUACCGAAUGAUAUUUGAUUGGCCGAUAUACUCUCAGGUAAUAAAAUAUUGUAUGAAUGUUGUGUAAGUAUGUUUUUUGUUGCCUACUUCUGUUUGAUUUUUUAAACAAAUUAAUUGGACAUCAUACACACUUGCCAUUAUGACAUUGCUUCCUAAUCGAUGUCAUAAUGGUUAAGCGGUGUGGACUUACGUGGGUCCUAUGAUUUUCUUUCAUCUCGUUGAGAAGCAUCAAUCAAACCGUGUAUUGCGACAAUUCGGUAUGCUGCAAAUGCCACCAAAUUUUUGCUCCACGGAUAUGGCCCUACACCAAAUUGAUUUAAAAGGCAAACACGAUCAAGAUUGGCGUAAGAUUCAUGCGAAGCAUAUAGCAAUGCGGCAUUGCGAUAUAAUUUUUGUGCAGAAACAGUAGCAACACACGAGCCGACAGUAUCAGAUAACUAUUUUAUCUGGUACUCUUCGAUUACCAAACGCUUCAUCGCAUCUGAAGGCGCUCUCUGUUAUCACAUGGUAAGAAUUUUAAUAUGAUUUGCUUUAUAAAUUUAAUACAAGCAUGCACAUGUUUUUAAUUAUAUUAUUUGCAAUUGUUCAAAAUAAAUUUUGUUCAAGACGUACAUUCUUUCUCUAUGGAAAACAAUUUACAAAUUUUGAGCUUAAUGCGUGAUGAAGUCAUGGAAGAUAUAGAACAGAUUAUUUAACAGACCCAAUGACUAAAUGUUGCUAACACAGGUCAUAAACGUAUUUAACGUAGACGAAGACAAGGCGAUGUCGUCGUAGAGGGAGAUGAAGAGAAUCCUUAGUUUGUAUAAUUUAGGUGUUAUUAAUUUUUAAAAUUUGGUAAAUGUUUAAUAAAGUUGUAUAUUAGUAUUUAAAUUAUAAAUUGGACUUUUUAAAAUAAAACUAAAUAAAAUGGUGUGAUUUAGAUGUAAGAAUGUUAAGAAUAUCAAAAUAUAAUAUUCUUUUAAAAAGUAGUGAAACAAGUAUAAGAAUCAGUUAAGAAUCUCUAAAUAAAACUAUACAAAAAUAAAUUAAUAAUAGUACAAUGUUUAAACCAAGAGUUGAACUAUAAAAUAAGAUUGUGAUAGUAAAUAAAAUAAUAUCAAAAAUUAUAUUAAGAUUCUUCCUAGAAGCCUAUUAAGCAAAAUCUUUAAUAUGUAAAUCUAAAAAAAAAAAUGAAAGGUGUAAUAUUAAUAGUCAAUUCAUACACUCAUCCUACCAUCAGAAAAUUUAUCGAUAACAAGCUACUAAAAGAUAUGAUAUUUGAACGACUUCCAUUUAAAAAUCACUCAAUUUUUUAAAAAUAGUUCAGCCAUUCACUCUAUUUUUGUCAUUUUUCACAAACCACUGGAAAAAAAACUAUCAUGUUAAUAAGAUAAUACCAUUAACAAAAAACAACAUAGAGACUAACUUCACCCACUCAUCUUCAACUUAUAAUCAUUUAUGGAAAAAGCAUUUAGAACCAAUAUUUGUGGAAUGAAUGAUGCAUAGUAGGCUUAAUUGACUGAAAAUUAAUCACAAAAGAAAAGGUAGUAGUUCAAGUCUCUUGGUGGACAUAGAUUCCAUUCUAAGUUUCAAUAUCAUUUAAAUUGGGCAUAUUUGGAUUGACUUUUUUAAUGUUUAAAUAAUGACAGAUAGAAAACGAUGUCUCAAUCUUUCUUUCUAACUUACUGAGAGAGAAGGAAAAGUUAGCUCUUAGGCUUCUUCAUGACGUGGAUAAGAAGGAAAACUUAGCUCUUAGGCUUUCUUUUUCCCUUCUCUUUCCUCCCUUCUUAUCCACGUUAUGAGGGUGGGGUAUAUUUUCUCAGCUCCUCUACGGGAGCUUCGGUCUUGCUAGGAGUCAACCGAGUUUCAACUUAAGCCUUCGCGACUGAAUGCGUGGAGGUUGUAUAACGAUUAAAGGAAAGGCAACUGAAUGCGUGGAGGUUCACUUCACCUCGAAUUCCUCUUUUAACGCUCCCAGUAUUGCACGAAAGCCUAGGGGCUCGAGACAAGAAGGCGUUAAUCGUAGUUAUCCGAGUCUGGACAUCCAUACGUGGUUGCCAUGGGGUAGGUACCCAUGGGACCGGAACCUAUGCGUACUAUACACACAAAACUAAUACCAACGGUGGCUCCCUCCGUCGAGAUUCCUCUUCUUGCACCAGAUAGUACUCAUUCGUCAAUAUUCUUUGAACUUUCCGUCUCCUUCUCUCUUUAUCACUUUCAAGUAUGAGAAUUGAGAAACAACCUUGGUUUCUAAUGUUGCUCUACAUACGAGCAUGCAGUUCAUUUCGAUAAGGUUGAAGUUUUGGGGGUUUCAAACUUGAGCGACAUGGCAAUAUAUUGCUCCAAUUGACUUCACAUUUGGGCUUACAAGACUGAGUUUGGUUUGUAGUACCUAUUAUCAACAAAAGCAACAAAUUCAAGGACAAAAGGUGAUGAAACCUAUGAAGAGACUGGGAAGAUACAACGCUCAAAAGUUGUGUUUUGUGGUUGUAUGUGAAGUGAAGAUAGGCAUUCUUCUGCAGUCAUUCUUGGAAAGAUGCAAAACAAAAAUGGCCAAGAAAGAUUAGAAGAAUUGUACCAUAUAGAUCAAACCACAAACCGAUUCUUCAAGUAAAAGAAGAAAUGUCCAUCAAUUACACUUUGUUUCUUUUCAUCUUAACCAUAGGGAACACAAGAAACUUAAGCCUACAGCUUUCUUUUUGCCAAAAAGAUUUCACAAAUGAAAGAAAAUAUGAUUGAAUUAGCUAUUGUUAUAUUCUUGAGAUGAUGUAAAUUCUUGAAACCAAUUACUACUUGACACGGUAUGUCUUAUCUGUAUACUUUAUUUGUUGAAGUGCCCAACAAAUAGAUACAAGAGGGGAAAUAAUUGUUCUACUCUGCUUGAUGUUUAACAGCUUCAGCUCUAAAAAUCAGAUAAAAACUUGUUUAAACUAUGUUACAAGAGAAUAAUAAUUUAUUUUUUUCUUUCGUAUUACUUUUUCUGCCCACCUAAACUUGGGUAGUUGAAAAGAAUAUAAUAUGAUGGUGGAUGCACGCUUGAAUGACCAAUUACUCAUCGAUCAGGCAUUUUUAGUACACCCAACUCAAAACAGGUAUUAAGGCUAGGAAGGUAGUUCAUUCCUUGGGCUUCUUACUCAUGGUCUUGCGCUUGUUGACCUCCAAAUAUUUCUUCCUUAAACGAAUGGCCUUUGGUGUAACCUGCAUCCAAGGAAGCAAUUUUGAUUACCAUUAGUAGAGAAACUAUUUUGAACUUGUGCCCAAUGAUCAUUAAAAGACGUGCAUAUUAUUGAAUGCAACAUCCAAGCGUUGUUAAGAAGGAAAGCAUGCGUCAUGUGUGUCGUAGCCUCAUUAAAUAAUUGUUUUCCAUCAGUAACCAUACAACAACAACGCAAAAACAUUAUCUGACCCUAAAUGUUAAAGUAAAAAAUAACAAAAUUUUAAAGUGUGUUGUAGUUUUUGCAUCAGAAUAUUACGAGUUGGGUACAUAGGCAACAAUUUCCAAAGAACAUAAAGAUGGGAAAGACAAUUUGAAUGAAUAAGCAUAAACUACCUCAAUAAGUUCAUCAGAUGCAACGUAUCCUAUCGCUUCUUCGAGACUCAUCUGCAUUUAAGUUUAGAAUUAGAUGUUAGUGUUAGUAAUCUACUUAGAAAAAGAUAAUGAAGCUUUUCAGCCUAUUCGUGUCCUGACUUUCUUGAACUGAAUCCCACGUCUUGGAUACUGGAUUCACACUAACACAAAAUUAUAUAUGAUUGAAACUCAAUGUAGAAAUAACAUACAAGUCGGGGUGGAGACAGCUUCACGUUUUCAUCCUUGCAAGCAGAACGGAUAUUGGUAAGUUCUUUAGUUCUUACAGGAUUAACCUGGAAAAAAGAAAAUUGAAGACCACGUAAAUCAAGUAGAAACAAGUUUAAUCCAAAGUCAAAGUCUAAACAUAAAGUUCUCAACUUACAUCAAGAUCUGAGUCCCUAGAAUGUUCUCCAAUAAUCAUUCCAUCAUAAGCCUGCAACACAAAUUAUCAGGAAAACUAAACAGAACAUUUCCGAGAACCCAGAUAUUAUCUACAAUGAAAAGAUAAGUGGAUCCUCGGUCUAAUGGAAACAACAUAGUUGCCAUAUUUGAACAAACCUCCAUUCCAGGAUUUACAAAAAGAGUUCCUCGAGCUUCUAAACUCAUUAAAGCAUGAGCUGUAACUGCUCCAUAUCCCAUUGAUAUCUAUUCAAGAGAGAGAGAGAGAGAGAUGUGGGUCAACUCCCAAAAGAAAAAAGAUGGAUAAUGAAAUGCAAUUCUGCGGACCAAAAUAUGAAAAAGGCAGAAAAUAAGGAUUCAUGCAAACUCUAAUUGCUAAUUUUUGUUUGUGCGUGGACGGUUGGAUGAAGACACUUCUUCCAUUCUAAUAUCAAUACACAUUAACGUUAUCAUAAUGCAAAUAUUUCAAUUUUUUAAUUUUCAUGUGUUCAGGACAGCUUGUGUCAAACUCAAUCCAUUCACACAAGGCAACUGCUUACCCUUGCUACAUUUAGUGGCCAAGGUAACUUAUAAGAUAUUAAAUAAUAAAUCCUAAAUAAGAGGUCACUAUGAUUGAAGUCAUUCCAUUCGAGCUCUUUCUUAUGUACCUAGCUAUCACGACUUCAUAAUACCAAGUAAAAAGAUAGUAGUUUAUAUUAUGACUAGUCUGCCAUUCUAUAAAAUGCCAGGUCUAGAGGUAGAAAAUUUGUGAUUCCAUCUCCAGUGAAUUAAGAGAUAAGUACUAAAAACUACAUUUUAAAAAAAAAUCCUAAACAAAGAGAAGACCAUAACAUAAAUAAUGAAGUUGAUUUAAUUUAAAUGAAUUCUGCAUAACAUACCAGUACUCCUUUUCGAACAUUGCCAAGAGGACCCCGAUGUUUUUCAUACUCUGGAAAAGAAAAAUAAAGAUUCAGACUACAAAUAUUAACAUGUAGGAGCAAAAAUGAUAGAAUCAAAUUAUUUCAGGGUUUUAUUUUUUUUUUUUUGGGUAAGAAACAUUUCUUCAUUUAUGUAUGAAAUUUACAAAAAGGGGCCAAAGCCCACGCCAAGGAGUUACAAAAGAAGUCUCCGAUUGGUCAAGAGAGAAGAAAGCGUGGUGAAUUAAAGCAAAAUGUACAUUUAGACCAACUCACAGCAUGAAAGAUAAUAGGUCUAUGAAUCAAAUGAAUUCAGGGUAUCAAAAAGAGCUCCUAAACAAACGUAUAUAAUUGAAUAUAUGUACAAACAAGCAGAAGGAUAAGUUCUUGAAAGUUUGAAACUUUUUUUAGGGGAAUAUCAAGAGUUCUUGAAACUAAGAUGCUAACAUAACAAGUUGAAGACGGUACAGUCAAAGAUCUAAGGAUUUCAAAAUUAGUAUUUAGAAUAGAUAUAUAAUUCAGUAUAUGCAAAAAUGAAGUACAAAGUUAUGGGUGUAACCAGGCACAUGAGUCCUCCAACAGUUACUAACAGUAAAAUGUGAAGUCACUAAUUCUCAUUUAACUUGGAAAAUAGCAAAACGUGCAACUCUAAUUUGCACAACUAUCCAUCCCAGAAAAUAGCAACAUUAAGAUGCCAAGAAUUCUCCAGUGAUUAGACUCUUUAAACCUUUGCUCGCUCAGUCAAAUUGAAAAGGUGCAAAAAAGAUACAGAGAUCGUAAUGAAAUACUUACGAAUGCCAAUGCAUAAGAAAAAAAUAAAGCAAAUCAAAAUGCUAUUCUCAGCAGAAAACAAUAACAUGAGAAUAAAAGAAAUUCAAGCUCAAAAUACAUACUUAAGAAUGCUCGAUGCAUAAAACCAGUUCCACGUGUAUCACUGCUAAACACACUUCUGUAACCAACUAAGCCCCUGAGAAAUAGCAGAUAAAAAAAGUUCAUCAGUGUGAUGGAACGCAAAGAUCAUAACCAUCAGGAUGCAUUUUUCACAAAAAGAGAAAUUUGAAAACAAACAAAUGUAAUUUCAAAUUUUUUUAAAAGAUAACAGAGGUACCAACCAGGGAUACACUUCAAUUUUAUACGUACAUCAUAUUAUAAUAACCCACCACUACGAAUAAAUCCAAUGAAACACCCAUUUGUUGACAGUUAACCCUUUUCUUUUUUGCAAUAUGCAUUAAGCCAAAUUAUAUCAAUCCUAUUUGAAGAUUCUCAAAUCACCAGCAUCGAACUCAAUAAACUUUAUCCAGAAUCUACAAUGUUCUUAUGUUUCCUACCAUUAAAUCAUGAAUUAAGACAUUCAGUUGCUAGGAACACUAUUCUAAAUUCUAGGGGAAGGGUAAAACCAAAAUGGACAAUAUGCAGUCUUCUUACCUGGAUGGGCAUGUCAAACACAAUCUAGUUCUGCCAAUGUUUCCUGGGACUGGACCCAUCUCUGUAACUUCACCACGCCUAUGUGAUAAGGCUUCCAUAACUAAACCAACGUGUUCUUCAUUAACCUGAAUCGAACCACAAUGCUUGAAUUUUGCAUACAGAAAAUAACAGAAACAAUUAGAUAUACAAAAAUCUUACCUCUAUGGUGACUUCUUCAAUUGGCUCAAGCUUCGUUGAAUUCUCAGUUUUAUACCUGAUGCAAAAAUGUAGAUCAACUCAAUUAUCUUAUGUACUCUCCGUUCUUUUGAAAUUUUCAUGUAAUGCAUAUACAAAUAAAUACAUGAGACAACUGCAAGGAAUGAGAUUUACAUGAAUAACUACUCCAUGCAGAAGCAUCAGUAAACUCACAUUACUUUAGGCGGUGAAAUGGAUAACUCAAAUCCCUCACGUCUCAUGUUCUCAAUUAGGAUACCUGAUUAAAUAAGCACACACGGCUUCAAAAGGAUUAAAAUACUGAUAGAAAAAUAAAAUGCAACUGAAAAGACAAUUAAGAAAGUAUGAGUAUUCAGAAAAGAAUAACUAUUCUAAUUAGGCUUUUUUUAUUUAACCAGAAAAACGCAUAUCGGCUAUUGAAAAAACAAAGCUCAAACCGAACUUUCAUCAAUAACCAUAAUAAGAAUAAAAGUGGUGUCAUCUUGCUUAAGCCAAGCCUUGGGAAUUUCAUUAACUGGAGGGUUCCAAAAAAGGGCACCUAGUUGAAGUUCGCCUCGCCCCUGCACCUCAUAAGAUUCUGACAAGCCUGGAAGCACAUUUAUGGCAAGAUUUGUUUCUGCUUCAGCCAUUAACCGGUCACCAAUUUUUCCACCAGUCAACUACAAAUAAAGUUCUAGCAGUAUGUGAGUAGUGCAAAUCAUUUCUAGUUGUGUUCAACGUUUAGAUUCAAACAGACUAGAAAUGGGGUGGGGGUUAUGACUAUAAAUUACCAGCAAACCAUAAUGCUGAUACACAUCCAUCCUCCCAAUGUUGCAAUAGCAAGAAAACUAAAUGCAAGGAUAGAGUAGUACUAAAAACCUAAUGAUGUAGAAUCACUAUAAUGCAAGGAUAAAGUAUUACUAAAAUACCUAAUGAUGUAGAAUCACUAUAAUGCUGAUAAUUCCAAAUUUCAACAGAGAACUCACAUGUGUACCAUCACGACCUGCCAGUGGAGAAUCAUUAACACCAAAAGUCAUUGAAAUAGUAGGAGGGUCCAAUUCAAAAGUAGGCAAAGCAGCCAAAACCUGGAAGAAACAAGAGUAAAGGAAAACAUCAGCGAAGCACAACAUAAACUCUUUAGAUAAAGGGAAUGUAAAUUGUAAACAACGUACUUCAACAUUGGCCACAGUAUGGCCUAUGGAAGGAUUUGCCAACCCAGCCAUUGACACUAUAUCACCAGCCCCAGCACUAUCAAUUUGAACGACAGUUGUACCUUUCUUUUUCAUUAAUUUCACGACCUACAAAACAUGAUUAACAUAGAUCUCAAAGUUUGUACAAUAAGAAUUCACCAUGAAUGUCAAGAAUAACUCUCUAAAUAAGAACUGUAGAUAUAACUAAUGUAAGAUGACCCUGCCUUAGUCUUCAAUCCUACAAGUGCCCAUCCAAACCAUAAACAGAUUCAAAUUUUCAGAUAAAUUGUUGUCCAACAAGCCCUAAAAUCUGACCUUGAUCUUUUUUAAGAAUUUUAUAAAAUAAAUCACAAACCUUUCCCUCUUCAAUUUUUUCAACCCCAGAAUCCUUGACUCGGAGUCCGUGAACUCUAUCACCAGUUCGAACGACACCAGAAGCAAUGCGUCCAGUCAAUAUUCGUCCAAGAUAAAAGUCGCGCUCCAUCAUAGAAACCUAAAAGACACUAUCAAAUAUGUUGUAAAUUCUUUGUAAAAAAAUAUUUUAUAUUUCUAGAAGCUAGAAGAUAACUGAAAAACACCUACCAGCAUCUGAAACGGUUCGUCAAGUUUUGCUGCUGGAGGAGGAACAUGUCUUAUAAUAGCAUCAAGCAACUGCGACAUAUUUCUCAAUUCGCCAGGAGGAUCUUUAGUGUAAGUAUUGGAAGCCCACCCUUCUUUAGCAGAAGCAUAAAGAACAGGAAAGUCCAACUGCUCCUCUAAAUAAAAGUUAUAACGGAAUUAGUUUGUUAGACUAAAUUACUAUUUUCUUUCCAUGAAAAUAACUUCCUUUCGAAAAAAAUGAAAGAAAGCAUUUUAAAGAAAAGUUAGUCAAACGUACUCAAUGAAUUUUUGUUACUAAAAUAAAAAAUAGAAAAUAGAGAAACAAAACUGUUUGGAACCAUUUCCAAACAACCCUAACCUGUUAGAAAAUAAAUUAAGACUACACCAGGUGAAGAAGUGUAGAAAUUUCAACUUCAUGCAUUACAUUUUGCAUUUUUCUUUUUUUUUUGAAACGGAAACAAAAUCUUCUUUAUGAAUAUGAACUCAAGGUACAAGAGAUUUAUACAGCGAGAACAAUAAAGAAGUAGUAAUCAAGGGAGUCCUAGAGGGAUCAACUUCAUGCAUUAUAAGUACCUGUGGCGCCUAGAUUUGCAAAUAGAUCAAAUACCAAGCUCUCAACUUCACUACACCUUUCUUCAGAUACUGCAUUAAGAAAUAUUGGAGUAGUCACUACAAUUGGUUCUAAACUUAAUUAUCAAAAGAUGGCAAGCUGGAAACAAGUGAGGGAGUUAAAAAGAACUGUGAUGAAUGCCACACUAUAAUGCAUCAAAGGACUAAAUAAAUAGAAGCACUUUUCUGCCAAUAGUUCAUCACGAUAAGGAGCAAACACAACUAACUUAACCCAUUAACCUGCUAUUCUUCUGGUAAAGUGCUUCUUAAUUAUUGAUUUAGUUUAUUUAAAGCCUCUCUAGACAGGUCUUCUCGAGCAUAUGUUCAAUUAAAAAAGUAAAGUGCUGUUUUUAGCAAAUACCUGAUGGUCGGUCUACUUUGUUUAGAAGAAGAAUAGGUCGCAGCCCAUACUUUAAGGCCUUUGCAAGAACGAAUUUUGUUUGUGCCAAUGGACCUUCACCAGCAUCAACAACUAAAAUUGCACCUUCAACCAUUCCAACAACACGUUCAACCUACAUUACAUAGACCCAAGUCGUGUAUGGUAGUAGUCAGAUGCAUUGCAUUCCAAGAAUCUCAUAGACGGUUGGAGAAAGACUUUCUUUCUCUGAUAAUCAAGGAUCAGAAGAAAAAAUGGAAAAUUAAAUCUAGGAAUUCCUAUUUCGAUGAUAGGAUAAUCAUGGUGACAAGUUGAGUAGAUACGAAGAACCAAAUUCAGUAUUCACCACGUGGGUAAUUGAACUAAUUAUAACUAUGCCUAACACAUUUAUGAUAGAGUUCUUCAAUUUUCUUUCUUAUAGUUUCUAAAAACAGAACGUCCUAAUAUGGUCCUUAAAAAUGAAAACUUCACAUUCUGAAUCUAUGUUCGAUCAAAAUGAACAAAUCCAAGUUCCACAAGUUGGUGAAAUUAAAACAUACUUCUCCACCAAAAUCUGCGUGACCGGGCGUAUCAACCAUGUUCAACUCAUUUUCCUUCCAUGAAACAGAAGUAACCUGCCAAAACAAAACAAACAAACAAAAUUAAUCCCAUCCAGUGCAGAUAAGAAUCAGAUAAUCCCAUUACAACAAUUCCUAGAUUCUUCAUACAUCUAUCAAUCGAAUAACCCUCCUACAAGCUAACCAAAACAACAAAUGUACAAAAAUCAGCAGAAAUUACCUUGGACGCUAUGGUGAUACCUCGUUCACGCUCAAGACUGAUCGAAUCCAUAGCUCGCUCGUGUGGUAUAUCCGCGCCGCACUGCCGGAGCAAACGGUCCAUGAGAGUUGUUUUUCCAUGAUCAACAUGAGCAAUCACUGCCACGUUCCUGAGUCGGCUCGGAUCAAGGUCGCUGCUAGGUGCAACGGCAGCAGCCGCAGUGGCCGUGGCUGCUGAAAAAGCGCGCGCGAGGAGAUUGGGGAAGACGGAUGAUGGCGAGAUAAUGUGAGAUUGAAGAUGGAAAGAGGAGAAAGAGGAGGAAGAUAUGGAUCUAUGAGAUGAUGACCAGAGACGACGGAGUAAUGGACCCGCCAUUUCCGCCGGAGACGGCUGAGCUUUUAAGAGGUUUUAGCUUCCGGCGAUUGUGAUAGGGUUUAACACUUCCUUUCUUCUUUCGUUCUUUCUUUUCCCAUCCGUUUCUAAGUAUUAUAUUUCUAAAAACAUUUAAAUAAAAAUACAAAAUAAAACAUAUAAUAAUUUAUAAGAUAAAGUUGUAUUUCAUUUUUUUUAGAUUUUUAAUUUUUUGAAAUGGAUACAAAACUUAUUUAUUAACAAGAUCCCUAAGAAAAAGUAAAAAAUAAAUAAUCGGAAAAGUCCUAUAGAAAUUAAGAAAGCAUCCGUACAUUUCAACUGGGUUAACAAAUUUUUUAAUGUCAUAUAUGAAACUAUAUCAAACCACUUUACUAAAAUUCAAAUAUAUCAAGUUAGGUCAGAGCAAGUUACGCUAAUUUGCAUUAACUUUCAUCUCAUGAACGGAAUAUUUGAAUUUUCAACCCCUAAUUGUUGUACUAAAAAAAUUAUAAUCUAUAUAAAUUAACUUUUAACCUUACUCAUACACCACAUUUACUACAUGUAUUUUAUAUACUUUUGCAUUUUAAAUUUUAAAAUGCAAAUUUUAGAUACAAUAAAAAUAAAAACAUACAAACGUUGUUUUCAAAAUUUGCAUUUUUUUUAUCACUACAUUUAGAAAAACAAUUUUAAAAAAAUAAAACUCACGCUUCUAUCAAUAUAUAUAUCACUUCGUGAAUGUGAAAAAGCAUAAAACAUAUUCUGAACUUUUUACUCAACAAUUCCUUACAGACUCAUAUUUUUACUUUUGGUGUGGUGAUUUUAUUUUAUUUUUUCAAAUAUAUUAAGUUGAGAAUUGGAUCCUAUACGCACAAGAUCACAAAAGAAUAACAAAAUGAGUUGAGACAAUAACUAACUUACCACUCACCUAGAAGAAUAAACACCCACGACUCAACAAAGAAUGUCCCAAUUUGAUAAACGUGUAUCCCGUAUAAGUUCUCCAAUAAUAGAAUAUACAAGCCACAUAAAACAACAAAAGAAACAUCUCAUAACCUUACUAACUACCUAAGGAAAGAUAUAAGGUAGUUCAUGGACAAAAAUUAAAGUCACACCAAAUACGAUAGGUAACAAUAUACCAAAGUACUCUUUAGACUUUAACCCUAAAACAAUUACUCCACUUUAAACGUUAUCGGAUACUACGAGUUCAUCCCCUCUACAAAAGCAUAUCCCACCUAUAGUUCAAAGAAUAAUUAGUAUUUGAGUUGACUCACACAUGCAAAUGGGAUCAGCUAAUUUUCCACAUAAAAGAAGCUUUCACAUUUGAUAAGUAAGAAUAAGUAUAUGUAUGUGAAAAAUUAAAACUAUGGCAUAGGUGAAUUGGUUAAAUCAUUAUUUAAAAAGAUAAAACAAUUUAAUUGUUCAUAUUAUAUUCCAACGUUGGUAAAAAGGUAAUAACCAUUUUGAUUAGCCCAAAUGGGAACGUCCGAGCGGGGAAGACCGGCACUCGGCUAGUCAAAUCUCCGGACUGACUUGCUAUUGCGUUCACUCCUUCAUCAAUUUCACCUCCUCCAAUUGCAUUGAAGCUUAAUCAGACAUGGAACCCCGCUCUCCAAAGUCUACCUCCUUCGCUUCGCUGCUUUCCAUAUGUUUAUUCUUCACGUCUGUUCGUUCUGCUCCAUCAUUCAUCGGAGUUCACCCCCUCGGUACCUCUCUCUCUCUCUCUCUCUAUCUCACUCUGUUCUUAAUGAUCCCCCUUGAUCUGAUUUUUCGAAGCUCAAUUAUUGAAUUUUUAUCCCCAUUUCUCCCUCUCCAGCUAAUUCCCCUUUUUGGGGUAUACCCAUGUUGUGAAUUGAUGCUAAAUUCGUCUUUUUUUGGUGAAUUUUCCUGAAUUCAAACGUGUGUUCGAUUGCAGAUGAGAAGUAUUAUUCCUCCGAGGUCAUAAAAUGCAAGGAUGGUUCUAGGUCUUUUACUAUAGAUCGUCUCAAUGACAAUUUCUGUGACUGCGUUGAUGGAACCGAUGAGCCUGGUGUGUUCUUACUUCUUACUAAAAUCUAGUCAUUAGAGUUACUGCUAUUAUAAGAUGAACCUCAAGUUGAAAUAGCUGUGAAAGUAUGUAUUGAACUAAACGCAACAAUUACUAGUCAUUGUAUUAUGUUUAACUAUUGAAGAAGACUUGCCAUGUUUAACCUAGAAAAGCUUGACUUGGUUUUUCUUUCUGAAUUUUCAUCAACUUGAUACUGUAUCUAUUUUGUCCUGUAUCAUUAGAAUGUAGGAAUAGGAUAAGGAAAAUCGUUAGAAAUACAAAAUAGCACUUUUUGGCGAAUUGUUCUAAUGACACAUCUUGGUGUGUCAUGAUCAAAACCGAGACUAAUACAAAAACCAAAACUCAACUUUUUAAAUGGCAUAUCCAAAGGAAUGAUUUUUUUGGGCUUUUUCUCGGUGGAAACUCGGCCAGAAGAUCAAGACGAACUGCUUUUUUUCUGCAUAAGCUCCCAAAAUCUUAUUCCCUCCUUAUCAUAGACACUUUCCGAUAAGAUCACAUACAUAAUAUUUGGAAAUGUUUGCGAAAGAUUUGGAGAAUGCACGCAUAAAUUCAAAAUAAUAGUCAGUCCCAGUUUUAUCAAGGAGUUCCACCCAAAAAAAUUGAUGGUCUGAAUGUGCCACUAAAAGAAGCUAAAUUUUUGUUUGGGUCUCCGUUUCAAUUCUGUAUGAAAGGUACCAUGGUGAAAUAUGAAAACAAUUGGCCAACAAGGGUGCUAUUUGUGAAUGGUGGAAAAUUCAAAAUUGAGUGCUAUUUCUAAGUAAUAAAUUCAAAUUCCAGCAUGGGCAAUUGGUCAAGUAAAAAAAAGGAAAACAAACCUUCCCAAAUAGCCCAAGAACAGCCCACACUCAGGCACACACUCACUAACCCAGUGCAAGGAUCAGACAAGUUUUUUUUCUGUGCUCUGCUGCUGCUGGCUCAUGGAUUUGACCUCUGAUCUUUGUAUUUAUGUAUGUAGGUACAUCUGCCUGUGCAAGAGGGAAAUUCUAUUGUCGGAAUAUGGGAAGUACACCACGGUUUAUUUUUUCUUCCCGUGUCAACGAUCAUAUAUGUGGUAACUAUCUAUCAGAUCUUUUAAUUUCCUUAUUUUUUUAUGCAUAUGACUCAGAAAAGCAUGUCGAUUGAAACACCAUAAAUUUAUUGAUUUGGAUUUUAGAACAAUCUUUCUAUAUGGUGUCUGUAAUGCAAUGAGACAGUCUUAUGGCUCAUUCGCUACUUUUCCUGAUUAUUUGUUCUUCCUGCUUUAUGUUAAGACAAUUUAAGGUCUACAUUCAGGUUAAAAUCUGCAAUUAGUGGUUUAAACUUGACAAUCAGCAUUCCAUUUCUCUAAAACUUUUCCACACAAACCAUUUUGUGACAUUUCCAUAGUCUAUCUGCCUUUUUUUUCUACUUAUGUUGAAUCCACAAUUAAUUAGAGAAGCUUGGGGUUUUAGUUUCAUUUUUAAAAUUAAAUUCUAGCUCCCUGUUCAAUAUUUAUUUGUAGAUUGCUGUGAUGGAAGUGAUGAAUAUGAGGGUAAUAUCUUUUGCCCGAACACAUGUGUCAUGGGGGGGAAUAUGUACAAGAGCAAAAAUGAUAUUUCAACCACCCGAGAUGUUGAUAUAGUCAUCAGAAAAGUUAAGGAAGAAAUCACCAAGGAGGACUUGUUCCAAAAGCUAACUGGUAGGAUUUUUUUUUCAAUCAUUACAAAACAGAUACACAAUACUCAACUGAUCAUUGUUGUAACUCUUAACUUGCAAUUUUCAGGUUUGAAGCUAGUAAUAAUCCUACAGGUAGCUCUCACAAGUUUUGCAAUCCUCAUUUGGGCAAACCGUUGUCGUGUGAAAUCUAAGAGAAGACGACACCGUUGAAGCGAGCCGCAAUCGUCAUUCCUUAAUCUUCACUAUAAUCCCAAGUACAUCUUCCAGUUCCAUAUAUAACUUCUCCAGUCUAUCCUCUUAGUCUAAAUUGUUUAUCAAUCAAUGUUCAUUCAUUCUCCAGGCUUCUCUUAUCAGCACGAUUACGUGAUGUCGUUCUUUCAGAUGCUCACAAAGCUCAACACGCUGGAUAAAGAACUACUGAUCCAUUAGUCUUAACAGACCAUGAUAGAUUAGCUGCCUAAACCCAACCUUGUUAUUUAUAUAUAAAGAUCACAACAACACAAUGGAUUGCCUACCCAAUCUAUAUCAAUGUUGUAACAUUUGGGCUAGAUUCACUCAAUGUACCAUAUCAAAAAGAACAAAUUUUGUUACAAUGUUUGUCUUGCACGACCUCAAUAACUUUUGUCGAAGUUUGCAGCCUUUGAUUAUGCAAUGAACCAAAUGAACGUUGUGUAAAAGUAAAAUCUGGUGUACAUGAAAGAGGGCAAGUUUUCCAAAAAUGGAAACUGGGGUCUCAUUUUCAACCUCAAAUUCAUCUAUUCCCAAUCGAAGAUUCAUGUUAAUGUUUUUUACAUGGACUGAGUGAAAAAAUGUGUCAGCUUUUGACAUAUUACAUUUGUUUGUUUUUUUUUUCCCCAAAUUCUCUCUAAAGGAGAGGGAGAGAGAGAAAAUGGUUGAAAUGGCUGGCAGGCACUUGAAAUUGUAAAGAAGUGGAAAGAGUGGUAUAUGAUAUAAUUAGUGGCAGAAUUAAGAAAACGAAUAGGGCAUAUACCCUACAUGUGGGAGUGGUCUGGGGACAAAGCAUAAGAAAGCUAAAAGCGUGCAAACAAUUCACAUGGGGUUAUGAGACACAAAACAUUAUCCUUUUAAACCCAAUUCUCUUAUUCACAAAACCCACCAUUUUCUUUCCUUCUCUUCAUUCUAAUCUCACAGCAUCUUCUUGGACUAAACAUCCCCUCAUCUUCACCAAAAAGCCUGCACCCACAUGCCUUUGCUUUCCCUUAUCAAUCUAAAUUUAAUCAUCAUCAUUGCGUUUCACCCCUAAAGAUUCCCCCUCUUUAAACAAAUCAAACAACUCAAAGUGAAAUUAUUCGAUAAGACCACUUCUACACUACUAUCAAUGUGAGUAUUGUUGAAAUCCCUCAAAUAUUUUAUCUUGUGUUAUAAAUGAUUAAGCACAAAUGUUUUAUGUUUUACCAACUCUAAUUCGUAGACCUUUUUUUCCACUCUAUUCACUAUCCAUUAGAACAAACGGGAGCCGCAUAUUGCCCAUUGCUGAAUUUCUUUCGUCUUAUUUCUUGAUAGGCUACAUGUGGAUAUAACUUCUAACACACCGUUAGUGAUUUUUUGUGUCAAUUAUAUAUUGUUUUCGUUCCUCUAUUUGUCUUUGUUUGUCGACUUCGUUAGAAAUACUUUCGACUUCGUUAAAAAUGCUCUAAAGUAGUUAUUAGGAAGCAUGUUUUCUAGGAACCCACAUCAGAAAAACAAAUAGAUUUCUCAAUUCUUAAACACAUAUUUGCCUCAAAAAGUUUGUAGAUGUUGAAACUAAAAGCAUCAAUUUCAUGAUUUAUUGACUUUACAAUACAAGUCUACCACAACAUUACAAAUUGUUGAGCAACAUUUAAUGGACUAUUAUGAAAUCUCUAAGAUGGCCUCCUCUAACACCAUGUUAGAUGAUCCAUUAACUAAAAGAUUUGAAGGGGAGAAGCAAUAGAUAAAGAUAAAUAUAAUAUAAUAUGAUGAAAGAGAAAUUGAUAUGGAGAGGAGAGAAAUAGUUGAUUAAAGAAAAUUAAAGAGGGUAUUUAUAUUUAAAAUUUGGUUAGUAAAAAGGAUAGGGUUGUAAAUAGAGGGUGAUAAUAGCACGUGGUGGGUGAUUAGUGAUUAGAUUAGUGAGACUGUUGAAUAGAGUUUUUAAAAAUGAAGAGAAAAAAGCGAGUUUCCAGUUAUACCGUUGAACCUCAACUUCCCUCUCCAUUCCCAAAAAUUUUCACCAUCAUCUAAUCUAAACCCAUUUUCCCCUUAAUUCCCCAUCUCCCCCAGCUGGACAUUGGCUGUCCAAUCUCCUCCCCCAUGUGACCCCACAUUUUGUUUCACAUUGCUAAAAAGAUUCAUUAACCAUUUUAAUUAAUCUCUUCCUCUCUCUCUCUCUCUCUCUCUCUCUCCUAAUUUUAAUUCCCUUUCCUCUUAUAACUUCCUCUGUUUCCAACAUCCUCUGUUCAAUUUUUUUCUUUCAGUUUUCCUUAUUCAUUCCUUGUGUGUGUGGGUGUGUUUUUUCUCUCGAGGUUUUUGGCUGUGCUAUGGCACAGUUACCACCUAAGAUCCCCAAUAUGGCUUCUAAUUGGUCUGAAUUAUCCCGUCAGAAAAUCCCCUCCAUGGAAACUUUUGCACCUACCACCACUACACCACCGGUUACUCAACAGAAUCCUUCUUGGGUUGAUGAAUUUCUUGAUUUCUCUUCCGUUAGACGUGGAUCACAUCGUCGGUCUGUUAGUGAUUCCAUCACAUUUCUUGAAAUGCCAAUGCUGGAGGAUGAUUGUCGUGCCUCCGCUGCACCCCCACCACCGUCCACGGCAACCGGUGACCAGAAUGAAUUUGAUAGAUUUGAUGACGAGCAAUUCCUCUCGAUGUUUAAUGACGAAAUCUCCGCUGCUGUUGCACCAACUUUGUCGUCGUCGAACCCUUCCACGCCGUCUGAUCAUAACAGUAUUAACGAUGAGAAAGAUGCGCAAAACGAUGGGAAGGUAAAUCAGAAUAAAAAUGAGCCCGACGAAGUACAGAGCCAACAGCAAUCGGAAAAUCAAACUCAAUCCAAUUCAACGGCGACGGCGGGUUCCACUGAUCGGAUAACAGACCCAAAAAGAGUCAAAAGGUGAAAACUUUCAUCUGGGUAUUCAAGAUUUCAACCAAAAAUUCAUCUGGGUCUUAAAAAAUCUAAAAAAAUUCCAAAUGGGGUUGUGAUUUUUUCUCUUUUCUUUCUACCAUUUUCGAUUUAGAAUUCUGGCAAAUCGGCAAUCGGCACAAAGAUCACGAGUGAGGAAGCUUCAAUACAUAUCAGAACUUGAACGAAGCGUUACAUCAUUACAGGUACAUUGCACAAAAAAAAAAAAAAAAAACCAUUUCUUAAUUCAUAAUUAAGACCAAUCUAUACAAUCUUUAAUAUAAAUUAUCUCAUCAUAAUCAUGAUUAAUUUGCAUAAUGUGAAGGCUGAAGUAUCGGUAUUGUCGCCGCGAGUGGCGUUUUUGGACCAUCAGAGAUUGCUUCUUAACGUCGACAACAGUGCUCUGAAGCAAAGAAUCGCCGCCCUUGCUCAGGAUAAGAUUUUUAAAGAUGGUACGUAAUUAAUUACUUAAUUAUCUUCUUAAUUAAUUGUUUAUUACCCCCCCCCCCCCUAAUUAUCUCAUAAUCAAACUAUAAUUCGAUUUCGAAUUAAGAAAAUUAAACGGUAAUUGGGUCACUCAUAUAAUGGGGACAAAGAGGAGAGAGUAUGGAAAUUUUGUUCAUAAUGCUUGAAAUUAUUUUUCUUUAAAUAAGGCAUGCAGCUUAAAUAGUAGUAAUAUCUAAUUAAGGCAAGAAUUUGUUUUGGAGUUUCUCAAUUCUGUCUUUGUGUUUGUUUUUUAAAAUUAUUGUUUUCUUUUUUGGUUUAACAUAAGACGUUAAUAAUUGAUGCAACCGUCAAUGAGUAAAAAAAUUAAAACUUAAUAUCAUUUACAAUUACAUCUUUCAAGAAAAUUGAAGUGACAAUAUGUACAUAACAAGCUAAUAAAUAAUAUGAUAUAUAAUCUCUGAUUUUUAUGUUCAUUUGUAUUUUUUUCUUUAUUGAAAACUAUGUUUUGGUUGUUACUUAAACUAAAUUUCAAAUUUGAAACAUAGAAAAAUAUAUAUAUAAUCACUAAAUUCUCCAAAGUUUAGUAGUAAUUUGUUAAUUUAACCUUUUUGUAGUAAACAAAUAUGAGAAUAUGGGCAGAUUUGUGUCUUUCAUUUCAAACAAAUGAGUAAAUGUGUUAAUAGGUGAAAUCUCUUAACGCAUGUUUGGCCCACUCCCACAUGGUUGAACUCAAUGACAAAAUUUUGGGGUAAAUAAUAUAUUCAUGGUAUAUAUAUAACACAUUUUACCUUUGUCUAAGCAAGUGAUUGAUCAAACUAUAUAUUUUAAUAAAUUGUUCAAUUUACUUACGGACCCGUGCAUUCAAAUUUUGAACUUCUUAAGUUUUGUAUUUUUAUUGACUCAAAUAAAUUUUUAUAAGUACAGUGAGAAAAAUAAAACAAUAAAAUCAUCUCUAUUAAAAAAGUUAAUGUGAAUUAUUCUGGAAUAAAUGUUGCGUUUGUUUUAUUUAAACAAAAACAUUAUCGUUACUAUAGCUCUGUGAUAAUUGUUUAUCGUUUUCUCAAUAUUGUUCUUUUUUGUAGUAUGUGUUUUUGCUAGUAAUGUAGCCAUAGAAAAUUUACUUGGAGUUAGGAUAACUAUUUUACAUGUUAUUUCUAUCCAUUACAUGUCAUGACAGUAGUAUUUAACAAUAACACGAAGACUAUAAAAUAAAUUAAUGUAUGGGAUUUUAAGACGUGUCAAAUCAUGAAUAGAAACAGUAGAUAGAUAUUAGGAUGGUAGUAAAAGUUUGAGUGCAAUGGGAAUGGGGCAUAAUAAUAAUAAUUGUCCAUUGACUAGAGGAGAGAUAGUGAAGAAGAAGAACGUGGGAGACACUAUAAGGAAACAGAAGUGUAUCACUGUUUUGAAUUAUAAAAUUCCUGGCUGGCAGGCAACUGUAGCACUACUUCCUGUUUUCUCACGAAAUUGCAUGCAUGAUUUAUAAUUAAAAUUUCAAACACUCACAACCAGUAAAUUAUGAAAAAUACCAGAGCUCGAAGUUAGAUAGGAUCUAAUCAGGUUUACAACGAAGUGUUAAAGUUAGUGUUGAGGUUAGGUGAUAUCUUAAAGCAGGAAAACGAUCAAAAAGAGGAUAGAGAGUUGAAAAUGAUAGGGAUUACAAACCAGGUCCAUAGUCCUCAUUCCGAACAUGGACUUGCAAUUUCAAGAGUUGCGCAUAUCUUUACCUAGCUCAUAGGUAUUCAAUUAUAAACUGUCAUAUGGUAACGAGAAGAAAUGCAUGACGAUGAGUGUAAAGCUUAGAUUGUGUCUAAGUUGCUGCUAUAGUUUUUUUUUUUUUUUUUGGUCAUUUACAUGACUUAAUUCAUUAACUAAUUUUUACAUUUUUUUUUUCAUGAAUGGAUGCAGCUCAUCAAGAGGCAUUAAAAAGGGAGAUAGAGAGAUUAAGACAAGUAUAUCACCAACAAAACAUCAAGAAAAUGGAAAAUGCAUCACCAUCACCAGCAAUUACUCCAUCUCAACCUGUCGCCACCACCGUCCCUGAUGCCAAACUUCCAAACGUAGAUCAAAACGAGCAAGUUCCAAAUGUCAUGGUUUAGGUUCAAACUCUUACAUUACUACACAUCAUUCAUUUCACCCAUAUGAAACUUGAAUAAAGGAUUGGGACAAAAAAAAAAAGGAAAAAGAAAAUGAAUGCAACUGAAUUCAUGGGGCGCAAAAGAAAGACAAAAAAAUAUUUUUUGUGGCAAAAGAAAGAAAGAAGAGGAAGAAAAUGAAGGGUUUGUGUAGAAAUAUACAUACAUAUAUAUAAUAAUUAAUAAUUAUUAUAUAUAUGUGUAUAUAUAUAAUGAUAAAAUGUGGUCAGCCAUGUGAUAUGCUUUGCCUUUUGUGAAGGGAAAGGGACCACUUUCAAAAGCCCUUCCAUGAUUGAGUUGCAGAGAAGAUACAUGUGCAGCUUUGUUGAGUUAAAAGAAGAGAGAGAGAUGAAGAGGAAGUGGGAGAAGGAGAGGAAGUGGGUAAUUUUUAAUUUUAAUUAAUUUUUUUUUUAAGAAAAAACUAAUUUAAUGUUAGUGUUUGAGAGAGGAGGGGUUUUGUGGUAAUUAUUGUUUAUUCAUGGGGUUUUUUUGGAAAAAGGAAGAGGAGUUGAGGGGGUUAUUAGAAAAUUAGGGUUUGUAUUGGGAUGUACAAAAAGAGAAGAGGAGUGAGUGUUUUGUUUUGGGUUUGUGUCAGGGAUGGGUAUUUGGUACUUCAAUGUCUGAUGUGAUGUACUUUUCCACUGCUUUUUUCUCUUCUUCUUAUCACAUUAUUUGUCCCAUUAUUUCUAAAUUAUAAAUACCAAAAAAAAAAAAAAUGAAAACAAAAACAAACAAAUUAAUUCUAUCUAAAUAUAUUCUAUUGGUUUCGACUGUCAAUUGCAUGUUUUUGUUGUUGCCAAUCUUUAUUUUAUUAUAGGUUAGCUAAAAUUCAAAACUUAAAACCACGUUAGGAGACGUAUGGACGUGGAGUGUAGUGAUAACACCGUGGGUUAUUCUAGUGUGUGUUUGAGUCGCACAUUAUUAUAGUUUGAGUUAUUAUAAUAUAUGUUUGGAGAAGUGAGGAAGAGUGAAACGAGCGAAAGAAAUAAUGACAAGAUAGGGUGAGGAAUAAUGAAAAGAGAGAAUAAGAAAUAGGAGAAAUAAAAAAAUAUAUAUAAUAGAUUAUGGUAAUCAUUGGGGCAAAUAUGAAUUGGGUUAAAAUAGACUAGUUCACUUCUUCAUAAUCUGAGGGUCAAACCGCUCCUUAAGAUAAUAAAGACCAUUUUAUUCCAAGAACGUUUUAGAUUCUCAUAUGGAAUAGAAUUAUGGAUUAUUGUGUUUGUUUUACUAUAAUAUAAGGCCUUGAUAUCUGAAGAUUCUCGGACAUCCUACGAUGCUCAAAUAAAAGGUACUCGAGACGUUUUGGAUAUCCUUAUUUAUAUAUACUACUAUUGUAUAAUGUGUAAAUGCAUGUGUGUGUUUUAAUUAUUUUUCUUUUAACUAUUGUUCUAAAGUUUCAUCAUCCAUCUCGUUUUGUUAGACUACAAAAAAGUUAAAUAUGGUGUUGAGCAAAUAUCAAAAUUUAUAAAAUUGAUUUGACAUUUAUGUUAGAAAAAAAACUAUAAUUUAAUUUCACAUAUUUGGUGAGAUUUGAAAUAUAAGUUGAUUGUAUAAAUAAUUUUAAUUACUUACUUUUUGAAACGGUUAAAAUAACUUUUCAUUUUUAAAAAGAUUUAUAAAUUCAAUUUUCAUUUUUGUUUAGUUCGUUCACAAAACUAAAUAUUAUACGGUAAGUGUCAAGUAGCAAAAAAAAAUGUUUUCUGAUGAGAAUAAAGAUUUGAACUUGAAAAUCUUCGAUACGUACAUACAUAUACAUAUACAUAUAUAUAUGUAUGUAUGUCAUUUAAGCUAAGUUUUUUAUGACUAAAUUAAAAUUAUAUUGUUCUUGUAUCGAAGAAAAUAUAUUUUCUCGAUCGCUUAAUAGUCUUUCCGUUAUUACUAUUAAAUGAAUUGAAUAUUUUAUAAAUAUUUCUCAAUCGCAAUCGUUGUUAACUCAAUUGAUCAAAUAUUUUUUAUAUUCAAUCUUUGAGUUCUUUAUCAUCAUUGAUAAAAUUUGAAGUUUUGUUAUAUUUUAUAAAUAUGUUGAUUGAUUUGCUAUAUUAAAAAAUGUCGAGGUAAAAAAAAUUAAAAAGAAAGAAGUAAAUUAUACACACAUAGUUCUAUUAAGCUAUUCAUAUAAAAAUAGUUUAUAAGGGAUACAAAAUGCUACCAUUAGACAUAUGUAUUUAGAAUAUAUAUAUAUAAAGAGAGAAUUUCUUUCCAAACUUGUGAGUUGUGAAAAAUAAAAUUUAUUGGGCUUUUGAAUGAGAGGCUUUUGUGUAGGGUGGUACCUCUCUAGCCCAAUGGUCAAUACCAUGGCUGAAGAGUACAUGGAUAAUUUAAAUCAAUAUUUCUUUUUCUAUUAGCUAGACGAGAAAAUCAAACGUUUGAUCUCAAAUUUAUAACACGAAUAGUAUAAUAGUAGAGUUAUGCUUACAUAUGUUGAAUUUUUUUCUUCGAAAAAGAAAUCAUUAAUGAUUUAUUGAUCACGUUCAUUUACUCAUAACUAACAUAACACGAUUACAUUUUUAAUUUAAAUGUGUGUAUAUUGCACAAUUAACUAUCCUCAUCUAUUCAUAUAACAUAGCUUUAGCUAUGUUAGUUUAUUUUGGUAUAUUAAAAAGUGGGUAUAAAAAUACAAACUAAUAAAUUCUUAAUUUCUAUCCUUUUGGUAGAACUAUUUAUGGAGUUGGUGAGGUGUCCACUAAUAAAAAUCUUUGGAAUUAUAUCAAUACAAAAUUUGCACACUCUCUUAACAACAAGAAGAAAAAAGUAGUUUUCAAUUCAAUCUCAUAUAUUUAAUAUAUAAAACUUGCUUUUUUCAUAUCCACAAAUUAGACUAAUUAAUAAACUUGGAUAGAUAUUAGAAAUUAUGCCAAUCGUUAAAAGUUUCCUAUUAAUUCAUCCACUAAUUAAUAUGAUGGAUAAAAUUAGGAGCUAUCAUGCUCCAUGUUUAUCUAGCCACUCUAUAUAUAUAUAUAUGAAAAGAUAUUUAUAUUUUCUUUUAAUUAAUUCGUUGAUGUAAUUUUGUUAGUACUAAUUAAUUAAUUCCAUGUAAACCAUGUAAUAAAUUACUGUUUCCAUCAACUUCUAAUUGUGCUUCAAACGAUGUCAAAAGUGUUUUUUUUUAAUAACAAUAUCGUUUUUAGUUUUUGAAAAAUUUUCUACCUUUGUUGCCAUUAUUUUUUAUUAUAAUUCUGAUUCUUGGUAAUCGAUUAUCACUGAAAAUAUGUUAUCCAAUUUCGCUUAAUUCAAAAUCGCUACAUGAGGUUUCUAUUUAACUAUUUUGUAGGCUUAGAGCAAUUCAUAGGUAGAAUUAGAUGUUGAUGUUAAUACAGAGCUUAAAUAGGCAAAAACAAAGUCAAGAUGAAUCAACUGAAAUCAAAGUGCAAAGAGAAGGCCAUAUUGGCCUUUGCCUUAGCUUGUACAGUUGCGGUGCUAUAAGGUAGCCGCAUCCUUAUUUGCAAAAAACACAUAGCAUUGUGGCACACCAAACGUGUCUCUCGUAUGCAUCAGACCGUCACCGUUGGGGACUUGUUCGUAGCCCUGCAACACAGUUACAUUUUUAUAAACAAUAUUUUAUGCCUCCUAGGUCAGAAGACACCAUAUGGUUUGAUGCAUUUGAACAUUCUCUCAUCAUGUGGAUGAGAGACUAAUUAAGGUGCUCUUUCUGACUUGGGUUAUUUAGGGAUUCUUUCCUAUUUGAUGUGAUUUUCAAACUAAGCUAUAUUGUAAUCACAUACACAAUUUUGAUUAUUAAUUGAACAAUUUAUCAUACGAAAGUUUGUUGGACUGUACGAAUUAUGCUUUAGAUUGAUGUAUGCUUGCAUUGUUUAGUUGUACGUGGAUCUUAAGAAGUAAUAGGGAUAUAAUAGCUAGCAACUUGACAUGAAUGAACAUUGUUCUAUUCACCUUAGAAUUAUAUAAAGUGAAGGUCUAAUUAAGUGAAUAAAAAUUAGAUAUUCAACCUAACUAGCCCUAGAACUUAGUGUGAUUAAUAUUAAAUUUGGUUUUGGCAUGUUUUUCAUUGAUACAAUUUAUAUUGGUUAAGCUAAUUAGGACAAGUUUAAUGGGUUUUCAACCAAAUUGGUCAAAUAUAACGAUUAAAAUUGGUUUAGUGAUAGAGAUGCAUGAUCAAAUAUUUUAAUAGGGUGGCUAAUUCUUUUAGACCUAAGCUAGACUGUUUUGAAUAUUAAAUUCGUUCCAAUUUACCUUCCUCGCACUUUACACUAAUUGCACCUGAAACCAAUAUCAACUCCCAUCGAUUAUCUCGACUUGAAAACUAUUUACUUGAGAAAUUAUUCCUUGUUUCCUAUGCUCGACCAGGACUUGCCACUAAGACUAGGUCAUAGUGAUUAGUGUGUUAUUCGGUAGUAAAUUAUUUGACUCGGAUUUUAAAAUUUGUUCCAUCAAUAAGUUACUUUUGAAUAAGUCAAACUCAUAAAAACUAUCCAUUUUUUAGCUUUUACCAUUUUGCUCAUCCAUGAAAACAUUCUUUCUUUUUUAUAAGAUUUGGAAUAAUUGAAUAUGUAACCUUAAAAUUGAUAGUACAAAUUUCAUGUCAAUCUAUCUAAGUUUGUUUUAGUCUGAAUGAAUAAUGUUUAACACGUGAAAUCAUGGAAAUUGAAAGGAUAGGUUAAAGUUCUAAAUAAGGGUAGAAAGCAGAUAGAUAAAGCAUAUCAAAAUAAUUUGUGUACCUAAUAACUAAGACCUAAAGUCUAAACUUUGAACUCUUGAAAUUUUAAUACAUAUAGUAAAAAGCAUAUGUACUAUAAAAAGUCGUGAUGAAAAGAUGUUUAUAUUCAUCAUAUAGUUAAUAAUAAUAAAAUAAAAUAAGAGUUAUAGAACGUGGUGUGUGUGUGUACCUGGAAAUGACUUAAAGCAUCCAAAUAUAUAAGAUGUUGUUUGGCUUUUGGCUUUGGAAGGUACAAUAAUAUCUAACCACAAAACUACAUAUAUAUGUGGAUGUGACACAAAAUCAAACCCCCUACUCACAUCUAAAUAUAUUUCUGUCCAAUCAUAUAUAUUAUAUAUAUGUAGAAAUGAUGUAAACUAUAUUGAUAAAAUCCUCCACUUUCACACCCAUAAAAGAAAAGAAAGAGUGACAAUGUUUGUCACAAAGUAACACAAACAAACAUUUAACCCUAUAAAUUAUAAUUUUGCUUUUACACUGGUGCUUAUAUUUUAUUUCAAUCUUAUAUUAAAAUGUCAAUGUCUAUGUAUACUUAUUUUUGUUAAGAGUGGAUAUUCUCAGUUGAUAUUACUUCAAAAAUACUCUCACACCUUAAGAAGUUUUUUUUUUAUAUAUAUUAAACAAAAACAAUAACCAAAAAACUUGGUUUUGUUGCUCCUAAAAUUUCUACAAAACUUUGAAUAAGUAGUUAAAAAGGAAGAUGAACAAGAAACACUAAACAGAAACUGAAAGACUUCCAUUAAAAAUUGAAAACAAAAACAAAAACAAAAGAAAAACAAUGGUAGUGUAUAGGAUCAAUCUUUCAUCCUUGCAUGUAAAACAAAGCAAGAAAAGCAAUCAACAAAUCCUAAUAAACUGUGGGAAAAAGAAAAGAAAAAAAAAAAGCCAUAGAUGUCUCUGCAAAAAACAGUAGCAUGCAUAUUUUUAAGUACAGAAAUAUUUUUUUGUUUCGAAGUGAAGAAAGGUUGAAUAGAUAACGGCAGAAAAGAAAUGAGAAGAAAAGAAAAAUAGGGCAUAGAGAAAAGGGGUCAGAGAGGGUCAUUUGGACUCUCUGUUUCCACUCAACUUUCAUCAGCUUUUUCUUUUCCUCAUCCCUUAACCCUUCUUCUUUUUUUUCCUUAGAAGAUUAUUUUAUGUUCUUUCCUCAAAUUAUUAUUAAUUAGACCCUAACCACAUUCCAUUCUUAAUUUAAUGAUUGAAUUUUAAUCUAUAUACUUUGUUAAUUUAUAAAUAAUGUUUCUAUACUUUUUGUCUGUAUAACAAAUUUUCUUAAAUUUUAAAAAAUGGUUUAAAAAAUACUCACCUAAUUUUAAAAAUUAUUAAAACAAAUACUCACCUAAUUUUUUCUUGAAUUAUUGAAAAGUUUCAUAAAUAUCGGUUGCUCUUACGGUAUUUACGAAGCUUUAAAUUUUUAUGCUAGAUCUACAAUUUUUUUUAUUAUAAAUUUAGUCUUUAAAUUAAUUUAGAGCCUAAAGGUAAACUUUUAAUUUAUAUGUAUUAGGUCUUAAAUUUUCAAUUUUAUUUUCACUAAAUUCUAAAUUCUUGUGGUUUCAAUUUUUAAUAAGUUAGUCAACAGCUAUUCAGCAUUUAGUGUCAUCUUUCAGUCUACUUAAUAAAAAAAAUAUUUUAAUUUUGUUUAUUCAAACUCUAUAGAAGGUUUCUCAAAUACCCUAAAAUUUUCUUACACGUUUUUCUUUUUUUAAAUUAAACACUUAAGAAUAUAUUUCAAACACACCAAUAUGGUUAUUAAAUUGAAACAAAUGGUGGAAACAUAGAGAGAUCAUCUUAUCGGACAACAUAAAAUAUUUACUUCCAGUACCCAAUUCGUUGAGUGGCUCUAACACACCAAUAUGAUUAUUAAAUGGAAACAAAGGGUUUAACACAGAUUCAACAAAAAAGGCUUUGCAAGACACACAACACAAUUUUGGGCAUGACUUCCUCAAAACUUUUGAAACGAUUUGGUCUUCUGCAAUUCCAAAAAAAUGCAAAUUCUUUCUUUAUAUCGUUUUCCAUAGGAAAAUAAAUACCAUGGAAGUAAUCCAAAAAAGUAUAUAUAUGUCCAUGUGUCUAAAUCCAAACAGAUGUGUCUUAUGCUUAGCAAGUAGUGAAGACGUUGAUCAUCUCCUCCUAGACUGCAAAAUUACAAAAGCAUUUGGAAAAAAAUGUUUGAUAUGAUAGGGGAUUUGGUAAAUAUCAGCAAUUUUGCUUUACUAGGCAAAAACGUUUCCAAACUGAAGCAAACAAGUAGAAGAAAUGUCAUUAAAUUCAGUGCGAUAGCCGACCUUCUAUGGACUGUUUGGAUAGAAAGAAACAAUAGAAUUUUCAUGGAAAAAUCAAACUCUAUUGUCAACUUGUAGAAAAAUAUUUGUAAUUUGAUCACAGUUUGGUCAAGGCGUUGUACCUCUUAUAAUCAGUAUGAUCCUCCACCAUUUCUCUUAACUUUAGAGCUUUGUUAGAUUAGAUUGUUUUAGGCUACCCUCUAGCCUACAACCUUGUAACCUAUCUCUACACUAAUAGAUAAUGGCUCCCAUUAUAGGUUUACCUAGUUGGAAGGGCCAAACUUAGGUUGGUUAUAUGUGAAUUCAUUUAAACUUUUUUUAACAUCUAAACUUUAAUUUUAUGGACAUAUUUGAUUAUGUACAUGUUUGGAUUAACUUUCUACGUAUUUAAAAAAGUAUUUAAGCAUAAAAAAAAAAGUGUAUAUAGACAUUUAGAAAGUCAACGAAAUGUACCCUACAUUUUAUUAAACUUAUACAAAAGAGUCGAAAAGAAAAGAAUUUAUUUUCUUUCUAAAAUAGCUUUCUUUUCUUUUAUCAAUAUUCUCACUUUUUUUUGUUAUAAAUAAAUAAAUAAUAAUAAUAAUAAGUUUCCUUUAGACUUGAGAGUGUAUUGCUUUUUAAUAAAUAGAAUAUAUAUAUAUACAGAAUCUUAUUAGGUUUAAGUUUAGAACAAUGAUAUUAUGUUCUCAAAAGGAAAAAAGAAAAAGAAUGUUACAACUGUGUACAUUUAAAAUGACAAUAACCUCAUAUAUCCUUAUUUUAUAUUCACAAAUAUAUAUAUAUAAAAGACUAUAGAUACUUGAAUAAUUUAAUAAAAAUAUGUAAUCAAAGAUAUAUUUAUUAAUUUAUUUUUCUUGUUCAGUGUUAAAAAUAUAUUGUAAACGUUGUUGAAUUCCUACAAAUAUUUCCACACUUUCAUGAGUCUAAAUUCAAAUCGAUGUAAAAGAUGAAUCAAUAUUGAAAAAGUAGAAUAAAUUAUAUAUUCAAAAAGUUAUAACCAAGACUAAAAGCAAGGUUGUUAACUAAAAGAACCACAAGAUUAGAGAAUUUAAUACAACUUUGAUAACCUAGUUCGGUGAAAAUCACUUACAUCUAAGAUAUUUAUCUUAGAUGAAGAGAUUAAUUUACUAAGAUUGAAAUGAAUACAGGUCGGUAAGAAUAUUAAAAUUAAUCAAAUAUAAAGUAUAAUUAAUAAUCAAUAUAGGUCUCUUCACACGAUGCUCCCCUAAAUUAAUUAGUACUCCUAGUAAGAUUUAUAUUGCUAGAUAUCAGACACUUUAUAUCAUUAGUAAUUGAAUCUUUAGAUCGACUAAUCUUCCUUAAUGUCUUGUGUCUUUAUUCACAUUCAUAUAUCAUUUUUUAAUUCGGUUUGAAGAGUUGAACACUACAUACAAAAUACUUCAAUUGAAGGUAAAAGACUUAGGUUGCAAUUGAAAUAAUAUCGAAAAAAUUAAAAACAAACAAAUUACAUUGUCAAAAAAAUAUAACAUAUACUUCUAUUGUAUCAUACAAAAAUACUUCAAAACAUAUAAAAUAGGCAACAACGUGUCACUAAGUAAUAUAUAUAUGUUAACUUAUUUAUAACAAAAAAACAUAAAAUGUUUGUUUACCAUUUUAAAUCUAAUUUUUUGUUUUUAUAAUUCUUCCUAAAAUAUUCAUAAAAAAUCAAUAAUUUAUCUAUUUUUUCAUACAAAUUUCUAUAAAAUUGAAACCUUCAUAUUUUUUAUAUUUAGAAAAAAUCUUUUUUAAUUAUUUAUAUUAAAUUUAAAAUCAAUAUUUUAUUGAUUGUGUGGGUUAGAUAUCCAAUUUAAACAAAAAAAAAUUUAAUUUCUUUUAAAUCGGUCAAAUUUAUCUCUUAUUUAAAAAAAUAAAAUAAAAAUAUUAAAACAUUUACAAAAUAUAUCAAAAUUCAUUCCACUCUUUAAUCCGUUAAAGUUUUUGCUAUAUUCUGUAAAUAGUUACAAUUUUCUUUUCUUUUUGCUAUUCACAUCAAUUUUUUUAAAAUUUUUAUUGGUGUAAUUUGAUUAGUCGAACAUUUCCAAAUAUAACAUGUUGAAUUAGAAUAUUUAUAAAAUAUAGUAAAACUCUAAACUUUUAUAGAUAAUAUAUAUUAACAUGCUUCAACUGGAAUGUUACCAAAGUAUAAUAAAAUCUAAAAAUUUUAUUAUAUUUUAUUAAUAUUUUAAGUUUUGUCCUUUACUUCAAUGAAUCUAUAUUAAUGUUUGUAAUUUCAAACUUCAAAUUUUUAAUCGGAAUAUCAUUAUUUUUUUAAUAUCAUGAUAUAAUCCUCCUAUAUUAAAAAAAAGAACACAAAUUUUCACCUACAAAAUCUUGUUUUAUUUAUCUACUUGAAAUUAAACUAUUUGAUUAUCCUUUUAGUUUUAUUAAUAUUUUGUAGUAAAAGAAAAAUAAGAAAGCUCAUGAAUAUUUAAUAAUCAAUUAAUUUACUUUAUAAGAAAAUUAAAUUCAAGAAGAGAAAAAAUAUCUUAUCAAUUAGUUGGAGUUGGAAUUGGACGGCAAAUAGGCAUAGUGCUCCAAAAAGAAAACAAAAAGGUUGUUAGAGAGAAAAAUAACAUGAGAAAUAAAUAGAGAGAGAAAAAAAGGUAAAUAGUUAAUAUUUGAAUUCCGUACAAAAAUUAAUUACAAUCAAAUUUUGUGUUUUGAUUUUGUUAUAUGAAACAUAAAUAAUUUGUUGAUUUUUCAAUUUUUGAAAAUUUCCUGAAAAACAUGAAAAAAGGAAAGAAAAUAAAAAAGAGAGUUUGCAAAAAAUUGUUUUCUGAUAAUUUAAUUUUUUUUGUUCAUAACUGGAAUAAUGUUAUUAAUAUUUCUAUUCAUAUAUUUGACUUAAUACAAUACAUUUUCUUUUUGCUAAAAUAAGUCUUCCUCUAUUACCAUAUUACUUCUACAAUCAACAAAUGUGUUCCCUACACUUCACAUAUAGUCAAAAGAAAAAGAAAAUUAAACCCUGAACCCAAAUCUUCAAUCCCUUAUUUAACUUUUCAUUUAGUUUAUGGAAUUGACACAUUUUCCAAGUUAAAUGAGAGAUUUCCAACCAAAAAUAAAAAAGAAAACUAAUUUUUUUAAAUUGUUUUUUUCAAUAAUUCAUAAUUAACUUUAAUAACACUAGUUUUGUAUUUAAAAGUAUACAAUUAAAUAUUAAAUUGAUUUUAUAUGAUUAAAGUUGUGUUUUGAUAUUUUAGAAUAAUUAUAAAUAUAGCAAAAAUGAUUCAUUUCAAAAUUACUCACAGAUAUAUUUUAAAUUGAAAAUUAAAACGCGUGCACGUUUGUAGACAUAAGAGUGAUAAAAGUUGGAUGAAUGUUUGAUUCUUCCACUAGAAAAAGUUCGGUCAUACUUAACCUAUCUACUUCAAUUUUCCAAGUUAUAGAUCGGUCACGUUUCAAAAAUAUAUAAUACAACAUUUUAUAUCCAAUUCAACAUUCAAAAAAAUUAUAGGUUUAAAACUUAUUUUAAAAAGUAUUAAUUUUAGUCUCUAACUAUUUUAUGACUAAGUAUCAUUUUUUUUUAUAAAAUUUGAAAGAGAUUUUAGUUCAAAAUUUUAGUUGUUCUAUCUUUUAAUUAGCAUGUUGGUUCUUGACAUUUUACUUCAUCUUCAUCUUCCUAAAUACAUCUAGAGCGUAAUCGUCAAAAAAAUACAAAGCUAACUCAUAUUUAUAUUAAAGAGCUAAUGUAAUUUUAAUAGGAGUGAAAAUAAAUUAAUCAAACUCUUUAGUACCAAGAACUUGAGUCCCAUCCAUAUAAUCACAAUACCUCUUUUUUUAAGUCAUUUUACCAAAUUAUUCAUGGUUUUCAGUCAAAUGAAACUAUCAUUUUGUCCCUUUAAAUAAUUUCAUAUUCUUCUAACUUUUGUCGAUUCUCUAAUAGGAUAGCCCUACUAUGAUUUGAACAUGGAAAAUCCUUCUUCAGGGCUAAUUAAAAAUUGUAUAGAUACUCUUUUGCUAUCCAGUAAGUCUUAGAACAAACACUUUUAAUGGAAUCACUUGUGCACAAACCAAUAAAGAGUACACAUAUCUUACAUUUUUCAAUAUCCUUGGGUAGUACUAAAUUUCAUCUCCUAUAGAACAAAAUGUUUUCAAACUUCUCCAUGGAAUAAUACCAUCUAUAAAUCUUAUCCAAACUCAUUAUAUAGGUACAUACAUAUGUACGUAGACUAUAUAUAUAUUAUCAACCCGAUGUGACUUUAUAUAAACGACUAAGAUUAUAAUAUUUUUAAUUUUUAUAAAGUGGAUAAUAUCAACCAUGUUGUCGAGAUAUGACAUCCAAUUCUAUUCAUUUACUAUAUACUACGUACUUAACCAUGUUCUUUUUUAUAUGUUUUGGUAAACCUUCGCCUUGAGUUGGUUAAAUAAUAACAAUGCAAUAUAUUCUAUGACCUAAAUUUUGGAUUUUGUGACAUAAAUUUCUAAUAACAAUGCAGUAUAUUCUCAUCAAUAAAUAUGUGUGGUUGUAUUUGAAAUUUUAUGCUUGUGUCUCAUGAUGAAUUAACCCAACUCAAGUAAGAUAUAGAAACAAUUAAUUUUCUCAUGGCUCAAACCUAACUUCUUUUGGUUUCCACAUAAACAACUUUAUGAAAAAUAAUAACAUGAAAAUAUAGAUGAAAGUAUCAAUAAAUAGUAAAUGUUAGAUUUAAUUUUGAUAUCAAAUAAAUAUGUAUAAAUAUUAUGUAAAUGGUAAAUAUCCAUAAGAAAAAACGAGACGUAUUUGAAUAUUUUAAAAUCACUUUUUAAAAACAAAAAAAUUAGAUAAAUAAGUUGUUUUUAAUUCUUUUCUUCUUAAUUGUUAAUAUAUUUAAAUCAUUAGCAAUAUAAUGAAAAUCUUGAUAUGUUCAUCUCUUACGUAUAUGGAAAUACCCUCUUGAAAAUAAAAUUUGUUUUACAUUGUGAUUAUUGAAUUCCUUUUAACUAAAAGAUAAAGCUACCUUUACAAAUUAAUCAAAAAAUGAAAGUUUUUUGACCAUCAAAUCAAAUUCUUUAAUGUGACAUAUUCUUCUCAUCUCUCAUUUACCCACAAAACCCUAAUCCUCAAAACAUUGAAUAAUCUCUCUCAACUUAACCAAUACAUUCCCAUCAUUUUUUUUACCUUUCUUUUUUUACUAUUUUCCCAAAGCAUACGUGUCAAUGGCUAGAAAUUUUGAUGGUAAUAUCAAACUUCGUCCCCCACACACGAAACAAAAAUGAAAAAGGGAAAAUAAAAACCCUAAUGAGCAGUGGAAAAAAAGAACCCUUUGAUGUCACUGCCGAAGAAAAAAAAAAGUACAUAAUUUUUUUUUUUUUAGUUUACAAGUGAAAGAAAUAAGUUUGAACAGAGCAGAAGAAAAAGAAAAUAAAACGGAUAUUUUGAGAAAGAAAAAAUAGGGUUAUUUAUUUUUUGGUCUCUCUGUCUCACUCACCUUUUAUCAGCUUUUUCUUUCCCUAUCUCUUGCCUUUUCUUUUUUAAUUUUCCUCCCACAAAUUAUUAUUGAUUAGACCCCCAAAUAAAAUCCUUUCUUUCCUAUUUACAUCACAUGUUGAUUAAUUUCACUAGCUAAUUAUGUCACCUAAGUGCCUCAGUUCCUUAGUGUAAUACUUAAAACCAUUAUUGACAACGUUUCAAAUUCACUGUUAUAGUAAAAAAAAAAUUGAAUGUCAAACAUAAGUGAAACUUGACAAUAGUGUAGUGAUGUGCUCAAAUUAAAUGGUGAUUAAUUUUAUUUUUGUUGUAGAACACUUGUACUCCAUUUCGUACCUCAUAUUUGUCCAAAAUUCUAAAAGAGUAAUAUUCAAAAAUACUUUUGCAACAUUUUUAUAUAGGUCUUUAGGUAAUAUUACAAUUUAAAAAUAUAUGAGUAUCUUUAUAUAUAUUUACACAAUGCCAAGUUAGUUUUUCAUAACUUAACAUUUUUGUUUGUUAAUCCAUGAACCUACUUGUACUAAAAGUUUAGGAAUGGAAUUAGGUUUUUCCUAAAAGACUAGCUACUAAAGAAAAAAAAAAAAACCACCAUAUCAUACGAGACAUUUUCUUUUAUUAUUUGGACUAACUCAUCAUAAGAAAACUAUUUUAAAUGAUAUUUUUUAAAAAAUAUUAUAUAUAUAACAAAAUAUCAUAAUCUAUUUAUGAUAAAUUAAUAUAUACUAUUAUAUAUGUCUAUUACGAUACUGAUAGAAGUUUAUCUUAAACUAACAUGGUUUAUCGUAAAUAGACGGUGAUAUUUUAUAAGUAUUUUAUUUAAUUUUGUUAUAUUUAAAAAUAUUUUUGUUAUUAAUUGUUUAUUCCUUAACAACUUUUAGCUGCAUGUAAAUUCACUCUUCCUAAGGUUAAAUCUUUUUUUUAUUAUUAUUGUUUUUUUAAUAUAACAAAAUAAACUAAAAUAUUUAUAAAAUAUAGCAUGAAUAUUGAUACAUUUUUGUUAUGUUUUAUAAAUAGUUUCAAUUUUUGUCUUUGCUAUUCAUGACAAUCUCAUUUUUUCCCAAAUACUUAACUUUAAGACUGAUUUAAUUUCGUUUUUCUUAAAGUGCAUAAAGAUUAGAUCGUUCUAAACAAAAGUAGUAGGAUCGAAACGUUACAAGAGUCAAACAAUACGAAUUUUUAACCUUUUUUUUUUUAUUAUCUUCGCUGAUCAAUAUUCUCAUACUUUUUCUUUUAAUCAAGUUUCCUUUAGACUUUAGAGGAUUGCUUUUUGCAAAUAGAAUAUAUGCAAAAUCUUAUUAGGUUUUGGUUUAGAUAGCAAAUAUUACAAUUGUGUGCUUUCAAAAUGGCCACAAUGUCUUAUUCUUAUCUUAUAUUCAUUUCAAGUACAGCUGAUAUUGGAAGUGCUUUAUAUAUGCAUAUUAUCUUUGAAUUGUAAUAAACACUCAACAAAAAAAAAAAACUUUCCUUGAUAAGUUGGUAGGUUAUCUUCAAACUUUAAUAACAUUUUAUUAAACCAUACAAAUUAAAUUUUAAACAUAACACAGACAAACGUUCUAAUUUUAAAUCAUAAAAACUAAAUUUAGGGUGCAAAUUAAUGUUAUUAAGGUGUCAUAAUAUGAAUAUAAUUUGAAAUGAGAGAAACAAACCACACGAGUAGCGGAACUAUCUAAAAAACAGAAAUGACGAUACAAAAUAUUUGUUUUUAGAAAAUGGCAUAAUAGAUUGGAGAUAAAAGAUUAAACCACAAAACUCUCACUUGUUAUAUGGUUUUAUAGUAAAUAUGAAAACUAACAUAUUCCUUUUUGGUAUAGUAAUUAAAUUCAUAAAUUUGAUUAUAGUUUAAAAAUAAUUGUAGUUACCUAACAACAUUGAAUAAAUGUUAAUAUAUGUAGGAACAUUUUUAGUUUAAAAAAUUGUAUAAUUAUUAUUUUGCAAGAGUAUAUAAUUUAUAGUACAAAUUAAAAUUUUAAUCAUAUAGUUUGAAGUAGUUAAAAAUUGAAUUCUCACAUUUCAUAACUCGAAUUUAACUGGACUAAAUUUUAGUUCUUAUAAUUCAUAGCUCUUAUAUAUUGUAUUAUAAAACCUACGUAAAUAAAAGAGACUAUUUAAAACGAUUUAACAAACCAUAAAAAUUGUAUCGGAAUCAAUGUAGACGAUACAAACUAAAUUAUAAAGUUUAAAACUAGGUGAAGUAAACUUUUAAUAUUUUUUCAAACCAUGAAGGUAAGACGAACCUAAUUUACUUUAUAAUAUAUACAUUACAUAAUACAUAUUUUAAUAUUUGUUUAAAAAAAGAAUUGCGUAUAUAACCUACCACAUUAUAUUUCAAAAUAUUUUUAUAUCUAUUUAAUAUAAUUUUGCAAAUAAGAAAAAUAUAAAGAUAUUGUUUUUAGAAAUUUCUAACUUUGGAUCAUAUAAUGUAAAAUCAAUUUUUAGAAACAAAAUUACAUUUGUUUGCUAAACAUGUAUCCAUUAAACUAAUAUGUAUGUGAAAACAUAAAACAGCCUCAAAUGAACCUUUGGGUAGACGUGAAUUGAUAAAUAAAUAUAUGUCAAAUGAUGUGAUUUAUUGCUUAUGUAACAAGUAUAAAAUAUUAAUGAAUUUAGUAAAUUAUAAGUAACUUUCACGAGCUUCAAUGAUGCUGAUAAAGUUUUAUUGGAAACUUGUUAACCAUGCACUGUUUCGUCUAAACUCUCUCUCACAUGAUAAAAUCUAACUUUAUUUCUUUCAAAACUUUCAUUUCAUAAGUCACAUUGUGACGUAAAUAAUAUAUAUUUUUCUGAAAUAUGGUGUGAAUUAUAUUUAUAGUUACUCUUUAACGAAUAUUAUAUCAUAUAUAAUAUAGUUUCUUAAAUUAGAAAUUUAAUGAAUGGUACUCAAAAGUGAACAUAUAAUUACAUUUUCUUAAUAAAUAAUGACCAAAAGAUAGGUAAUAAGCCAACAAAUCAUCCCUAAAGUUUUUGUAGAGUAACUCUAAAAGAGCCAAUAGUUUUAUAAUUAAAGCACCCCAAUACGGCCCCUAAGUGGCUAUUUGUAGAUUGUGAUUAAAUCUUUUAAGUAAAAUUGGGAUGAAAACUAUGUUUUAAUGGAUAAAACAAUAAUAUAUUUUUUUGUAACUAGCUAAAAUAUUAUUAGACGAUGAUGCUUUUUAUAUUUUUAAAAGAAAAAUUCAUAAAAAUACAUCUUAAAGAGAGCAAAGGAGCCGAGAGUUACUUUCAAAAUCCAACUUGAAAUGACUUUCGAAAAAGAAGAUAUACAAAAUGAAAACAAAAGUUUUAACAAACUUAUUAGCAUAUAUGCUACACAAUGAGGCGUGCUAUUUCACAUAGAGACAAAAUGAGAGAGAGAUAUAAUUAACCGAACCUACUCACCAAAUUCUAAAUCUAAAAAAGGGCUGCUCCAAUAAAAGUUUUAUAAGUUAUAAACCAUUGUUAUUUAAGACUUUCAUCACCCAAAAUCUACUAAACAAGUGUUAUUUAAGUUCAUUACCUCUCUUACAUCAUAUUCUAUCACUAGAUAAGAGGGAUUGGACGAAAAUCAAAAGGGAAAUUAAAGUUAAAUCAUCAAUGAUAGCUUGAGCUUCAAGCAUCUUGAUGGACCACUCACAUUGAAUCUUUCUAAACCCCAAUAUAUUCAAAGAUCCAAUAAAAUCACACACCUUCCAACUCACAACAUUACCCAAGAAGCAUCAACAAUAGAAGAUUAAUGAUAGUUGUAGAAUUGAAAUUGCUCAUAGCACUCACUAUUUAAAUUACGAAAUGACAUCCGAUUUUAACUAUUUAAUGAUAAAUAUUGUAAAGAAAAAUAUUUAGAAACAUCUCAUCACAUCGCCUAUUUUCUAGGUCUAAUCAAAGUUUGUAAUUGUGAUAAAUUUAGCUUUUAUGUUUUAAAAUAUUUUAAUAUAUUUUAUGUGUAUGGUGAUAAAUGAUUUUCGAUCCGUUUUAAAAGUACUUUUAAGUACCAAAAUAAAGUUUAAAAAAACAUACAUAAGAGAGAAAAUGGGAAUUAAAUAGGGAGAAAAGGUAGUGAAUGUGAAAGAAAUGGGUCUGAAAAGGAGUAGGCAGUGAAUAUAUAUGAUAAUGAAAACGUGUCGUCAGUGAUGGAUUGAAAAGAUGGGUUGAUAAAGAGAUAGAGACAACUUCCCAUCAAUCAUACUAAUUAAUGGUUCACAUUUCAUUACCAAUCAACUCUAAUUUCUUUCUUUCUUUACUUCCCCCCAAAAAAACAACAAACAUAUAAAAUCUUCAAAUAUUUUCUCAUCACUUGCAGUCUUAAACUUGUCUCGUUCACUCUUUUUAAUGUUAAUUUUAUCCAUAGUAUUUGAGUCUUAUGGCCUUCAGCUACAUUUAAUUUGUCUCUAUGAUCCAUCAUCAAAGUGACUCCUCACCUCCUUGAUAUAUACACACACAAAAGUCUAUCGAUUAAGUCUUGAAGGAGGCUAUGAAAUUCUACGUAUUUGUUCACUUAAAUAUAUAUAUAAAUCUAAAUGGUUUUACUUUCGCUUUCAUUCAACAUACGUCAUAUGCCAUUCAUAAAAAUGAAUAGUGUUGCCAUUAUAAAUUCUCUAUUAAUAUCUCCUUCCUCAACUAGUUAAUGCGGAGGGUUUUAAUCUUUAGGAGAAAAUAUCAAGUUUUAUCUUAACCUUGGUUAGAUGUAUAUAUUUUUACUCUAAUUUUUCUCAAAUAAGCAUUUUCGUUUGAAUAACUUUUUAUUAAGUAUCAUUUGUUUUUUUUUUGUUGACGGUGGAAAAUGAAUUGGCGACCGUACAUCUAUACUUUGAAAAUAAAUCAUAUGGGUGUUUUAUAAAAUGAAGAAAUCGAAUACUAAUGUUGUCAAGUCAUCAUUAACACUUCAAUGUUUAAGUUAAUGGCAGGUUGAAGUUAAUACAAAUGAGAAAGUGUUUUUAACAAUUUCCUUAACAAAUAAUUUUGAUUGCUCCUACAGAAAUAGUUAGUAUUGUAUAAUGGACACUUCGGCCACAACAUACACACUUUCUUUAAUUCAUGUAAGCCAUUCAAUCAUCAUUACGCUUUAAAUAGUUAUAAUGCCACUACCUGAAAAAAACAAAUGAAGUCAUGAUCAAUUUCUGCCCAACGAAAAUGUUGUUUUUUAUGUUUACAACGUAACUUAUUAAUAAAUAUAGUAAAGUAAAUCAAAAUGUUUAUAAAAUAUAUUAUACAAUAUAGUAAAAUAUAAUAUCACCUUCUCGUUAUAAAUAAUUGUAAUAGAUUUCUAUUUAUAUCAAGAUAGACCACGAUAAACACAGACAAAACUGUAAUAAUAGUCCAUUGUGAUCUAUCACAAAUAGAUUUUGAUAUUAUUAGAAGUUUAUUUAUUUAAAAUAGUAUUCCUUCGUUGUAUCCUAAUUUUAAAAUUUAAAUUUAAAAAACAUAGAUAAUAGAGAAAUAAAUACAUUAACAACCAAAAUAUGCAAAGUUAUAAACUCAAUUCAUUUUUAGAAAAUUAAAAUAUGUAUUAUGCAAUGUAUUUUAAAGAGAAGUUUUAAAUGACCAAACUGCUCAAAAUAAUGAUAAAUAUAACCAAAUUUAUUAGUCUAGCUAUAAAUGAUGAACAUAAUAGACAUCUAUCCGUUUAGUAUUAUUUGGUGGGUAACUCUAUCGUUUUUUAUGAGUAUUAAUUAAAUAUAAAAUCAAACCCCUUCUAAACAAUUAGUUAUAAACUAAAAUUCAGAUUCUAAAUCUAUUAAAGAAAAUAUACUUGAAAACAUAAAUGAAGUAGAAACUUGUUCUAGUCAAACUCUUUAUUUUCACAUUAAUUUAUGUUAGGGUUUUAAUUUAUAUAAUGAGAGUUGAAUCUCACUUCACCCAAAUGUCAUAUACUUAGUUUAAAGAGUUGAAUGUAUAAUUUAGAUUUAUAAAUACAUAUUUUGAAAAGUUAGUUUAGUAAUAUUUUUUGGGAAGAAACCAUAUAGUAAAUAUGUCAAAAUAAAUACGGGUGAAAGCAAAAAAUUUGAACCAUCAUACAAGACCAACAAAAUAGAAUUCUACGAGAGACUGAGUCAUGAAUCACACUCUUUAAUUUAAGACGUUUUACGGUUCUGCUAGGUGUGCACGCAGUUCACAAACAAAGUCAUGGUGUCCUUAGGAUAAAAAAGAAAACUUAUUUCUCGUUUAUCCACACCUAAUUGAUAUAGUCGAUUGAAACUUAUUUCUUAUUUACCCACACCUAAUUGAUAUAAGAAAACUUAUUUCACGGUGUAGUCGAUCGAAGCUACACUGAUAACCGGUAGAAAUACUCACAUUCUUCAAGAAUGUGGUUUGUGCUUGGAAAUCCAAAAAAAGAAAAAAAAAAAGUUUCUUCUUGCAAGAGCUAUUGUUUUUUGUUUGGAAUGAAAUGUAGGAUUUACAAGCCCUCAAUGCCAUGAGUGAACAAUAUAAUGUGUAAAAAUUGAUUGGGUAUAUUGAUUAAUUUAGAAAAUAAUUGAUAAUCAAUCAAUUAAUUAAAAUUUUAUUAUUUUAUUUCUCAGCUUAUCAUACCACACUCGUUCAACAAGACAAACGGCAGCUGCGGAGUGCGUGUAUAGGAAGAUCAUCAAAUCCCCAUUUGCCUAUCUUCACACCUCCAAUUCUCAUAUUAAUGAAAAUUCCGCUACUAUUCCUUUUAUUUCAACAUUUUUCUAAUAUAUUAUAUCAUAUCUAUGUAUAUCUAAUAGAGCCUACACUAGAUCCAUGAGUGUUUAGCACCCUCUUCACUCUUCAACACAAAAAAUGAGAGUUAUACAUAGAAGAGUUAGGGAACAAAGCUAAAAAUAUGAAAUUAAAAUAUAUACAGCAAACAAGUGACCAUAAACUCAUAUUGCAUAAACAUUAUAGUUACAAGAAAGACGAUAACAAAUGUAAUUUAGAAUAGUAUUAUUCGUAAAACUUUGAAUAAUGCAUGUUGCAUUGCUAUUAGUUCCAAUUACCACUACUGUCUUCGUUUUGUUUUAUCUUAACUAUUCAAUUCAAAUGUUUACUUUUAAUGAUUAGUAUUCUAAUUAGUUUAUAGUUAUGUAGUUAUUUUUAAUAAUAGAAUAAAGCAGUUUAAUAACUCUUUAAUAUUAUUCAUUAUCCUUAUUUUAAGCAAUAUGAAUUAUUUAUUAAUAAAACAGUAUUUGAAAUAAUAAUAAAUUUAAGGAUCAUUUUAGAAAAUAACAACCCUCCCAUUCCAUCUAAAUAAUUUCAUAAUUUCAUUUUUUUCUAUCCAUAAUAAUUCCCUUAAAUUUUACCAACAACUGUAAUAAAAAAAAUAAUGAACCAACAUAAAGGUUUGGAGAAGGGUACACCAAACCAUUUUAACUAAUUUGACAUUUCUACAACUUCCUCAAUGUAUAUAUAUACACAUACGUGCACAUAUCCAAAAUAUACCUUUUAUCUAGUUAGCUCAUGUUUAUAAACAAGAUUUACAAUCCAAACAGCUUCACAAAAUGACCAACAAUGCAAAAUUGACAAUCGGCUAAUGUCGUACCUUAGUAAGAACUGUUCAAAGAGAACUAAGUAAUAGUAACAAGAAACACAUGUUAAUUGCAUAGAUCAAACAUGAAGUAUGGUGAUUGUUACAACUUAAUACUUGUAUAAGUUUGAACAUUCAUUUUUUUACAAUGAAAAUUGUAAGAAUGCAGUUAUUGUUUGAGAAAAUCUCCCACUACUCUCGCAACAAUAAACAUUAAAAUAUGAAGUAUAAACUAAAGAAAACACAAAAAUUUACGUAAAAAUAAUUUUGAGGAAAACCACCAACCACAAAAAUUUUAGCAUGUGAAAGUUUAUUGCGAUCACAUACAAUAGCCACCUUUCCAUAUUCCACUUAGAACACACUUAAGCUAAAAUUGUUUAUGAUUUAUGAUUAUUAGAAACCAAAGACACGAGUUCUUUUAGGUGUGUGUUUCAACCUAUCACUCUGUCUUUAGUUUUUUAAGUGUGAGAUAAUUAUAUUUCUAAUAUUUUAGCAGCGACUACCACCAUAAUUGAAUAGUGAGUUUUGCAAUGGCUUCUUGCAUGUCUAGCCAAAUAAGUUUAAAAAAAUCAAAUUUAUAGCGAAGCAAAAACAUAAGCUUAAUCCACGUAAUGCACUUGAUACACUAAAUACACUUGAUGAACAUUUGACAAACUUGAUACACCUAAUAUACAUUUGAUACACUACUGAUACAUACUUAUAACUCGAUAUAAUACCGAUAUCUACUUUGAUACAUUUGAUAGUUGAUAUCCUUCUAAUGGACAACUCAUGCAACUGAUACGCACUUGAUAAACCAAAUAUAUAUUUAUUAUAAAAAUAUAAACCACAAAAAUACAUUAUUACCUAAAUUAAAAUAACGUACUAUUUACACCAAAAAAAACACAAACCAUUAUAAUUCAAUUAUAAUAACUUAUUGCUUUUUUCAUCCCUUAAAAAGUGUUUAUAUUUUUUCCCCCGAACUUCAUCACGAUCAACUUAUUUAUAAAAAUUUAAUACUGUUUUAUUUACACAAAUGUCAUUAGACAUAUUUACUUAACUUAGGGUCAUUGAUUUAAAACUUUUUAAUAUUCUGUUAUUUUCGAUAUUUGGUUAUUUUCAAUAUUUAUGCGUAUAAAUACAAUUGCUUGGAUUUAACUUGUUUUUUUUUAUCAUAUAUGAAGGGAAAAAUGUGAGAGAAACUUGUAAAUUACUAAUCUCAAAUGGUGAGUAAAAUUUUCCAUUUCUUUAACCUACCUAAGUAAAUGAAAAAAAAAAAUAAAAAGAAGAAAUAAUUAAAAGGUGAGAGAGUUGAAGAGUGUGUAAGGCAGAAGGGGUGUCUCCUCCAAUAGCACCAAAAAGACCUUUAUUCCCAUCAAUCCCACCACACACACACACUCUUCUGAUUAUCCAUUUUGAUCCCUUCAACCCCUCCAACUUCUUUCUUAUUACCACAUUAACCCAUCAACAAAAUUUUACACUUUCCCCCAACAAAAGAAAAAGAAAAAAAGAACUCCCCCAUUCUUCAUCUUCUUCUUUCUUCUUCAAAAAUCCCAGUCAGUCAGAGAAAACAACCCCAAAAACCAAAAACUCUCACUCUCUUGGUCCAAUGAACGAGGUUCCCUUCCAUUGGGAAGGUAAACCCCAAAAUCCAAAACAAAAAAGAAAAAAAACAAUAAUUUAUAGCCUUCUUUCUCUUUCCAUUUGACAUCAAAAAAAAAAAAAAAAAGUACAAAGAAGACUGUUUUUGUUAAGCUUAAAUAGCGGGAGAAAAGGAAGAAAGAUCAGAGAUGGAAGGAGGUGGAUCCAGUGGUAGCAGCUGUUCUUUCAUGGCUACUUGUAACAGCACGACCAACAACAACAAUUCUAAUAACACUUCCAUGAUGAUGAUGAUGAUCAAUAAAACUCAUAAUAAUCCUCAAACAUUUGACAACAAGAUGUUCUUGCCUUUGUCUUGGUCUUCUUCUACUUCCAACAACAACAACAAUAAUAAUGUUCAAACUCAAACUCCUCUUUCUGCCUUUCUUCCUCAACCUCAUACAAAUAAUAGUAACGAUCAUGUUGUUCCUCCUACUUCUACUUCCAAAGCUAAAAUUAUGGCUCAUCCUCUCUUCCCUCGCCUCCUUACUGCUUAUGUCAACUGUCAAAAGGUUCGUCAUUCUUAUCUUCAUCAAUCAGUUUAAGCUUUAAUUUUAAGUUUCAUUCAAAUACAAGUGUGAAAAUUUAAUGAUAAUUUUGGGUUGGUACGUUUUUCUUCUUCUUUUUGAUAACCCUAUUUUUUGAUAUCAGGCCUUCUUUUAAUUUCCUUAAAAAUACGAUACUCGUAUUUUAAGAUGACGAGUAAAGAAGGUUAAUUUAUAAGAGAGUUCUUGUUUUUUUUUUUCUAAUAUAUAUCUUCUAAUUAACCUAUCUGUUUCUAUUUCUUCUUGAUUAUUAUUUAUUACGGCUUCUUUUAAUUUUCCGAUCAAUAUGAAGAAUUUAGGAAGAUGAGUAAACAAAGUAAAUUUGUUGGCAAGUUUUUUUUUUUUUUAAAAAAAUUAUAUCUUCUAACCUAUUUGUUGCUAUUUCUUCUUGCUUAAUAUUUGUUAGGGAUAUUCUUUUAAUUUCCCAUGAUUUAAAAUCUAACAAAGAAAGUAAAUUUGUUGGUAAGGUUCUUUGUUUUUCCCUUCUAACCCAUUUGUUGUUAUUUCUUCUUGAUUAGCAUUUAUUAGGUCUUCUUUUAAUUUUUCAUAAUUUAAAAUCAGUAAUUUAUGUAUUAUCGUGACUGUUGUGUUUUUGUUAUGAACAUGAUUUCAUGUGAGUGUGUGUGAAAAUGCUGUUGGUUCAGGUGGGUGCGCCGCCUGAAGUCGUAGCGAGGCUGGAGCAAGCAUGCGCGGUGGCGACGGGAAGCUGUAGGGCGGCGGGGCAUGGGAAUGAUCCAGCGUUGGAUCAGUUCAUGGAGGCUUAUUGUGAGAUGUUGACUAAAUAUGAACAGGAGUUGACCAAACCUUUUAAAGAAGCAAUGCUUUUUUUCUCAAGAAUUGAGUCUCAGCUGAAAGCCGAAGCAGUUUCUUCUGAUGGUCACUCUCUUUCUCUCUAUUAUUAUUCUUAAAAUGUCAUUUUAUUUUCAUUUUUAUAAUGUUGCUAUAUUAUAUGAUACGAUAUAUUGUCAUUUUGCCUUCGUAUUAGGUUAUUAUGAUUGUUUAGCAUCUGCGCAAUACUAUAGCUAAUGGUUUUGCUCUGAUGUACUGUCCUUUUUAUUCAUAUUUGGAUCUUAAUUGCACAUCAAAUCCAACUUCAGAAAUCUCAGUACUGAUUAAAUAUUUGAGUCAAGAAAGAGACUGGAGACGAUUUUUGUACGUGUUUAAAUUAAAUUUGUCUAAUUGAAACCACUUAUCAUGAUUCAAAUUUAAUUUAAUGUUUAAUUUUAAGCUUUUAAGCGAAAACAUGAUUUAAAAUGAUUUUGAAAGUAGUAAAAUUGAUUUUUUAAUUCAACUCACUAAAACAUGAAUGAUAAGGUUUUUUUUCCUUCUUUUGCAACCUUUUAUAAUGCUGUGUCUUAGUUAAGUGCACAAUUUGUUUCGUGUUGAAGGUUGAGGAAAAGGCUUAUUGGAAAGCCAACCUUUUAUAUUAAUGCUUUUAUUUGUUUGUAUUAUGUGAUCAUUAGGGUAGUGUAGAAGACCUUUAGAUUUUCUCCCUACAUGUCUAUGUCUAUGUAUAAUCCAAGCCUGCUGGACAUUUGAUUUUGGUUCUCUUCACUUUAGAAAUUACAUUUGAAAGUGAUUUUGAAAUGGUUAGAUAGGUAGGAUCCAAAUCGCCUAGGUUUGUUUUGUGUCUCAAAAGAUAACUUUAGGUAUGUUUACGAGUUCUUUUGAAGUGGUUUAUAACACUUUUAUCGUAUUAGUAUGAAAAAAUUAUUUGAAGUUUAUUUAAAGUCAUUCAUAAACAUGCACUGCACAUUUAUGUUAGAUAUAUACCAUAGAAAAGUGUUUCUCUAAUCAUGUGUCUUGUGAUUUGGAGAGUUUUUUACCAAUAUAAAAGUGGGGAUUUUGAUCUCCCAUUUCAAGAGAAAUUACUGGAUCAAUCUAUGUUUUAUUCUCAUAAUGAACCUGUUAGCUUUUGAAAUAUUUUUGUAUUGGUUUUCAUUUUUCUUGUGGACAAAUAUUUGAAUUUGAUAUAUCAUAACAUAAUUUUUAGAAACAUAAAUAAAAGCUUGUUUUUGAAAACUUGGUUUGAAUUUUGAAAACCUACCUAAAAGAUAGAUAACAAAAAAAAAAAAAAAAAACUGUAGCAUUAAGGUGGAAUUGAUGUGGUUGCUAGCAGCUUAACUUUUAGGAUCCAAUAACUAAGGUGUAGUUUAAUAAUGAUUUUUUAAUUAAAAUUAGUCUUGCUUCCUCCCUAUUUUCUUAAGUAGUUUCUAAAGAAAUAUUUAUAUUCUAAGUCAAUCUCUUUAAACAAAACUUAAGGUCUUUGAAGCUACUUAUGGACAGAAGUAAUUGUUUGUCAGCAUGAACUCCUAAAACCAGAUAGUUGUUAAAUGAAACAGCUUUUGUCUAAUUUUAUAGGUUUGAAUAUCUUUUGUACUUUGUUUAUGCAAUUAUAUUAUAAUUGAAAAUAAUAAAUGUAUUUAUUAGGUAAUUACUGCAUUUAAUUUACAGAUUUGUUGUGGGAUGUUUUUGAAGAAUUUGAAACUAAUUGAUAAGAUGGAUUUUUCAUUUUGAUUUGUUUAGGAUGUUUAUGUUAUUGAUAUCUAUGAUGAAUUGAAACGAUAUUUCAUACUAUUAGAAAGACUAUAUUUAGAGAAAUCAUUUAUAAUGUGACUGUCAUUCAAACAUUAGCCAUGUAUUAUGGAGAAAAAAGAAAUUAGACAUGGAAUAUAUUUGAUAAACUUUUGACCUGUUUCUUGUUCGUUAUCUACUAAUUUCACCAUUGAAAGUUCAAAUCCUGACUCAUUAUAUGCUGUCUUUAGCUUGGUUUCAACCUUUAUAAAGGGAAAGCAAGAAUAUAAUUUCUCUUUUAAAUGAUUAUUCAUUUUGAAUUUGAAUUCACUCACUUGAAGAAAGUUUGAAAUUAUGAUGUGACCCUGUUUUUAUUUGGUUUAUUAAUAUUAUAUUUAGUAAUCAAAUUAAUUAAUUUUUUCUACAGCAUUAAUAGGAAGAAAACUAAUGAAGUACUUAGGAAAAUUUGAGUAAAGUGCUUUAUUCAGGUAAGCUAAUUUACUGAUUUUGUCAUGUUGAGACAUUAUUUGUAAAAACCUUAUUUCUGGAUGAGUAAACUUAACCUACCACUACUACUAUUAUUGUUGCUGCUACUUCUACUAUGUUGAACAAAUAAGAGUAGGUAGUGAGAAGAUUUAAACGAAAGCAUUCAUAAUUACUGAUGUAUGUUAAUUGAGCUAUGUUUGAUUUGAUUUUGAACUUCUUUAUCACUCCAUCAAGACCCAUUUGAAGAUACACUCUUCAGUCACUAGCCUCUUCUUCUAGGAUAUGCUAACAAAUAUUUCAAUUUCUUGCUAGCUUCUAGAAAAAGGGCUGUGGGGGAGAGAUGUCAAAGUUUGGUUUGUGAGGAUAAAGUCAAGUUACUUAAGAAUUUAAUCUUUCACCCAAGUGAGCUUAGUACAAAAGAUAAUUCGUAUGACUCUCUUCUUUAGAUGUCAAAGGUUUGAUCUCUCACUCAGGCAGUUUGAUGUACUAGAAAAAAACGUUGUUUGUAUCAAAAUUUAUUGGAGGGUUCUAAUUUUGAAUGUAUUUUAAUGAUAUUUCUUCUCCAAACCAUAAAUAUUUAGGUGUUGAAAGGGUUGUGCAUUGCUGUGUUUUGAAACAAUGGAUGUUUGUCUUAGGUUUCGAGUUGGUUGGGCAAAACGAGUGCUCGAAGGAGAUUGAGGUUGAUAUGAAUGAAAAUUACAUCGACCCUCAAGCUGAAGUGAAGGAACUCAAAGGCCAGCUUCUACGCAAAUACAGUGGAUAUCUUGGCAGCCUAAAACAAGAGUUUUUGAAGAAGAAGAAAAACGGAAAGUUACCCAAAGAAGCUCGACAACAAUUGCUCGACUGGUGGAGCCGACACUACAAAUGGCCAUAUCCCUCGGUAUAUAUCUCAUUCACGUAACGACUAUAUACAUAAUCGUGAAUCAUAGUAGGAACUCAUUAGAAACAAAAUUGAGAUGAGUUUAGUAUCAUUUAUGGUUGUAAAUUAACGGGGUAGGAAAAAUGUGAUCGGGUGCAGGAAUCGCAAAAGGUGGCGUUGGCAGAGUCGACGGGGCUAGACUUGAAGCAGAUCAAUAAUUGGUUUAUUAACCAAAGGAAGAGGCAUUGGAAGCCAACAGAAGAUAUGCAAUUUGUGGUGAUGGAUGCUGGUCAUCCACAUUACUAUUUGGACAAUGUCAUAUGCAAUCCUUUCUCUAUGGAUUGUUCUUCCUCUCAUUCUGACUCACAUAUGUAACCAUUUUAAUGUUGCUUUGUUUAUGUUAAAUGCUAUGUCCCAUUUUGUUUUAGAUUAAUUUUACAUUUUCAACUUAUGAAACACUCCUUUUCUUGUAUCUUCUUCUUAAUCCUUAGUUUACCCUUCCUUUAAUUUGUAUUAUUGUAUGUGUUUUUGGUACUGAUUCAACCAAUGACUGCUGCUUUAUUGCUUGCCUGAUCUUUUGCCAUUUUUAACCAUUGCUUGCUUUUUCAAGUUUUAUUUUGGUAGUAUAGUUGGAAAAUGAAAAGUGAUCUAGAAUUUAAUUUUGAGUCUCCACCUGCUAAAAUUUGCGUAAAUAGUUAUUACCAAAGAGGCUUCUGUUAGAUGGGAUCACUAUUUAUGAGAUCUUAUUAAGGAUUAAAUUCUAACUUUUAAAAAUAUAUUAGCUAAAUUCUUUUGUUUUUUUUGAACAAGAAGCUCAAAUGUGCCAAUCAACGUUUCGUUUAAUUGAAAAUGCUCACAUUUAGUCCAAAGACAUUGUUAAGAACUGCAUAAAACCUAAUAUCCAUAUAAUUAGAUCCCAAAAAUUUAGUGUAUACCAAACAAGUUUACAUUAAUAUAGAACUGUAUACUUGUUCUCUAUACAUUAUUUAACAAAAUAUAUCUUUUUAAAAAUAAAUUAAAGAGCUUAUGAUAAACAUCCAGAUCUAAUUUCUAUGAUUAUUAUGAAAUUUAAGGUCUAUUUUUUUUACAUUUUUUACAAUUAAAAUAUUGAAGCCAUAAUUACAACUACGACCCCUGCUUCAAUGACUAUUUUAUUUUCAUUUUUACAAGUUACCCUUAAUUUUAAAACAAACUAAAUUGUAUAAAAAUUAAAAAGAUUUCAAAUAUAGUAAAAUAAAAACAGAUAAUCACAAAAAAAUAUUGAAAAUUUUCGAACCUAAUACUUAUAGAUAUUAAUAGACUUGUCUAUCAUUUAGUGCAUAAUCUUAAAUUUUAGGAUAUUUUGUAAGUUAAUUUACAAUAGUUUUUUCAUUCACAGUGGUUCUCCAAGUCUUUCAAAAAAAAAAUAAGCGGUAAAAUUAUACAUAAUAUUAUAUUGUAUAAAACAAUUUCGAAAAUGAAAAAAUUCCAAAGAUCCACCAUAAAAAUUUUAAAAGUGCUUCUCCAUUCAUUUGCACUGGUACUAUAUUUGGAAAUCUAUUCAAUAAUUUUUUUUCAAAACUUUUUGGUAUACGAUUAUUUAUAUUUGACAGAUCUAUAAAAUUUUAUUGUUUAAAUUUAACUACCUAAAUCUAAACUAUUUUAUUAAAAAAGAUUCUUUGGUAUACUAUAGAUUUUGAGUAUCCAAUAUCGCAACGAUUUUAUUGAUCCUAUAUUUUUUGGAUGUCCGUUAAACAACCAAAUUACAAUUUGAAAUAUAUAUAUAUAUAUAUAUAUAUAUAUAUAAUAUUUGACACACCAUUUUCAAUCAACUAACAGUUUGAAAAAAAUAAAAAUAAAAAUGAUUGAAAAAGAAAAAAAGACUUGAAAAAAAAUUGGAGAGGAGAUGGAGAAAAAAGAUGAUGAUUAAAAGGAAGAACAAACCUGAAAUAUGUUUAAAAAAAAUGGUGAACUUAAUAGGUUUUUUAUUUUAUUACACGCACCGUAAAUAUUUUAUCGGUAUGUUAUAUUUAUAAAAAUUAACUUUAUAAAAAAUACCUAUAAACUUUGUGAUUUGUGUUCAAAAUGCUCUUAAACUUUCAAAAGUUUCAAAGUUGCCCUUAAACUUUCAAAAAUGGUUAAAAAAUGUAUUUACUAUCUAGUUUUAGAUAGAACUCUUUAAAGUUUUGUUUAAAAAAUACUCUUACACUAUUUAAAAAAUUUUAUAAAUAUCUUUAAAUUUAAAUUAAAAAAAAAACAAAAUUACUCUUACUAAUAUAAUUUUUACACCAAUUUCCUUAGCAACCCAAAAUAAAACUAAAACUUAAAGUUGAAAUCGUAGUUUUAAAUUUUCGUCAAUAUGUCAAUAUUUAUAUCAGUAUUUUCACAUUUCUAUGGAUUCGAUAUCGAUAGAAAUAGUGAAACAAUAUUUUUGUUACAUCUUAAAAAAUUUCAUGAAUCAUAAGAAAUAAACAUAAAAAGACACUAAUAUAAAUAAUACACCGACAAGUUUAGAAAUUUGAAAAUAUUAAAUAUAAUUUGAAUUUAUUUUUUUAUAAAUUUUUCAAAAAUAUUCGUCGAAAUCAAAAUUUAUGUACAAUUAAGACUUUGAUAUAUAGAAGAACAUCGAUAUUUUAAACCUUGAUUAAAACAUAAAAUUUCACAUAAUCUCACAUUGGUAGUUUUAUUAGACUAUAUAUGUGUUAAUAGUUAAAUAUAUUUUUUAUUUGACAAAUGGUUCAAGAAUAUUUUUUUAAAAAUGUUUUAUUGGUUUCGGAUCAACAUCUUUUAAAAGUUUAAGAAAUUAUUUUACUUUCAAAAGUUUAUAGGUAUUUUUUUACGUGAGUUCUUUUCUAAAAAAAUAAAAAAACUAAAUAUAUAUGCUAAAUUAAUUUGUAUCUAUAAAAUUACAUAAAAUAAUGCAAUUUUCAGCCCUUAUUGAAAAUAUUAAUUAAUUUGUGAAUUUUGUCUAUAGUUGUUUUCUUUUCUUUUGUCAUGAGCCCUAAAUAAUUUGUUUUUGCAUUUAUUACGCUUUAAAAAAAAACCCUUCAAUAUGAUAAGUUAAAAUCAAGGAAAAUUACAAAAAUAAAAUAUUUGAUAAAAUAUCUGUUGUUCAACUUAAUAAAACUUUUCUUUCUGUUUUAUUUUGUAAAGGGUAAAUAGCUCCAAAAUACUCCAUAAAUCAAUUAAAUUAAUUUAACAUAAGUGUACAAUUUUUAAAAAUAAUUACUACCAAUAGUUCUAUCAAAUCUAGAGUUGCUCAAUUAUAUUUUUAAUAUAUAUAUAUAUAUAUAUAUAUAUUCCUUGCUAUCCAUGAUGAAAAUUCUCCUAAUUUGGUCUUGAAUUUGUAUUUAUUUAUUUAUGAGCUUUGGUGUGUAUUUUAGUUUUCACCAAAUGAUUCAGGUUGUGUACCCACAUUGCCUUCAUUCUAAUUUUUUUUCAAAGUAGGGUAGACCAAAACAAAUUUAUUAAUUUAACUUUUAUGAUUCGCAGAGUAGAUUAUGUCGAAAGAAAUCUUAACCAAUGUUUAAAUUUAUAUAAAUUUGUUAAUUUAAAGGUGAUCUAAAUUUUGUUCCGUAAAAAGUCCAGACCGAGUUUGUAAUUAAACAUGAAAACACUCAAGUGAUUGAUGAAAUAUUCUAAGUUGAACUAUAGGUGUAUUUGUCAUGUGAAUAUUUAAUCUAAUGUUAAAGUUUGAUUUGUAUGAUUUAUAAUAAUUAGAAUCUAAUUAUUAUUGUUGAAAGAGAUGUUAUUGAAUUAAAGUUUACUUUUAAAAGCUUAUGAUAGCAAAUUUGAAACAAAACCCGUUUUUGUUGAAAUGUGAAAUCGAUUUUGAAAAUUGGUGUUUAGUUUCGGGGUGUUUUCCAAUUAGUGAUCUCCAAAAGUAUGCCAAGGUUGAUUUCUAUACUUUCUUUCCUUUUCUCCUACUUGCUUACCCCAACUGCAUCUUCUUUUUUUUCUUGAAAGGGACACCAAAAAAAUGGGGAAAAAGAAUUAGACUUUAGUUGCGAGUUUUUUUAUAGCUUUUAAAAUAAUAAGAUGUAAUUGUAUUUUCUUUUAGAAAAUUAUUUAAAAUAGCAAAACUCAUAAAAAAAAUGUUUACAAAUAUAACAAAAUUUCAAAAUAUAUCAAUGAUAUAUAUCAAUAGACACUAAUAAACUAAUAAACUUCUAUCGUUAUAUUCUCAAACAUUAAAAUGUUUGCUUUGAAACUUUGGAAACCAAAUAACAUCAACUCAUAAGGGUGUAUUGUACUCUAAAUUAAAAUUCUAAAACUUUAUUAGGUGUAAAAAUCACUUAUUAUUUUUGUUAAUAUAUUCCUAAUCCUUUUAAGUAAAAUUAGUGGAUAAAUAUAUAUAAGUAGUGAGACUACGCCAAUUGCAUAACAAAAAUGUAUAAAACCAUAGGUAUAUGUGAAUGUAUUUUUAAAUUUUGUAACGUGGGUAUAUUACAAAAAUUACCUAUAAAAUAUAGUGGUAGUUGUAUUACACACUUAAACUUUCAUUUAAAAUUAACUCAAGUAUAAUUAAUAAUACACUUGAAUGAUUUCGUGUCUAUGAGUAGAUGUUUCAACAAAGAAUUUUUUAUUGUAAUAGUUGACUAUCUAUAUAUCCAAGUUAACAUUUACAUUAUGUUUUUUUUUUUACUCGAAGAUAAUUAUUAUUUAAUGCAUUUUUAUGGAGUUUAAAAAAAAUCAACCUCUAAUUUUACGCUAAUAAUAUAUUAAAAAAAUAGAAUUUUUGAUAUUUCUGCAUUUCACCAUUAUAAAAUGGGUUUUUUUUUUAAAAUUUUUUUUGACAAACUAUUUAAAGUUUACAUUUCAUAAAAAUAAACUACUAAAAGAUAAAAAAUUUACACAUAAUUUAAAUAAAUUAUAAAUAUUUAGUCAAAUUUUCUAUUUUUAACAAUUUUCCUUAUAAAAUAAAUUUUCUACUUCACUAUACAAUAAUAAGUUUGUUUUACUAUAUCAUAUUAUAGUUGUCUUUAAUUUUAAACAUCGCAUGGUUCAGUAAAAUAAAACUAAAAAAUGUUAUAAAUUAAAAUAGAAAAACUUAUUUAUAUUAAUAUUUAGAUAAAUUAUUUUAAAUAAAAAAUUGCUAUAAAUGUGUAUACCAAAAUGAAAAAGAAAAAUCAAAAUGGAAUUUUAUAUUGGUAUUUUGUAAUAUUUGUAAGCAUCAGUUAGACCAUUUUGCUAUCUAUGAAAAGAAAAAAAUUGUCAAAAAUAGAACAUUUUACAAAGGACUUUUGUUUCAUAAAAAAUCAUGUGUAAUCAAUUUUGUCUUUUAGUAGUUUUAUUACACGCAGUGUAAAUAAUUUGUCAAUUUUUUUAACUCCUAAAAAAGCUAUCUUCUUUAUUUAUAUACAAUAAUUUAUGUGAAAUUAUCAAAAAUAGCAAAUUUGAUAAACUAUUUACAACAUAUAACAAAAUUUUCUUAUUUUAUCAAUAAUAAACAUUGAUAGUCAUUAAUAUGCAUCUAUCAGUAACAUUAAUAGCUAGUGAUAGAAGUCUAUCAAUGACUAUCAUUGAUAGAAUCCAAAAUUUUACUAUAACUGAUAAAUAUUUUAAUUUAUUUUGCUAUUUUUUUUAAAAAAUGUCCUAUAAUUCAUUAGUUUACAAAUAAAAUGUUUAAAUAAGUAAUAAUCUUUUAUUGCUAAAAUUACGAAAAGAAAGUGUACGAUAUAAUAGGACAAAUAAUUAUAUAUAUAAAAAAAGCGAUGUUUUAAAGUUUAAGACAAAUGAAUUGAAUGAGAAAUAAUAUUUCAAAUCAAAUUUUGACAACAUAUAAUUAUUAAAACCUAUUGAAUUAUAGUUAUUAGUUUUGCAACGAGAUUUAUGUGUAUCUUAUAAUGUUAACGCUUUAUAAUAUUUUUUUAUAUUUUAAUGAAUUCUAUAUGUUUUUUUUUAUGUUUUAUAUCAUUAAAUUAGAUUCAAACUAAAUAAAUAAAUACAACAAAUAACACAAGAAACAAGACAUGAUUAUCAAACCAAAUUUUUGUUUCUAUUUUUUUUAAGAAACAGAAAAUUGUAAUAAUUAUCCAACGUAGUCUUGUCAAACAAGAGGUGAGAAACAGAAAAUGAAAACAUUAUCUUACAAACCCUAAAUUUCAACAUGAAAGAAAUUAAUAGAUAUCAAUUAUCGUUGAGUUAAACUAACUAAACUUUAGACUUAUGGACUAAGUAAUGCUUCCAACUUUUAAAAGAUGUAUAUAUAAACUUGUUGGAACACCUCGAAGGAAUAACUCGUUGAGAAGAUGUAACGUCUAAACUAAAUGCCUAAACAACUCGCGUGCUGAUUUGCCUGAUAUAUUGGUAUCUCGUUUGAACAAGAUGCCUUCUUUAGUCAUUUUGCCUACCGGUCAAGUUGUCUGGUCAAAACGCCUACUGAAAAACAUAAAUAAGUUAAGAAAAAAAUGUUGAGCCUGAUCAGAUUUCACUUUCUUUAAAACGUUUCUCGAUUUUGCUCAUUUGUGCAAACAUAUUUAUAUAGUCUCGCCGUCCCUAGGGUAAAAUCGAUGUGUUCUUUAAUCAUGAUUGCACUAAAACUGAUUGGAAUACCAACACUCAAAUAGACACUUUUGAUUGCUUGAAAAACUCAUAGAAAGAUAGUUUGAAAUAAUUUUUUCUCUUGUUUUUCUCAUCUCUCAAAAUGAAGAAGAAAAAGUGUUUAUAUAGCCGCUGAAUAGGAAAUUUUAAGACCAAUCACAAAUUGUCACAUUAUUUACUAAAUUAAUGAUGAAAAGUGCAAAUAAUUGAAUUUGGAACCAAUUAAAAAACCGAUAUGUAUCCCAAAUUAAAAUUAAAAACAAAAAUUGGCCAAUUCUGAUAAUACCACAUGUUUUUAUCAUAACUAUUGGAUUAAGUUAAUUAUUUUGGUUCAAUUAAAUAUUAUCUAUUUGAGUUAAGUUCAAUUGAGCCAAAAAAAUAAGCUUAUUGAGCCUAAAUGCUAAAUAUGACCAAAAUCCAUGUGAUUGAGUUCAUGGGUCUGGUCCAUGGAACAAUUAGGCUUAAGCCCAUAAAACCCACCCAAAGAACUCUAUAAAUAGAGGAGUUAUCCUCAUUUGUAAGGGUUGAAAUUUUUUUAGUCUAGAAGGUCUAGAGAGAAUUCUCCCAAGAGCUUCCUCAAGUCGACCAUCCUCGAAUGUUGAAGCUUCUUUGAAGAUAUAAGCGUUCUUUCAAGACUCUAACUUCAAGGAGAACAUGUGCUCUGCUUCCCCAAAUCAAUCCUAGGCGUUCAACAAACUUCAAGAACAUCACGUCCUCCGUUUCCUCUAAAUCAAGCAUAAACAUCUAAUCGAGAGAGAAUCAAAAGAUCAAAUUCUAGAGAUCGAAUCACAUCGCAUCAAAUCAAUAAAAAUACAACAUUAACACUAGUUCAGCUUCACGUAUCAAAUUUUUUGGAAAUCUCAUGUGAACAAUAGCAGAGGAGACUCAAAAAGACGUUGGUAAUUAAAUAGGAAAGUUUAACUAUGUAAAUGUUUGUAAUUAACAGAGGAUAACGUUGGAAAUUAAAUACAAAAUGGAAUUAAACUGUUUGACUCUUUUAUAACGUUAAACGGUCAUAAAGAUUUUGUAUUAAAAAGACAACGAUUAUAUCAGUAUUGCAUCUCAUGUUGCCUAGGAUGACGGUAUGUAUGUGGAGAUCUUAGUAAAUCACUUAACUAUCUCGCCUAGGAUGGCCAUAGUUUGCAUGUGGAGAUAAGCAAAUCUAAUAUUCUAGUCAUCUCGCUACAGAUGAGAACAUGCAACUUAUAUGCUUACCUUCUAUCUUUUUCAAACUUAGACUUGGAUGAGUAUUUUGUAAUAAUGACGUUUUAAAAAAUAUUCACCAACCAGACUUAUCUUAACAAUAUUUAAUAUUAGCCUAAUUGACAUCAACAUGCACGUAGCAAUGAUGACAUGAAUACUUUUAUUGUACAUUGUCCUAAAAUAAAUCUUUCUCCACUACUUAAUAAAUUCUUUUCUAUGAAACAUCUUUUCUUUUCACACUGCAUUAUUUUGUUGUGUGGAAUAUUACACCAAAUAUAUUCAUAGAGAAAAGUUGUGUGGAAUAUUAAAUUGGCUUUUUCUAUAAAAUAAUUGACUUGAGACUCCCAUUUUACACAUUCCCUAUUCUUUUAAGUAAAAUAAUGUGGUAGUUAGUGGUCAAGUGAUGAUUAAAAAAAUACCAAUAAUCACAAUAUAAAAAGAAAUUGAUUUAACUUAUAAUACUAAUGUGAUUCUUUAACUUCUACACUUCAAUCUUCAUUGGUGGGUUUGUUUUCUUUGAGGUCAUUCAAGUGAUGUUUUCACUAAAUUUUAGUGGUCAAAUUAUACUUUUUUUUUCUUCAUAAUCGUAUAAAUCUUUAUUUUAUUCAAUUAUUAAUGAUUUAUAGAUUCAGUUUUAAGCAUCAUUAUCUUUGUUAAUCCAAAGAUGUUAUGUAGACAAUAAUUACACCAUUUUGGUAUAUUUGAUAAUAACCUAAACUUUUUAAAGUAUUUUCAAUUUUAAUUCUUAUACUUGUAAUAAAUAUAAAAUUAGUUCUCCUAACAAGUUUGUGGUGGUUAAUUUAAAAAAGAAAAAAGAAAAACUGCUUGUUAUCUAUAAAUAUUUUUACUGUAAACUCUUUUAUUUACCAUGAAAAUGAUUGUUUUGAGGGAUUGAAAUCAAGCAGAAUAUAAACUAAUUUAUAGAGAUUUGCAAUUCAAAAUUUGUAUAAAAGAAAAAAUGGAUUAAACAAAUAGACACAAUAAUAGUAGUGGUCAAAGAAAGGAGAGUAAUUAAAACCGUGGAGACCUAGACCGAGUAAGCAAGUUUGAAAAGCCCUUUUAGAAGAAAUAAAUAAUAGUAAAAGUUUAGACUUUCCCCAAGCCGUGUGGACUUACGUAUUCUUCUUCCCCAUUUCCUAAUUCCUAACUGAAAUAUAAAAUUCAAAAUAAAAACUACUCCCCUAUAAAUUCACUACAUUUCUACUCAAAUUCCCACAUCUUCUCUUCUCAAUUCCCGAUUCCCAAUUCCAAAACCCCAAAUCCGCCAUGGCAACAAAACUCCAAACCUUCUUCAUUGCCGCUUUGUUUCUCUUAUCUUUUUCCCUUUCCUCUUCAGCGCAAACUUGCAGAAACUACAAUGGUUUCGCCAACAAUGAAGUCUUUGCAGCUUGUGUAGAUCAUCCAGUUCUCAACUCUUUCCUCCAUUGGACUUACAAUCCUUCAAACUCCACUCUCAAAAUCGCCUUUAGACGCCCUUCCACCGCUCCCGAUCAAUGGAUUGCUUGGGCCAUUAACCAGCAAGACCUCGCCAUGUUCGGUUCUCAAGCUCUCAUCGCUUACCGAAAUUCCUCUGGUCUUCCCCAUGUUUACACUUCAAGUAUUGAACGACCUUUUCCAACUAUGCAACAGAGCAGUUUGAGCUUUGAAGUUCCUCAACUUUCCGCCACUUAUACCAACGAGGAAAUGACCAUUUUCGCAACUAUUAAUCUUCCCACUGGUUUAACCACCAUCAAUCAGGUGUGGCAAGAAGGUCCCAUGAGUCAAGGCUCUCCAGCUUCCCAUAACAUUGUCGGGGACAAUCGACUGUCACUUGGUACUCUGAAUUUGCUUACUGGAUCUAGCACAGUGGCAGUGGAUUCUGUUCUUAAGAGAAGAAACGUAAGUCUCACGUCUUUUUUUUUUCUUCUUUUAAUCGGGGUUUGUUUUAUUUUCUCCAUUUGUGAAACCCUUUGGAGGAUUUGGUCUAAUUUGUGGGUUCUAAUUUUCAGAUUCAUGGAGUUUUGAAUGCGGUGAGUUGGGGGACUUUAAUGCCAAUGGGAGCCAUUUUCGCUCGAUAUUUGAAGGUCUUUAAGGCUGCAGAUCCUGCUUGGUUUUACCUUCAUGUCGCCUGCCAGACCUCCGCCUACGCUGUCGGUGUCGCCGGCUGGGCUACCGGUAUCAAACUCGGCGGCGAGUCGGCUGCAGUUCAAUACACUACUCAUCGCAACAUUGGGAUUGCUCUGUUUGCCCUAGGAACUCUUCAGGUAAUUUAAAUUAAACCAUACAAAAGAAUCCCUUUGAAAUCUAUUUGAGUCGUUAUCACAACUUAAUGGUUUUGGAUUUGUUUUUUUUUUGCUUUAAAACAGGUUUUUGCUUUGCUUUUGAGGCCAAACAAGGAUCACAAGUACAGAAUUUAUUGGAAUAUUUACCAUCACUCCAUAGGAUACAGUGUGAUCAUUAUGAGUAUCAUCAAUGUGUUCGAAGGUUUAAAAAUCUUGAGUCCUGAAAAUAAAUGGAGAAGAGCUUACACUGGAGUCAUCAU
rnacentral:lncRNA from 1 species